UAGGAUAAAGUCCGAAUGAAACGCUGACGAGGGGGGAAAAACAACAGUGGCAAUGCACUAUCCACAGAUCCAUGAUUGAUUUAUGUUAGCAAUAAUGAAUUAUUUUGACUUUGAUAACCUUGGUUAAGAGAAUUUGGUCUUGUUAUUAUCAUUUUUUCAAAAAAAAAAAGUGUAGGUAACUAGGUAGUUGAUUUAUUAGAAUUUAGAAAUGAGGAUCCCCUCCUCCUGCAAGAGCCGUGACAGACAUGCCUGCUUUCUUGCCAGAUUAUACCAAUGUGCCCAAAUAAUCCCCCAUCUAUCAUCUCUGCACCCUGGAACACGUCACUCCCUCCUUUGAGCAAUAAAAUAUCUCUUUUAUUUUCUUUUGAACCACUCUUCUAUUUCUUUGUACCAGACUGGACCCAUUUAAAUUCUUCGCUACGCUGUUCCCAAGGACUACGAGAAUCAAAAUAGCAAAAUUCUUGAAUCAUUUUAAUGGGUUCAGAAACCACAUGUUUCUCUAGAUCAUAAGAGGAAAAUCUUUUUGGAUGGUGUUUGUGUUGUGUUGUGUUCAAUAUUAAAUACUCAAUUAAAUAAGCUAAAUCAAAUAUCACAUGAAAAAUAAUCAAAUUAAAAAUAGGGAGAAUUAUGUUUUGAGGGUAGAUGGACCCCAAAUUAACAAAAGGUUCAUGUAACUCUUCAAAUUGAGCCCAGACCCAAUGAAAAUAUGGAAAUUGAGUUGAAGUAUAUCAUCAUUCAGUAUUUCCAAAAAUGUCCUUUGUUGAUUUUGAGAAAAAAAUUAAUAUUUUUGAAAAAUAUUUUUAUGUAAUUUAAUAUUUUUUUAAAUACUUUUAUUUAAUUUAAUAUUUUUAAAAAAUAAAUUUAUUUAAUUUAAUAUUUUAAAAAAUAUUUAAUUUAAUAUAUUUUUUAAAUACUUUAAUUUAAUUUAAUAUUUUUGAAAAAAAUUUUAAUUUAAUAUUUUUGAAAAAAAAAUUAUUUAAUUUAAUAUUUUUUAAAACUAUUUUUAUUUAAUUUAGUAUUUUUGAAAAAAAAUUAUUUAACUUAAUUUUAUAAAAUAUUUUAUAUGUGUUCUUAAAGGGUAUAUUUGUCCGUUACUAUUUCAUAUCCUUCAACUCAAUUUAAAGAGUUAUAUGGACCUUUUGUUAAUUUGGGGACCCAUCUACCCUCAAAAGAUAAUUCUCCCUUAAAAAUAUAAAUUUAAAUAUGACAUAAUUAUUAAAUAUGUUAGAUCUUGUAUGAGUUUAUAAGAUUUAUGUUUCAAAAUAACAUGUUUAUAAUUCAUCUAUUGAUUUAUAAUCAAAUUUUAAAUAAAUUAAAGUUAUUCAAGUUAAUAAAUAUGAUUUAUGUUAUAAAGACUAACUAAAAAAUAAUUUAUUAAUUAAACGGAUCCUGGUCAAUAAAAAUUUGAUUUAAAUACGAUCAUACUUAAUCAAAACUUAGGUCAAAUUGUAUUGAUAAAUUACAUCAAAACCUUGUUGUGUUCAAUAUUUUAUAUUAAACUAUUUUUUAAUAAAAUUAUUUUUAUAAAUAUAAUAUUACAUCAUUUGGAGAAACAAAAUAGUAUUAUAUUGAUUUUACAUAUAAAGCAACCAGUUAACCCCUCAUUAUUUUGAUCCAUUUCACAUCCAUAUCAUUCUCAUAAUUUUUUUAUAAUAUAUUAACAUGAUGGACGGUAAUUGAGGGUAGAAAAAAAAGAUGAGAAGAAUAAAAUAAUGUGAAUCCUCUCUAAAUGUUACAUCUUCUGACAAAUGAAGUCUAUAGAAAUGUGUAAAAAAAAAAAAAACACUUAAUUGUGAGGUUCACUUGAUUUAGCAAAAAAUUAAUAUUUUAUUUGUUGUGUGAUUUAAAAAUAAUAUUUUAUUUUUAAAAAUAAAAAAUUAUUUUUAAAGUUUUUUAACACUAUUUUACUAUUGUUCUUUGAAAUAAUUUUUAAAAUUAAAAUGAAAUAACUAAUAAUUUUUAGAUAAUAAAUUAAAGUUGUUUUUAUUAGAUUUUAAAAAUAAAAGAAAAAUAUAAAACCAUUUGAUCAAAUUUUUUUAAACUUAUUUUUAAAAGGUUUUUUUUUUUUUUUUUUUUUUUCUAUCCUAAGUUAAAAGAUAAAAAAUAAUUUUUAAAGAUAGGUUACGAGCAAAUGCCACAAACUUUUUUCUUCUCUUUCCCUUGUUCGGAUAGAAGUGAAAAAUAUCCUCCCAUGGAUCGACAUUACGUGAGCCAUCACCAUUCCCCAACUGCAAUUCAACCGCCAAAGCUGAGGUGUCAUUAUUAGUUUGAACAAAAGUCAGCAUUGUCCACGUGGUGACAAGCGGAACUGACCCAACUUGCAAGGCAAAAAAAUAAAUAAAAUAAAAUGAAAAAAUCAGAUCACCAUUAUGACGUCAGUCCAAUUGCUGACCUGGCCGCCGUCCCCCAUUUGACCCACGUGUUCAUUUAACCCAUUCGCCGUAUGCCGUGGCUCCCCACCCAUAUGGCCAUAUCUGCCAUUUAUUUUAUCCGUUGCCUCCAUUCGGUUUUUGGAUUUUACCCAUUCGCCCUCGUCUAUUCCCAUUUCCGUAUUUGCCCACCAAGGAAAUUCAAUUCCCAUGCUUUUGUUUUACAUUCAAAUCCUCCCCCCUCUAUAUAAAGGAGGGAGUAGGGCUUGAAAGUUUCUCAAGCCAACAUGGACUGUUGAGAGUGAAAGACAGAGGAGCCACAAACAAAUAUCACUCACUCAAACCAAAGCCAAAACCAAUACCGAAUUCAAUUCAAAUGACUUCUUUCUCUCUCAUCAAUUCCCUGAAUUCCGAUUCCGAUUUCAAUUUGUUAUCGGAUUCUUUUUCCUGGGAAAACUCCCUACCUUUCAAUGAAAACGACUCCCAGGAGAUGCUCCUCCUGGGCAUGCUGGCCAGCUCCACUCAGGAAACCUCAGAAACAGUUUCUUUGAAUCGAGUGAAGGAGGAAGAAGUGACUUCCCAGGAAAAUCCCGAGAAGGAGAAGUCAUACAGAGGCGUUAGGAGGCGGCCAUGGGGGAAAUUCGCAGCAGAAAUAAGGGACUCGACCAGGCAUGGCAUAAGGGUGUGGCUGGGAACAUUUGACAGUGCAGAGGCAGCUGCUCUGGCCUAUGAUCAAGCUGCUUUUGCGAUGCGGGGCCCUGCGGCAGUCCUCAAUUUCCCGGUGGAAAGAGUGAAGGAAUCGAUGCAGGAGAUCAAGUGCAUCUUGGAGGAGGGGGGCUCACCAGUGGUGGCCCUCAAGAAGAGGCACUCUAUGCGGAGAAAAAGUCCUUGCAAGAAACAUAAAAGUGAAGAGGUGAGGUUAGAAAAUGUGGUAGUGCUGGAGGAUUUGGGUACUGAAUACUUGGAACAGCUCCUCACUUUCUCUGAGACCUCUAGUCCUUGAUCAUCAUCAUCCAUCACCUGGAUAGCUUCUUCUCUUUGCUCUGUUUCUUACUUUUCUCUCUCUCUCUCUCUCUCUCUCUCUUUUUUUUUUAUGUAAUUUUUCUUAAUGUAUUUUUGGAGAUGGCGGGGGUGUAGUGGUGGCAAUUAUCCAUCUAGAAUUUUUCAAAAGAUAUGUUCUUUUGUUUCUUUGUAUAAAGUUGAAAAGUGGGGAUCAAUUGUGAUGGUGCUCUAUGUUCAUCCACCCAAUUUAUAUAAUCAAGGUGAUUAAUGUUUUUUGAUAUCAACAAUUUGUGAAUGACAUAGAGAGAGAGAGAGAGAGAGACCUUAUUUUCUACACUCAUUACGGUGGUUUCCAUUUGGGGAAGGAAAAGGAAAUGGCUAAGAAUGUUACCAAAAGAAGUGGGGUGGCUUUCAUAUGCGUGGUGGCAUACUUGCAUACAAACUUUUCAAUUGUGUUCUGCAUGCCACUCGGGUCAAUUUCAUUUCUUUUACUCCUAGUAGCCUAAUUGGAUUUCCUUUUUCUCAUGAGACAUCAAAUAAAUUUCAUUUUUUUAUAUUUAAAUAGUUAGGUAAGUUUGAUAGUGAGUUAUAUUUUAUACAUUAAUUCAUCUUUUAGAAUGUUGUCUACAAUAUAAACAGUGUAAUUAAUUUCAUCAUUACAGAACAGUCAUCUUAUAAAAUAACAUAAAAAUUAUUGGAUCACUUGUAUGGCACCACUGAUUUGGACUUGGUAUGGCUCUGUUUGGCUUCAUAGAAAAAAUUUGGACCCAAUUUGAAUGUCUUGCAUAAAAAGAGAUACGUCCCACUUUGAAUGAUAUUGAAGAAAAAAAUUUCUGAUGAAGAAUAUAUUGUUGGCAGGGUCAUGCAGGCCAAUAGGGAAACGAUAAAUUCAGAAGAAUGAGUCCAAACCAGUGGGCUUGAAAAUUAAGAAGAGAAUUGCUGUAUAAAACAAUCAUUUCUUAAUCGAGUUCACUUUCUGAAUAAUCGUCACUUUGAGAAUGCAUACUUAGGAAGAUGAUGAUCCUUAAUGGGAAUAAUCAAAGGCAUCAAAAAAUUGUUCUGGAACAAUUCUUGAUUGUCUCCAGUAAAAUUCAAAGUCAAAAGUCAAAAGUCCAGUCGGUCAACACCAAACCAGGCCAGUCCAAAAGACAUUAAUUUGCAAUCUAGAAUCUAUGAUGAGGUGGCGAAAUCAAACCUUGGCUUUUCACCAGGGAAUGGUACUCUGAAUUUGGUCAGUUCACUGUUUCGAGUGAAUAGGGUGUAGUAAUUAGUAAAUCAUAUUUUAGAUUUGUGUCACAAGUUACAAGGGAUAUGGGCUGACGUUCAAUUUUGGCGACAAUUUGUGGGCCCGUAUAUUUGUUGAGAUGUGGAAAUUGGGUGUGUGCUUUUUUCUGCUACCACAUAAAUAUAUUUCUUUGAAUUGAAGAGUGUUUCAGACCAUUUUUUUUCAAGUCACAAAUGGACAACUGAUUGAGAUUGUAUUGGUGAGAGUAGGAGUUUAUUUUGGGCUGGUUGAGCGAAGUUGAAAGUCGAGUUGGACCUAACCCUUGAAUUCAGCAGACUACAGUCCGAUCCUGUAUUUUGGAUUUAGGGAACCUUCUUUCCCAGAAGCUUCGUCUGGGUUUUAAAGUCUAAAUGUGGCUACUCUUAAACAUUGGAGAAAGGAUGAGCGUUCACAAGCAAAUGGGUAAUUGUGGAUGGUUCAAGGACCUGGCCAGCUGGUCUUCAAGUUUGGAUGCCGGUUUGGGCCUGAGAGAGUCUUUGCAAAGUGACUUCACUUCAGCCUAUGAGAUCAAGAUAUCAUGGUGAUGUCCGAUCACUUAGGUUUCAUUUUCACCUCGGAUUACCGUUACCAUGUUCAUGAAUAAAAAUAAAUAAAUAAAUGAAGCCUUAUAGAGAAAUUAAUGAAGUGAGCUAUACAAGCAACUGGGCCAGGAGCCUACAAGGCAGAAAUUCCCUGCCCUAGACUAGGCCGAAUAAAUUAGAUGAAUGAAUUGGGGAAACCUGGGCCAGCCACACAUCCUCCUGAAGGCUGAUGUCGAACUCGCUUACGAGGAAUGGACAUGGGAGAUUGGGCUGGGACCAAAUAACCAAUUGACAGCCCUAUCCUUGUGGCAAGACGUCAGUAAAAUGGUUCAUUCUGAUUUUACGCUGCCAUUCAAUUUAAUUUUAAUUUUUGUUUAAAGCGAUGUACAAAUUGAAUGGUGUCUAGUCACUUAAAGAGUGGUUCAUAAUACACUUAAUUUAAACAAAAAAGAAAUUAUUAGAUAGGGGAUUCUCCAAUAAAAACCACCCCAUCUUGUCAGCAAGUCCGGAAACUUCCUUCACUUAGGGCGUAUUUGUUUUUUUAACUUUAAUAUUAAAGAAAGUUGGUUAAACCUUAUGACACUUUUAUAUUAUUUUAUGAAUUUUUUUUAAUUUUUAUUUUAAUGGAAUUUUAACUUUAAUACAAGUUGGAGUAAUUCUUAUCUUAAAAACAAAUCAAAAUUACUUUAAUUUUAUAUAGAAAUAAACUUACAGUAAAUUUACCAUGAAAAUUUCUAAGUCAAAUACACCAUAAGUGCUAGUAUUUUAUAAUAUUUAGAAACAUGUUAAAUUAUUAUUAUUAUUUUUUAAAAUUAUUAGUUUUCAUAUUAGUUUUAGGGAAACUUGUGCUUUAGGUCUUUUAUUUGCAAAUAAUAUGGUUUUCAAAUCCUAAGAAUAGAAAAUAUGAGAAUCAACUGUUAAUGUGGAAAAUAAUAUCAAUUUUGUGCAAUCUCUAUUGACUCAUUUUUUUGUGCCUAGAUUGCCUUCACCCACUUCCAUGUCAACAACCACAUUAAUAGAUUGUUUUUUUUUUAUAAAACAAAUAAUUAUUAUGUUUAAAAUUUUGGGGAAACUCUCUAUCUCUCUUACUUCUUCACUACAUCCGAGACCCAUCUUCCUUAAACGUUUGCCUCUCAUUUUGCCCUAACCCCAAAUCUCAUAAAUUUCUCAUUUUCUUGCCUCAUUUGAAAUAUGAAGAUGACCGAUUCUCAAACAUCUCUGUCUCUCUCUUCACGUUUUGACCAGUCUAAUUGGAAACCCAUUUUCCAAAAACCUUCUUUCUUUCAUUUUGCCCUAACCCCACUAUCUCCCUCUUCAAGACCUAAUCACCCAAACUCGAUAUCUAUCUUCCCAAAACCUUCAAGCAAACUGAACUAGACCCAUAUCUUCUUUUUUCAUCAUCAAAGGUGAAAUUUUUUUAAGGCUUUUGGAAACCGAAUUGGAGCUUUCCCUUCUUCUGGGAUUAAUCAUUCGCAAGUGAGUUUUCCAUUUAAGGCUUUGUUUGGCUGUUGAAAUCUUGGGAUCAAAGGUCUUUUAUUUUCAGGUUUCUUGUAUUUUGCUUUAUUUUCUUGUAUAUAACAAUAAUCAUUGUAACAUAUGCUAGUAGUUACCCUUGGUGCAACUUUACAUUUCCAAAUACCCUAAAGUCCAAAGCUUUUAAUUCCCUUUUCAAAGCUUUCAACUUUGAAAGCAGACUAAACCAUAAGAACUAUGAAACUUAUAUCUCUAUCACCACUAAUUAAGCAUGUCUAUGAAUCCUUCCACUUUAAGUCACUUAUUCUCAAACCAAGAAGGGCUCCUCUCAUUCUCACCCCACCUCAUCUAAAUGAGGGAAAUGAUCAAUUGCAGCCAUGCUUUGCACCAAAUUAGAGAAGUGAUCCUCCCAAUCAUCCAUUACCAAAAAUUGAUCAUGCUGAUGAGAUCAUAAGAGUCUAUUCGGAACUCCCAGUUUACUUGCCUCUUAUCUCAGGAUCCUCCAUUACCCCCUGUCUUUCCAACAUCAAAUCAACUUGCAAACAAUUCCUUUGUAGAUAAAAUGUUUUUAAUAUUGCAAAAGGGGACUUAUCAUAAUGGUUGAAUCGAUUUAUUUGAUAUAAUCACUCAAAUUCAAGCUUAAAAUUGAUCAUAAUAAAAUGUUUUUAAUAUUGUUAAAAGGAGAUUAUAAUGGUUUUAUUUGAUAUCAUUACUAAAAUUCAAGCUUUCAAACAUGCUCUACAAAGAAGUUCUAAAAGACUACAAGAAAGAGUUUCCACUAAAGAAAAACAAUGAAACCAUUUCUACUAAAGACAAACAAUGAAACCACAGAUGCUUUGUGAAAUAUGUACCCGCACAAUCCAACAAACUUUAGAAAUUCACAAACACUACCUAGAAUUUUUGCUGACCAGCAAAAAAUUUAUGCAAUUUAAUUCUUAUUGUUAUUAUUAUUUUCAAUGUGAACAAAUAUGAUUGAAUUAUGAAGUAUUUGGCCAGAAGAGGAUCUUGCCUAAUUAUAGUCAUUAAACAACCAUUUAUACCAUAGCCUCUAGACUUUAAAAAGUUUAUAAAACUCAAGGGCUUCCACCCAAUUUCUAGAUAUCUCCAUAACAUUCUUCUGACUAUUAGAAAGCAAUUACCACUUUAAUUUUUCAUUUCAUGAGUGUUCAAUUCAGAAAAAGACCAGGAUCGAACUUGCGAUCAUGCAGUCGAAAAUCCACCUGUGCAUGAAACUAUUGCCUCACGAUUGCAAACUCAAGUUGGAGUCCAGUAACAACUCUAGGUUUGCUGAUGUGCUCCAUUUGAAAUAAAGGAACUAAAGAAUACUUUAUAAAGAUUAAUUACCUUCAUAUUUUAGGUUGGGGUUAAGGCAAAAUGUGAUAGAUUGAGAGGAAGAAAAUAUAUCUUGUUCAGGAAGCCAAUAUUUUGGAGUUCACCUUUCCAUUCGAGUCCACUCUGCUAUAGCAAAAUCAGAGUCACAACUAUGCCUCUUUAAGCUAUCCUUUAAUUGGAUGAAUUGCAGAUUUGGUUGCUGAGAAAGUGGAUAAGAAAGAAAAAUGCAUACUGUAGCUUGAGAUUAAGAGUUUGUUUUCUAAAAUGAGAGAAAGGGAAAGAGAAAAAAUGCAUAUUGUAGCUUGAGAUUAAGGGUUUGUUUUCUAAAAUGAGAGAAAGGGGAAGAGAAAUGUUCGACAACUUUGAGAUGACAAAUUUUUAGAUUUGGAAAAUUUGAGAUGAGUCUCAGGUUUUUUUUUUUUUUUUUUUGUCUUUGUCUUUGUUUUUUUUUUUUUUUUUUGUUUUUUUCCCAAAAACAACCUGUUAAUGUGGUUGUUGACAUAGAAGUGGGUGAGGGCAAAAUGGGCAUAGAAAAAAGAGUCAACACAAAGUGCACAAAACCCAUAUUAUUUUCCACAUUAAUGACUGAUUCUCAUAUUUCUUGUUCUUGGGAUUUGAAAACCAUAUUAUUUGCAAAUGGACCUCCCAAAGCACAGGUUUCCCUUAGUUUUAUGUCUCCAUCUACAUUUUACAUAUAAAUAGAUUAUUUUAUAAAAUUUGUUUUGUAGAUAUAUUAGUUAAUAAUUAUAUAAUUAAUGAUAUAGAAAACAUAUAAAAAUCAUAUUUAAAAAAGAUAAUUACAUAUUCCUCAACAAUCCAUCCCAAGAAUUCGAGGUUGAGUUGAAAACAUGUAGAGUCUUUGAUGUUAUUAUAAUCAUAUCCAACACAUAUGAUUAUUGUUUAUGAGAUAUUAUUAGAAAGUUUGUCUUAAAAUAAUUGAUUUAUUACCCACCUUUAGCAAAUGCCCAUUUUUGCGUCUUUCAAAAUUUUCAUUUUUUUUUUGUUUAAAAGAAGUAUUGUAAAGAAUGAUGAAAUAAGAAAUUUGUUGAGAAAGUGUGAGUAAAUAAUUUUACAUAAAAAGAGAUUUAAUACUUGAUAAAUAAAAUAAUAAAAUCAUGAUUUCUAGUUGUAUAGGGCCGGGUGGAUGGAGUGGCUAAGAUGUAAUUCUUGAAAUAGAGGAGACAACAUCAAUGUAUAAAAGUUUAACAGAGAAGGAAAGUGUGUUUGAAUGACUUUAUUUUCUUCAUUUAAAGUUUUGACGAUGAGUGUUUAUACAAGAUAAAUUUUCAAAUGAUAGGACUCCUAUUUACAUGGAGUUUGUGAUAUACUAUGAUUAUACAAAUUUAAAAUUCAAACAGAUUCAUGAGUUGAUAGGAGUCUGCUCAAUACGCCCCUUCAAAAUGGUGGGAGAUAGCACACCAAUCUUGACUCGAAGGGCCUAAACUCGUGCAGAAGAUGAGGGCUUUGUUAGAGCAUCGACAAGUUGAUCCGUGGUUGACAUAUGGGACACCUUGAGCUCACCUGAUUAAACCUUGUUUCAAACAAAAUGAAAAUCAAUCGCCGAUGUGUUUCAUGGAGAGUGAAACAUGGGAUUUGCACAAAGAUAUGUUGCACCCACGUUAUCACAAGAGAUAGGAGGUGGUGAUAAAUUUGAAACACUAAGUUUUGAGAGAAGAGAAUUAACCCAAAGAACCUUUGAGGCUGUAGAGGCCACGACGUGAUAUUUCGCUUCAGUGGAAGAGCGUGCUAUGAACUUUUGUUUCCUCGAUGACCAAUACACAAGAUUGUGACCAAGAAAAACAAUGGGAGCAUUGGUGGAGGAUCUGACAUAAGGAUUCCUUGCCCAUUCAACAUUCGAAUAUGCAUGUAGAUUGAUGGGCGAUUUCUUAUGCAAGAACAGACCAUGCACCAUUGUGCCGACUAAGUAUCUAAGCAAUCUUUUAACACAAGACCAAUGUGUUGAUGUUGGAUGGUGCAUAAAUUGAGAUAAUUUAUUCAUCAAGAAGGUGAUGUCAGGGCUAGUAAGAGAGAAGUAUUGAAGGCUUCCAACAAUUGACAUAUAUUUAGUGGGACCAGGAAAAGAGGUGUCAUCACACAGAUUUGGAACAUUGUUGAGGAACAUCAAUGAUUGAACUGGUUUGGUAGCCACCAUUUGUGUUUUCUUAAGAAGCUCUCGAAUGUACUUGAGAUAAAAAUAAUCCUUUGGAAGUAUGUAUCAUUUCAACACCAAGAAUAAAAGAUGAAGUCCUGAGAUCCUUAAUGGAGAAUUUGACUGCUAAUUGAGAGAUCACGCGAGCACGAAAAACAUUAUUGUUACUUGUUAAAAUAAGAUCAUCAAUAUAAAUAAGUAGGUAAACAAUGAGACCACUCUUUUUAAAAAUGAAGAGGGAUGUCUCGGUUUAGGAGUUGACGAAGGCUAUUGAGAGGAGAAAUUGGCAAAGUUCAUGAUACCAUGAUCGUGGAGCUUGUUUAAAGCCAUAAAAAGCCUUACAAAGUUGGCAAAUGUGAUGAUGUGUGUAUUCGUGAACCCAGGAGGUUGAAUCAUGUAAACAUCUUCAUGAAGUGUCCUAUGCUAGAAUGCAUUAUUAAUGUCCAAUUCAUGAGUUGAUAGGAGUCUGCUCAAUACAAUGUGGGAGUGUGAUUUCAAAAUUAGGGUAAUUUCGAAAUGGAUUUUGUAUUCACAAGUUGAAUUUCAAAAUUAUUUUGAAAUGGUCUUUUAACUUUAAGCAGUUGUGUUCAAAAGGUCAUAACUUCUUCGUUUCAAUUUUGAUUUACACAUUGUUUAAAACAUUGGACUCUUUACUUCCCGAGCUUCAAAACGAUAUAUAGUAUGCUCAAAAAUGACAUCAGGAUUGGUUCAAAUUUCAUCUUGAUAUUAGAGUACAUGUUGUGAUUAGAUUUUGAGUUCCAAAUUUCCAUGUAAACUUGAUUGCAUUUGCUUCAAACCUCCUUCAUUAUGGUUGCUUGCCCUCUAUCUCACUUUGCAACAUUUGUUACUAGUAUUUUAUGUCCAUGACUUACUCAUUUCAACCUUUCUUGGAUUCUUCAUGGUUCACAAAUUAUGGAUUCUUCAUGGUUCACAAAUUGAGUCUUUCAAUUAUGCAUGUUUAACUCCUAUUUCCUUGGUUGAUAAUGACUUUUACACUUAUCAUUUUCUUUUAUUCUUUAAACCUGAAUUUAGACUUACAAAAAAAAGUUAGAUCCAUAACUAGGGUCUUAGCAUCAAUUUGAGUUAAGUUGGAUGAUUUGAAAAUUUUAUAUUACAUAAAUCAUAUCAUACAUGUGCCAUUGGAGUGCACAUUUUGGCUCUAAUCAUGUUCCAACCCAUUGUUUUACUCUUGCAUGAAGUAUGUGGCCAUUGAUUUUAAUUUUAUUUGCGAUUAGGUUCAAAAUGGUGCUUUUGUGUUGCUCAUGUGUCAUCAGAAGAUCAACUAAUGGAUUCUCUAACAAAACUACUACAUCAUAGUCAUUUUUUUUUUUCUUAAGACCAAGAUUGAGAUCUCCAAUCGGAGCCAACUCCAUCUUGGGGGCAUGUUAGUGAAAGAUAAAAUUUAUCUUUAAUUUAAAUAUUAAUAUUUAUCAGUUAUUAGUUUUAAUUAGAGUAAAAGAUAGAGUUUAAAUUGGAGUAGGAGAUAAACUUGUGUUUGAACUAGAAUAGAAGAUAAAGUAUAAAGAUUUAUGUUUGAAUUAGAAUAAAAUAUAAAGUUUGAAUUAGAGUAGAAGAUAAACUUGUUCUUUAUUUGUAUAUAAAUAUUCAUCAAUUCUUGAGAAGAAGAUUAUUUCAUAGUUUUUCUAUCUUCUUUUUUCUUCAUACAUAUCUGCAAGAAAUUGAAGAUUUCAAGUAAAAUAUUUUCUGUUUUAAAUAGUGAAAAAAGCUAGAAAUUCACUUUGUUAUCUCUUGGGGUAAAUUGACAAGGUUUAACGUUAAGAAGGUGAAUUAUUUUUUCAGAAAAACUGAAGUAGCUAGGAUAUCUGGCCAGUUGUGAUCGAUAAAAAAGUUGUAAAAUCUCUCAUAUACUAAACAGGUUUUGGAUGUUGGUAUGGUAAAUCCAUCUGCAGUCAUUCGUCAUCUCAUCUAGUGAGAUGUUUGGGAGGUGGUGACCGCCGGAUUGGGUUUCAUUUGGUUAAAUCUGUCAGUGGGUUGGCUACUACCCGAGCCUCUUGCUUUGGGGGAGGUGGGUUCUAGAUAUAAUGUUCAAACCAUUUUAGUUAUCAUAUGCAUGACAUGUAAGCAUAAUCUCUUUAUCACUUCUUCAAUGGGAGUUCAUGGUUAGGAAUUGACUUCUUUUCUUCUGGGAUGCUUGGCAUGUAAUGGACAAAGUUACUUUUAUAUCGAUCGAAUUUCUAGUAUUAUAGUGAAGACUUACCCUUUUGACAUUUUAUAUCGAAUUAUAGAAGAUGAAAGGGACAUACAUGCAAUCGACUGACGCUUUAGUGAAUAUGCUGAAAAUAUGCUGAUGCUGUGGAGAUCGUAUGAGGACAGAGGAAAAAGAUAGAAAUGGAUAUAUAAUUAGACCUAGGUUUUUAUUAAAUGAGAUGGGGAACAUAGAGUGAGGGAAAAUCAAAAUUUUUGGCUGCAGUUCACAUUGGUGAUAUUUUGGAUUGACAAAGACUAACGACUUUUCUAUUUUUCUUUUCGGCCUGACUGGAUAGUUGGACAUGGACAAUACAGAAUCCACAGAAGGAUUGUUGGGACCGCUGAAAAUUAGCUAGAAGAAGCUGAGGAAGUAGUCUACGUAGUCAAAUACCAAACACAAAGAAAGAAAGAAAUGGAUAUCAUGGAUGCCUAGAGUUAUACUCCUAAUACCGUCACAGGUAUUUUUCUUUCCUCCUUUUUUUUUCUACGAUAAUUAGAGCAUUUCUCCUCCUCCUCCUCCUCCUCCCCCCACCCCACCACCAAAAAAUAAAAAAAUAAAUUAUUGCAAGUAACACUUCAAAUAUUAAUUUAUACAUUCUAAAGUAUAUAUUCAUGAAAUAACUUGAGUAUCAUACAUUAGUUCUCAAAAAAAAAAAAAAAAAAAAAAAAAAAUUACUGGAAGAGAAAAGUUUAAGAAAACAUAAAAAUAUUCAACUACUAUUUUAAAGAGAAAAUUUAAUUUUUACACUAUAAAUUUGAAGAGAACUUUUACAUGCAUCUUAUAUAAACUACCAUUUUUUGCUAAAAGGCUUAAAUUUGUCAAAAAUACCCCUUAGGUGCUUAACGUUCUGGUCAUAAUAUAAUUGGCAUCUUUUCUCAAACAUAAGGCCUGUGUGUGGGAACAAGAUUUAAUGUUAAUGAGCUUCGCCACCGACAUUUAGUUCCAGAAAUCAUUAUUUUAAUAGAGUGGGCUCAAUUUACAACUUUAAUUAAACUCUAACCAACUGCAUUGUGAAAUGAAUAUGUUUCUUUCGUGGUGAAUCCAAUGAGUUGGGAGUCAAACUUUGCUUCAUUGUGUAUAGAUGAAAUGUUAAGACUCCAUGUAACCUCAAACAUUUCCGCAAUNNNNNNNNNNNNNNNNNNNNNNNNNNNNNNNNNNNNNNNNNNNNNNNNNNNNNNNNNNNNNNNNNNNNNNNNNNNNNNNNNNNNNNNNNNNNNNNNNNNNUUCUUUCGUGGUGAAUCCAAUGAGUUGGAGUCAAACUUGCUUCAUUGUGUAUAGAUGAAAUGUUAAGACUCCAUGUAACUCAAACAUUUCCGCAAUGAGCGGGAGUUCUAAAUUUAAUAAUUGAAAUUGUCAGUGGAACCAGUGGACAAGAGUUGGUUUGUGGUUGACAAACUUAUCCGUUUGAUCUUUACUUGAACAGUUCCAGUGUGUGGAUGGGUACUGAUGAAGUGUGCGCAUUUAUUUUGAGAAGCCUGCUUGUUCGCAUAGAUUUUAACGACAUGAACAUUGUGGUAAGGUUAGAGAGUAAUGCGAAUGUAGGAGCUUAUAUUAGAAAUGACACAAACACGUAAAUAGAAGUAAUCUAUAUAUGAUAUUACUCAUGGACUACAAGCAAAGAAGUACAAUACAUGGAGUAAGUGAUGAAAUGAGCAUUCCUCACUACUACUGCUUGACUGAUGGAACAUGAUGCACGAGAUAGCAUAAGUAGUAGUAGGAAGCAGCUCUUAUUUGUGGCGUCGGUAUACAUCAUACUAGGUAGAUGGUUCAAUUGGCAUGGAUGGGUGGUGGAGCCUUGAAGUGCUUGUGAUGGGGAGCCCACGGCUUCUUCUCAGGAGUUGGUGGCUUCUUGUAUGGAGUUGAUGGAGGUGUUUCUACUGGAGGGUGGCCAGGGUAGUGACCCUGGGGUGGUGAAGGUUCUUUUGUCGGUGGUGGCCUCACUAUUAUUGGCGGUAGAGUUGGUGGCUUGGGCGUUGGCGGUGGUCUCACUACUCUUGGGGGUAGAGUUGGUGUCUUGUGUUUUGGUGGUGGAGGUGGCUUAACAGGAGUUGGUGGCUUGUAUUCUGGGGGUGGUUUCUCCACCGGAGGUGGCUUAUAAACUGGAGUUGGUGGCUUGUAUUCUGGGGGUGGCUUCUCCACUGGUGGUGGCCUGUAAACAGGGGUUGGUGGCUUAUAUUCUGGGGGAGGCUUCUCCACUGGAGGCGACUUAUAAACAGGGGUUGGUGGCUUGUAUUCCGGGGGUGGCUUCUCUACGGGAGGUGGCCUGUAAACAGGGGUUGGUGGCUUCUCCACCGGAGGUGGCUUAUAAACGGGGGUUGGUGGCUUGUAUUCUGGGGGUGGUUUCCCCAGUGGUGGAGACUUGUAAACAGGAAGAGGUGGUUUGUGCUCAUAUGGGGGUGGCUUGUGGUCAUUAGCAAGUGAGGGAGUGGUGAGGACCACCAAUCCAAGGAACAACACGAGUGAGCAAGCAGAAGACAUGUUUGGGCUCUGGUGAUGCACAAGUAGAAGAAAUGGGAACCAUUUAUAAUGCUUCGAGACCUUGGUUAGCACCAAAAUAUGUCAAAAUCUUGAUUACUUCAUUUCAUACAUAGAUUUAAAAUUAUUUCAAUCAACCAUGAUCCUUAAUUUUCUGGGUGGUCCAUAAAUGUAAUGGGGUCAAUUUGGGACCUAACAAGCUGAGAAGUUUGACAAUGCUGCAAGGCUUCAUCCGAAAGUCCGGGGAAGAAUAUUAGGAGUUACACUCCGUUUCCUUUUUUGGGUGCAUUUUUCUCCUUUAACAUUCUAUUCCCUUUUACAUUAGCAUUUGAUCUUAGCUCAUUUCAAGUACAAGUUUCUUGAACCCUAUACCAUUGUCAAAGUUGAGUAACCAUCUCUACUUUGCUCAAGAAACAUAAAAGACAAUGACAAUAAAGAAAAAGGAGAGAGACCAUACGUGACUUGGUUUAUAGGUGGCUUUGUGUUGACAUUUGAGUAUGGAAGCCGACAUGCAUCUUAGCUUCGAUUUUAAUUAAAUUUGUACAUUAGUGUCUGUGUCAUUCAUUUUGGUAUAAAAGGUCUCUUGAUUUCGUAAGUUUGGUAAGAACCGUUGAAAAUAGCAGUAGCAGCACAUGGUCCACUUUCUUUCACAAAAUAAUUUUAAAAGUUUAGAAGCAUAGGAGGUAACAUUAGUGGCCUUGUGGCUCAGCCACGAGUACUAUGUGGUGCUCGAGAAAUUGAGUUUAAUUUCCUUCCGAUAGUUCAUGAUAAGGUCCGUCACUGUCCUGAGACAGAUUGCGUUUUUUCUUUUUUCCUUUUUUAGUGUUUUAUUGACUAGCUAGGUGUGACUUUUCCUACUUUAAGGCACGAGGCAGAAAAGAAACUGGGAUUUAGUGCUUAAGAAGGCAAAUUUAAUUCGAUUUGGAUCUAAAAUUUGCCAGCAACAUGAGAUUUUCCAGCCUAUCGUUGCUCCACAUAUAGACAAGGCACUUGUAGAAGUGGCUUGUUUGUAGCCAUUCCCGAUAUUUGGACUCACUUGAUUCACCGGACACUUUGAUAAAAUUUAAUAUUUAUUAUUUAAUAAUUUAAAUUGAUUUAAAAUUAAAUUAUACCGAAGUUGUGAUUUAAAAAUUAUUAUUUAAUUCUUACUUUUAAAUAUGAAGAUUAUUUGAUAAAAAUAAUUUAAAAUUUAUUAUAAAUUAUCAAAUUAACAUAUUUAUCCUUAUAAAUUAUAAUUAAAACAGAAAAGGUCAAAUGAUUUGAGUAUCCAUAGAUGUGGUAAAAUAAUAAAAAAGAUUAUAAAAACAAUUAUGAUAAAUAAAGAUAAAAAGUAAAAUGAAUAUGUGAAUUUAAAGAAUAAAUUAAUUAUUUUUAUUUAUUACUUAAAAUUAUUUUUGACUUUAAAUUAUAUUAUUAAAUUAUUUUACCAAACAUACUUAAUUUAGUUAAUAAUUUAAAUUUAAUUUAAGUUAUUAAAUUGAUUCACCAAAUACCCACUUAAUCAAAGACUGAAGUAUACAUUAUUUGGCCAAAUGCAGCUAUUGAAAUUUAACUUUUUCCAAACUUAUUCAUUUUGUGGAAAUAUUUUUAGAAAUGAUUUUAAAAAUGCACUAUUCUGUGUGUUGAUUUUAUAUUUUGGCAUUAAUCCAACAUAGAAAACGGUUCUUAUUUUCGCUGUUAAAUAGGUACCAGAUCCUUAAUUAGUGCCGUGAAUCCGGCAGCUUCCAAUGAGUAAUUUGGACUUGGGUAUUGACAAUGUGUGGCCAUGCUUCUACUAUUUUAUUAUUCUUGAAACAUAUAUGAUAUAUUGGACUUUAUACAGGGAAAAAAAAAAAAAAAAGUCUUCACCAAAAAUGAUUCCUCCUAAAAAAUAGACUCCACAAACUAGGUUUAACAGGAAAAUGAUUCUAAUCUAGUAGUUUCCAGCCACAUGAGCAUUUACGUAACAAUAGUAUAGUUGAUAACGACUUUUAUUUUAUUUAUUUUUAAAUAGUUAAAGGGAUAAUUUUUGAGCUUAAAUUUUAUUUUUUUAUUUAGAAACAUUUUACUUUAUUUUUUAAUCAUAAUUCUAUUAUAUUAAUGUUUUAUUUUCUAUUUUUUAAUAUAUAAGGAGAUACUAAAUUUAUGUGAUUAUUUUUUAAAAAUUUAGUAUAUGAAAUUAAAUAAUUGGAUAUAUAUACAUAUAUCAUAUAAUGUUUUUUAAGUGUGAUUUUUGAACUUUUUAGUCAUUUUAUAAGUUUAAGCUUUUGAUUUUUUUUUUUAAACUUUGGUAUUUUUUAUUUUAUAUAAAACUAUUUUGAUUUAAUUUUAUUAAAAAAUAUUGGUAUUAUAAAUUAUUGUAUUAAUUAUUUUUUUAUAUUAUAAUGUAACUGGUAUAUACUAAAAAAUGUAUGCAAGUUCAAUUUAAGUUUCAAAUUAAAAAAUUUCAUUUAAAUAUUUAAUAACUUGUUCAUAAUAAAAAAUUAAACAACAUAAUACAAAUGAAAAGAAACAUAAAAGAAAAAGGAAAAAAUGGUCCUCUCUGUGUGUCACAUUACUAGGUCAUCCUCUUUUUCUAUGACCCUUACAAUAGAAUGGCAUAUUUGUCAAAUCUACUUAUGAAAGUUGGAAUGUUUCUACAUGUGUAGGGUCCAUUGGAACUAAUGGAGGAAAGGCUUAACGUCUAUGUAAAUCACAACGUUGCCUAGGUGGGCAUAGAUCUAGUUGUGUAACAUGAGAUGGUGUGAGAGUACAAUAUAUGCAUUGUAGUCUCUAUGGGAAGAGAGAUAGGUAAUGGUAGGGUGGUAGACGGUAGGGUGAUCUCUAAUAUAAUGACAUUUGAUGUGGUGGCUUCUAAGAGAGGAGAUAUAAGAGAUGGUAGAAUGACAUUUGGUGUAAUGGUCUCUAGUGCAAUGACAUGUGAUAUGGUGACCUAUAAAGAAGAGAUAUAGGUGAUGGUGAAGUGGUAUGUGGUGUAGUGACCUUUGAGAUAGAAAAUAGAGGUAAUGGUAGGUUGGCAGGUGGAGUGGUCUUUGGUGUAGUGACAUCAAUUAUAAAUGUCUCCAAGGGAGGAAAUAAAGGUGAUGGUAGGUAGUAAAUGUUGAGGUGGUCUUUGAUAUGUUAUGCUCUAAGAGAGAAGGUAUAGGUAAUGAUAAUAGGGAAUUUGACAUAGUGGUGUUGGAAAUAAAAAGUGAAAGUGACCGUAGAGGUGAAAGGGCAAGUGUAAAAGCCUCAAGUACGAAUGGAGUAAUUAAUGUGGAUGGUGCUAACAUAGUCUUAGGUGGAUACACAAAUAGUCAUAGUCAUCAACUAGCUUGCCCACCAUCUGUCUUUCUGCUAGUGAUAGGUUACAUCUUAAUAGUAAUGGCCAACAUAAGUGGUGUGGAUCCGAUUUUUUUACGUGUGUCCCCACUCAAUCGACAAGACUUAUUUUUUAUUAGUGAAAAAUUAAUUUUGGAAAAGUUGGAGUCACCACUUAUUUUAUUUUAUUUUAAAAAGGAAAGUAAAACAAGAAAGAGAACUCUAAAGAAGUGACUUCAUAGUUUUGGAAAAGUUAGUCUUAAAAAAUCCAAGUCUUGGUCCGGAGAUCAGGUUACUUAUUGGGAAGAUACCUCUAAGAGGUAAUACCCCUCUAAACCCUAAAGAAGUCUCUAAUGACUAAGUUGAGGAGAAUGUGGUAAUUAAUUAAUUGAUUGAGGGUACCUAGGUAGACUAAGGUGAUUUCAGAAUUAACAUACCAAGCUAGAAAGUCCAAUCAUGAUCAUAAAAGAGAGUCAAAGUAUGUACCUGAACUGCUUCUCAAACGCUAUCAUAAAACAUCAAAGUUAGUAUAGAAAUAUAACACAUAAUAUUUGUUUUAUCCAAGCAAAUAAAGCAUACAUCUAAGCACCCAAGAAUCACAUCAAGUAUGGAUAUAGUCAUCAAUAGCAUACGUGUCCAUAGAACUAUCGAAAGUAAAUGUGGAGGAGCGUAUCUGGACAACAUAGAUAACUUAUAAUGUGCUUCCACAAGACAUGGGGGUUAGAUAAAAGUUAUAAUAAUAAUUAGUAAAUGAAAGAAUUCUAGCAUGUUUGGUAUCUAAAUAACAUAGCAAAAAUGAACAAGAGUACACGAAAACAUCAAUUAUCACACGAGUCAUAUUGGCUAGUAUUUAAUCAAUAAACCAACAAUAAAUGACUAUAAACAUAUAAAAUGACAUAUUCAAAGAGACCCAAACAUAAAGAGCCUAGAACACAAGCUUACACUAAAUUUAGAAAACUAAAACAUGGAAUUUUAAAAGCAUAAAUUAGCAAACAAAUUGAUGGAAACUAAAUUUAGAUAACUUAAGAAUAUUUUUCUUAUCCUUCAAUUUAAAUCAGUAAGCCAACAAUAAAAAAUUAUAGAAACAUGGAAUAUCAAGAUCAAUGGGAUACCUAAACUAUAAUUUUUAAAAGAAAAUAAACUAAGCAUAAUAUCUACAAAGCAACUAAACUAACAUUUUUUUAAAAAUAAAUUAAACAUGACAUUAAUGGAGUAACCAAACUAAAUUAAAGUAAACUAAAAACAUUUAUGAAUUUUCAAACAUGGAAUCAGCUUUCUUAGUAAAUUAAAAUUAUUAAAAUAAAAUCUAAGCUUAAAAAUGAAUUAAAUACUAACUAAAGCAAAUCUAAAACCAAAUAUUUAACACAUAGGAUCAAUUAUAUUAACAAACUAAAAUUUUAUAAGAACACUUAAACCUAAAGUUGAAUUAAAAACUAACCAAUUUUUAAAACUAGAUCUUUAACCCAUAGGAUCAAUUAUAUUAACAAAUAAAUAAUAAAUAAUAAAUAAAUAAAACUCAAACCUAAAGAUGAACUAGAAAUGUACCAAAGUAAAUUCAAAACAAGAUCUUUAACACAUUAGAUCAAUUAUAUUGACUAACUAAAAAAAAAAAAAAAAAACACUCAAACCUGAAACGAUGUAUUAGAAACUAACCAAAGCAAAUUUAAAAUAGAGUCUUUAACACAUAGGAUCAAUUAUAAUCACUAACUUAAAUUACAAUUUUUGAAACAUGAACUAAUUAGUGUUGGAUUAAUUAAACUAAUUAACUAAAAAAAACUAUAAACUAGAAUACGGUGAAUCAAGAAUUCAAAUCAACAAACAUAAAAUAUGGGUACAAUGAAAUGAAAAUCUAUUAAACUAAUAAGACGGAAAUAUGACAAACUCAUGAACCCACAUUUUGAUCAACUAGGAAAUAGAAAUUAAUAGACCUGUAGCAUGGAUACAAUGAAAUGAGAUCAGUUAAAUUUAUUUGCCGAAAUUCUAAAAAACACAUACACUCAAAUAAGAUCUAAAUCUAAGACCAAGCAAAACUCAAACUUUCUCAAUCUAAUGCAAUGAAUCAAAACUAAAAUUAAAUAGAAAUCAAACCAUUUUUUUUUUAUCUAAUAUAAUAAAUCAAAGCUAAAACUAAACAAAAUCGAAUUUUCUUAAUUUAAUAUGAUGAGUCAAAGCUAAAAUUGAACAAAGUUCAAACCUUUAUAUAAUGGAUCAAAGUUAAAUCUAAAUGAAAUCCAUACUUCCACAAUUUGAUAUAACAAAUCAAAAAUAAAACUAGAUAAAAAAAAAGUCAAAGCCUUUCAACUUGACAUAGUGAAUCCAAACUGAAACGAAACAAAAUUUUAACUUUUCCAAUGAAACCCAAUAUAGAAAAAAUUAGCUUACCUUCUUUAGAAUAUAUGUAUGGGCCAUAAAGAAGUCACCUUGGUGCAUGUGUUCCUCACUUUGACGCCAAUGGACGACUUUCUAUGGUAGCAAAUGGAGAUCCUUUUUGGUGGUAACUUGCGUGUGGAAACCUAUGGUACAACCAAUGUCAUCUUUUAUUGUGCGUGUGGACCAAUUUCUUCUCGAGAACUCAUGUGUGUUGUGCUCAAAAUAUGUUGCCUGUGAGAAUCUAUUGGUAUACCCCACAUAUGGUUUCCUUGAGAGAAUCUGUGGUUGUGUGUGGGCGUUUUCUUCAUGACAGCAUGUGGAUGUUCCCAUCUAUGGUAGAUUGGUUGUGAUGCUUUAGUGCAUGGUCUCCAUAGGAAUAGUGUGUUAUGGAAAUUUGGUUUUUUUAUUGGUGCAUGUUGUCUAGACUUUCCCAUAUGCGUGGACUGUGUGUUCAUGCUUUUCUUUUCGGAUGGUCGCCUGUGUUAAUGUGUGGCGGUGUCUACAAUGAAAGAUACAACCCUUUCUCUCCUUCUGCGUGAUAGAAAAGUCAAUCCCCCAUGGUGCGACUAUGUUCCCUCGUCCUUUUUGAAAAAUUUUGGUGUUUUCCCCCCAAAAAAUCCCCUCCAAAAAUCUAAUUAUAAAUGUCUGCUUUGGCCUAAUGUGUGUGCUACUUUUUUUUUCCUUCUUUUUAUGGUUGUGCGUGCUUUUCUUGAUACGUGGCUUAUUUCUUAAGGAUAUGAUUCGCUCCCAAUUGGUGUCUCAGCUGAUUCAUGUCCUUUCAAUGGUCCCUGACAGUGGUGCCAUUUGAUUCGUGUCCAGCUGGUGUCCCUUGAUUGUGGUCCUCAGAAGGGAGUAAUCAAUAAAAUUUAUAACCUAUUACACCAUGUAUUAGGAUAGCCUUAGCUAGCAUAGCAUAGUGGCUCUAGGGUCGUUUAUUGGGAUGAGUUUUCACUUCACAAUUGAUAUUAAUUCAAGAGCUGAAUUGGUGCCUUUUCAUUUCAAGGUUAGCUUUAAAAGAAAACAUAAUCUUUGGUGGAAAAAGGUUUGGUUUUAAACUAACCAAAAAUAGUAACUGAUUUUACUUACAAAGAAAAGUGUUCUUUGGAGUUUAGAUCACUAGGCUCAGGUUCCUCAUACAAAAAGGAGAGUUCCGAUCAUUUGUUUCUUUUCCUCGCAUUAGAGAAUUAACAUAUAGUUAAUUCUCUAACCGGUGCGGUACAUAUGCUUCCCAUUAAUGGGUUCAAACACUAAAUACCUCUCACUGAUGCACCUUGCAAUGGCUCGUGCCUCUCACCUAGCAUUUAUCAUUCAAGGUGAUCUUUAACCUUGGAUUACCCAUCAAAAGCUCGCAAGAGAUAACUAAAGGAUGUCUCCUUAGAGUCCAAAAGCUUACCAAGUGUUGGUUAUUCUAGAAAAUCCUACCUUCAAACCACCUCCCAAAGGCUCGCAAGAGAUAAACAAGUGCAUCUCAAUGGAUGAAGAUCACUUGCCUUACCAAGUUUUGGCCCAGAUGAUUUAAUGACAUUUUAAGUUAACUAAAAAGAUAAAAACCAUUAACGGGUCACACUUUCUCUUCAUUAAAAACUAAAACAACAAAACUUCCAAUUUAUGCAUGAGGAAACUUACCUGGCUUUCUUCACUUCAAGAGAUGAAGAGCCUAGCCACUCAUCAUUUGAGGAAAAAUCCUCAGAGUUUGAUUUGCUAGAAAUAAAAAUAAUGAGAAAACAAAAAUAUAUAUAUGAAAAACAGAGCAAGUUCUCUGUAAUAUAUUUUUCUUCCUUAUACAAAAGGUUGUCUCUAAGAACAAGUUCCCGAGAUCUAUCUGAUUGUAAAUAAAAUUACAACUAUAUAUAAGAGGUUAUUCACCCCUUUGUUCUUUCUUAAAGACUAAGGAAUCCUAUGAUAGGUGGGUUACAAGGAGAGUUUGGGGAUUUAGACAUCAAAUAUCUAAAGCAAAAUAUCUCAAGAUGUUAGUCGGAAAUAUCAGGAAGCUUCAGGAGAACACCGCGACACUGUAUACUGAGAGAAAAACUCUCCGGGUAAGCUCUAUCAAAGGAUCCAGACAUGUCUGACUGGGAAAGUUGAAACGUCCUUCUCUCCCAUCCGGAUGUGAGAUAUCCGGAGAAAGUGAAAUGUCGGUCGGACAGAAUUCUUUCCCCGGGUGGAAUGAGUUGUGUUGCGCGUCGCAAGGGGGACCGUCUGCGUGUACAAGUUGUAGGGACCCCUCUCCCGGAUGACACCGAGCGCGUAAGGCUAUCCGGAUCAACUCCAUUCGGAUUCCCCAAGAGGACAUGUGGCGUGCUCCCCUAUCAGGACUCCCUUAGGGAGAAGCACACGACACUCGUGAACAUCAUACCCGGACGAUAGCAUGUCCUAUCCGGAUGUGUUGUCCGGAUCAUUGACUAAAGUGAGCAAGCCUUGCUACGUCAUUCGGACAGCUUGCCACAUACCAUGUUCCGUCGCCAUCUGAUGGUGUGUCCGAACGCCUUGUCCGGACAUCUUUUGCUCCUUGCAUUCCGGAUUUGCUUAUGACAAAGGACUUCAAAGCUUCGGUUCUUCAUGUUUCUGAGCUUUCCAUUGCUUUGCCAUGGAUUCCAAAGAACUCUCCUUAAUCACGGAUUGCUUUGGUGAUCAAAAAGUUAUCAAAACACAAAAACUUAACAUAGUUUGAUUAGAAUUGAUUGCAAGGGUUCUUAAUAUGUUAAUUGGGUUAAAAGGUGAUAACUACUACUCAAAAGUGUUUAUAAGAAUUAAUUACAAGCUAUGAAAUAACACUUUUUGAGUAGUAAUCAGGAUACAUCCUAGUUUUUCAUGGAAUUGAUAGUGGGUUGUUGUGCAUGAAUGCCACCAUUUCAACUAUGCUGUUGUUAUUUUUAAAAAAAAUAUGGAUUAUGCGCGAGUGGCAAUUCUCCACUAUGGAAAGUGGAUUGCUCCUUCAACCCAUGCAUGGCUACGUAUUCCUAUGUCUUUCUACUUGUGUUUGAUCCUCCAAAAAAAAUUUCGGUUUAGUGCUAGUAGAUUUUAAGUGGUGGAUCCCCAUUUUUUGAAAAUGAAGUGGCAGCCUCCCAUUUCAAGACAAAAUGGUAGCCUGCCUUUAAUCUUUGGAGAAAAAUCUGUGCAUGACCUUUUUUUUUCCCAAAAAAUCCGUGCAUGGUGUCCUUUAAUAUUUGGAGAAAAAUCUAUGUUGGAUCUUUUCUUUUCUAGAAACAUUUGUGUGGUCUUUUUUGUUAGCCCAAGGGUUCUUCUAAUCAAGUUUUGAUGAUAACAAACCAUGGUUAAGUGACUAAUUGGUUUAAUGAUUAAGAAUCUCAAACAUAAAAUCGAAAAUUCAUCAAAGGACCAAAUGGAUACAAGAUCGAGACGCUUGGAAGACUUGUAAUCAUAGGAAACUAAUGUAAGAUGAAUGCAUGAGUGCACUUAGGAUUUUCACACGUUUCAUGCAACUUAGAAAACCCAGUUUAUUCUUUAAAACUUCAUCCCAGUUUAUUCUUUUUAUGGUUGUGUGUGCUUUCCUUGAUACGUGGCUUAUUUAUUAAGGAUACAUCCCAGUUUUUCAUGGAAUUGACAGUGGGUUGUUGUGUGUGAAUGCCACCAUUUCAACUGUGCUGUUGUUAUUUAAAAAAAAAAAAAAUGGAUUGUGCGCGAGUGGCAAUUCUCCACUAUGGAAAGUGGAUUGCUCCUUCAACCCAUGCAUGGCUACGUAUUCCUAUGUCUUUCUGCUUGUGUGUGAUCCUCCAAAAAAAAUUUUGGUUUAGUGCUAGUAGAUUUUAAGUGGUGGAUCCCCUUUUUUUGAAAACUAAGUGGCAGCCUCCCAUUUCAAAACGAAGUGGUAGCCUGCCUUUAGUCUUUGGAGAAAAAUCUGUGCAUGACUUUUUUUUUCCCAAAAAAUCCAUGCAUGGUGUCCUUUAAUAUUUGGAGAAAAAUCUAUGUGGGAUCUUUUAUUUUCUAGAAAAAUUUGUGUGGUCUUUUUUGUUAGCCCAAGGGUUCUCCUAAUCAGGUUUUGAUGAUAACAAAUCAUGGUUAAGUGACUAAUUGGUUUAAUGAUUAAGAAUCUCAAACAUAAACUCGAAAAUUCAUCAAAUGACCAAAUGGAUACAAGAUCGAGACGCUUGGAAGACUUGUGAUCAUAGGAAACUAAUGUAAGAUGAAUGCAUGAGUGCACUUAGGAUUUUCACACGUUUCAUGCAAUUUAGAAAACCCAGUUUAUUCUUUAAAACUUCAAUUUCAUUAAAACCCGAGUUUUUAACUAAUGUACCUUAGGCAAAAUGUUUUAUAAUUGGCUUAAUAAUUCACCUAAAUACAUUUUCUAAGUGUUAGAAAAGAAAGGAAUUAAAAAAAGGUUUUCGGGGCAAAAAAGGCUCAACCGGUCGAGGCUAUGGUCAACCGGCUCAACCGGUUGAGGAACCAAUCGAUCGGUUGUGCUUGUCCGAUCGAAGACCAAUCGAGGGAUGCCAAAAAAUUUCUCUCUCUCCUAGUGGCCUUCUCUUCCCGGUCGAGGUUCGGUCUAGGCAACGGUAACAUGUCAAGCAUUAAAUGCUCCGACGACUAGUGAAUCGGUCGACCCCUAGCCCGAUCGGACGAGGUUGCCUUUUGCUGUUUUUGACUCCCGAGCUUAGAAACCUAUAAAUUGAGAGCUCCACUUCAUUUAUUGAUAAAAGAGAACACUUGCAUUCAAUAGUCUACCUACCUUUUCUUGAUCAAAAAGCUCUCAUUUCCUUCAUAGUGCAUUAAAUCAUCACUUGCAUAUCCUUUAGUGCACUAUUGUGUGUCAUCCUAGCUUUGUUUUGUAUUUGAGCUAUCCUUAAGCUAGGUUGAGGGAUUAUUUCUUAUAAAAAUCUGAGUGUUAAAGCCUUCAAGAGAUUUGAAUCUUGAAGAGAUUGUGUAAGAGCCCAUUGGAGCCGGAGUCCAAGUGUAAGAAGAUUGGAAGCUUGGUUGAAGCUUCAAGUUAGUGGAACCCUCACUCGGUUAGGAGGUUGAGGAGAGUGGACGUAGGUAAGGAAGUGUCGAACCAUUAUAAACCCGAGUUUGAAUUCUCUAACUCUAUCUCUUUAUUUUGCUUAUAUUGUGUUUGAAUUUGUUGUGAUUGAAAAGAUUUUAAAAACCUAAUUCACCCUCCCCCCUUUUGGGUUUUUUUUUCUUAAUUAAGCAUAACCUUUGUUUUCUAAUUUUCUUUUUAGGAAAAUCCAUGCGUGGUAUGUCCAAACUCUCCAAGUGGCAGUCUGCCUUCUUCUAAAAAAUUUGUUUCUAUUUCUUUAUUCGACUACCUUCCAUGUCUUCCUAAUGAGUGCUUGUGCUCAAUGGUCAAUCCCUGGUGGUUGCCUCCUUUUCCCAUAUAUACGUGUUGCAAAAUCAACAUCCCACUAUAUGUGGGUUGCCUCUAUGGCAAGUUCACAUUUCCCACAUGAAACCUAUGAGUUUCCACCAAAAAUUGCCAUGAAAAAGUCUUUAUAUGCAUCUCAUGCAAUAAAAAGUCAAGCCAAUACUCAUCUUAUCUCGAAAAAUAAGUAACCAAAAUCAAGAUCAUGCCUAAGUGAACUAUGCCAAAAGAAGUGUCCAAGUGACCUAUUAUGAAAAAAGUGCCUAAGUGACCUAAGGUGAAUGUGUGUAAGCUGGAAGGUGUCUAGGAUGUUUAGGACAAUGCCUAAGCCUAAAAUAGGGUUGCCAAGGGUCACAAUGGGGUUAGAUAAAUCUCUCAAUCAGAGUCUCCAAGGUGGCUCAUAAAAGAUAAGCUACACGAGUAAUGAUGGGCCACCAGGGAAUUAUUGUAAAGCACCAAACGAACACAUAAUAGGACAUGUGUUAGAAUGAAAAAAUGGAGGGUUUACAAGUGGUCUCAUGGAUGAGCUUGAUAAUUUAAAUGACUCACAUAAUGAACGUAUGUGAUGUUUCUCUCCAAUAACAAGCAAAACAUCACUAGCAAUAUGAUGAAUGUCUCCUAAAUCACUUGAAGUAGUCCUAGCAAAUCAAUUAGAAAAAUCACACAUAUUGCUCUAAUGUAAUAUUAUAUACAUCUGUCAAUGAAUGGGAGAACUAAUGACACAACCAUCAUGUUGAUAUCUCGAACCCUCUAAUCUCAUAUGUAGGUGGGAUCACACUUAGAAACUCAUAACACAGUAAUGACCAAUCUAAGUCAAAAUGUGUUGGUGAUCGGAGGCCCAUGAAUAUGAAGUUCUAGGAUGAUAAUGACAUCUUAUAAAGUAAUGAUCAUCUCCUUAAUAGAUAGGUGAAAUGUGUGUGUCUUAGGACACCAUCUCUCAACAAGACUUGUGAUCAAUCCCCAGUCUAGUGUAACAUGCCUAUUAUGACAUCCAUCGUAAAAUCUAGACUAGAUAAUAUAAGGACAAAUGUGAGGGUUCAUCUCCCUUUCCCACAUAAAUUUAAAAAAUUAUUAUUGACAAGUUAAGACCAAACUAAGUUGCAAAAUAUAAAUAAGUCCAUUAGAUAACAAAUUUAUGUUUUCUCAUUUUCUCAUUUUUAAAGAGAUAUUAUGUGCUUCCAUGUACAUACAUGCUAAAGUCAAUUAUACGAGACUUAUAUCCAUCUUGUAGAACCAAAUCGAACCUAUCUAAUAGAUCCAGAUUAGAAGUAUGUCCUCUAUACUCCAUAUUUAUAACACAUUUAUAAAGAUAAAUGCUAAAAAAAUGUUAAAGAUAUAAAUUUAAUGAACCAUACUUUAUGAUUUUAAUUCUCAAUUAUUGUUCAUAUUUAUAAGAGAAAAGUUAAAAAAAUUGAUAGAGUUUUCCCUCUAUCAUGGACAUUAUCCCAAAUAAAAAUAAAUUGAUUAUGCAAAUUACAUUAAUAUUUGUAACCAAAUGAUCAAUAACUAUCUUGUAUCAAUUUAGUAAAUAAAUUUAAGUAUAUCUUUUCAUUUAUGACUAACAAAUAACUCAUACUUGUCCAAUAAAAGCCACACCUAAUUUCUAAAAUUUUGUCUUCACCUCAAGUGAGUGUUACAUUGAGAAAGAAAAAAUAUGAAAGAAAAAAUGAACACCUUUUUCUUUUAAUAAAAAAAGGCCAUAACGAAACAUUAAAUCUCACUGUUACACCUAUCUUCAAUGGAAACAUGAGGAUGUGAAUGGUGGCGGUGAUAUUCUUUGCUUGAAGCUCAUAAACAAAUAUUCCUUACUAAGCCUAUGCCAUUUAGUAUUUCAAUAGUGGACCCCCCCCCCCCCCCCCCCCCCCUCCUUGCAUUUCAGAUUUAGCAAACUUAGAACCAAAUAACAAAGUGCAUUUGAACCCAUAAAGAAGUAAUGAGACUCUCCUAUAUUGGCAAUAGAAGAAAUUUUUGGAGGUAUAGGAGAUUCACGGAUGAAGAAGUUGGGCCCCAAUUGAGAUAAGACCCAAGAAAAGAUGGGGUAGAGAGGGAUGGUUGGAAAUUGUAAAGUAAGAUUUUCAAAAUGUAGUUGAUGACUAAGAUUUUGACAAUUUAAAAAAGGUUUAAAAAUGUAGUUAGCAAUCGGGGUUUUGUAACAUUUAAAAAAUAAAAUAAAAUCUCAGGCCACAUGGUAGCCCAUGUGAUUCAGAAGCUUGAGAAUUAUUUUAUAAGAAGACUUAAUUUGUGAUUUUUUUAUAACUAUAUUAUUUUUUUUCUUAACACACGAAAAAAAUUAUGAAAUAAGACAAUUUUCCUAAGAAAGCAUGUAAGUGACUCUUGGUUAUUUUAUUUAACUUCUUCUAGUUUGGAGAGGAUUAAUACCUUUGCUUUUACUCACUUGCUUGGAUAUGUACACGUUGUUCAUGUCACUUUUCAUUUAAUUUUCUGAUUAAGGGAAUUGGAACCGUACGUAACUGUCUUUAUUCCCUCUGAAACUUGGACUUGGAGUUGGACUUUCAAUCUCAUCAGUCGUGUUUCCAUAAAAAAGAAGAUGGAUUAACCAAUUUUCCUAUGCCUACUAAUCAUACACAAAACUCCACUUCCAAAUAAAAAGGAAUGGGAUAUCACUUGUUAAUAGUGGCUAAAGACUAUUAAUAACCAUGCAAAGAAAUGUCACAUUUUUUGUUCUACGCAAAUUUUAUUCAUCAACUACUAGAACCAUUUCAUACAAUAGUAGCUUUUCGAUCCUUUGAUAAAUGGACACUUGAUGUGAUAACACCAACUACACCUAUAUAUUCAAGCAAUCAUGCGUAUAUAAUAGUGGAUAUGGAUUACUUCUCUAAAUGGGCAAAAGUUUUGUCAUUCAAGGAAAGUGAACGAGGAAACACAAGUUUACUUUCAUCGGAACUAAUAUUAUAUAUUGAUAUGACUUCCCAUUAUUACUUACGAUGGAAUAUGCUUCCAUAAAAUGGCCUAGAUGAACAAACUAUCCAAGAAGUUUGGGAUCAAAUAAUAUAUAUAUAGUUCAUGUGUGAUUCUUUGGUUGACAACCUUGUUAAGGGGUGAGUGAAGCACUUUGGGCAUACCACAUACUACAUGCUAGACUUCCACCCAAGCUACCCUAUAUUCCUUAUGAACAAAGUAGAAGUUGUCAUCUCUCUUGAAUACCAAAUCCUUUCACCUAAUAAUGCUAUCUAAAAAGGUCUUAAAAAGGAUAAAAAUGCGCAUAUUUGAAUUUUUGAAUUAGGAGUGCUACUUAAAAAGAAGCUAGAUAUACAAUAAUAGAAUGUUAUCAAGCAUAUCUCUUCAAAGUUUUUGACCAAAAAAUAUAUGAUUUCUCAUUUUAGGUAGGAGACUUAGUACUCACUAUUCAAAAACCAAUUAUCAUUACUCAUAAAAACUAAUAGAAAGUUUGGGCCAAAGUAGGAUGGACCUUAUAUUAUGCAACAAUUAUGCCUAUAAAAUUGUUGCAAAAGAGGUUUUAGAAUCAAAUCAAUGAAUGAAAAAUUAUUAAAGCAUUACUAUGCUUGAAGGCUAGUCAUUUUCCCUUAAAGUGCAAUAUUAAGUUGCAUAGUACUAUGUGGAUCCGCAUUUUUCACAUGCGUUCCCACUCAUUGUCGAGACUCACUUUUUAGAAGUGAAAAAUUAGUUUUAUUAAAGUCGAAGUUGCCACUGGGGAUUUGAACCCUAACAAAAGGUUCAAUUUAAGGAUAAAAAUAUCGAUAAUCACAUAUAUAUAUAUUGGUACUUUGAUUUUAUGAAUAUAUUGAAGAAAUAUGGACAAAUAUUUUGACACAAAAUAUGUACAAAAUAAAAAUUAUAUAAAAAGUAAAAAUAAAUAUUUUAAAAUUAUUUUUUUAAAUAUAUAUAUAUAUAAUUUGACAUAUUUGAUAAUAAUAUAUAAGGGUCUCCAAAAAGCCCGUGGCCCGCUUUAGGCCCGGUCCGACCCGACAGGCUAAAGCCCGGCCCAAGCCCGCCGGGCCCAAGCUCGGCCCGAGCCCGUUUAUGGGUGGGCCGGGCCGCGAGCCCGUAGGCCUGCUCCUUUAAAAAAAAACUACAAAAAUAAAAAGUAUUAAAAAAAAUAUUCAUUUCAAAAUUUUAUUCAUUGAAUGUAUAAUUACAUUUGAAAAUGUGGGAAAAGUUUACAUCACUACAAAAUAAAUACAUCCCAACUAGGUUGGCACCUAUUUAUUUGUCAAUCAUCUGUAUUUUUCAACCACAAAAAAUAAAAAUAAAAAUAUAAUAUACAUUUAGUCAUUAUUUUCUGGCGGUGAUGGCGAACUAUCAUGCAUCCAUGAAGAUCUUGAUAAUUUUAAAGAUUCCAUAUCGGUAAGCAUCUUUGUUUCUCGAAUGGAAUCAUACAUCCUUUUAUCUGCUAUUUCCCAAUCUUUCACACAUAUCCCUGCUUUAAUAACAUCUGACGCUAAGUUGCAUCGUUUUUUACUAACUACUCUUCCACCUGCACUAAAAGCAGCUUCUGAUGCAACUGUACUCACAGGAACUGUUAGUACAUCACGAGCAAUUAUAGAAAGCACAGGAUAUUUGUGUUGAUGUGAUUUCCACCAUAUUAAAAUAUUAAAAUCUUCUUGAUCUUCAAAUGAAAUUAUAUCAGUAUUAAGAUAUUUAUCUAAAUCAGAUGUAUUAUUUGGAGAAUUAUUUGUUGUCUUUUUUCGACUUUUCAACAUUUCUAGAGCUCCUUUAUAAAAAGAUGAGGAGUUUGUAGAUGUAGGUGGUAAUUUAAUAGUAUUAAUAUCAUUACCAUAUUUUUCUUUAUAAUAGUUAUAUAAAUUAUAUAAUAAUGAAUUUAUUUCAUUUUUAAUUUCUUCAAUUUUUAUUUGGUCAUUAAAAUAAAUAAUUGUUAACCAUUCAUCCAAAGCUUCAAAUUUCAAUCUAGGGUCCACAAUUAAAGCAAUAUAAAAAAUUAAAGGUAUUUCUCCCCAAUAUUUUCUAAAUUUUUAUAUCAUUACAAAUAUUGUAUCAUUAAAUAUUUCAAAACUUAAAUAUUUUUGAAGUACAAUAAAAAUAUUAGUUAUUUGCGUAAUAACUCGAUUUGAAGUUGGAUAAUAUACACCACAAAAAAUGUUUGUUGAAGUAUCAAAAAUUUCAAAAAGAUCUCUUAAAACAUCCGCAAUAUGCCAAUCAUAAUCAUUUAAUGCAUAAAUAUCUGCUUCAUAAUCAUUGUUAAUUAAUUGUAUUUCAUAUAAUUCGACUACUUUUCUAUAUUUUGUAAUAUUUUCUAAAAGUUUAUAUGUGGAAUUCCAUCUAAUAGCCAUAUCCAAAUUUAUAUUUUUUCUUUUCAUAUUUAACAUUUUGCAACAAUCAAAAAAUAAUUCAUGUUUUGCUUGAAAACUAUUAAUACUAUAUGCAAUGCCUCUAAUUUUUUUCCAAUGUACUAUCAACAUUUUUUAAUCCAUCCUUUACAAUUAAAUUUAAAAUAUGUGCACAACAACGCACAUGAAAUAUUUUAGCAUGAUCUUCUUUUACUUGCCAAUAUCGUUUUAGUCUAUGUAUUGCUGCAUCAUUAUUAGCAGCAUUAUCUAAUGUUAUUGUCAAUAUUUUAUCACGAAUGCCUAAAUCUAUAAUUUCAUCAUUUAUUAAAGAUGCUAUAUUUUUACCACUAUGUGGAGUAUUUAUUAAUUUAAAUAAAAUUAUUCUUUUAUUUAAUUUCCAUUCAUUAUCAAUGUAGUGAACAAUUAUAUAUAAAAAACCAGUAUGAGUUAAAGAUGUCCAAAUGUCAGAUGUUAAACGAAUAUUUCCUUCAAAAUUUGCAAAAUUUUUUUUUAAAAUUUCUUUUUGUGUAUAAAUUUUUUUCAUAAUAUCUCUUUUAACUGUAUUUCCAGAUCAACCUUUAAAUUGAGGAUUAAUACCUCGUUGAAUUGUUCUUGCAAAAUCAUGAGUUUCCAUCAUGUUGAAAGGUUGUUCUGCUCUUAUUAUAUAAUCAAUCAUUUCUUCACAACAGUUAGAUUCAUCAUAAGAAAAUGUUUUUAAAUUUCCACUUUCAUUUUUACUUAAUUGCAUAUAAUUUCUAAUAUCUACAUUAUUUUUAGUUUUACAAUUUUCAUGAUGUCUUUUUAAAUGACUUGUAUCUGCAUUUGAGCCACCAGUAAGAAAUUUAUUACAAAUUUUACAUUUUGCUUUUAUUUUUUUUUUAUUAUUUUCUAAAAUUAUUUCUAUUCUAUCAAAAAAAUUCCAUAUAUUUAAAGUAAAUUUUUUGUUUGAUGAUAUUUCAUCACAUGGACUAGACGAAGAAGCACUUGUCAUAUUAUAAUUAUUGAUAAAAUAUUAUGCCAAAAAUAAUAAAGUAAUAAAUAUAAAAAAAAAUGUAACAAAAAAAAUAAAGUAGUAGGGGUGAAGUAUGUUACUCAAUUAGAGAACCUAUGCAGAAAUUCCUAGCAAAUUUGAACUCUUGGAGCCACCAAUGCUUGUUUUGCACCAUCAACAAUAUUGUAUAAUUUGAGGGAAAAAUAAAAGAAUUUAAAAUAUUGUAGAAUGUGAGAGAAAUAGAGAGAAUUUGAUGAAAAAAUGAAAAGGAAGAAAAUGUAUUUAUAGGAAGGUUAAAAAUAAUAAUAAUAAUAAUAAUAAUAAUAAUAAUAAUAAUAAUAAUAAUAAUAAUAAUAAUAAUUGGCCAUGUGACCGUUGGAGGCUUAGCUCCAACGGUCACAUGGGCUGGAGCUAGGCUCCAACAGUCACAUGACCGUUGGAGCCUUUAAUUUUUUUUUUUAAAAUAAUAUACUUUAUUUUUAUAUAUAUAUAACUAACUCAAUUAAUAAACAUAAAAAGAAUAUAGUUCAGUUGGUUAGAACCUUGAAGUUUAAACAUGAGGGGAGGGGUUUGAAUCCCUCCCUCUCCCUUAGGGGCUUUUUUAAAAGCCAUUUUGGCUUAUUUCAAAAAGCCUGUCGGCCCGACCCGCCCUGCAGCCCGCGGGCCUAGCAUUUUAGCAUGGCCUGGUCUGUUGACUAGUCAAAUGGCUCAUAGGCUCGGCCCGAACUGGGCCGCGGGCCUCUUAUUUACGGACCGGCCCGACCCGGCCCGCCCGUUGGAGACCCUUGAUAAUAUCUUCUAUAUUAAGUUACAUUAUAGUUUAUUUUACAAUAUUAUUAUGAUAAUAUGUCUAAUUUUAAAAUAUAUUUAAUAUUAAAAUUAUGAUCUAUUUUAAUUUAAAUGUAUUCAAUGAUAUCAAAUAAAUAAUAAUAUAUGUAUAAUUCUUUUAUUAUUUAUAUUUAUUAUUUUUAAUAAAUAUAUAGAUUAUAUAAAAAAGACCGGAUAUAUCUUUUCAAAUUUUGUAUCGCUCUCCAAGGAUAUUAGAUGUAUGGGAAUUUGUAUUGCUAUCUACGGAUACGUUGAUAUAUGGGUGAUUUAUCAGGAUAAUUAGAAAUUCUAAUUAUGUAAGCAGGUACGGAGUUCUGUGUCGGUGCGAUCUUGUCGACAACAGCUCCAAAUUGUGCAUCUUGCUCAUAGAGAGUAGCGGAAUGCACCAAUCGUAGGCUCAGAGUACCACUGAGUCGUCUGGCAGAGACCCAACUGAAGGUGCCUGUGUUGUUCCUGAUCUGAUCAGGCUUCAAACUACAAGGUGGAAUACUGGUUCCCCUAUAUCAGAAGCUGGAGAUACCCACCCCAUAUGCUCGUCUGGAUGUGCUCCUACCCUUUGAAGCCUUCUUCCGAGUCAAGUCCGAAUUGAUAAGGCUAGUGAGUUCCCAACCAACUGUACUCAGCAUGCUGCCAGGUGGAGACCCUCCAUAUUUGAUGGCUUCCUAAUAUUAAAAUGCUGACCACUGGUCUUCAUGUUCCACAGGCUUAAUUGUGUCCUUUGCUGAAAGAAUGGAUAGUGAUCCAUUUUAACACAUGAUUCACGCCGUCUUUGCCAUUCUUCAUGGUCUAGCCCUUUUAUAUAUAUGCUUCCUGAACUGUUGCUAUUAAUAAAAUGUGGUAUCUAUCCCGUACACCUUCCUGAUGGCCAGCGAAUGCAGAAGCUACAGAAACGGUUCCAUCUUUUGCUUCCGCCACUUUGGCAUCCUCCAUGAUGAGAUCGAAGGUGAAUAAUCAUAUUCUGGGGAUUUAUGUCCUGGAUAUUCUCAGUAAUGCCCAAUUUCCUGGUGCCGGCCUCAUUUCCAUGGGAACUGAUGGAUAACUUAAGGCUUCUACCAUCUGCGUGGUUCGCUUCUAACACAGGAAACUUCACGGCUAAAAGCAAGAUACCAAGAACAUCAAGGCUGUGACAAAAAUUAGUAUUUUUAACUUGUAGGAAUUUGAAAGGCAACCAACCAUCUAGCUCUGUUCUUAAAGCUCCCAUAGGAGGAUCAGAGGCUGGAUUGCUCAAGAUGAACUCAUCCAUUGUUGCACUUAAAAAGAAUUGGCAUGAAUUGUGGCCGCUCUAAUAGGUUCCCUAAACCAUCAUCCAAGUGGGCUUGCGGAAGGUAGCGAGUUUAAAACACCUAGGGCGAUGAACAGUGGACUGUGAUGCUCACAAAAGAGAAAAGGAAGAAUUCAAUAAUUCCUAAGAAUCCAUUUGCCUGUCAUCCAAAUUUUUAUAUUCUCUUCAGUCUGACGCGUUAUGCCAUAUAUUAAAAAUAGCGGCUUCUUCCAAGCCGAGACAGACUGUGCAAAGUUCGCAAGGCCAAUCAUCACCAUAAUCUGAAGUUGGCCUCCUCAAUCGCAGCUUGUAUCCGAAUGCUCACUUCACGGGAUGGAUUGUAAUGAAAACUAAUCUCAGUCCCAGCUAUGGCAGCAUCCUCACUUGACAGCAUUUUCUGCAUAUUCUAGAACAAAGCAAUAAACCCUCAAAGGCUCCUUCGGAUCAGAGUUAGAAGACUGUCCCUCAGGAACGUGAACACUAUGGUGGUUCUGAUAAGCAGUGAUAUUGCAUUAGAGCCUUUUGGAACAAGAGGAUCUUUUCAGGUGGAAACUGUAAACUGCUUCAUGUUGGGCUGCAACCUUUUCUUCAAGCAAUACUUUCUUUCUGUAUCACGACUUAUGUUGCUUCCGGAGCCAUCCCGUGUGGACUGCCCUUCAGUGAAAGAAUAUGUGUGUUGACAUGUUGGAUUGUAAUCUUUGUUCCACUCUAAUGGCUUUUGGUCCUCCUCUUUCUCUUUAUGACAGAGAACCAUUUAGUGAUCCAUCUCUAUAUUGUAGCAUUGCUGGUGCUUUGCAAUACUACACUCUCACCAAGCAUAACAUCUAUUUUUCCGUGACCAAAGUAUGUCGGUUUAUGCAUGCGCAAACUCUUAUUCAUUGGCAAGUUGUCAAGCGUAUCUCAUGAUUUCCCAAAGCCACAAGUUCUUAUGGUCUUUCUGUUCAAGCUUACAAUGAUCUAUCUUUUCUUGGUUAUACUGAUGUCGAUUGGGCUAGUUGCCCUGAUAACAAGCACAAUACUAGUGGGUACAACACUUUUCCUGGUCCUAAUCUCAUUUCAUGGGCAUUUUCAAAGCAGAAGGUUGUGUCUCACUCCAAUAACGAAUCUGAAUAUAGGGGACUCACUAAUUAAUGUUGUUGCCAAGGUCACUUGGAUUGAAUCUGUCUUACGUGAGUUGCGUGUUUCUCUACCCCAACCACCAAUUUUGUUGUGUGACAACAUUAGUGCUACACACUUGGACAAACCAUGUUGAAAUACACUAUCAUUUUAUCCAUGAAAGGCUUAUGCAUCACACACUCAAAAUUCAAUACACCUCUUCUAUAGACCAACUAGUCAAUGCUAUGACCAAAGCUCUUCCUUCAUCUCACUUGUACAAUCUUCAGUGCAAGCUGAUUGUUCUUCCCAAACCACUCAACUUGAGGGGAGAUGUUAAGCCAAUUUAAUAAAUUGAUUUCUUUUGGUUAAUUUGUUAGAAUCAUUUUUAUUAGAGGUUUGUUUGUACAAUUACAUCCAUUUAUCAGGAGAGUACACGUGUACAACUCCUCUUUUAAUCUCACCAUUGUAUAUAUAUGAUACACGACCUUACUCAGAAUUGCAUAACAUUUCCUCUGCUCAUUCCUUUUCUUCUUUGAAUUUUCCCUUACCUCACUGAUUUUGAUUUAUACCUGGUGUUUUCACCUUUGGUCUCUACCUUUCUAGCCAGUUUUCUAAUUAAUCCGUAUAUGGUAUACCUGUCAACUAAUGAGGAGAAAGAGAAAAGGGGAUUGCUGUUCCACCAGCUACAUAUAAUAAUUAAUUACAAUCAUGGUAAUGGAUCCUGAAAUCCAUCCUUUGUGGAUUUUGUACGGAAUAUUGUUGUUAUGUAUGUGGGCUCACUUAGAUGUAUAUUGCUAGCCUGUCUGGGAAAUGUGAUUGCAGGUCCAGAUUAUGAUGUUGAUAUUAGUGGGAUAAGCAAGAGAUGCAGUUAACACGUAUGUGAUGGACUUGAGUAACUUUUCCAUUUCAGUCCAUUUUUUAAGAUUAUGCUUAGUCUUAUUACAAGGAAAGACCAUAAGAAUCAUGAGUCAUUGGCAAGGUAAUAUCAUUCCCUCUUUACAGGCUUCUUCACCUUUUGGUUUUUUUAAUAUCCAUCAAGAUCUUUUAAUUGGAGGACAAUUACAAGUAUAUAUAUAUGUAUUAAAAGGGGAAAAUAUUAAAACAGGAAAUUUUAGGGAAAAUAUAAUAAUUAUUUCUUCCUUCUUUCCCAUAUAGAACUACACAAAAUAAAACUUUAAUAAUUUUUUCUUAUCUUUUUUAUUAUUAUUUUUUCUUAGAAACAUCCGUGGUCUCACAAGCUUGUAAUCCUAGAUUGUUAGGCUCCUUUAACAGUGCCCCAACAUCGUGGUCCAAUGACAAGCUUCCACGCCUUAAAAUCAGAAAAUGCCAUUAAACUUUAUCAGACAUUACAGUUCAAGACAAAGCUUUCAUUUGCUUAAUGUGAUAAUGAAAUUGUUAAUUUCAUUUCGUGGGCAUCUAAAUUUGGACGAGCAAGACCUCUGAAUUCCCUGUUUUUAUCACCAGCAGAGGAGAUAAAAUCUUAAUGGUGAGAAUCUCCACGUGAAAUUUAUGUGUACUGUCAACAUAUUUUUGUUUAUAUAGUCCAGUAGCUGCAGGAAGUCUAGAUUAUAUAGGUAGCAGUAGCACUAUUUAUAGCACUCGAUAUUCGCUGUAUGAAUACAUUAAACCUUGUUUUCAAUACGCAUCACAAGCAAGUACUAGAUACUACAAGGAGUGACAGUCGCAUCAACAUUUCUUGAUAAUAGCAGUGACUGAUUUAUACACAGAACAGUACUGUACACGUACCAGUCACCAGAGAUAGGAUCUUAUUCCUACAUACGACUCUUAUUGAUCGAAGUCACUCAGUUGGGGUAGCCUGGAGUUGGAGGUUUGUGUGGUGGCUUCUUCUUUGGAGGAGGCUUUAUCUUUGGAGGCAUCAUCUUUGGAGGCAUCUUGUGUGAGUCUUCUUCAGCAUUCUCUACAGGAGGAUGGCCAGGCUUAUGACCCUUAGGUGGUUUGCCAACUGGGAUUGGUGGCUUGUGUCCUGAGAGUGGCUCCUCUUCUUCGGGAGGUUUGCCAACUGACGUUGGUGGCCCGUGUCCUGGGGGUGGCUUGUGUUUUGGGGGUGGUUUCACUCCACCGGGAGGUUUACCAAUUGGUGUUGGUGGUUUGUGCUCAAUCGGUGGCCUCUCAACUGGGGGGCGCUUGGGGUAAUCAGCGAGUGAAGAAGUGGUGAGAACCACCACUCCAAGCAACAACACUAGCAAGUAUGUGGAAGACAUCUUUGAGUUUGGCUCAGAUGGUGUAGAACUAGAAUCCUGGGUGGCCUUUUAUAUUAGUUGGGCCCUAUGCCCGAACGACAAGUGUCAUGGUGACACAUAAAGUGAUGGGGUCGAUUUGGGCCUACCGGAUUUGAAAACUUGGACAAUUCGAGAAGCGUCUCCUGACUCCGGGUUGUAAAGUGAAAGAUUAGGUAUCGACCAUUGAAGUAUGAUCACAACUUUUGGCCUUUGGCUCUCUCUACUGCCGUAUAGCUUUUUUCCUUUGGAUAUUUUUCUUAGCUAGACACAAUUAUUGAGCAGUCUAAUCUCGAAAUGGGAUUAGUAUAGCUUUAAGCAAAUUUAUUAUAGUUAGUGGAGGACUUUUAAGAGUGCAGACGACAUUUAACACAUGCAUGCAGUAGUAUAGGGGACAUAACACUAUUCUUUUUCCAAAGAUUCACAUGAUUUUUAUAUUAUAGUAUUGGCACAUUGUAUGUAGCUGGUUUUGUGGUUAAAAUUCCAUAUGUAGACACUGGCGUUUCUCCAUUUCUCACAAUUGAUGUUUACCUCCACGAUUACUAGAUUAGAUAUACCAAACAAUAACACAUUGUAUAAUCUAUCCGCCCUUCAAAAUCUACUGUAUGAUGAAAUGUUUCAUGUGUGUGUGAAGUGUUAGAAAUGCACUAUAGGCAACAUCAUCUUCUUUUGUCUAGGCUUGGGCCUCAAAUUAUACUCCCAUGCCAUGAUAAAUUUUCAUGUGCAUUCUCUAAAGAAGAGUGUCUUGAAUGUGCCAAAUCAUUUUGAUUGAUUUUAUGAUGUUAAUUGCUCCGCAUAUGGAUGGGUAUGUGCUUUAUUUGCUUAUUCAAUCCACAAUUACCUUGAACUGAAGUCCUAUUGGAGCUCUAUUAUUUUAGCAACGUCCUGUCAAAUAGGCUGCUAACUUGGGGUGGUAUGGACCCAAUGAUCCAUCUUAAUCUUGGGUUGAUUUUGUCUGACUCUAUCUAUCUCAGAGAGAACCAGGAUCACCAGUGCUGGUCUGCUUAAAGAAGACUCAGUACUGGAUUAAUAUUGGUUUGGGUCAAUAGCUUAUAAUGCAUUGAAUGCAGAAUAAACAAGAUCAAUGAAACCCAAAACACACUGCCCACACAACUUCACUCUGGUGUCUGUUAUUCAUCAAUUCUAUUCCCACAUGAACUGGUUCAAGUUUAAGAAAAUGACAACGGAUCCACUGUAUUAACUUGGUUUUGCUUGGUUUUGAGCUAGUUGCCAAACCAGCCAUGAGUUUUACCUCUAAUGUCAAUGAACAAACCCCAAAUGAACAACUGCAACAGCUUAAAGAGAAGGAAUGGAGAUGAAAAUCCCUGUUUCUUCUCAUUCUGGGGACAAAUUAGAACAUAACUACAAAGGUUCUAUUAAUUGACUUACUCUACCAUGAAUUAUGGUUCUUUGGUUUUCCAAAUUUAAAUUGUACAUGAGAUUAUUUUUUUCCUUUAUAUAUAAACAUAUUAAGGUUUUCUUAUUUCGUGGGCAAAUGCGCUAAGGAUGAAAGUCAUUUCAUUUGGCUGCAACAGCAUCUUAUAAUCAACAUGCAUAAGCAGCAGUUUUAAUUGAUCGAUUGAACACCGACUCACAAGAAUAGAUAGAAUGGUACAAGACAGCUCUUAUUAAUUUAUACUCGUUACUCAUUUUAUGUAGCCCCAUUAAGAUGGCUGGCUGGACCACCGAGGUCUGGGGGUGGUGUUGCUUGUGUGAUGCAGCGGGCCGGGCAGACACUUCUCUAGUUGCUUCUAUUUGGAGUUAGAGGAUCAGUCUCUGCCAACCUUGAGGACUCUCUACCUCAGAGGGUCCAGGUGGUGGACUCUGGUGUCGGUAGCUUUGAACUCUCAGUAGACUAGUGUGUCUUAAUCAGUCACUGCCAGAGGCUGGCGUAGGCAGUGACGAUAAGGUGAGACAAAUUACCGAAUAGUCAAUAUCGACUGCACUUGACCAUUAUAGAUUUGUUCUGACAAAAGUGAGAAAAGGGAGAAAAUCGGAUGUUGACCUUUAUAGAAAAAGAUAAGAUUUACUGCAACACAGAGCACUGAUUUGUUACUUGGAAACCAAGUUAUGCUAUUAGCUAGCCUCCAUUAGCAGCAGGGUACCUUGCUGCCUGAUCCUAAUCUGAGUUCCCAAGGUUUCAAUCUUCGUUUGUUAACGCUUCAGGAUUUGGAUAUUUCAGCUUCGUUUCUCCAUUUAGCCAACGCUGCCUGGUUUGGAUUUCAAUCCUCAUCUGGAACAUUCUUUUUUCGGUCUGAUUCAGGAAGUGUUUGGUGAUAGUUGAUUAAAAUUAAACAGUACUAUCAUACAAAUAAAGCUGAUCUAAUUUUGGUGGGCAAUAUACCAACUCAUUUAUUCUUGAAAACACCAUGGGGAAUUGGAGGUCCAUCCGAAGUACUAUUUGAUGGGACUCACAAAAAGAACAGGUGCACAUUUAUGAGAUCCGUGGAAGAGAUAACUAUGACAGCUAUGCAUGUACAACAGAUUUAUGUCGAGUUCACCUCGUAGAUAUUUUGUUUUCAGUGUCGGUGGACCCCAAAAUGGAAAUCGGAAAUUAAGGUUAUAUUUAUUUUUUUAUUUAAUUUUAAAUAGAAUUUUAAUUUUUAAUAAUAUUAAGUAUUAAAUUAUUUUUUUAAGGGUAUUUUAUUUUUAUUAAGUAUUAAAAAGUAAAAAAAAUUAAUAUGUUGCUUUUUUAUUUUAAAAAAAUUAUAUAUUUUAAUUUUUUCUAUUUACUAAAAAGUUUAUAAUAAAUUAUAAAAAAAUAAAAAAAUAAAAAACUUAAAUUCUGAAAAUAAAUUAUUUUUAAUAAAAAAAUCCAAAAAAGCAAACACCACCUAAAUUUGAGAUGACUCAAAAUUUUAUAUUUUUUUUCACCUAAAUUAUAUUCAUAAAUUUAAAAUUAAAAAAUUAGGAAGUUGAAUUUUAUUUUGGAUAAUUGGAAACUACAAGAAAUCAAUAAAAAUAUUUGGAAAAAAAAGAAAAAGAAAAACUAUCUAUAUAUUCACCCCCUUCUAAGAAACAUAACUUUAGUUUUUAACUAUUUUUUAAAAUAAUUUUUGAAAAAUGUUAUAUAAUAUUUUAUAAAACAAAAAAUCUGUUUGACAAUUUGAUAUGUCUUUAACUUAUUUUUAAUAUUUAUAUAUAUAUAUUUUAAAAAUAAUUUUAUAUUUAGAACUUUAUCUUUAAUUAUUAUAUAUAUUUAUAUAAUUAUUUUUUUUAAAACAACUCUUAAAAAAUAAGUGAAAGUAAUUGAAAACAACUCAAAGAUAUUUGAUGAAAACACUCUAAUUUGUAUUUUUGAGAAUAAAAAAAUAAAUAAAUAAAUUUCUAGUUAUCAAAUGUAUUUUUUAAUUCUUUUAUUCUAAAAAAUAGAAAAUCGUUUUUGAAAAUAAUUAUUAAACAACAUUCUUAAAAAUUCACUCGUUACAAUCUAGAUUUAAUGCAAGAAUGAUUGAAGGAGUCCUCCAAUAGAACCCAAAGUUAUAAACAUGAACAAGAAGCCCUAGAAACACCAAAGAUCUCAUAUGGUAUAUAUAUGAGCUUGAUUGAGAACUGUUUUAAAUUCAGUUUUUUUUUUUUUUUUUUUUUUUUGUUUUCAAAGUCAAAACAAGUUUACUUUUAAUUUUUACUUCUUUUUUUUAAUUUUAUAAAUAACAGUUUUUUAAUAAUUUAUUUUGAAAACAUGAUUAUUUUUAAAACUUAUAAUGAAAAUAGGAAUUUUUUUUUUAAUAUCAUGGUUAUUUUCCCUUCUUUUAAGGAGGGCUAUUUUAAAAAUAAAUUUACAAAUAUGAAAAAUGAUUCAAACUAAAGCAGUACAAAUAAAAAACAUUUUUAAGAAAUAUUUAAAAAUAGAGAAAAUUAUUUGAGAACAUUUGAAGUCCUUAAAUAGACUUUUGUUUUAGAAAAGGCAAGAUAAUUAUUUUUGAAAAUUGUUUUCAUAAUGAUAUGCAAAAACCUACGUAAAAACCAUAAUUAUAAUCGGCCACAUAUCAAAUCUACUAAAUAUGAAAAGUAAGUACAUAAUUAUAUUUGACUUAGAUGCAAGGAGGAAAAUGUCGCGAUAUUAUCGCCGAAAUAUCGUGUGUCGAAGGGUAUCGACACGAUUUUUCUUGCAGAAAUAUCGGCCAGUCGAUUUUUCGGGAUAAAUCUCGAGAAAUCGGCAAUUUAUCGCGAUAUAUCGGCGAUUUUUCCUCGAUAUAUCUUCUGGUCAACGCGGGUCAACGGAGUCAACACGCUACAGUGAAAGUCAAAUGUGCUACAAUGUCCCCGCUACAAUCACCUCCCCAAACAAAUUGCCAAAUUGCUUCCGAGGGGAUUUGAACCAGCCUUCUUGCCAUUUGGGCUAACUCGCCCUUAUGAUAUAUAUUGCAUUAAACAUAUAUAUACUUAAAGUCCUUAUAUAAAGAAAAUGUUAAAAAAAUAUUUUAAAGAGCAAAUUAAUUAUAAUUAUUUUAUAAUUAAAAGCAAAAUUUUCUUUUAAUUAAUUACCAAAAAUAUAAAAAUUAUAUAAUUUUCUUCAUAAUGUUUUUAAUAUCAUUAAUAAUUAAUUAAAUAUUAAAAAAUUAUAUAUAUAUAUAUAUAUAUAUAUAUAUAUAUUAUAAUUUAUUUUAUAUUGUUUAAUACAAUUGAAUUAAAUGGAUCAUAUUUUAAUAUUAAUAUAUAUUUUAAAAUUAGACAUAUUGUAAUCAAAUAUCAUAAUAUUAUAUGUAAUUUAAUAAUAAAUGUACACUUAUAAAAUUCAUAUUUUUAUCGAUGCAUACAAUAUUAUUAUCAAAUAUGAUAAAUCAUGUUAUACAUAUAUCAAAAUUUUCAAUAAAAUAACUUUAAAAUGUCUAUUAUACUUCUAAUUAUAUUAUUAUGAGGUUUUCUUUACAUUUUCAUGAGUUUUAAACAAUUUUAAGCACCAAUAUUUUUUUCCAAAAUAUCCACCGAUAUAUCUCCGAUAUAUCCAAUAUAUCUCCGAUAUCUCCGAUAUAUCCGUAAAAUCGAAGUACCGAUAUAUCCGUGAUUACCGAUAUUUUCAUCAUUGCUUAGAUGCAACCUUCUUCCAAAUGACAUACUUUAGUCAAUACUUAUAUUUUUUCGUUUCACUUCUUUGAUACAACACCUCAUGGAUUUAUUGUUUAAUUUAUUUGUAAUUAUAAAACUAUUUUUCAUUUUUAAUAAGACUUGAAUUAAUUUAAUAAAUAUUAUAUAAUUUGAAUUUAUAAUUCUUUUUAUAAAAUCAAAGUAUAUUAAAAAAAAAACAAUUUAUCCGAAGAAAGUUUUUUAUUUUUUAUUUUUUAAAACCGAUUUUAAAAAUAACUAGCUAGACACCCUUAUUUUGAUAAAAUACGAAAUAAAAGUGUAAAAACAACAUGGCCAAAUAGGGGCUUAAAUUUUAUUUUUAAAACAUUUUUUUACACUAAAGUGCAUUUUAAAAACACCAUCAAAACCAACUACAAGUUAUGCUUCUUCCCGUAAUAGAAAUAUUUUAGGCCAAAAUAGAACCUCCCCAAAUAAAGACCCUAUACUAAACUCCUUUUCAUUUUAUUAAUACAAAAGUGGGGAAAAAAGGUCUAUGCUCACCUAAAAAACAUGAAUAUUGUGAAUUCACCAUUUCUAUAAGGAAGUUGAAAACUUCAAAAUUUUAUCAACAAAUUCUCUAAAAUCCUCAAAAUAUAUAGGGCCUGUUUCACAAAGUUUUUUAAAAUUUGUUUUUAUAAAUUGCUUUUAAAAUAUAGAAUAAAUAACAGUUUUUUAGAUUUUUUGAAAAAUAAGAGUGUUUGGUAAGAUGUUUUUUUUUUUUUUUUUUUUUUUAAGAAUUAAAUAAAAAAUAAAAAAAUUGUUUAGAUAAAAGAAUUUGUAUUGUUUUUAAAAACAAUGUCUUACUUUUAUGUUAUAAAAAUUUUAUUAAUUUAAUUUAUAAUAAUAUGAAAUGAAAUUCAAGUUAAGUCUUAUUAAAAAAUACAAAUUAAAUCUAUAAUUAUGCAUGAGUUAAAGAUAAAUAUAUAUUUUUUAAAACUAUAAAAUAAAUUUUCUAUUAUAGUGAAACAAAAAUUACUAUAAAAUAAAAAUAAUUUUAAUAUUCAUUUUUAAUACAAGUCAAAUAAGUACUUUAAUUAAUUUUUUUUAUCAUGAUUUCUUAUGUUUUUUUUUUUUUCUAGAAAUUAUUUUAAGUAAUAUAACUAAUUUUUUUUUUAAUGUUUUAUAAAAAUAAGGAUAUUUGGCAAGUUGUUUUUAUAAAAGGAUUUUAAAAAUAAAUGGAUUUUUUUUUUUUUUAAAAAAAGAACAAAAUGAUUUGUUUGAAUAAAUUGUUUUGAUUUUGUAAAAACAUUUUAAAUUCAAUUUAUAUAAUAUUAAUUAAUUAAAUUAAAUUGAAGUUUUAUUGAAAAUAAAAAUAAUUUUGUAAUUAAAAUUAGAUUAAAAAAUAUAUAGGUUUUAAUAAAUCGUAAAUAGUAAUAUUAUAAUAAAAUUAUAAAUUAUAUUUUUAACAUAAAAUAUACUAUUUAUUACAUAUUAAAAAAAAUAUUUUAUUAUAUUAAUAAUUUUAUGGUAUUAAUGAGUUUAUUAUUUAAGUUUUAAAUUAUUUUUAAAAAUUAAUAAAUUUGUUAACAAAUGCAAUGUACUAAAUGUGGUUUAAUUUGGAGUUAAUUUGUUUAGGGAAAAAAAUAAAAAAUAAAAAUCUUAUGUAAAAGAGAAAUAAUAGAGUGUGUGUGUUUUUUUUUAUUAUUUUUAAAAAUCAGUAAAAAGAACUUUUACUUAUUGCCUAAAAAUUAUUCUCUAUUUUAUUUUAUUUUUUAAAUCUAGAAAUAGAUAACAAUAAUAAAAAAAAUUAAAAAAGAAAAAUGUUUUUUAAAACUCAGACUUAUAAUUGCUUUUGUUUCUCAUUCGCACCCCUGGAUUCCUGGAUUCUAAACACAAAAUUAAGUUGAAUCGUCCAUCUAUCUUGUAAGCCAAGAAUUCACAUAGAAGAAAUAAUCGGAAUUUGAUUUGAUAUCAGAUUUAGAGUGGCUCACUACUCAUGCAUUGUCCCACAAUAGUAAUGCUUUGGGCCGAGAUAAACCCAUUUGUGGGCCCAAAUAAAACCCCUGGUUUGAAAACAUCGAUUUUACAGUGGCCCAAAAGAUUAUCUAUGAGGGGAAGAUAACUUGGAAGUCAAGCAAACACAUUUAUCGCUAACUUUUCUCUAAUUAUAAAAUUAUAACUUGGUCUUCUACACGUCUCACUUAAGAGGCGGAGCCACUUGGCACUACCUUUCCAUAUUGUAAAAGGAGAAGAAGCAGAAGGAGAAGAUUCUUAUGCCAUUCCACACACCAUGGCUAGUACUGCUAUGCUGCUUGGCCCGCCGGCUCUCCGCCAUCCUAAUUCUCCCGCCGGCACUGUCUUUGAAGAUGGGGUCAUUCUAACGGAUUCCCUGAUCGUCCGCACCAGUAAUCUGGAGCUUUCUGAAAAACCGCCACUGGAAUCCCUGGCGUAGUGCUCUGUCAGUGGGGAUAUUGCUAUGGAUUGUUUGGAUUCCCAAGCCCACAAUCUUCAUCUUCCCGGGAAACCGCCGAUGGGCUUAACGGAAAACAAGUCUCCGACCUUUUUGUCUUCCGGGAACCCGUGCUUGGACUUCUUCUUCCAUGUGGUUCCCGAUACGUCGUCUGAUGAUCUGAUCCGACGGUUUGAGUUGGCUUGGGAAUUCAAUCCGCUGACGACGUUAAAACUGAUAUGCAACUUGAGAGAGGUGAGAGGCACCGGAAAAUCUGACAAAGAGGGUUUCUACACGGCGGUUCUCUGGCUCCACGACCACCAUCCCAAAACCCUAGCCUGCAAUGCUAGGGUGUUGGCCAGCUUCGGUUAUUUCAAGGAUUUUCUCGAGAUUCUCUACCGGCUUCUGGAGGGCCCUAAAAUUCGAAGAAUCGAAAAGAAAGACUGGCUGGAUCGAAAAGGAAGGAAGAAAAAUUCCCGGAAAAGGAACUCAAUAUUCAAGCGAGAAAAUAGGCCUGGAGUUGAAUUUCCUGUAGAAGAGAAGGAUGUGGAGUAUAUGGUGGAAGAAUUUGUGGAUAAAGAAAAGGCUAGGGUACUGAGAAAGGAGAGAGAACUUGCUCUUGCCAAAAGAGCCCUGCACAAGUAUUCUACUGAUUCUAAUUAUCAGUUCUUACAUGAUCAGAUUUCAGAUUUAUUUGCUGAACUUCUGAAAUCUGAUAUUCAGUAUUUAAACUCCGGUGAGCUUUACAAGAUUAGUCUCGCAUCCAAAUGGUGUCCCACAAUUGAUUCUUCUUAUGAUAAAUCCACCUUGAUAUGUGAAAAUAUUGCUCGAAAGGUUUAUUCUCGCGAGGAAUAUAUAUCCAGAAUACCAAGGAAUUGAGGAGGCUCACUAUGUUAAUAGAGUCAGGGAUAGGUUGAGAAAACAAGUACUUGUUCCAUUACGUAAGGCCCUGGAGUUGCCAGAGGUUUUCAUGUGUUCGAACCAGUGGGGAUCACUUCCCUACAACCGUGUGGCUUCAGUGGCCAUGAAAUCAUACAAGAGCCUCUUCUCAAAACAUGAUACAGAGCGGUUUGGUGUGUAUCUUGAGAAAGUGCAAACUGGGAAGGCUAAGAUUGCAGCUGGUGCAUUACUUCCCCAUGAGAUUAUAGCUUCAUUGAAUGAGGAGGAUGGCGAGAAAGUUGCAGAGCUUCAGUGGGCGAGAAUGGUGGAAGAUUUAUCAAAGAAUGGGAGGCUCACAAAUUGCAGUGCGGUAUGUGACGUAUCAGGAAGUAUGAGUGGAACUCCAAUGAAGGUGUGUGUGGCUCUGGGGCUGUUAGUUUCAGAGCUCAGUGAAGAUCCAUGGAAAGGUAAUGUAAUUACUUUCAGUGCAAGUCCUGAGCUUCACAAGAUCCAAGGAGACAGCCUUGUAUCCAAGACUGAAUUUGUGAGGAUGAUGGAAUGGGGUGCGAACACUGAUUUUCAGAAAGUUUUUGACAGAAUCUUACAAGUAGCAGUGGAGGGAAAUCUGAGUGAAGAUCAAAUGAUAAAGAGGGUUUUCGUUUUCACUGAUAUGGAGUUUGAUGAAGCUUGUGGGAGGUAUAACUAUUGUGAAUAUGACUAUGAUAUGGAGGAAAUUGAUGAGAGUCAGAAGGCAUCUCAGAAGUGGGAGACAGAUUAUGAAGUGAUACAGCGGAAAUUCCAGGACAAAGGAUAUGGAAAAGUUCCGGAGAUAGUGUUUUGGAACCUUAGAAACUCAUCAGAGACUCCAGUGAUGGCCACAGAGAACGGGGUGGCCUUAGUAAGCGGGUUUUCGAAGAAUCUGUUAGACCUUGUUUUUGGAAGGAGGUGGAAUUCUGACCCCUCAGGAUGUGAUGGAAUUAGCCAUCUCUGGUGAAGAUUACAAGAAACUUGUUCUAUUUGAUUAAGAUAUCAAGAGAUUUAUCAAUAAUAAUAUGUUUUUUUUUUUCUAUGUGAAAUACAUGUAAUAUUAACUAUGGAGUUAUCAAAGUUCUGGAAAUUUAAUUAUUUCUUCUUUUCAAGUUUUGUUUGUCUUUGUUAGGAAUUCCCCUUGGGCGGACCCAGCUGGGGACUUGGAUUGAGGAAGUAAGGAGGCGAAAUUGUGUUCUUCUAUGGACAGAGAAAAAAGAUAAAAAUAAAAAAUAAAAAAGGAGGUUAUUUGCAUUUGGAUGUCAUGUGGUUUCAGGGUACAACUACAAGUUCGAAAUUGUACAUAAUGUGAAAAUUCCUGUGUGGAGAACAGCAUAAAUAUGUAUCUCAGUGUGUUUUGUUUGAGCUAAUUGGCAAAUUCGCUUUAAACAUGGUCACAUGGAUGCAUAUUUAUUUGUGAAAUGAUAGUAGUCGAUUACUUGGUCAGUAAGGUUUGUAUCUCUAACUCCAACAUCUUAUUGUAGUCUUUUAAAAUGUCAAAAGUUUAAUGCUAGCUUGAGAAAUUUUGGAAUGGAGACAUUCUAAACAAAGUUAAUAAUCCAUGAGACUUGGUAAAACCGAUCAGAUGAUGCUUACGUACAUGAAUGCCUUCUUUAAGCCGUAUCCUAUUUUCAUUGAAUGAGACGUGCCAUCUAGUUUUGUUCUUGUCUUGAUUGGAUCAUGAUCCCGGGAAUUGAUUACUGUUCUGAAUUUGCGAAUGUUCAAGGUAUUAGAGAAAGUUAAUAUUAUCGUUAAUUUACAUAUUAGUAUUUAUCUAGUUAUUAUAUAUUAGUUUGAAUUAUAAUAUAAUAUAGAAUUUGAAUCAAGUUUACUAUUAGUUUGAAUUACAAUAGGAAAUAAAGUUUGAAUUAUAGUAUAACUCAAAUAUAUUUGUAUAUAAAUAUCCAUCUUUAUCAAUGAGAAUAGUAAACCAUAUUUUUCUCUAUCUUCUUCUUUCUCUAUAUAUAUGGUAUCAAAGCCUCCAAAUCCUAAACCUAGUCUCAACUUAGAGCAAAUUUAGGGUGCAGGGUUUAGGCCCCGCCUCCCCCAACCCUUACCACAAAUGGUAGUGACCUUGUUAUGCCUAUGUAUUGUCAAUGCCUCAUUUUCUAUGGUCUUCAAUACAAUAUCUAGUUUCAAUGUCUCUUUCCUUACUAUCUCCAAUGCAAUAUAUUGAUUUCAAUAUCUCUUUACAACCAAGAGCUCCAAAUUUUCCUGGUUCAAAUCUACCAUAAUUUUUAUUCUCCUUUGCUUUUUACCAAUAUUAGUUCCCCUAAUUUAAUAUAUAUCUCUUUAUUACCUUCAACUCUACCUCUCUCUUUCUUUAAAAGCUUCCUCAAAGAUUUGAUUGCUUUCUUGCAUGUUUUGGGAAAACAAACAUGCUCAUAUUCUAUUACCUCUACUUGAGAUCUGCCUUAUACUCUACCUUCUUCUUUACCUCCUAUAUCAUCUACUACAUUAGCUUCAAAAACAUUAUUUAGUUUGAUGCUAAAUAAGGCUCCUAAUCCUACCCUUCCUUCAACUAACUUUCUUUUACAAGUCCCUCAAAGUUUUUUUUUUUUUUUUUUUGGAAAUUUGGCUUAGAAAGAUUUCAUUACUCUUACCUAAUCUUUCAACCAUCAAGUCGAAUCCACUUAUCUCUUGAAUCCAAGGAGACUACCCUCCACAAAAACAAGGAGAUUGACCCCCACAAUAACAAAGAGAUUGUCCUCCAUAGAAACAAAGAGAGCUUCCUUCAUGGAAGCCGAAUACAUCGCAAUCUAUUUUCUUUCUCUCAAGAUCAAAUCUCCAAUCGGAGCUCCAUCUUGUGGGGAUAUAUUAGAAAAAGUUAAUAUUAUCCUUAAUUUACAUAUUAGUAUUUAUCUAUAUUAUAUAUUGAAUUAGAAUAGAAUAUAGAAUUUGAAUUAAGUUUACUAUUAGUUUAAAUUACAAUAGGAAAUAGAGUUUGAAUUAUAGUAGAACUCAAAUAUAUUUAUAUAUAAAUAUCCAUCAUUAUCAAUGAGAAUAGUAUUCCAUAUUUUUCUCUUUCCCUGAGGCUUCAGAAUGUGAUCUUGAACAUUUGAUCUUUUGGAUUCUUCUUGUUUCGGUGGUUUAAUAUAAUGGAAUGUUUAAUUAUAGCCUACUUUAUCACCAUGGAUGUGCUCCUGCAGAUUUCUUGAGGGUGAUGGUUAUUUUGUCAUGUUUCUUGAAUGGUUUGCAUCAGCUGCCUGAGCUGUUGUUGCUGGUCACUUUUGCAACCAGGGAAAGAAUCAUGGCUUUGGAGAAGCCAGCUUCUGUUUUUGUUGCCCAGCUGUUAGUUCACUAAGAUUGGGGGUCCUAACAUGUAUGUAUAAUCAUAAGCAAGGAAAUUUUAUGUCUUACGCUAGAUAGGUACCAUGAUAUGAUGUUUGAUUGAUUUAUUAACUCUACCUGUUUCAAAAGGCAUCAACAUUAAUUUUACCCUUUUAACACAUUGGAUUGUUUGACCUUACGAGAUUUUCUAUUUCUGUACUAUUUGAACUGCAAUCGUUAUGGUCCUUAGGUCUCUAAACCUUCGUUUAAAAUAAAAGUAAGGAGCACACAUAGUAAAAGUUAAUUUUGGGUAACUUUUAAAACAAAGAGAAAAGUAAAAGUUGUUUUUGAGAAAAACAUAUAGAAAUUGAAAGAUUUUUUAUUUUGAGAAAAAAAAGUCAUAGAAAAGAAAUAAUAUCCCCAUAUAAGUAGAUAUGAUCUAUCCGAAGUGUAGCUACUCUCCUGGAUUUAUUCUAACAUUUUAAAAUUUUUCUCAAUGGGCAAAGGAAUAUCAAAUCAAGCUUGAGUAGGAUUAAUUUCUUAAUUUUUAAAAUAACUUAUAAUUAAAAUUUUUUGGUGUUUUCUUUUUUGGACAAUUUUUUAUGAAGACUCUGAAUCAUGCAAGAGAUAUGGUUAUUUUAAAAAAAAAAAUAAUUUAAAACUCAAAUACAUAAUCAAUGUCACAAAUUUAUAAACAAAAGGUUUUUAAAAAAUACUAUUAUUUCCCCUCUACACAUAAUUUUACUUUUCCGAUUUAUUUAUUUUUGUUGGAAAACAGUCUUCAAAUCAAGUAAAAUUAAUAUGUUAAAUUUGUUAAACAAAUAAAUUUUAAAAUACAAUUUGGAACUCAAAAAUCAAUUCAAGUAAUGCUAAAAUUCAAAAAAUCAAAUUUGGAAUAAAAUGACUUUGUAAAUUUUUUUACUAAACAAAUGAAUUUUAAAUCAAGUGAGAUUUAAUACAUUGGAUUUUUAUGAGAAUAGUAAUUUUAAAAAUUAAUUUGGAACUCAAAAAUAGACACAAUAAAUACCAAAAAUCAAUGAACCAAAAUUGGUUUGGAAUAACUCCAUAAUUUUUUAUUUAUUUAUAUAUUUAUUUUUUUGUGCACACGAAUUUCUUACUAAGCAUAUUGCUUCCAAAUUGAGAAAAAUUUACUAUUUAGAUUUUUUUAAUGAGUUUAAUGGUAUUUAAAAAUAAUUCAAAAAUUCGAAAAUUGACUAAUUUAAUAUUAUAAAUUCAUAAACCAAGACUAAUUCAAAAUGCAUUGGGGGCUAAGGGGGUUGAAAUUAAUGCUCCAUUUGGUUGUGGCCACCAAUUGGCAAUGGCCACCAAUCAACCAAUCAAGGUGGCUAAGGGGGUUGAAAAUAGGGACAAUGGGGUGGGUUUGGGACAGGACACUCAUAUCCCAUUCCCAUCCCAAUUACACAGUUAUUUCCCAUCCUUAUUCCAAACUUGUGUUGGGGCAAGUUGAUUUGUUCCCAUCUUUGUUAACGAAAUGACUAAUAACCUCAUCCUCUCCUUGUCUUAGAUGUACAUUUUCUCAAAUUUGGUCAGGUAUGAUUGAUUCAAGCCCUAACCUUAAUUGGUAAUGAGUGGAUACCACACCUAAUUGCAUUCUUCUUUCGUUGCAAAAUAAUGAGAUUAUAAUAAUCUAGCAAAUAAGAAAAAAUAGUAUGGAAGUUCAAAUUAACACCAUAACUAUCAAUAAUUUUAAGCUUAUAGAUGACUUAAAUGAUUGAAAACUAAUGCAAAAUACUAAAAAAAAAAAAAAUCAUCUAAAGAAUUCACAAGAGAAUAGAACGAACAAAACCAAAUAGGAACAUGGGUCAACAUUAGUUACAGAUUUUGAUCCCUUUCAAGGCCAAUCUUUGAACCAAGACUUCAUCAAAUCUACUACUUCAAAGGCUUUUGUGUUCUUCUUGAGUUGUACUCUGGAACAAAGACUUCGAGGUGAUGCUUUAGAUGAUUGCAUUACACAUAUUUAGGGUAGGGAGAUUGGAGAAGCUUGAAGAUGCCAACGAUGGGUACAAUUGAGUGGUCAAUAAGAACAAUGUGGCCUAUGACUAGUUUGAUGUCAUGGUAUAGGAGUUUUGGGCAUUGAGGUGAAAGCAAGAGCAACAUGGAAUUGAUUUCAAAGUCUUUCAAUUAGUGUAAAGGAGGAAGAAGAAGUGGUAUUGAUCCUAGAAAUAGUGUUUUAGGUGUUGCAUUAGAGGAAAAGAAAAAGAAAAAGAAGGAACCAUUGGAAUUAGUACGAGUGUGAAGAGAGAAGUGUAUACAUAAGGGGAAGUAAAAGCAAAGUUCUAAAAAUUUAUUUUUUUAUUGGUGGUGUAUGGUUGCAUGAUUAUCCCUAUAAAUAAUAGGAGUUUUUUGGUGUUCUACUAGUAGUUGAAGGAUAAUUUCAUAAGAUAAUAUUUAGAGCGGGGUGGGGUGAGUUGUGACAAAAUCCAUACCCGUCCCAAACAUUGGUUCAGGUUUUUAAAAUAUUUUCAAACUUAUCAUAUACCCAAUUUUAUAUUUCAUACUUGUCCUAAUAGAGACAGGUUAGUCAGGGUUACUUGAGUAGCCUACAAAACUAUCAUCCCUAGUUGAAAUGCUCUUUUUGGCAGUGGCAGCUAGAAGCUCGAUCGAUUGACCUACAAGACUAGUUGUCAUCAUUUUAAAAAGAGUUUUGGCUUUGGUUGUGAGUGCAAUUGAAUCUAAACUAACAUUUCCUUAAUGCAUCUACUUCAAUCCUAAACUUCUUACUUAAGCCUCAAUUGUUGUUAAGAUUUUGGAAAACCCAUUUCCUUAAAUUGUAAAUUUAAGAAAAAAAAAAUUAAAAGUGAGACAUUUCUUGAUUGAAUGUUGUUAAAGGUCCCUUGGAAUUAAGACUUGGUUGAAGCCUUGGAAGAUUAGCAGAACUCUCAACUUAUGUUUGAACCUUGAGGAGAGUGGACGUAGGCCAAAAUUUUGUCAAACCAUUAUACAAAUUGAGUUUGAAUUCUCAUUUCUUGAUUUCUUAUUUAUUUGCUUUUUCUUAUUAUUACUUGAAUUGUCAUUUGCAUUCAUUAAUGUUAAAAUUGGUUAUAAUUAGCCAACACUAAUUCUCUUUCCCCUUCCCUUAAUUUCUUGGGUGUAAACCUAGGUUGGAUUAACUAGAUUUUAUCAAAUCUAUUAAGAUGGUAAAAGAAUAAUUAUUCUUAACAUACAUAAGAUCAUCUUCAAUCAAAUGACUCAUUGGCUGAUAUGUUGAAUUUGCUUAUUACUUGCAACUCAAAAUUGUGUUCUAGUUGAUAUGUCAAGUCCUGAGUGUAUGGACAUUAAAUUUGUAGUACGUGAUGAGUAUUUAGAUGGUCCAAUUCCAAGAAAGUGAUUGAAAACUAGUUCAAGAAAGGUGCAAAAGGGAAUUGUUUUGGUAUUUUCGUUUUUAUUCUUGAAGGUGGCAGAGCUAAAAUUUGAGAAAUCAAGCAAAACAUACUGAAAUUACAUUGAAAGAAAGAAAAUGGGAGUUAAUGUCUUGCAGUACAUGAUAAGGACUUCAUGCAUGUAGUGUGACCCAUGUCUUGGACUGAUGCCACACUCACGGUUACACUUAUACCCUUAGUUCUCUCUUUACUACCUUAGCUAACCUAGAUCAGGUUAUGAGAUAGGCACCUCACCACACCAUUACUUGCCCAUUAAUUAGUGACAUUUUCAAGCAAUGAGGUAACAUGGUGACACCAAGAGGGUAUAUUCCUCACCCCCAACAAGCCUAGACCUGGUCUAAAAAAAAUGGAGAAAAAUGACGUGUUGUUAUGCAGAAAUAUAGCAACCAUGCCUUCCUCAUUACUUAGAUUCAGAAUGUGAAGGUGAAAUUGAGAAACAGAAACUCUUGAAACCAAAAUGAAAAUUGAUACUUUUACGAAGAAUUACAACAACAUUAGAGGAAGACUACAUUCUUCCUCUUUAUUCCUACAUUUCUACACUACUUCUACUCCACUCCAUAUUUCUACAUACAUCUUUAAUCAGUCUUCCCUCCUUUAUAUAGAGCCAUCUUCACACAAAUUCCGCAAGGUAGAAAAGAGGAAUGAAACUUGGAGCAAGGUUCGACUACUGGCUGUAGCUUGUCAAGGCUGAAAGUGAACUUUUUUUCUUGGCUUUUCUGGGCAUAGGUAGUAACUUGUAGGUUCCUUUUUGGAAUGAAAAUGGUACGGCUAGAACAUGUGGCACUCUCUUGUUGGAUGAUGUGUCAAGCAUGUGGCAGCCAUCUAGUGGAGAUUAUGUCAAUUUUGGGAUGGAGAGUUGGCAUCCAAUUGCAAAGAAAUAUGACAUCUACCAACAUGCAAUGUCAACCUAUGUAGAUCAUAUGAAGAUAGAGAGGAAAAAUAUAGAAAUGGAUAUAUAACUAGAACUAGCUUUUUAUUAAAUGAGACGGAGAGCCAACAAUGAAGGAAAAUCAAAAUUUUUGGCUCAUAUCAAAGAAUUCACAUUGUGUUACCCUAGGUUUUCUUAAAACUUACUUUUAUGAUAAUAAAAAAUCAUUAUUGUUUAAUCCUUUGUUUUAAACGCAUGUUUAGCAGGUUGUAAAAUGUAAAUAUCUUUCGAAAUUCAAAUAUGAAGAUAUGACAUCAUUUCAAGCAAUAUAGUCUCUAGGAAUUAAUGUAAAGCUAAAUUAAGGUGCAAUUAAGUUAGUUCAAUGCAUUAUUUUAAGAAACUUGACCUAUCAAAACCUUGUCUUACUUCAAAGCCUCUUUUUCUUUUCUUCCAACUAACAUUUUAAUAAGUGAUCGCAAAAGUACAAAAUUAGAUGAAAUCCAUUUCAAUGGUUAAAAUGAUCAAAUUCAAACUUUUUCUAAGUAUCUUUUAAAAGCAUCAAUAUUGAAAGACAAUUUUAUAUUUAGUCAAAGCUUGGACAGAGCCAAAAAGCACACAAAAAUUUAUAUUUUCUAGCUCUCUACCUUGGAUGGUCUCUUGAUCCUACUUGGAGAUGUGCAUAAAUAAAAGGAUUUGAAAAUGACAAUUGACUAAGUAUGUAGUCAAUCAAUUACUCAUUGAUUGACUAGUUGAUCAAUUAACUUUGCAACAUCAUAUGCAAUCCUAAUAGCUAGUCAUCUAAUCAACUAGGUAGUAAAUCAAUAGGCCAAAAAUAUGUUUAUAAUGACUAUUUUGUACAAAAACCACUUAUAUAGUUAAAUAUAAUGCAUUUCAUUUAUAAAUCUUCUAAUUCUUGAAUAACAAUCCUAUCAUCCUUUGAAAGUUUUUAUUACACCUUUUCUACAUUUGUUCUAAAACUUAUACAUCACCCUUAAUUGUACCAUGAGAACCUAGCAUUUUUUUUUUUUUUUUUGUAUUUCAUCAAAGUUAGCUCUUGUACUCAUUGUUGUAUUAUUUUUAUUGUAACUUAGAGAGCGAGUGUUUUCAAGUGAGUGAAAUUGACUUGUAAAUAUUGUAAAGAUUCAUUGAUAUGUAUCUCAAACUAGGUGUACAAGUUGAAACAUUUGCUAGUAGAUUUUCUCAAGAUUUAGAAUGAGCUUAAGGCUAUCGAAUUAGGUGGGGUUGCGCCAAACCAUAUCACAUCGUUGUUUGCACCUUUUUUUUCACUCUCUUUUACUUAGUUGCUCUAUAUAUAUUGUCUAGCAAUAUCCUAAAGGCUUGAUGGGCUAGGGAGCAUCCCUCUGAAUGAAAAAUUUUCAUUCAAUUCUUAGUUGUAUUACGCAUAUAUAAAAUGCCUCAUUGUUUUAAUGGUAUUCAGUCGUGGCACCACAGAUAUGGACAUCUAAAUUUUAAAAGUUUGAAACUUUUAGCUAAAGAAAAUAUGGUGCUUUGCCUUUUUGGAAAGCAUGUUGAUGAAAUCCAUGAGAAUUGUAUACUUGGAGAGCAACAUCGAGAUAACUUUUUUUUUUUCUUUUUUUAUAAUGCAUUGUUUGUCCAAAUUCCGUACAAAUUAGGCCACCACAUGUUCAUAAUUCUCCCUUCUUGAAUUUGAAAACUCGGACAAUUUGACAAUGCGACACCUAAGUCCGGUUUUUAAAUGCUAAAGUGAAAGGGCAGGUAUGGACCAUUGAAAUGUGAUAACAACUUUUGGCCUUUUCCUUUUCUCUGUAGCCAUGUUGUCUCUUUUUAAUUUCUUUUGCAUGAUUUUCUUACCUAAACAGAAUCAUAGACUUGUUUAAUCUCUAAGUGGGAUUUCAUCCACCUUAAGCUACUGUAUUAUAUCUCGGUGGAGGACAACCGACAUAGAGCACAUGCAAGUGGGUAUAUGGGACAUGAAAUAUCUUCUUAUAAAGCUUGUUUUGCAGUUAAAUUAAUUGGAUAAGUAGACACUGGCGUUUCUAAAUUUCCCACCUAAGAUAAUGACCUUAUCCUUGACUGCUAGAUACACAAACAAUUAUACCUUCAAAAUCUACUGUGAAGUGCUUCAUGUAUGUGUGAAGUAUUAGAAAUUUCUUUCUUGGCAACUUGUUUUUUUCUUUGCGGUCUACUGAUAGGUUUGACUAAAAUUAUAUUCCCUGUCCUGCUAAUUAAUUUUCACGUGCAUGCUCAAAAGAAGAGUAUGACCUUAGUGCACCAAAAUCACUUUCAAUAAUUUGUGAUAAGUUUUUUUGCAUGACAUUAACCUUAUUCAUUUAGAUAAUGUUUAGUUCUCAUAAAUAUUAAGAAAAUGAAAAUAAAUAUUAAGAAAAAUAUUCUUAUAUUUGAUUGUAUUAUGAAAAAUAUCAUAAAAAAUCAAAUAUAAUUAAAAUUAAUUAAUAAUUUAUAUAUUUUAAAAUUAUUUAAUUUUUAUAUUAAAGAUAUAAUAUAAAUGAAAUGAGUUUUAAGUAUUAUAUAAAAAUGAUUUAUUUAUUUAUUUAUAUAUAUAUAUAUAUAUAUAUUUAGUUUUUCUCUUUAUUUUAUUUUCCUUAUGUUUUCCUCACAUUUUCCGGAAUCAAAGAUAGGGAAAUCCACAAUUACCUUCAACUGAGUAGAUUCUAUUGUUUUAGCAAUGUUAGGCUGCUAACUUGUGGUGGUACGAACCAAAUGAUCCAUGUUAAUCUUGGCUUGAUUUAAUUUGGCUCUAUCUCAGAGAACUCAAGGAUCACGUCAACUCUGGUUUCUACUAUUCAGGUCCAUUCCCAGAUGAACUGGUUCAAAUUUGAGAAAAUGGUAACAGACCUUUAGUGAUAUUGGUUUGGAGCCAGUUGCCAAACCUGCCCUGAGCUUUACCACUAAUGUCAAGGGACAAAGCCAUUUGAACAAAAACAAUAGCUUCAAGAGACUGAAUCGUGGAUGAAAUCUGAUCCACAUUUCUUCUCAUUUUGGGAAAAAAUGAGGACUUAACCACAAAGAUUCUACUGCCUCAUAGUGCUUUUCCUGAUCUAAGGUUGGCUCGUUUCCCAAAUUGUGAGGUGCACGUGCCACUCUCACGCUCAGGAGUGUAUCCACGUGGUGGACAUAAGAUGGUGGCUUAAUAUCUGGUGUCGGUGGCUUUACUUUACUAGGAGAGUAGUGUGUCUUCAUCUCAUUCACUGCCAGAGGGUGGCGUAAGCAGUGACGCUAAGGUGGGGCACAGUCAAUAUCAUUUGCAUUUGACCAUUAUAAUUUUCUCCCGGCUUUAAAGUAACCUUAUCGUGAUAAUGGAUUACUAGCACUAGUUCAGAUGACAGUCAUGUUAAAUUCGGACCAUGUUUGUGUCACAUUAUCAGCAACCAUGUGCUUGUGGUUCAUGCUAUCUGCAACUAAACUUGAUAUAUAACCAGGUGAACUUCAAUCUAAAUUCUGGAAGUACUCAUGUGAUAGAUGGUGCCUGUCUGCAGUGAGUGUAUCUAUAAGAGGGAAGGCUUGGCAAAUGUUCAGUUUUCUGGGAAUUCAACAGGGAUCUAAAAUAGAUUGUUUUCUUUGCUGAUUUCAAUGGUUGAAAUUUGAGAAGAUUGUGUCCACAUAACACAACUAUUACUGGUCCUUCUGUUGCAAUUUAUCCUCUAAGGCUCUAACAUGUCUUCCAAUUCCCACUUCCCACUUCCCUGUUACUCCAGGAAAGCUGUUUCUGUCAUUGUGAAGAAGAAAAGAGACUGUACAUAUCGAUGCUUUUAAGUGGACUGGAGAAUUCAUAUCAGGUGGUCUGCAGCCAUACAUGCCACUUUGUGAAGGUUGGAACAGUCAAUCACUAGGCUAUAUUAGUGGGGCCCAGCCACUUCAAUCAAGGACAAGUCUUCAUACUUAAAGUCAAAUUCUGCCUUUAGUCUCAUUAUAAAUUGCUGUUUAAAUAUCAAGCAAACAUUUGUUUAAUGCGAUUAAGACAGCACUAACUCAAUACUUGUUCUAUUUUUGGAUGCAAAUGCUUGAUAGUUUCAUCAUUGGAGGGGAUAAAGGUGCAUUCAUGAUUAUGAAUACUUGUAGUUAUAUUUUCAUUCUCUUUUUUCUCAAUGGGACUUGUUGGCACAAUUUUGCUGUUCAGAAACCUACCUCUCCAUGGAAAAUCAGUUGUGAUUGAUAUUACUGGAUAUAUUCAAGAAAGCUAAAUGUAGAUAGCACAAAAUAUUAUCGACAUAAAUAGCAUUAACAGCGUACGUAUGUCUCAAUGCUCAUCAGCUAUAAGCAAGGGGCAAACACUUACUAUGAGCAACUUACGUCAAAAUUCCGGAAUAGGACAUAGAAGUGACAGGUCAGUAAAUAUAGAACACUGCAUAUGAGUCACAAGAAAGGAAAUUACGGGUACAUAGCAGCUCUUAUUUUACAUCCUACUCAUACUGAUCAAAGUCACUCAGUUGGGAUGGGUGGGAGUGGGAGGUUUGUGGGGUGGCUUGUGCGGAGGAGUUGGCAGCUUCUUUCCAGGACCUGGUUGCUUCUCUGCUGGAGUUGAAGGAGGCUUAAUCUUCCGAGGUGGCUUGUAUGAGUCUUCAGCAUUCUCAGCAGGAGGGUGACCAGGGUUGUGACCACAAUGUGGUGGCUUCUCUCCCUUAGGUGGUUUGCCAACUGGGGUUGGUGGCUUGUGUUCCGGAAGUGGCUUCUCUUUGUGUUCAGGAGGUGGCUUCUCCACUGGAGGCUUGUGUUCAGGAGGUGGCUUCUCCACCGGAGGCUUGUGUUCAGGAGGUGGCUUCUCCACCGGAGGCUUGUGUUCAGGAGGUGGCUUCUCCACCGGAGGCUUAUGCUCUGGUGGUGGCUUCUCCACCGGAGGCUUAUGCUCUGGUGGUGGCUUCUCCACCGGAGGCUUAUGCAAUGGUGGUGGCUUCUCCACCGGAGGCUUGUGUUCAGGAGGUGGCUUCUCUACCGGAGGCUUAUGCUCUGGUGGUGGCUUCUCCACCGGAGGCUUAUGCUCUGGUGGUGGCUUCUCCACCGGAGGCUUGUGUUCAGGAGGUGGCUUCUCCACCGGAGGCUUGUGUUCAGGAGGUGGCUUCUCCACCGGAGGCUUGUGCUCUGGUGGUGGCUUCUCCACCGGAGGCUUAUGCUCUGGUGGUGGCUUCUCCACCGGAGGCUUGUGUUCAGGAGGUGGCUUCUCCACCGGAGGCUUAUGCUCUGGUGGUGGCUUCUCCACCGGAGGCUUGUGUUCAGGAGGUGGCUUCUCCACCGGAGGCUUAUGCUCUGGUGGUGGCUUCUCCACAGGAGGCUUGUGUUCAGGAGGUGGCUUCUCCACCGGAGGCUUAUGCUCUGGUGGUGGCUUCUCGAAUGGGGGAUGCGUAGGGUAAUCAGCUAGUGAGGGGGCGGUGAGAACCACCAGGCCAAGCAACACUACUAGCAAGUAUGUAGGAGACAUCUUUGGGUUUGGGCUCAGAUGGUGCAAAACUAGGAGAAUUGGCUAGCCUUUUAUAGCGGAUCGUACCCAAUAAUGAAAUGACACGUGUCAUUAUGACCCAUGUGUCAUGUGGUCGAUUUGGGUCCUACAGUGUUGAAAACUUCGACAUCCACUUUUUUGGCCUUUUGCUUUCUCUACAGUCGCCUUGCUUUUUCCCUCUUUUCUUUUGUUUUCCUCCUGCCCCAUUCUAUCAACUAAUCACAAUUAUGUAGUUGUUUAAUUCUUAAAUGAGAUAUUAUCCGUCAAUCAUAUUAUCUUUUAUCAAGAGAGAACGGAGUGAAAAGUGGCAAUCCAAAGAAAGAAGAUCCAUAAUGCAGCUGUAAUUUUAUCGUUUACUUUUAUCUCUAGGACCACUGCAUUUUUGUUGAGAGGUGCAAUAAUACACGUCUUUAUCUGCCAUUCAAUGUUUACAGUAAAGAGAGGGCACAAAACUCUUCACUGCUCUGCAUGUGCCCCAAAAAUGCAAUUGGACAAAUUAUGAUUUGCAUGCUAAAAAGAGGCAAAUGAGGUUAAUUAGCACCAAAAUUAUUUUGUUUUCUGGACACCCCGGGGCCCUUUGGUUGGUUUGGGGGUCAGAAAAUGAACAUCAUAGGGGGUUUUUCCCUAAUGUGCAUUUGCAUUUGUAUCUGAUGGCUUUAACUCGCCUUGUUACUACAAAGAAAUUGUCACAGAUAGGAACUUAUUCCAGGCUGAGUAUCUCCGCAUGGACCCUAUAAAAGAAGACAAGUCAUAAUGAACAUCUAACCUUUGUUCAAUUUGAUUCAAUGCCCCUAUUGUGUCCAUCUCACAAAUCUGAAUUAUUAUAUCCAUUGAAUACAUAAAUUAAUGAAGAAAAUAUGAAACCCAAGAUACAUCUCUGCACAACCUCAACCCUGGUUGCUAUGUUUCACUUCUAUUCACAUGAGGAUAUUGAUUACGGAAUAAGGAAACCUAGCAAGGGUUUACUCGGCUCUGGUUUGAUGCUAAUUGCCAAACUUGCAACAAGCCCUGAGUUUGACACCUAAUCGAUGGGCGAAUUAAAAGUCUCCUCCAAACAUAUAUUCCACAGCUUGAAGCUCACAGAAGAUGCUAUACAGGCAGGGAAAAACCUUCAGAGUUAGCUACCAAAGAUAAUUAUCAAGGAGAUAUCACCAAGAGAAUUCCAUGGAGUCUGAAUCAAAGACAAAUUGCUCGCUCGUGGGGGUUCUUACUUAAUUUCUUUUGGGUAUAACUCACUGAGGGCACUGGCUUUGUUAUUUGCAUUUCGCAUUUAGAGUUCUGUUCUGGAAGGUUUGUUCUGGAAACAUAUAAAAGGAGCAUCAUUUUGUUCUAGGGUAACCCAUAGUUGUGAGUGGGUCCAUUUGCAUGCUACUUAGUUGAAAAGUUGGACAAUUUGCUCCGACGCCUACCUCCUGGAUUCCAUGCUCGGAUAAAGCAAGAAUAAUAAAAUAUUUAUAAUUUACAAAUGGGGGAAAGAAAAAAAUGUCAACAACAAACUAGGAAAAAAGAGUAGUAAAAUUUAUGCCACAUGCUAUUGAUAGAAGGGGCAUGUAUUAGAUCCAUCACCAUUUGGUAAGAUUUUAGUAUUAUAUUUUUCAAGGUUCAUUAUUUGAGGGUGUGUUCUUCAUCUCUGUUGCAUUGCUUCUUACUAGGCCCACUGAGGUGGGUUCUUCACCUUUUGUAUAUUCUCUGCACUAGAUCAAUGAGAAAGGGGGAAUUUUGGUGAAUUUGCAGCCGUUGGAUGAUUGAUUCUAGGCUCAGUCCACCAAUGAUGCUCUCUUCACUCUUUCUCAUCUAGUGUCAUUCACAACUAUGUUUUGAUUCAUAUUUGUACUAUCAAAGAUAUCUCAUUAUUCUAGCUCAUUAGGUAGAGUUCCUAAUCUUCCUCCUUUUUGGUCUAUGGACAGUAUUGGCUUCAUAUUAAGAUCAUGUUUCAAUAAUUGCACAUUAAUGAAUGGAUCAUGACCCACAUAAACAGAGUCAGGGUUGAGUCAGUGAACCCUAAAAUUUCACAAUUCUAAAUUUGGGUUCUUUAACAAUGCAGGGUCAAGGACGCGUGGUGAUGAAGGAAAGCUGGUAAGCUCAGUGUUACUUCAAUUCCUGCCAUGUAGGAUGGUGAGGAGAUAUUCACUAUGCAAUUAAUAAUAGACAAUAUUCACUAUGCAAUAAUAAAGCAUAAAUUAAGUUGAAUGAAAAGCAUUUUCUUUGCAAGGAGUUGAUUUUGGUUUCAUAGUUUGUUCAACUGCUAUUUUGGAUAGGAAAGUGUGAGGAGAAGAAAAUAAAAAAUAAAAAUAAAACAAAAAAUAAAAAAUAGAUUUUAUAAAUUCAUUUAAUUUAUUUUUUUUUUAUAAAAAUUAACUAAUUUAAAAUAUAUGUAAAUUUCUAAUUAAUUUAAUUACAUUUUUUUUUUCAGUUUUUCAUAAUAAACCAAAUAUUAGAAAAUUAUUUUUAUUAAGACACCCAAGAUGAGGUAAUAUGCAAUGAAAACAUGAAUUAUAUUAAAAUUCAAAACAAAUUAAGAGAAAUCGGAAAAUAUACAUAGAUAUCUAAACAAAGAAAUUUAAAGAGAAGGAACCACAAACUUUAUUUACAUAAUUUGAAAAUAAAAAACAUAAAACAUACUUAUAGUAAGGAGAAAUUGAAUAUCUUACAAUGGAAGAAGGGAGAAAAGCUUUGAAGAAAGCUUUUGCUUGGAAGCUUACAUGGUGAGAGGUAGAGAAAGGAGAGAGAGAGAAGAAAAUGAAAAAUGAGAAGUGGAGAAAAUUGGAAGUUUUGUGUGCUUACAACUGAGGAUAGAGCCUCCUUAAAUAGCAAAAAAUGGAAUAUUAAAUAGUACCAAUCAGGAGACAAAAUAUUGUUUGCUUUUGAAACCCGUGCAUGAAUAGUAAUCCCGUGAGUGAAUAGUGAAUAAUAAAAGUGAAUAGUAAAAGUCACUUUCUACUAUAGCACUUUAGACUUUUUCAUCGAGAAUCUUACUUUCGGCUGAGUGAUGAUAGCUGAUAGGUUGCUUUGGAUUGUGGAGUCAUAUGUUUGAUGUUUUCGGUGCUGAAACCGCUUAGUUGGAGAAUAAUCUCGUCAGUAGAGCAUCAUGAGAAGCUUGAAUGGAGAGAGCUUAAUGAUGCCAUAUGAUUGGAAGGAAUCCUAUUUUAAUUUCCUUAUUGGAGGGAGAAUACCCUCACAAUCAUCUUCAUUAUCUUGAAGGUAGUUUGAUAUAGAGUCAUCUGACUCAGCAUAAGAGUCCUCUUGGGAGAAGCUUGAACUGCUUUUGUCAAGGAUUUUCUGAAAUUCUUGAGGGGUUUUUGCUAUUGCUAACAUGGUUUGGAGUUGCUGUUUCUUAAGAAGAAACUGUGCAAUAUCAUAAGAUGAUGAAGCUUGUGUAGGAUGCUUUAGGAAAUAUUGCUUUAUUGCUUGUAGUGAGGUAUCAUUUUUCAAGGCAUCCCACCACUUAGACUUGAAAGUCCUUCCAAGGGUUGGAAAGGCUGCUGAUUCAUCUGCUAUAAUGAUAUAAUCCCACUGGACUAUCCAGGCAAGGCCAAAUUCACUAAAAAAGAAUAAUAAUUGGGGAAAACUGAAAGUUCUCUAGGGAUAACAAAAGAACUUUGGAAUAGCUCAAAGCCAUCCAAAAUGGGUUUUGGGAGAAUUUUAAUAGUUGGACCAAAAUAUGUCCACCAAUUGUGGAACCAAAAUGGAAAAGAGGGGAGUUGAUGCUUAGAUGGGAAAUAGAACAUCCCUGAAUGAUGGAAGUCCUUGUUCUGGAUCAGAAAAGCAUUGAACCAUACUCUUUGGUAGUCUCAAUAAUUGAAAAUUUUAGGUUUUGAAGGCUUAGAAAAUUCUCUUGAAAAAUUAGGAUUCCCACCCCACUGCUUAACUGUAAGGAUUUUAUAAAUAUGGUAAGUGGAGAAUGCCAAAUCCAAAUUGCUGAAUUUAUCAGCAUUGUGCUUGAUUUUAACAGAGCCGGUUUCCAUAAGGAUUGCUUCAUAAAAUUCUCUUGUUUUUAAAAGAUCACCAAAGGGAUAAUGAAAAUUUUCAUGAAAAGCUUUUGCUGCAAUAUCUCUAGGGUUUUUAGAGAAAAACUCUUUUUCAAUAACCAAAAGAGGUUGAUUUAAAUCUUUUUGCCAAUAUCUUGCUUUUGCUGAAAGAGGUGUGGGGUUGGCUACCACCACAAUUUGCUUAUUUGAAAAAGAAGAGCUUGAUGCUAAUUCAUUUUGAGAGGGAUUAGCUUUAGUAACCUGCUUAAAGGUCUGAGACACAGUAAUAGUUGGAUACUGAGUAGCCUUGACUGGUUUAGAAGGAUUCGAAGGAUCAUAGUACAAGGACAAAAUCUUAUUAGGCAUAUGGUCAGAAGAAUGAAGCCUUGCUUCUUCUUCUAGCUCAACUUGUUGGCUCCAAAGUAUUUUAUGGGGAGAAGGUUCUUUGCUGGUUUUAGAAGACUAGGAUUCUGGAAGUUUAGGAGCUUGGGUAUUCUUUUUAGGGGCCAUGGUUUCGUGAAUCCUGUAAAAUUCACAAGUUAAGAAAUCAGGGCUCGAAGAAUGUUCUCCUUUAAUAUACUCAAUUUGUAAAUUAAAAUUGCUUAAAAUAGCUUGAUAUAUAGCAAAAAUAUGCUUAGAAGUUAUAUUCUUAACAUCCUUUUGUAAAACUAAUUUUGCAAAUUUACAAUCAACUCUUAAUAAAAACUUUUGAUUCAAAAGAUCAUCUUGAAAUUUUGAAAUGCAUAAAACAACGCUUAAAGUCUCUUUUUUAAUGAUGUUAUGAAUGAGUUGGGUAGUAUUCCAGGUUCUUGAAGUAUACCUAACUAACAUCUCAAGGUUACCAACACUUUGCUUAAGAAUCCCACCAUAACCUAUGUCUGAGGUAUCGAUCCCAACAAACUCAAAGGUUUCUGGAUUGAUAGAGCCUAAACAUGGUAGGGUCUUGACUUUGGACUUAACAUCAAUAAUGAAAACAAUGGUGAAAACAGAAAACUGGUUAAAGUUUUCAUCCAUUAUAUUCUGGAAUUCUGAGGUGCAUUCUUAAGAUCAAAGGGCAUUAUGAACCAUUCAUAAUGUCCAAGAGAUACCACAAAGGUGGUCUUAUUUGGAAUAGGACACCUAAUCCAACUUAAUGUAUCAUUAAGAGGCAUGUAGUUGACGACUAGUCUAGGUGUUCCUUUUUCUGAUUCAACUUGUUCCUGAACAUAGAAGGUUGAACAACUCCAAAGGGACUUAGACUUCCUUAUCAACUUUUUAUCAAGAAGAUCCCAAAUCUCCUUAUCACAAUAGCUUAACAAACCCUUGUUCAUCUGGAUAGGUCUUGAUUUAGUGGGAAUAUUCUUGUCACUAAAGUCUAGUUCAUAAGGUAAUUCUACCUCAUGUUGUUUCCUAUGCCAAAAUGCAUUAGGAAUGUUAGAGCAAACUUCUUCAACAAUCAGAUUAAUUUCUUGCUCAUGACUUUCCUUAGCUUGAAUCACCUGAUCCCUUAAGGUGUUUAUAUUUUUCUUAUUAGGUGGUUGGCAAAUUCAAAAAUAAUUUCCUUAUCUAAGAGCUUUGUUCUUAUACUUUGGUCAUCUACCCACAUGGGAUAGAUGGAGCUUAAAAAGGGGAUUCCAAGGAGAGCUUUCUCCUUAAGAUCCUUAACUAGAAUGAAGGUUUGCUUGAUGCAAAUGCCUUGGUUAUUUAUGUGAGCAUCUGACAGCUUAUACUCAAUGUCAAGCCUUUUACCAUUAGCUCCAAAGAGAGAUUCUUUGGUUUUCUUACAAAACUUAAUAGGACCUAGACCUUCUUGUAGGCAAUUCAAAGCUGUUCCUGAAUCAAUCAAAGCAACAAUAUCAAUGACAAAUUUACUCUUAAUUACUAUAGUAAGGGAGACUUUCCACCUCUGGAAAAUAACCCUACUAACAGUAUUUAAGUAUCCAUCCGUCUUUUCAUCAUUAGCAUGUGAAGAUUCUAGAACCUCUUCAAGGUUUUCCUAGUUAUCAACAAGAUUUUCUAUAACAAUCCUAUUUAUUUGUUCUUGGAGAUCUGAAAAACCUAAGCUUGUGUAUUGUCUUAAAUCUUUAAUUUCCUUCUUAUACUGUCUUACUUCUUCUUGAAGAUCCUUAAUGGUUACGUCUUUGGUAGACUACUGGUUAAAUCUUCCUAAGAUUUCAUUUAAGUUAUAAGAAUUUACUGUCUUCUUAAUCUCUUGCUUAUCGACAAAUUUCUUAAAAACUUCAUAAAGAUCUUGUUUAGUUUUUUCAUCUUCAACUUUCCUUAAAACAUCUAGGACAAGUUCUUGAUCUUGGCUUAUGACAUUUAUAGUCUUAGGUUGGCAAUCACAAUUAUCCUUAAUGUAUUCUUCUUGGUCACUAGAAGUUUGGCUUGAGAUUUCCUCACCACUACUAUCUAGUUGGUUAAUACCAUUUUCAUUAUCUGAAUCAAUCCUUGAUUCAGACUCUGUGGAAUUUAACAUUACUUUACAAAGCAUAUCUUUUAAGUCUUCUGUGACAUUUAAGUUAUUAAUUUUCUGCUUAACCCUACAAUCUUUCUUAUAGUGGCCUAUCUUACCACACUUAAAACAAACUGGCUUAGAUUGUGAAGGAGCUUCUAGCUUUUUAUGGGCUUCUUUGUUCAUCAUUCUUUGGAUGUGCCUUUGUUUCUUAGUUUCAUUCAUCCUAUAGUUGCCAUGAGUUCCUCUCUUGUUGUGAUAGGACUUUUCCUUACUAGGCUUUGUACUUACUUGUUUCUUACGUUGCUUAGAGGGGGGCUUAGUUUCUUUUUGGUUGAAUCCAAACUAGCUACAAAAUGAACCAAACUCAUUCUUGUAGAUCCUUUGUUCAUUUUUCAUCUGUUGCUUAAGCUUAAAGUCAUUGCACAGUUUAAUUGCUUCUGAUGUGACAAUGCUUAUAAUUUCUCCAUAAGAAAGCUUAUCAUAAGGGAUUUGUCCAUUAAACUGUUCCCUUAUCUUAAUCCUAAUCCUCUCAGAGAAAAGUCUAGGUAGUCCUAAGAUGAAUUUUUCUUUCCAAAAAGACUGGUUAUAGUUUGAUCUUAGUAUGACUUUGGUUAGGAAAACUUCUCUAUACCAUCUAAAGUCAUGAAGCUUGGGACACUUAAGGUUGGUUAAGAGAUCUACAAUCUUAUCCUUAAUCUUUGCAGGAUCUCCAAUGAAGUGCUUUGAAAUUGAAUAGAUUAGAGUAGCCACUACAUCCUCUAUAUCUUGUCCAUCUUCAUCCUUAACCACUUCAUUUUCCUCAUUAAUCCUAUAGGCUUUUAGGAUACCAUUUCUAUCCUCAAAGGUGAGAUAAUUAUCCCACCAACCCUAAAGUUGACCUGUAAACCCAACAACAAUUGUUUGAGCUACAGCAUGGCCUGACAAUCUAUUGUUUAACUUAUAGGUUGUACUAACCAUGGUCAUUUCUUGAAGCUUAGUGAGUAUGUUGUACUCAAUCAUACCAUCUAUGUUCCAUUCAUAGAUAGUGUCACUAGUGUAGGAAGCUUGAGUAUGCUGGUUUCUUUCCUCAUACUACAUAUCAGGAAAAGUUGGUCUAGGGUAGUAAUUCCUAGUUCUUGGUUGUUGAUAAUCCUCAUAACUGUUUGGUUAGGAGGUUCCUUAAAAAUCUUAAUUAGUUCAUCAGCCUCUGCUUCAGAACUAAUUUCUCCUUUAACCAUAUUGAUUCUCUUGUGAGAUGGUUGAGGUGUCUCAGAGACAACAAGGCUAUCCUUAACCUUUUGGCUUAUCCUAUCAAUGAGGGCUUGAUCAAUAUGGAGAUUCUCUAGGAAUUUCUUAGAGAAUUCAAAAGGCUUAAAUAAAGACUUAUUAUCUUUCUUAACAAACGUAGUCUUAAUGUAGUCUUGUGUUUCAAUGAUAUCCUCAAACUUGUUGAGUUGAUCGCCUGUAGUCUUAAGAAACAUGUUAGUGUAGUUGUUUUGUUCCAUGAUUCUUCUAACGUCAACAACACUAUCAAUUCCUUUAUUCUUUGGCCUAGUCUUAAAAGGUGAAGCUUUGACUAUGGUUCAAUUAAUGUUCUUUUAUAUCUUAGCUUCUAGAGGGUGGAUGGAUUCUAUGAUAGUAUCGUCACUAGUUUUCCAUAUCUUAGUUUUUUUGGAUGUGUCAUUGACACGCUUACUAGGGUAAUCUAGAUAUUCCUCUUGUUUGAAGAGUUCAAACCAGAUCCAAUACUUAAUGUUCUUCUUUUCUUGUCUUAAGUAUGUGUAGAAUUCUUCUUGGUAGAGGGUUCUAAUGUCUUUAAGGACCUUGCUAAAGAACCAAACUCUCCUUUUCUUAUUGACUUCAGAAUAGAAGUCUUUCCUUAAGAGGUCCUUGUUGAUUCAAAGUCUUCGUUAAUUAGGCUUACAGUGUUAAUCAACUGAGAAUAAGUAGGAGACAUAUCAGGAGAUUCGUCCUGAUGUGAUUCUUGAGUAAACUCAUUUUCCUCCAUGUAAAAGGGUUUGGCCACGUUGGUGUGACUUCUAACACCUGUUAGCUUAAUAUUCUUAGGAUUUGCUGAACUAGAUCCUUCCUCUAUCCUAGUGGUUCUUAUUGGGAUAGAUGAACUUGAAGCUCUAGAGGGCUCAUAAUAUGAAAUUCUAAGGCUGCUAGAAUGAUGAAAAGAGUUGGAGAAAAUUAGAUCUCGUUCUCCAUCAGGAUAUUGAACAAUCUGUUCAAUUCUUUCAGAUCUUUGCUCUAUGGCUGGGACAACAUUAGCAAAAUGCCAAUUUUCUGGAAACUCAACCUCAUUCCACUUGAUUUUCAUGGGGACUAUGAAAUUAGACUUGUUUAUCAUAUCUAAGUGGAAGAUAGUGGUUUCACCCUUGGGACUGGUGCACAAUGCUCCAAAUCCAACGCUUAUGGUCAUGCUCUUAUAGGCAAAUCUGGUGAUGAUGGAAACAUGAUUGUUUCCUUGCUUGAACUUAAAGUCAUGGGUCUUAACAUGAAGGACAACUGAAUCUAAGAUGUUGACAUCUCUUAGUCUAACUGUGAAGUUAGGGAAACACUGGAAAUAAACAGGACCAUCAUUUAAUCCUGCUUGGGUAGCUCCAAUAAUAGAAUCUCGGUAAUCAAGAUGUCUAUUAUCUCUUAAACACAUGACAAUAAAGGUGUUUAGACCUAGUCUUGUCAAGGGCUUAGCUGCAACUUGAAUCAUGCCAAAGUGUAUGAAGUUGUAGUCUCGCUUAUGCUUAUCAAUGGACUUACUAUCCAAGAGUCUUAUGACUUGAUCGUCGUGUUCUAAACUUACUGACAUUUCAGGGGUUUUAAUGGUGUAAUCUGUAAAGAACUUAAAGGUUCCUUUCUUAUAAAUUUCUUGAUUAGGUACCUUGGGUAACUUCCAAUCAUCUAAAUCAUCUUGGAUCUUAGGAUAAUUGAUCUCUUCAUUGUUUACUCUUGAGAAUUUGUGGAUUUCCUAGACAUGGUUCUGAAAAUCAAACUCAUUUUAAGGUUUUAAUCUAGAGCCUAAUAGCAGAUUAACAGACCUAGUGAGUAAUCACCCCAACCCUUUUCCAACCUUAACAAACGCCUAUCUCCAGCUAACAAUGGGCUCAACUCGGCAAGGAUCGCACUCAGGCACACUACUAUCUUUCCUAGGAUAGAUCAAAACACCCAAAACAAACCCGACUUCCUUUUCCUAGGAUAUAUAUAGUAUUUUGGGUUUGAGUAGGAGUUCAUGUUUUGUAUGUAAUUGUAGUCUACGUUGGACUAGGUUGUUUGCUCCUAAUUGAAAUAGGAAUGGUUGGUGUCACAUCUCAUUCAUUUUCUCAUCUAUUUCCAUGUUUAGAUAACUCAAGUAAUCAUAGGAAUGAAAUUAAGAAUGAUUUGAGGGAAAUGAAAUCUCACUUGUAAGUGGGAUCUCAAUUCAUCAUUAAUAGAAGGUAUUUUGAUUACAUAGUGCAAGUUAUUUUUAAAAACACUUUUCAAAAAUUGAAAAACCAAAAACUCUCUUGGAUAAGUUGUUUUUAAAAAGAAUUUUUGUAUUUUUAUUUUGUAAAAAAAAAAAAUAGUAAUUCAAUUUAUAUAAUAUAAAUAGACUUUAAUUUUAUUAAAAAUAAAAAUAAUUUUUUAAUUACAAAUAAAUUAAAAAAUAAAUAUUUGUAAUAAAAUAUGAAUAGUAAUAUUAUAAUAAAAUCAUAAAUAAAUUAAAAAUAUUUUUAAAAACAAAUAAGUUUAAUUUUUUUGAGGUACAAAUGAGCCAAAUUUUUCAUUAGGUACACAACCAACAAUUUUUAUUGGAAACAUUCCUCAAAAAAGAAUUCGUUUCCCAUAUAGCAAAGAUAUUUAUUAUUUAGUAUCUAACCAUCCGUAGUAAUCAUAUCAAUUCUACUAAGUUAUUUAAUAAUUCAUUUAUAUAUAGUACUCAAUUAUGAAUUUUUUUAUUUGAUGUAUAAUUAAUUAAUCAAUGUUUUGAAUUUUGAAUUAUUCUUAAAAUUUAAAACAUUAAUUAUGUCUAUUACUUUUUAUAGUCAUUAUAUAUAUAUAUAUAUAUAUAUAUAGAGAGAGAGAGAGAGAGAGAGAGAGAGAGCUUAAAUUUAUCUUUAAAAAUUAUUAAAUUUAUUAAUAAAUUCAAUACAAAGACUCAUUUGAUUUGAAAUUCAUUUCUUUAGUGAAAAUUUUGAAACUAAAUAGUACUUUGUUUUACUUUGUUUUUAAAUCAUACUCACAAAUAAGUUUUUAUCAUUUAGCCAAAAAAUCUCAAAGAUGUUUCUAAUUUUAUUUAUUUAUUUAUUUGUAAAUGAAAAUAAAAAAUUAGUUUAAACUAAAUAUGCGGAUAUUAUUGUUAAUUUAUUUCAUUUUUUAUUUCCAUUGUUAUUUAACAUUGAAACGGAAACAAAUAAUCAUUCCAAUCUUACAUUCUUAUAUGCAUCUAAACACAAGAAUUGAAAUCACCAAAUUCAUAUUCAAGGCAAAAUAGAAAUGGAAAAAAAAUAUUCAUUUUCAUUCCUCAUUCUCAUGUGCUAAACAUGACAUUAGUUCUACUACCUAUUUCACCAUUCUUCUUGAUAAAUUUGGUAUAUGCAAUAUUGAUCUAAGUGUGAGGUGAAUAAGAAUGAUGAUGGGAUGGGCUUGGAAAUAAGGGCAAAGUUUCUAGGUGCUAUCUAGAGGGGCAACGCGACUUUUUCAAAUUUCGAAUAUUUGUUCUCAACAUAAAGCAAAACUUUACUCACACAAUAGAUAAGACUCUGUUUGUUUUCUUCAUCCACGACUAUAUAAUGUAUAGCUCUUACUCAAGGGAUGAGCUACUUACUAUUAAGGAUUGGGUAAGAUAUUGCCUAAUGGCCAAGAAGGCAUGUCAAAAAAUAAAUCUAAUCACCAUAAAAAAUAAUAGGGGAAAAUUAAUAUAUUAUGAAUGAUGACUUUACUAUUUCUCUAUAUACAUAAUUAUAUAUUUUGAAUUUUCUCACUAGGUAAUGAGAUUCUAAAUCAACUGAAACAUAAUUAAUAAUUUAUAUUUUUAAUGAAUCUUUUAAUUUUUAAAAAUAAUUUAAAAUUUUAAAAAACAAUUCAAUUAAUUACAUAUUAAAUCAAAACAUUUCAAAAUAUUGUGUUUGUAGAUGAGUACUAAAUGCUUGCAUAUAAUAAUAAUAAUAAAAAAAUUGACUCAUUUAGAUGUUAAAAAAGUUAAAUGUUUUUCAUUAUUCAUUUUAAGUAAAAUAUUAUUGACAUUAUUAUUAUAAAAUUAUUAUUAUUCAUUUUUAACAAAAAACAAAAUAAGUUAUUCUUUUACCAAGAUGUCAAUAUCUAUAUUUUUCUAACAUAUAUUAAAAUAGUAUACUUUUCUUUUAUUAAAAAUAAUAAUUAUUAUUAUAUUAUUAUUCAAGUUUUAUUAAAAAAAUUUAUCUUUUAAUUCAUUUGUAAUUACAAAAUAAUUUUAUUUUAUUAAGAAUUUAAUUUAAUUACGCUUUUUUUUUUUAUAAAAAAAACAGUUAUGCUUUUACCAAGAUGUUAAUAUUCAUAUUUUUCUAGCUAACAUAAAUAGAAUAGUACACUUUUUCAUAUAAAAAAAUAAUUUAUGAUUUUAUUAUAAUGUUACUAUUCACAUUUUACUAAAAAUAUUUAUUUAUUUUAUUUAUUUUUAAUUAUAAAAUAAUUUUAUUUUCAAGAAUUUAAUUUUAAAAAAAUAGAAAUCAUUUAUUCUUUUACCAAGAUGUUAAUAAACAUAUUUUUCUAACAUAUACUAAAAUAAAAAAGUUUACUUGUUCAUUAAAAAAUAUAAUUUAUGUUUUUAUUAUAAUACUACUAUCUAUGUUCUACUAAAAAUAUUUAUUUAUAAUUAAAAAAUAAUUUCAUUUUUAAUAAGACUUGAACUAAAUUAAAUUUAUAAUUUUUUUUUAAAAUAAAAUAGAAAAUUAUUUUUUAAAAACAACUUAUUGAAAGAAAUUUUUUAUUCUUUACUUUUAAGAACUGUUUUUAAAAGCAACCUAUAAACCCCUUUGGGUCUGUUUGGCUAUGUUUCAUGCAACUUGUUUUUAAAAAUUGUUUUUUAUUCUUUAAUUUAAUUUUUUUUAAGUUAAAGAAUAAAAAACAACUUUCUAGUGUUUUAUAAAAAUGAGAGCUUUUGACAAGUUGUUUUUAAAAACCAUUUUUAAAAAUAAAAAAUAAAAAACUUAUUUAGAUAAAUUGUUAUAUAUAUAUAUAUAUAUAUAUUUGUAAAAACAUUUUAAAUUCAAUUUAUAUAAUAUAAAUUUAAUUUAAUUUAAGUCUUAUUAAAAAAAAAUUGUUUGGAUAAGUUUUUUUUUUUAAAUAGUUUAUUAUUUUUGUUUUGUAAAAACAUUGCAAAUUCAAUUUAUAUAAUAUAAAUUAAUUUAAUUCAAGUCUUAUUAAAACCAAAAUAAUUUUAUAAUUACAAAUAAAUUUAAAAAUAAUUUUUUUAGUAAAACAUGAAUAAUAAAAUUAUAAAUUAUAUUAUUGUGGACCCUGCAUUUAUGCUCAUGCGCUUCCACUUGUUGGCGAACUCAUUUUUUAUUUGAAAAUGAUUUAUUUUUUUAGAAAAUGACUUAGAGUCGCCACUUAUUUUUGUUUUAUUUUUAAAGGGCAAGCAAAAUAAGAAAGAAAACCCUAAGUGUGACUCCUUAUUCGAAAAAGGUAGUCUGUGUAAAACCGGAUCAGGGUUCAGGGAUCAGGUUACUUAUUGGGAAGGUAUGACAAUGACCGUAGCACUCCUCUAAGUCCUUAAAAACGGGCCUCUACUAAAAAAAAUAAAGUAAUCAUGGCAAUCAGUAAGGAAAUCACUGGAUACCCAGAACAAUUAUGCACAUGUGAGAAUUAAAACAUGCAUAAGAAUGGACAAAGUGAGAGUGGGUGCGUACCUUGACAACGAACCACAAUGCGUUAUCAAGAAAUGGGGUUAGUGCACGAUCAAUGAACAUAAAACACGUCACACAUGUCACUAAGCAGAGUGAGAAAUCAUCAGAUAUUACAAUUCAAUCAAAUUUAUUUUUAGAAGAAACAUCUGUUGAUGUAGAGCCCCUACCAAAGCCUAAUUUAUUUUUGCAUGAAUCAAUUUCAUAAAUUCAAUCGCUUGGAAUUACAGAAUUAAAUUCAUGCUUAUUUUAAAACAUCUUUUUAAAAUCAUGGAAGAUGUGAAAAUGGUUUUCCAAAGAGAAAAUGACAACUGAUUUUAUUGAAAAUGGGAUUUUGGGGACCUAAACGUUAAAGAGGGAUUAGGAAUUGAAAAUUAAAUCAUUUGAAAAUUGAAUUUUUCAAAAAUCAGUUUUGAAAGCAUGCAUGCAAGUAUGGACUGUGAAAGUGGGCCUAGGGAGGGUGGCCAUGCAAAAUGAGGUCAUACACGUGGGCCUUGGGUACAAUUGGGACUACUUUGCUGGUGCCAGUGGUGCUUGCAGCUGUCAUCCAUGAUUUCUUCAUUGGGAUCAAUUUCCAUUCUUACUGCCAAACAUUCCAUAACAAUUGACCAAACUAGUAACCCUGACCUUGCAUGAAAAUGAACGUUACCUAGAAACUCACUGCCAGUGAGAUUCAUUGCUCUUUCAAAAGGUCUCAUUUUCUUUCUCAUCCAAUUGCUUUAAGGAGCAUUCUAGCGUCACGAUUGGUGACUGCGCAUCAUCUAGAGCCUUCUUUCUUCUCAGAAUCAGGUUUGCGUGCAGAGGCCUGUGCUUGUUCAAGGUUGACCUAAAUUCAUCUAGGUUUAGAACCGACCAGUUGAGCUUGGGGAGCAACGACAAGAAUAUCAGUCACUUGCGAAGAGAAAACUCGAGAUCUUUCAAGUAAUGCCUGACAUAGAUUCCUCCAACCUGUGGCCAAUAUCUCAUUCCUUGUUGGCCAGACGCCUAUUAGGGCGUAUCUCAAUCAAUAAUAUGAUUUUUCGUUUGUUCACAAUAAAGACCGGAAGCCAUGGUUGUGAUUUAUGCAGUACAGAAGAAGUUGCCAUGGCUGGUAUCCUUACAAAUUCUGGUGUUUCUGCUAUCUGUUCAAGUGCAAAACACAACAGCUUUAUCAAGUUUGUCCCUAACAACUGAUAUUGAGCCCUCUGGAGGAAACCUUGAUAAAUUCAUAAUCACUUUUGACUCAUGCAUGGGCUGCCCAUCAAAUUUUCCUAGCAACGAGACGACUGCUGUCAUCUACUGCAAAGAGAAUUUCUUCUCGCAAAGACAAGAGGAGUUUAAGAAUACACACUAUUCUGCCAUUUCAUUUCCUCUUUCUCCACAACCAACAUAAACCAUAGUGUCUACAUUAGAGUACUUAGAAAGAGCUUAACUGAUGACCGUUUUUCCACAACCAAAUGCCCCAGGUAUGGCACAAAUUUCACCGAAAACAGAAGGGAAAAGGGCAUCAAGAACACGCUGUCCUGUAAGUAGUGGGGUAUCAGGACUACUCUAGGGAAGUUAUUUCUGUCAUUUUGAAAAAGAAAAAUUAAAGAAUGUACACAUGCUUUCAAGUGGACUGGAGCAUUCUACAUAUCAGGUGGUCUGUAGCCACAUGUGCCACUUUGUGGAAGUUGGAACAGUCGAUCACUAGGCUAUUUAGUGUGGCCAAGCCACGUUAAUCAAGGACAAGUCUUCAUACUUAAAAGUCAAAUGGUGCCUUUAGUCUCAUUACACAUGGCUAUUUAAAGAUGAACUAAUCUUUAGUGUAAUGUGAUUAAGACAGUACUAACUGAUCAAUAUUUUUUCUAAUUUUGGAUGCAAAUGCUUGCUGGCUUCAUCAUUGGAUGGGAUAAAGGUGCAUUCAUGACUCUGAAUACUUGCAGUAAUACUUGCAGUAAUACUUCAUUCUCUUUUUUCUCGAUGAGACUUCUUGGCACAAUUUUGCUUCUCAGCAACCUACCUCUCCAUGGAAAAUGAGUUGCGAUUGAUGGUACUGGAUAUUUUCUAGGAAGCUAAAUAUAGAUAUAUAGCACUCAAUGUCAACGAUAUAUAUAGCAUUAACAGUAUAUGUCUCAAUGCUCAUCAGCUACAAGCAAGGGACAAACACUUACAAUGAAUAACUCACGUCAACAUUCCUAAACAGGACAUAGAAGUGACAGAUCUAUAUAUAGAACACUGCAUAUGAGUCACAAGAAAAGAUAAUACGGGUGCAUAGCAGCUCUUAUAUUACAUAUUACUCAUACCGUUCAAAUUCACUCAGUUGGGAUGGGUGGGAGAAGGAGGCCUCUGGGGUGGCUUGUGCGUGUGAGAAGUGGAAGAAAGUUGAAUGGAAUGAAACUGAAAAACAGGGUAGAAUAGAGGUUUCUUGAAUCUUCUGAAAUCUUUAUUUUUCUGAGAUUUAUUCUCUGUUUUUGUGAGUCGUGACUCUACAUAUAUACAUGUAUUUAAAGUUAGUUAUGCCUUAUAACUAAUUAUCUAACAGUACCAAAACUAAUCAUCUAGUUGCAUGUUUCUAAUUAAUGCUAUUUAGUUACAACUAUAUAUGGCUUAACAUCCUCUCUCAAACUCAAAAGUCUAGCUAGAACAGUGAGUUUGCUUCAUAGAUUGAGAAAUUGUUGAAUAGGUAAGGCUUUGGUAAGAGCAUUAGCAAUCUGGUCAUAAGAAGGAAUGUGUUGAACCACCAAAGUCUUAUUGAGCACCUUUUCCUGAACAAAAUGGCAAUCUAGUUCCACAUGCUUAACUCGAGAAUGAAAAUAGGAUUGGCAGCAAGAAAGGUGGCUGAAAGAUUGUCAUAGAACAAAACAAAAUAGGAGAAUAAGAAGAUGAGAUAGAAAACUCCUGAAGAAGAUGUUGAAUCCAUUGAAGUUCAAAAGCAACAUUUGCUAAGGCCCUAUACUCAGCUUCAUUGCUGGAACGAGACACAACUUUCUGCUUACUGGAGUUCCAGGAGACUAGAUUAGAGCUAAAAAAGAUGCAAUGACCACUUGUACUUCGACGAUCAUCAGGGCAACCAACCCAAUCAACAUCAGCAUAAGCAGUAAGUUGAAAAUCAGGAGAAGAAUAAAAGGAAAGACCAAAGGAAGUAGUGCCCUUAAGAUAAUGCAACAAUCGUUUAACAACUUGCCAAUGAAGAUCAGUUGGUUAUUGCAUGAAUUGGCAAAGUUUAUUGAUAGAGAAAGAGAUGUCAGGCCUUGUAAUGGUACAAUAUUGCAGGGCUUCAACAAUGUUGCGAUAUUGAGAAGGGUCAGCCAAGAGGGAACCUUUAGAGGCAGAUAAAGUGUGAGAGGUAGUCAUUGGUGUAUCAAUAGGUUUAAAAUAUGGAAGACCAGCACGAGUUAACAAGUCCUGAAUAUAUUUGGUUUGGGAAAGAUGAAGAGAAGAUCCUUGCCAACAUACUUCUACACCCAAGAAGUAAUUCAGAAUACCAAGGUCCUUGAGAGCAAACUGAAAGUGUAAAGACGAAACCAUUUGGUGGACUAGCACGGUAUUAAGACCACUAACAAUAAUGUCAUCAACAUAGAUGAGAAUAAUGAUCAUGUCAGUCCCUUUCCGAAGAGGAGCUUGCUUCAGACCCUACAAGGCUUUGCGAAGUUUACAGAAAAAACCGGGUUUAGAAUGAUCAACAAAGCCUGGAGGUUGAACCAUGUAAACCUCUUCUUCUAACUCACCAUUGAGAAAGGCAUUAUUAACAUCUAAUUGUUCCACUAACCAACCAUGAGAAAUAGCAAGAGAAAGAACAAUUCAUAUAGUAGUUGGUUUAACAACAAGGCAAAAGGUUUCAAAAUAAUCAAUACCAUAUGUUUGAUUAAAACCCUUUGCAACUAAGUAGGCUUUAAAACGAUCAAUUGAGCCAUUAGCUUUGAGUUUCAGCUUGUAUAUCCAUUUACAACUAAUAAUGCGUGUAUUAACAGGUUUAGGAACCAAUGUCCAUGUGGAAUUGGUGAGAAGAGCAUCAUACUCAGUCUUCAUAGCAGCUUGCCAAUUAGGAUGCAAUAUUGCUUCUUUGAAAGAGGAGGGUUCGACAACAGUAGUUUGGAUAGCAAGGCUAAAUAUUUUUUUGGGUUUAAAAAUACCAUUUUGGCUACGAGUAACAAUAGUUCGGUUUGGAAGUGAAAGAGGAUCAGUGGAGGAGGCUGGAACAAGGGAUUGUGGUAAAGUAGGAAAGGAAGGUGGAUGAGAUGGAACAAAAUCAGUAGGGACAAUAAUGGGAGAAGAAAAAUUAGGUGGAGAAUGAUGAGGAUUCCUUGAAGAUGGUGUAGGAAUAGAGAGAAUACCAGAAUCAAGAAGUGUUAAAGAAGAGUUGGAUGAUGAUACUGGUUGACAGGAUAAAGACUUUGUUAAAAAUGGAAAUCGAGUUUCAUCAAAUACAACAUGACGAGAAGCAUAUAUCCGAGAGGAAGCCAUAUCCAAACAGAGGAAUCCCUUGUGUUUAGCACUAUAACCCAAAAAACAGCAAACAACAAAUAUAUUUGCUAGCUUGUGAGAAGCAUAAGGGCGAAGAUAAGGAAAACACAAGCAUCCAAAACUUCAAAGAGAUGUAUAAUAAGGUAAACGAUUAUAAAGAACUCCAUAAGGAGAAUUUUGUGAAAGAACAGCAGAGGGAAGGCAAUUUAUGAGAAAAAUGGCAGUUUGAAAUGCAAAUGACCAAUAUUUGAGAGGGUAUACCAGCUUGUAUUAACAAAGAAAGACCAACUUCCACAACAUGACGAUUCUUUCUUUCAACUCUUCAAUUUUGCUAAGGAGUAUAAUGACAAGAGACUUGAUGAAGAAGACCAUUUGUAGCCAAAUAAUUCUGAAAAGCUGAAACUGAAACUCAUCAAAUUGAUUUUUAGUAUCAAAUUUUCUUCAGACUGAACACAUUGAUUUUUAGUAUCAAAUUUUCUUUCAACCAUGGCUUGAAAAUGUUGGAACAUAAGUAAAGCUUCAUCUUUAGUUUCCAAAAGGUACAACCAUGAGAAUAUGCUAAAAUCAUCAAUUAGCAAGAGGAAAUAUUGAGCAUUACCAUUGACAGAAACUAUAGGAGUUGCACCCCAAAGAUCAACAUGGAUGAGACCGAAUGGUUUUAUUGCUCUAGAAGUGGAUAUUUCAAAUGGAAAACGAUGGCUUUUAGCCAACUGACAAGACUCACAUACAGAGUUAUUAUUGUCAUGUUUCAAAGGUAUUUUAUAAAGAGAUAAGAUUUUGGAAACUACAUUAAUAGAGGGAUGACCAAGUCUAUUAUGCCAAAGCCUCAAAGAACCAACGGCUAAAGUACUACUAGUAGAGUAAAAUACUAGUGGAUGACCAACAACUCUUGGUGUAGCAAGAAGUUUAUAGAGACCCUUCUCAAUUUUUCCUUGAAGAAGAGCAAGUCUCGUUUCCUGAUCCUUUACCACAAAAUGAGAAGAACGAAAUUCAAUAAAGGUGCCAUUGUUUGAGUAAAAUCGUUGCACGCUAACUAAGUUGGUGGUAAUAGAAGGAACAUGUAAGACAUCAUUGAAAAACAAAGAACCACUUGAAGAGGCAAGAGAAAAUUUACCAAUAUUUGCAAUGGAUAAACCCUUACCAUCUCCAACAAUUACUUUGUCACCACUGGUAAAUGGAUUAUGGAUUGUUAAAUUGUUAAGAUCAGAUGUGAGAUGAUGGGUAGCCUUUGUAUCAAGAAACCAAUAAGUGUCUCCCAUUGUUGCAGAAGUUGUAGUCAUAGCCUCAGGAUUGUUAGAGGUGGAAUGUUUAGAAUCUUUUGGCUGAUAAUCAGAGUUAAACCGAUACCAGCAUUGUAAAGCGGUGUGUCCGAACUUACAACCGAGAGAAAUAAUCUUUACUUAUUCUCUAAAAACUGUUCUUUAUUCCACACAUUAUUUCUAAAAACUGUUUCUAGAUAACAAUGACAAAAUAGUAUUAGGAAUUUUUAAAAAUAAAAAUUGUUUUUAAAUUACAUGAUCUAUAUCAUUCACAUUUGACCAUUAUAGCUUUGUUCAGGAAAACACUUGAAAGUAACCUUAUCGUGAUAAGAGAUAUAAGUUGGCUGUAGUUUCAAACUGAAAACAGAGGAUGGCAAUAGAAAGCAAAGCAUUAGUUAUCUGCAAUCAGUGGUGAUCAUGCCCCAUGUCAAUUUCGGACCCAUAUCUUAAAACCGUAUAAUUUGCAUUUCAACAUUUCUGAUUUCUCAGAUGUUUCAUACUCCACAGAAGAACAUUGUUUGUGAAAGCAUGCAUUUAUGCUGGAUUUUGGAUGAUGUGGGAACUGGGGCAAGGAUCAUAUGGAAGAGUGGUCGAUUUUUUCUGUACUUUAACAUUUGAAAUAGGAGCAGCACGGGCAUUUGUGGGGCUUAAUUGAUUUUGAAGCCUGAAAUUGCGUUUCUGUCAUUUUGUAAAAAAUAUGGCAGAUUCCAUGCUCUCAUAUGUUUGGUCUGUGGCCAUGUAUAGAUGCCACUUAGUGACCAGUUUGUAACUGUCAAUCAUAGUGUUUUGACUCUGGCUCAACAACAUCAGCCAUUGACGGAUUUUCAUACAUGCAAAUCAAAUAGUCUUCUUCCUCCCUUAGGAAUUUCGGUUUAAAUGUUAUUAAGCAUACAUUUGGCUGACAAUUAUUAACCACUUCAUGAUAUGGUUUCUUACCCUUAAUCAAUGGUUUCUAAGUGAAUAUAUGCAGAAGGAAAUCUGAACUGUAGACAGCAGUAUUGAUAAUUAUCAAUAUUCUUUAUAUAAGAGAAUAAACAACGUCAUAGUGAUCGUCGCCUACAAGAAAGGUACAUUUCCCAACAAGAUGUAGUUGUGACUGGUACAUGGACGUAAUUAACUCGUAGAAAAGGAUAAGACCAGUGCACGGCAGCUCUUAUUUUACAUGCUAAUUAUGCUAACCAAAGUCACUCAGUUGGGAUGGGAGGGAGAUGGAGGUUUGUGCGGUGGCUUGUGGGGCGGAGUUGGUGGCUUCUUUUCAGGAGCUUGUGGCUUUUUCGGAGCUGAAGGAGGCUCAAUCUUAUGAGGCGGCUUGUACGAGUCUUCUUUACUCUCGACAGGAGGGUGGCCAGGGUUGUGACCAUAAUGUGGUGGCUUCUCUCCCUUAGGUGGCUUGCCAACUGGGGUUGGUGGCUUGUGUUCAGGAAGUGGUUUCUCUCCCUUGGGAGGUUUACCAAUUGGGGUUGGUGGCUUGUGUUCUGGGAGUGGUUUCUCUCCCUUGGGAGGUUUAGUGGGUGACUUGUGUUCUGGAGGUGGCUUCUCCACCGGAGGCUUGUGCUCCGGUGGUGGCUUCUUGGUUGGAGGGGGCUUGGGGUAAUCAGCAAGAGAUGGGGGGGUGAGAACCACCACUCCAAGGAACAACACUAGCAAGUAUGUGGGAGACAUUUCUGAGUUUGAGCUGAUCAGAUGAUGCAAAACUAGAAGAAUUACGUGACCUUUUAUAGCAAGUAGCUCCCAAUACCCACAUGACACGUGUUACUGUGACCAUAAAUAUUAUAGGGUCCAUUUGUGCCCUACCGGGUUGAAAACUUGGACGCUUGGCCGAGGACACACCGAACUAUGGAGGACUAUUGACGUGUGAUCACAGCUUUUGGAUUUUUCUUCCUGUGCAGCUGUCUAGCGGUUGGCAUUAUUUUUUUAAUCUUAAAUAAAGGCAUAGUUAUAGAGUACAUUUAUAUAUCUUCAGAUAGCCAUUAAUAUAUUUGAUGAAGAAAGACAAGUGCAUACAACAUGUAUACGGCUUGCUUCAAUCGAGUACAUUUAUGAUCAGUUUUCCAGUGCAAGUAAACCAGUUUUUUGUUCCACAACUAUUUUGGAAUCUUGUUUAUCAGUUUCUAUCAUUAUAAUGUCACAUAGGCUGCAAACUUGGGCACCCAAAGAUCUAGUUGGGCAAAUUUGUUUCAGAAUUUCAAUGGUGGAUUCAGUAAUUGUUAAAAGGUGUUUCUUCAUUAAGGAAAGAGUCCUGUAAAAAUAUUGUUAAAAGGUGUCAUAGAAACUAUAAUAAUUAAAUAACUUCUUUUCCCCGUGGGUGGUGUUUCUUCUGGGGAUACCCAAAAUGAGUUCAGAUUAAAAUUGGUUCGAGUCAAAGCUGUCUCUUUUGUCCAGAAAUCAACUAUUUUGCGCAUUGCAUGAAUCGAUAAAGAAAAAAUGAAAGCCAAAUCACACCUCCCCUGCAAAACCUAAACCCCGGUUGCUAACUUUCUAUGUUUCAGUCCUAUUCAUACAGGAAUAUUGGUUCAAGUUUGAGAAAAAUGGCAACUUACCUAGGGAUUACUUGGUUGUGGUUUGCGACGACUAUUUACGCAACCAACCAUGAGUUUGACUUUAACGUCAUGGGUUGAAGCCUCCUACAAUCGUGUAUGAUAGUUCAAAGCUCGUAGUAGAAAUUAUACAGGAAGGAAGAAACCUCCAAAGCUAGCUCCAAAAGAGAAUUAUCACAUCGAUAGCUCCAGAGAUUCCCAAGGGGACUGAAUCAAAGACAAGUUCCUCACUUUUUCUUCUUUUGAGGCCAAAUAUGAACCAAGGAUCACACGACCUCAUUCAACUUCAUAAGUUUGAUUUCAUGCAGUUGAACACUGGGUGAAGGCCAUGACAAGAAUUGAUUAAAAAAUUCUACCACUGUUUUAAGUAAUGGAAGAUUAUUAUCUCUGAUUGGCACCACAACAGCACAUGCUGCUAGAUCUUUCUAGACACUCCAUGCAAUGAAAGUACAAUGGAUCUUGUAACGAUAGAAACUAAGCCAUGCUACAGUACUAGAUGACGAGGUAAAACUAUUAGACAUGGGUGGCAGCCUAUAUGGGAGGGACACAAGUCUAAUUGAUUUGCAUUUCAGCGUUCUAGAUGGGUAUGUUUUGGAAGAUUUGUUCUGGAAAUACCGCACCAAGUAGGAUUCUUUUUUCUCUUGAGUGGGUCCACUUGCAUGCCAAUUAUCGAGUUGAAAAGUAGAGCACCUACCUCGUGCUCGUGGAACCGAAGGUCAGUGAAGUGGGGCUCCUUUUGGCCUCUUGUGUUUCUGUUCCAACCAAGGCGGCGGAGGGAAAAACAGCAAUAUGUCUCCGCUAAAUAUCAACGCAUGAUAGCGAAUGAGGGAGAAAAAAAGUAAUUGGCAUCUCAAUCUCACAAACUUGGUACAGUAGUGACAUUAAUAGUCUUCCACAUGGUUUUUAUUUUAUUUUAUUUUAUAUUUUAUAUUUUCCAUUUUUUUAUUUUUUUGUAUGUCAAGGCUAAUGAAUAAAAUGCGUUAGCUUGUUUUGUGAUUGGAACUGCAAAUGUCCAAAUUGGAGUUUCUCCAUUUCUCAGUUCGGAUGGUUAACUUUAUAAACAAGAUAUAGGAAACAUGUGAACGUCUUGAGGAACAAUUCGAAUUAUUGAUUAGAACUCCUAGGUUGAGUUCCAAGAUUUAAAUCAGACCCCUCUAGCAGCUUCAGGGGUACCUAGCAAUUAGAACAUAUUAAUGAAGAUUUAGGAUUUAGACUCCGGAAUACAAAUUAAUAUGUAUCUUAUGCUCUGACUAGCUUCCCUGCAUAUGCACAAAAUGGAGAUGACCCAAAAAAUAGCAGAAUCGCCUUAGUUUAUGUGGUUAAGGUGAUUCUCCGGUUAAUAUCCACAUUGGCUCAUUAUGCAAAUCAACUGAGCUAUUUUUUUUUUAAUGUCAAAUAGGAACUCCUAAUUAACCUAACCAUUGGCCUGUGUAAAUUGAUUUCACAUGCACAAUGUUGUAGUAGAAGUCCACAUUUUGAAUUUUAUUUUUGGAAAGGUAAGGAAAAUGAAGCAUUGUGUAAUUAUAAAAAUAACUUCAUUGGAAUUCACAAGGUUCACCCAAAAUGGAGCUACAUCCGUAUUCUAUCUUACAGUAGACUAUAUAGAUUGUACAAUAGUAAAUUGCAAAUACAAUUAAUAAGUCUUGUGUUUCCUUACUAAUAAUCCUUUGACAUAAACAUUGCAGCACUAAGGUCCUCUUGGGCAGACACCUUGCACCCAUGAGAGCACUAAGAGGAAGCAAGGCGGAGUCAUGGGUGCAAUGUCAUGACUUGUUGCACUAAGAGAGGCUUGGUGAUGGCAUAGUGCUGCAGUAGCAAGAAUGUUGCCUUGGCAGGGACACGAUCUAGGGACAGAUGCCAAGAAAGGCUUAGCACUCACAUGAGUUGCACAAAGAUGAAUGAAAUAGAACAUCAAAGAGACAUCUUGGCAAGCUCAAGAAAGACAUGUGGGUUGGUAAAUGAAUGGAUGCAAGAGGCAACAACAUGAGGAGUUUCAAAUGGAUAGGGAAUGAGUCAAAGACAUUUGAAAGCUACAAGUUGGAUUCUAAUUACGAUUGCAAUUUGAGUUUGAGUAGGAGUUUAUAUUAUGAUUGUAAUUGUAGUAUGAGUUGGACUAGGAUUGCUUAUCCCUAGUCAAAAUAGGAGUUGUUCAUGCCACACCCUAUGAAAAGAGUUUGAGUAGGGACUAGGAUUGCUUGCUCCUAGUCAAAUAUGGAGUAGGUGGUGCCACACCUAUAAAAAAAAAAGGGACAACAUGAGAGAGAGAGAGAAUGAAUUCACCAAAGAUAUUGUGGGAGUUUUGCUUUGUUACAUCUUGUAUUAUUAUUUAGAAUAGUAAUAAAAUACAAGUUGGGGCUAGAGCCCCAUAAUCUCGUGUGCCUUUGUGGGUUAUUCUUUAUUUGCCAUCUCGUGUGGAUUGGAUUAGAUUGAUGAGGCGAAAUAUUAUGUGGGAAAUUUAUGUUGGGACACUUACCAUAACCAGGUAAAAUCUACCAAGUCUUUUGUAAUAUCUUCUACAAAUAUUUUAGACCAGUUCUUCACAAAACAUCAUAAUAUGUUUUGUGUUUCUCUUGGAUUUUGAGUUGAAUUGUCUUAGAUCAAUUGAAUGCAUCUCAAUAUUAUUAUCUUGUUUGAAGGCUUGAUGAUUUUCCAUUUAACUUUACUUUCUUUAGGUUAUGCUUGAUUCCUUAAAAGUACUAAGGAAAACAAAAAAUAAAAAAAAAUAAAAAAUGCAGAGGGUUAGGACAUGUGUUAUCUAAUUGUCCUAUCCAAAGAUAUUAAGAAAGUCAUGUAGGAAAGUAAUUGAAAACUAGGUCAAGAAAGGAGCAAAAGGGAAUUGUUUUGGUAUUUUCUUUUUUAUUCUUGAAGGUGGCAGAGCUAAAAUUUGAGAAAUCAAGCAAAACAUACUGAAAUUACAUUGAAAGAAAGAAAAUGGUAGUUAAUGUCUUGCAGUACAUGAUAAGGACUUCAUGCAUGUAGUGUGACGACCCAUGUCUUGGACUGAUGCCACACUCACGGUUACACUUAUACCCUUGGUUCUCUCUUUACUACCUUGGCUAACCUAGAUCAGGCUAUGAGAUAGGCUCCUCACCACACCAUCACUUGCCCAGUAAUUAGUGACAUUUUCAAGCAAUGAGGUAACAUGGUGACACCAAGAGGGUUUAUCCCUCGCCCCAACAAGUCUAGACUCGGUCUCAAAAAAAUGGAGAAAAAUGAGGUGUCGUUAUGCAGAAAUACAACAACCAUGCCUUCCUUAUUACUUAGAUUCAGAAUGUGAAGGUGAAAUUGAGAAACAGAAACUCUUGAAACCAGAAUGAAAAUUGAUACUUUUACGAAGAAUUACAACAUUAGAGGAAGACUACAUUCUUCCUCUAUAUUCCUACGUUUCUACACUACUUCUACUCCACUCCAUAUUUCUACAUACAUCUUUAAUCAGUUUUCCCUCCUUUAUAUAGAGCCAUCUUCACACAAAUUCCGCAAGGUAGAAAAGAGGAAUGAAACUUGGAGCAAGGUUCGACUACUGGUUGUCGCUUGUCAAGGCUGGAAUUGAACUUUUUUUCUUGGCUUUUCUGGGCAUAGGUAGUAACUUGUGGUUCCUUUUUGGAAUGAAAAUGGUACAGCUAGAACAUGUGGCACUCUCUUGUUGGAUUAUGUGUCAAACAUGUGGCAGCCAUCUAGUGGAGAUUAUUUCAAUUUUGGGAUGGAGAGUUGGCAUCCAAUUGCAAAGAAAUAUGACAUCUACCAACAUGCAAUGUAAACCUAUAUAGAUCAUAUGGAGAUAGAGAGGAAACAUAUAGAAAUGGAUAUAUACCUAGAACUAGCUUUUUAUUAAAUGAGACGGAGAGCCAACAAUGAAGGAAAAUCAAAAUUUUUGGCUCAUAUCAAAGAAUUCACAUUGUGUUACCCUAGGUUUUCUUAAAGCUUGCACAAAGCCAAAAAGCACACAAAAAAUUAUAUUUUCUAGCUCUCUACCUUGGAUGGUCUCUUGAUCCUACUUGGAGAUGUGCAUAAAUAAAAGGAUUUGAAAAUGACAAUUGACUAAGUAUGUAGUCAAUCAAUUACUCAUUAAUUGACUAGUUGAUCAAUUAACUUUGCAACAUCAUAUGCAAUCCUAAUAGCUAGUCAUCUAAUCAACUAGGUAGUAAAUCAAUAGGCCAAAAAUAUGUUUAUAAUGACUAUUUUGUACAAAAACCACCUAUAUGGUUAAAUAUAAUGCAUUUCAUUUAUAAAUCUUCUAAUUCUUGAAUAACGAUCCUAUCAUCCUUUGAAAGUUUUUAUUACACCUUUUAUACUUUUGUUCUAAAACUUACACAUGUACAUCACCCUUAAUUGUACCAUGAGAACCUAGCUUUUUUUUUUUUUUUUUUUGUAAUUCAUCAAAGUUAGCUUUUGUAUUCAUUACUGUACUAUUUUUAUUGUAACUUAGAAAGCGAGUGUUUUCAAGUGAGUGAAAUUGACUUAUAAAUAUUGUAAAGAUUCAUUGAUGUGUAUCUUAAACUAAGUGUACAAGUUGAAACAUUUGCUAGUAGAUUUUCUCAAGAUUUAGAAUAGAGCUUGAGGCUAUUGAAAUAGGUGGGGUUGCACCAAACCACAUCACAUUGUUGUUUGCACCUUUUUUUCACUCUCUUUUACUUAGUUGCUCUAUAUUUGUUGUCUAGUAAUAUCCUAUAGGCUUGAUGGGUUAGGGAGCAUCCCUUUGUGAAAAAUUUUCAUUCAAUCCUUAGUUGUAUCACGCAUAUAUAAAAUGCCUCAUUGUUUUAAUGGUAUUCAGUCGUGGCAUCACAGAUAUGGGCAUCUAAAUUUUAAAAGUUUGAAACUUUUAUCUAAAGAAAAUAUGGUGCUUUGCCUUUUUGUAAAGCAUGUUGAUGAAAUCCAUGAGAAUUGUGUACUUGGGAAGCAACAUCGAGAUGACUUUUUUUUUUUUCAUUUUUUAUAAUGCGACACCUAAGUCCGGUUUCUAAAUGCUGAAGUGAAAGGGUAGGUAUGGACCAUUGAAAUCUGAUCACAACUUUUGGCCUUUUCCUUUCUCUGCAGCCAUGUUGUCUCUUUUUUCUUUUGCAUGAUUUUCUUACCUAAACAGAAUCAUAGACUUGUUUAAUCUCUAAAUGGUAUUUCAUCCAGCUUUAAGCUACUGUAUUAUAUCUUGGUGGAGGACUUUUAAGAGUGAAACCGACAUAGAGCACAUGCAAGUGGGUAUAUGGGACAUGAAAUUUCUUCUUAUAAAGACUGCAUGGUUUUUAUAUUAGAGUUGUUGAGGCGCAAUGUAUUUAGCUUGUUUUGCAGUUAAAUUAAUUGGAUAAGUAGACAUUGUCGUUUCUAAAUUUCCCACCUAAGAUAGUGACCUUAUCCUUGACUGCUUGAUGAGAUACACAAACAAUUAUACCUUCAAAAUCUACUGUGAAGUGCUUCAUGUAUGUGUGAAGUAUUAGAAAUUUCUUUCUUGGCAACUUGUUUUUUCUUUGCCCUCUACUGAUAGGUUUGACUCAAAUUAAAUUCCCUGUCAUGCUAAUUAAUUUUCACGUGCAUGCUCAAAAGGAUCACGUCAACUCUGGUUUCUACUAUUCAGGUCCAUUCCCAGAUAAACUGGUUCAAAUUUGAGAAAAUGGCAACAGCCCUUUAGUGAUGUUGGUUUGGAGCCAGUAGCCAAACCCGCCCUGAGCUUUACCACUAAUGUCAAGGGACAAAGCCAUUUGAACAAAAACAAUAGCUUCAAGAGACUGAAUCGUGGAUGAAAUCUGAUCCACAUUUCUUCUCAUUUUGGGAACAAAUGAGAACUUAACUACAAAGAUUCUACUGCCUCAUAGUGCUUUUCCUGAUCUAAGGUUGGUUCGUUUCCCAAAUUGUGAGGUACGUGCCAUUCUCACGCUCAGGAGUGUAUCCACGUGGUGGACAUAAGAUGGUGGCUUAAUAUCUGGUGUCGGUGGCUUUACUUUACUAGGAGAGUAGUGUGUCUUCAUCUCAUUCACUGCCGGAGGGUGGCGUAAGCAGUGACGCUAAGGUGGGGCACAGUCAAUAUCAUUUGCAUUUGACCAUUAUAGUUUUCUCCCGGCUUGAAAGUAACCUUAUCGUGAUAAAGGAUUACUAGCACUAGUUCAGAUGACAGUCAUGUUAAAUUCGGACCAUGUUUGUGUCACAUUAUCAGCAACCAUGUGUUUAUGGUUCAUGCUAUCUGCAACUAAACUUGAUAUAUAACCACGUGAACUUCAAUCUAAAUUCUGGAAGUACUCUUGUGAUAGAUGGUGCCUGUCUGCAGAGUCCAUCAAUUGAAAAAUGGAGUGAGUGUAUCUAUAAGAGGGAAGGCUUGGCAAAUGUUCAGUUUUCUGGGAACUCAACAAGGAUCUAAAAUAGAUUGUUUUCUUUGCUGAUUUCAAUGGUUGAAAUUUGAGAAGAUUGUGUCCACAUAACACAACUAUUACUGGUCCUUCUGUUGCAAUUUAUCCUCUAAGGCUCUAACAUGUCUUCCAAUUCCCACUUCCCUGUUACUCCAGGAAAGCUAUUUCUGUCAUUGUGAAGAAGAAAAGAGAAUGUACAUAUCGAUGGUUUUAAGUGACUGGGGCAUUCAUAUCAGGUGGUCUGCAGCCAUAUAUGCCACUUUGUGAAGGUUGGAACAGUCAAUCACCAGGCUAUAUUAGUGUGGCCCAGCCACUUCAAUCAAGGACAAGUCUUCAUACUUAAAGUCAAAUUCUGCCUUUAGUCUCAUUAUAAAUUGCUGUUUAAAUAUUAAGCAAACAUUUGUUUAAUGCGAUUAAGACAGUACUAACUCAAUACUUGUUCUAUUUUUGGAUGCAAAUGCUUGAUGGUUUCAUCAUUGGAUGGGAUAAAGGUGCAUUCAUGAUUAUGAAUACUUGUAGUUAUAUUUUCAUUCUCUUUUUUCUCAAUGAGACUUGUUGGCACAAUUUUGCUGUUCAGAAACCUACCUCUCCAUCGAAAAUCAGUUGUGAUUGAUAGUACUGGAUAUAUUCAAGAAAGCUAAAUAUAGAUAGCACCAAAUAUUAUCGAUAUAAAUAGCAUUAACAGCGUACGUAUGUCUCAAUGCUCAUCAGCUAUAAGCAACGGGCAAACACUUACUAUGAGCAACUUGCGUCAAAAUUCCAGAAUAGGACAUAGAAGUGACAGAUCUAUAUAUAUAUAGAACACUGCAUAUGAGUCACAAGAAAGGAAAUUACGGGUGCAUAGCAGCUCUUAUUUUACAUCCUACUCAUACUGAUCAAAGUCACUCAGUUGGGAUGGGUGGGAGUAGGAGGUUUGUGGGGUGGCUUGUGCGGAGGAGUUGGCAGCUUCUUUCCAGGACCUGGUUGCUUCUCUGCUGGAGUUGAAGGAGGCUUAAUCUUCCGAGGUGGCUUGUAUGAGUCUUCAGCAUUCUCAGCAGGAGGGUGACCAGGGUUGUGACCAUAAUGUGGUGGCUUCUCUCCCUUAGGUGGUUUGCCAACUGGGGUUGGUGGCUUGUAUGAGUCUUCAGCAUUCUCAGCAGGAGGGUGACCAGGGUUGCGACCAUAAUGUGGUGGCUUCUCUCCCUUAGGUGGUUUGCCAACUGGGGUUGGUGGCUUGUGUUCUGGGAGUGGCUUCUCCCCCUUGGGAGGUUUUUCCAAUGGGGUUGGUUUGUGUUCAGGAGGUGGCUUCUCCACUGGAGGCUUGUGUUCAGGAGGUGGCUUCUCCACCGGAGGCUUGUGUUCAGGAGGUGGCUUCUCCACCGGAGGCUUGUGUUCAGGAGGUGGCUUCUCGAAUGGGGGAUGCUCAGGGUAAUCAGCAAGUGAGGGGUUGGUGAGAACCACCAUGCCAAGCAACAGGACUAGCAAGUAUGUAGGAGACAUCUUUGGGUUUGGACUUAAGACAGUGGAAAACUGCGAGAAUUCUCUAGCCUUUUAUAGCGGGUCGACCCAGUACUCACAUGACACGUGUCAUUAUGACACAUGUGCCAUGGGGUCGAUUUGGGUCCUACAGUGUUGAAAAGUUGGGCAUUUGAGGUGUGAGCACAACUUUUGGCCUUUGCUUUCUCUACAGCCGCCAUGCUUUUCCCUUUUUUCCUUUUCCUUUUGUUUUCCUCCUGCCUCGUGUUCUCAACUAAACACAAUUAGGUUGUUUAAUUGUUAAAUGAGAUUUUUGUCUGUCAAUCAUAUUAUAUCCUAUCAAGAGAGAACAGAGUGUAAUGUAGUACACAUAACACGAGGCAGUAGUAAUUUUAUCAUUUAUUUUUAUAGCUUGGACCACCGCAUUUUUUCUUCUAAAAUAUUCUGUCUUGUUAAGAGACGCAAUAAUACACAAUUUUAUCUGCCAUUCAACAUUUACUGUAAAGUUCUUUUAUCUCUUUGUAGUUCUAGAAAAGUACAAAAUGGAACAUCAUGUAUAUGGUGCCUUCUGUCCUAAAAAAGAAACUGGACAAAUUAUGAACUGCAUGCUAAAAAGAGGCAAAGGAGCUUAAUUCGCAGCAUAAUUAUUUUGGUUUCUAGAGAGCCCGGGGCCUUUUGGUUGGUUUGGGGUCAGAAAAUGAACAUCAUAGGGAUUGUGCCCUUAACUGGCCUUGUUACUACAAAGAAAUUGCCAUAGAAAUUUAUUCCAGGCUGAGUAUCUCCGGAUAGACCCCAGAAAAGAAGAGUCAUAAUGAGAAUCAACCUUUGUUGAGUUUGAUUCCAUGCCUCCAUUGUGUUCAUUUCAUGAAUCUGAUUUGCAUUUAACAUUACAGUUUUGUUCUGGAAACAAUCAAAGGAGCAUCGUUUGCUUCUUGGGUGACCCAUAGUGGUGGGUGGGUCGAUUUGCUUAGUUGAAAAUUGGACAAUUGGCUCCAUCGCCUACCUCUUGGAUUCCAUGCUCGGAUAAAACGACAACAAAUAAAUAUUUAUAACUUACAACUGGGGAAAGGAAAAAAUAGUACUAAAUUCAUGGUACAUGAUAGUGAGAGAAGGGGGUGUUACACUCAGCUAAAGUUCUUUUCUAAAUAUUGCAUGGUGUUUAAUUUUAUGUGUCGGCGCGCGUGUGAAUGGAACCUGCAAAAGUCCAAAUUGGCGUUUCUCCAUUUUCCACAUAGGAUGGUGACGUUAAUAGACAAAGAUACAAUAUCUGUAGACAUUGCUUAAAAAUCGAUGUGAAGUAUUAGAAAUUACAGGCCACUGUACUGGGGGAGCGGCUGCCCCGCCAAAGGAAGAAUGUAGCAAUUUCUUCUGUUAGCCAGGCCUUAGGAUUUAUGCAUGGGAUGCCUAAUAACAAACAGAGAAAAUAUGCUUUUGGGGAAGGUAUCCAACAACAGACACCAUCAUUCAGAUGGUGGGAAGGUAUCCAACAGAUGCCAUCAUUCAGAUGGUAACAUAUAUAUACAUUUAUUAGUGAGUUUUUUUAAUACCUAUAAAAAAAAUAUACACUUUGAUAUUGUGGCUGAAUCCAUUACAUACUCAACUAACCUUGCUCAUUAGGGAUUUGACGUAACAAGGGCAACGUUGCAGUAAAAGCUCGAAACUUUAUGCAGGUGACAUUACAUUUGGUAAAGAAGAGGAAAAUAAGGAAAGCCAUCCAUAAAAGCAAAAUUCCUCAUGGGAUGAAAUUCACAAACUUCAUUUACGUUAGAGUCGCAUCCAGGCAAUUAAUUCCACAUUAGACCGCCUUUUGACAUGUGUACGGAUCUUUUUUCAAAAAUUAUUUAUAAAUAAUUGAUACUUACAAAAAUAAUUUAAGAUUUAUAAAGGAUAAAAAAAUAUUUUCAAAUCUAUGACAAUUUAUAAAAUAUUAAUAAAAAAUUAUCUCUUAAACUUAGUAUAGUUUUAUCGUAUUAAACUUUUAUUUUGAACAAAUAAUUUUAAUCUAAGUUUUAAAUUCUAAAAUUAUUUCCUUAAAAUAAAAUUUUAAAAUUCAACACUUCAAUUGAAAUUGUCUUUUAAAAAAAAUAUCUUCUUAUUUUAAUCCUUAUAAACUAUAGUUGAUUGAAAAUACUAUUGAAGUUCUCUCUUCAAAAAAAGUCUUAUUUUAAUCUUCAUAAAUUGCCCUUGAUUUGAAAAUAAACUUUGGGUUAUCAUAUUUUAAAUAAUAUAUAUAUAUAUAUAUAUAUAUAUAUAUAUAUAUAACAAAUACUCUAUUUUUUUUUUAAAUGAACUAAUUUUAAUUAUAUUUUAUUUUAUUUUUUUAUAUAUUUUUAAUGAUAAACCAAACAUAGAAAAUCAUUUUUCUAAAUAUUUUAAAAUUUCUAAGCAACCAAACAUAAUCUUCAAAAUAAAAGGAGAAUAAGGAGGGACAAGUGAGAAAUGGCGAUUAAAAAAAAGUGUACAAAAGCUCAAUUAAUUUUCUUCUAGUCUUUUAUAUAAAAAAGUAUUGGUAUGUAAAUUAAUAUUUGGAUUUUAAUAGUAUUUUAUUUGUCUUUCUCUAUCUCAUGUAAAAGAGAAUUUAAGAUAUUUCCUAAAGCAAAGCAUUAGUUAUCUGCAAUCAGUGGUGAUCAUGGUCCAUGUCAAUUUCGGACCCAUAUCUUAAAACCGUAUAAUUUGCGUUUCAACAUUACUGAUUUCUCAGAUGUUUCAUACUCCACAGAAGAGUAUUGUUAGUGAAAGCAUUUUGUAACUGUUACUCAUAGUGUUUUGACUCUGGCUCAACAACAUCAGCCAUUGACGGAUUUUCAUACAUGCAAAUCAAAUAGUCUUCUUCCUCCCUUAGGAAUUUCGGUUUAAAUGUUAUUAAGCAUACAUUUGGCUGACAAUUAUUAACCACUUCAUGAUAUGGUUUCUUACCCUUAAUCAAUGGUUUCUAAGUGAAUAUAUGCAGAAGGAAAUCUGAACUGUAGACAGCAGUAUUGAUAACUCUCAAUAUUCUUUAUAUAAGAGAAUAAACAACGUCAUAGUGAUCGUCGCCUACAAGAAAGGUACAUUUCCCAACAAGAUGUAGUGGUGACUGCUACAUGGACGCAAUUAACUCGUAGAAAAGGAUAAGACCAGUGCACGGCAGCUCUUAUUUUACAUGCUAAUUAUGCUAACCAAAGUCACUCAGUUGGGAUGGGAGGGAGAUGGAGGUUUGUGCGGUGGCUUGUGGGGCGGAGUUGGUGGCUUCUUUUCAGGAGCUUGUGGCUUUUUCGGAGCUGAAGGAGGCUCAAUCUUAUGAGGCGGCUUGUACGAGUCUUCUUUACUCUCGACAGGAGGGUGACCAGGGUUGUGACCAUAAUGUGGUGGCUUCUCUCCCUUAGGUGGCUUGCCAACUGGGGUUGGUGGCUUGUGUUCAGGAAGUUGUUUCUCUCCCUUGGGAGGUUUACCAAUUGGGGUUGGUGGCUUGUGUUCUAGGAGUGGUUUCUCUCCCUUGGGAGGUUUAGUGGGUGACUUGUGUUCUGGAGGUGGCUUCUCCACCGGAGACUUGUGUUCUGGAAUUGAUUAAAAAAAUUCUACCACUCUUUUAAGUAAUGGAAGAUUAUUAUCUCUGAUUGGCACCACAACAGCACAUGCUGCUAGAUCUUUCUAGACACUCCAUGCAAUGAAAGCACAAUGGAUCUUGUAACGAUAGAAACUAAGCCAUGCUACAGUACUAGAUGACGAGGUAAAACUAGUAGACAUGGGUGGUAGUUGAUUACUACUCAAAAAGUACUCUUUUAUAGUUUGAAACUAACUGUUUUAAACACUUUUGAGUAGUAGUUAAUAAAUUUUAACUCAAUUGGCACAUUAAGGAACCUAGCAAGGGUUACUAAUAAACUUUUGGCAAGUUUUGGUGUUUUUGGUAGUUAUUCGAUCAUUGAAACAAGCCAAGAAUGAGGGAGAAUUUUGUGAAGUCCAUGGCAAUGCAAGUUAAAGCUCAAAUACACGAAGAAUCCAAGCUUUGGAGCACUACAUAGCCCUUUGCCAAGCCAAUUAGAGAUGCAAGGAACAAAACCAAAGGAAGAAAUCCAACAACCAACAUUUUCGCAUGGUUGUGUGAAAUUUCGCACACCAUGCGAAACCACAAGAGGUAGCCAAAGAAUUUCACAUGGUAUGCGAAAUCUUCUCAUGCACCGACUCCGUUAGAUUUUUAUCUUCAGAUAUUUUGUGUAAUUUCCUAGUUUCUCCUUGUAACCAACCUAGAUAUUUUCUUUUAUAUCUUUUUUUAUAUUUUUUAGGUAACAUCAUAUAUAAGGGGAGAGACAUAAGGAGGAUAUGGAUGUUUUUCAUAGAACACUUGUAAAUUUUCAGUAGUAAGAAAUAUACAAAGCUUUUUGCUAUGCCUUACCUUCUCAUUUUGUUUUCACCUGUCUUUCUAGCCAAACAACCUCUAAGGAUGAUUUCUCAGGGGAUGAGUGGCUAGGUUUUACGUUUCUUGGAGUGAGGGAAGCUAGGUGAAGGACCUGAAUGCAAAGAUGAGAGUUUUCCUUGCUUUAAAUGAAAGUAGUUGUUAAACAUUAAUGGUUUUUAUUUUAAGGUUUAGCUUUAAAUCCCUUAAAAACACCUUGAAUGACCAAUACUUGGUAAGCUUUUCGGAUUCUAUGGAUGCUUAUUGCUAGAUCCAUGGAUGUCUAUUAGUUAUCAUUUACGAGCCUUUGGAAGGUGAUUCAAGGUGAGGGUCUUUAGUGUUUGAAGCCAUUAAUGGGAAGCAAUUACCAUUUUUUCAUGAAUCCUUUGGAUCAAAUCUUAAUUGCUAAAUAUAAAACCGAUUUGGGAAAUAACCAUCCUUUAUGUUAUUAUCCCCAACGCAAGGAGAAGAUCCGGAAUCUUCCCUUUUGUCUAAGGAACCCGAUCCUAGUGACCUAAAGCUCCAAGAGACCUUUUCUUUGUAGUUAACUUCAUUUAUUGUUUUUGCUUAACUUAAAAUCAAUCUUUGCAACCACAAUUCCAUUUUCUUUAAAAGCUAAUUUUUAUAAGGAAAAACACCAUUUUAUUUCCUUCACUAAGUCAACUGUACGAUGAAAACCCAUCCCUGUGGACGAUCCUAGAGCCAUUAUACUAUGUUAGCUAUGCUACCCUAGUGUGAGGUGAUUUAGGUUUUAUAAAUUUUGUUGAUAACACCCAUCUGAGCCAGAAUCAAAUGGCACAACUGAACCAGGGACGAAUCAAAUGGCGCCGCUAUCGAGGAUGGUGCCAAAGUACAUUGACAUGACUUUUGGUGAACACUUGUGAUCUUCAUCACAAGUUUGGUGAUUUUUCUAUUACUAAUUUUUUUCUUUGUUUUUAUUUUAGCUUAUCUUUUAUUUAGUUUUUAGCUAACCUUAACUUUUUCUUAGAAUUGUAUUUCUUCUAUUUUCUUUGUUUUUGUUUCAGUGAUCUUUAGUUGUGCAUGCCCUAUUGGAUAAGAAAUAUUGAGGGAAUACUUGUGAAGAUUGAAAAUCCUCGAGAAACUGAGUUGGAAGUGUGAUUGAACAUCAUGGAUGUUCCACCUGAAGACCAGAAUAGCCAACAUGGUUAAGAGGAUAAUUUCAAAGCAUACCGAUCCAUGAGGGACUGCAUGCAUCCACCUCGUAUGAGUGCACCGUCAUGCAUAGUGCCUCCCACUGAGCAACUAGUAAUCUGACCUCACAUUGUGCCACUCCUACCUACUUUCCAUGGGAUGGAGAGUGAGAAUCUCUACUCGCAUAUUAAGAAAUUCGAGGAGGUUUGUAAUACAUUCCAAGAAGGAGGAGCUUCAAUUGACUUGAUGAGGCUCAAGCUAUUUCCUUUCACUUUGAAGGAUAAGGCUAAGAUUUGGCUUAAUUCUUUAAGGCCAAGGAGUAUCCGAACUUGGACUAAUUUGCAAGCCGAUUUUCUUAAGAAGUUCUUCCUUACCCAUAGGACCAAUGGUUUGAAAAGGCAAAUUUCGAACUUCUCAGCUAAAGAGAAUGAGAAAUUCUAUGAGUGAUGGGAGAGGUACAUGGAAGCUAUUAAUGCUUGUCCUCACCAUGGCUUUGACACAUGGCUCUUAGUGAGUUAUUUUUACGAUGGUAUGUCUUCUUCAAUGAAGCAACUCCUAGAAACUAUGUGUGGAGGAUACUUCAUGAGUAAGAAUCCGAAGGAAGCCAUGGACUUUUUGAGUUAUGUGGCUGAAGUUUUAAGAGGAUGGGAUGAACCAAAUGCUAGAGAGGUGGAAAGAAUGAAGUCUCAACCUAAUGCUAAGGGUGGGAUGUAUGUUUUGAAUGAAGACAUUGACAUGAAAGCAAAGGUUGUAGCUAUGGCAAGGAGAUUGGAAGAGCUAGAAAUGAAGAAGGCACAAAAAGUGGAAGCCAUUUCUGAGACAUCAGUGCAAGCUAUGCCUUGUUCCAUUUGUCAACCUAAUGCUAAGGGUGGGAUGUAUGUUUUGAAUGAAGACAUUGACAUGAAAGCAAAGGUUGUAGCUAUGGCAAGGAGAUUGGAAGAGCUAGAAAUGAAGAAGGCACAAAAAGUGGAAGCCAUUUCUGAGACAUCAGUGCAAGCUAUGCCUUGUUCCAUUUGUCAAUCUUAUGAGUACCUAGUGGAGGAGUGUCCUACAAUUCCAGUAGUGAGAGAGAUGUCUGGUGAUCAAGCAAAUGUUAUUGAUCAAUUCAAGCCUAAUAAAAAUGCUUCAUAUGGCAACACCUACAAUUCAAAUUGGAUGAACCAUCCAAAUUUCUCUUGGAAACCAAAGCUACCUCAAUACACACAACCUGCUCAAGCACCUUAGCAAUCCUCGAAUCUUGAACAAGCUAUUGUGAACCUUAGUAAGGUUGUGGGAGAUUAAAAGUCCAUCAAUGCUCAACUGAAUCAGAGAAUUGACAGUGUAGAGAGUACAUUGAACAAAAGGAUGGAUGAGAUGCAAAAUGAUCUGUCUCAAAAGAUAGACAAUGUCCAAUAUGCAAUCUCAAGGCUUACCAACCUCAACACAGUGCAAGAGAAAGGAAAGUUUAUUUCUCAACCUCAUCAAAAUCCCAAGGGUAUCCAUGAAGUGGAGGCUCAAGAGAGAGAAUCUUCAAAGGUGAGGGAAGUCAAAGCAGUUAUCACCUUGAGGAGUGGUAAAGAGGUUGAUCAACCCACAUCCAAGCCAAAGCAUAAUGAAGAGAGUUUUGUAGAAAAAGAAAAGAGAGGAAAAUAAAGGAAAGAGAAUAGAGAAAAGUACAAAGAAAGAUGACCAUGAGUCUAGUGUGGAUGAAGAGCCCAAGAGGAUAGUGAUCAAGGAAAAUAUGAUGAAGAAACACAUGCCUCCACCUUUCCCCUAAGCUUUGCAUGACAAAAAAGGAACCAAUAAUACAUCGGAAAUUUUUGAAGUAUUGAGGCAAGUGAAGGUCAAUAUCCCUUUGCUAGAGAUGAUCAAACAAGUGCCGACAUAUGCAAAAUUCUUGAAGGACUUGUGCACUGUAAAGAGAGGGUUGAAUGUGAACAAGAAAGCUUUCUUGACCGAGCAAGUGAGUUCCAUCAUACAGUGCAAGUCUCCAGUGAAGUACAAAUAUCCGGGCUACCCUACCAUCUCAGUGAGUAUUGGAGGUACUUGUGUGGAAAAAGCUUUGUUGGACUUGGGAGCAAGUGUGAAUUUGCUACCCUACUCUGUCUAUAAGUAGUUGGGACUUGGAGAGUUGAAGUCAACAUCCAUCACCCUAUCUCUGGCAGAUAGAUCAGUGAAGAUUCCAAGAGAGAUGAUAGAAGAUGUCUUGGUUCAAGUUGACAAAUUCUACUAUCCAGUGGAUUUUGUUGUUCUUGAUACGGAUCCGAUUGUCAAAGGAACUAAUUAUGUUCCUAUCAUACGAAGACCCUUCCUAGCUACAUCAAAUGCAAUCAUCAAUUGUAGGAAUGGAGUCAUGAAACUCACGUUUGUCAACAUGACAUUAGAGCUCAACAUCUUCCAUUUGUACAAGAAGCAUAUCCAUUCAGAAGAAAAAGAAGGUCUAGAGGAAGUGUGCAUGAUUGACACUUUAGUGGAGGAGCAUUGUGAUCGACAAUGCAAGAAGAUUUAGUUGAGAGUUUUGGGGAUCUUGAUGAAGGGUUACUUGAACCCUCAGAUUUGCUUGCUACCCUACUCCAUUGGAGGAAGAGAGAAGAAAUUCUACCCUUAUUCAAUGAGGAGGAGACACAAAGAGCUGCUAAAGAUAAGCCCCCAAAGCUUAUUCUUAAGCCACUACCCACAGAGUUGAAGUAUGCAUACUUGGAAGAAGACAAGAAGUGCACUGUUGUUAUAUCUUUAGCUCUUACCAUUCAUCAGGAGGAUUGUCUACUUGAAGUCCUUAGAAGAAGUAAGAAGGUAAUAGGGUGGCAAAUUUCUGAUUUGAAAGGGAUCAGCCCUUUUGUCUGCACCCAUCAUAUUUACAUGGAGGAUGAAGCUAAGCCAAUUCAUCAACCUCAGAGAAGGUUGAACCCUCACAUGCAAGAAGUGGUGAGAGUUGAAGUUCUUAAGCUACUUUAGGCUGGUAUUAUUUACCCCAUAUCAGAUAGCCCAUGGGUGAGUCCUACUCAAGUUGUGCCAAAGAAGUCGGGGAUCACGGUGGUGCAAAAUGAUAAGGGAAAAGAUGUCUCUACAUGUCUCACUAUAGGUUGGAGGGUGCGUAUCAAUUACAGGAGGUUGAAUGUAGUGACAAGGAAUGACCAUUUCUCGUUGCCCUUUAUUGAUCAAGUGCUUGAGAGGGUCUCUGGGCAUCCUUUUUAUUGUUUCUUGGAUGGCUACUCGAGGUAAUUUAAGAUAGAAAUUGAUGUUGAAGACCAGGAGAAGACCAUUUUCACAUGCCCAUUUAGAACCUAUGCAUAUAGGAGAAUGUCUUUCGGCUUAUGCAAUGCACCCACAACUUUCCAAAGAUGCAUGUUAAGCAUUUUCAAUGAUAUGGUGGAGCAUAUUAUGGAAGUCUUUAUGGAUGAUAUCACCAUAUAUGGAAGUGCAUUUGAUGAAUGCUUGGUCAACUUAGAAGUUGUUCUGAACCGAUGCAUUGAGAAAGACUUAGUGCUUAAUUGGGAGAAGUGCCAUUUCAUGGUACACCAAGGGAUUGUCCUUGGGCACAUCAUCUCCAAGCAAAGCAUUGAAGUUGACAAAGCAAAGGUUGAACUCAUUGUUAAGUUGCCAUUCCCAACAAAUGUCAAAGGAGUAAGGCAAUUCCUUGGCCAUGCCGGGUUCUAUAGGAGGUUUAUCAAGGAUUUCUCUAAGCUUGCAAGGCCUCUUUGUGAAAUAUUGGUGAAGGAUGUUAAAUUCAUAUGGGAUGAUAGAUGCCAAAGGAGUUUUGAAGAAUUGAAGCUAUUUUUGACAACCUCACCAAUAGUGAGGGCUCCCAACUAGCAACUGCCCUUUGAGGUAAAGUGUGAUGUCAAUGACUUUGCUAUAGGAGCUGUUCUUGGGCAAAGAGAAGAUGGAAAACCUUAUGUGAUCUACUAUGCGAGCAAGACAUUGAAUGAGGUGCAAAGAAACUACAUAACCACCGAGAAAGAAUUGUUAGCUGUAGUUUUUGCCUUGGAUAAGUUUCGUGCUUACUUGGUGGGAUCCUUCAUCGUGGUUUUUAUUGAUCACUUUGCUUUGAAGUAUCUAUUGACUAAGCAAGAUGCUAAAGCAAAACUGAUUAGAUGGAUUUUCUUGCUUCAAGAGUUCAAUCUCCAGAUCAAAGACAAGAAAAAAAUGGAGAAUGUGGUAGUAGACCACAUUUCAAGGCUAGCUAUCGCACAUAAUUCCCAUGCUUUGCCCAUUAAUGACGAUUUUCUAGAGGGGUCUCUCAUGUUGGUGGAAGUUGUCCCUUGGUACGCUCACAUUGCUAACUACCUGGUCACAAGAGAAGUUCCAAGUGAGUGGAAAGCACAAGAUAAGAAGCACUUCUUUGCAAAAAUUCAUGCCUACUAUUGGGAAAAGCCAUUUCUAUUCAAGUAUUGUGCGGAUCAGAUAAUAAGGAAGUGAGUUCCUGAAGAAGAGCAACAGGGGAUCCUCAGUCAUUGCCAUAAAAAUGCAUGUGGAUGCCACUUUGCUUAUCAGAAGACAACCAUGAGGGUGCUGCAAUCGGGUUUCUGUUGGCCAUCACUUUUCAAAGAUGCCCACACCAUGUGCAAGAGUUGUGAUCGAUGCCAGAGGCUUGGGAAGUUAUCAUGUAGGAACAUGAUGCCUUUGAACCCCAUUUUAAUAGUUGAUCUUUUUUAUGUUUGGGGCAUUGACUUCAUGGGACUUUUCCCUAUAUCUUUUGGCUACUCUUACAUCUUGGUGGGAAUAGAUUAUGUUUCUAAGUGGGUUGAGGCAGUCCCAUGCAAACACAAUGACCAUAGAGUGGUUCUCAAGUUUCUUAAGGAGAACAUCUUCUCAAGAUUUGGGGUGCCCAAAGCCAUAAUUAGUGAUGGGGGUACUCAUUUUUGCAACAAGCCUUUUGAAACUCUCCUAGCCAAGUAUGGGGUGAAGCAUAAGGUAGCUACACCUUACCACCCUCAAACUAAUGGGCAAGUUGAGUUAGCAAACAAGGAGAUUAAAAACAUAUUGAUGAAGGUGGUGAACACAAACAGAAAAGAUUGGUCAGUCAAGCUCUUCGAUUCACUAUGGUCAUGUAGAACAGCUUACAAGACCAUUAUCGGGAUGUCUCUUUAUCACCUAGUCUAUGGAAAAAAUGCCAUCUCCUUGUGAAAUUGGAAUACAAAGCUUGGUGGUCAAUCAAGAAGCUCAACAUGGAUUUGAGCAGAGCUGGGUUGAAGAGGUUCUUAGACCACAAUGAGAUGGAGGAAUUGAGAAAUGAUGCCUACAUCAAUUCAAAAAUUGUAAAAGAAAAAUUGAAGAGGUGGCAUGAUCAGUUGAUUUCCCGCAAGAAUUUUCAAAAUGGAUAAAGAGUCUUGCUCUAUGACUCUAAACUCCACAUCUUUCCGAGCAAGCUGAAAUCAAGGUGGAUAGGUCCUUUUACCAUUCACCAAGUGCAUUCAAAUAGAGUAGUGGAACUACUCAACUCCAACAACAUCGGGAGCUUCAAAGUGAAUGACCAUUGUCUCAAGCCCUUUGUAGAGUCUUUUUUCUCGCGACAAGGAGGAAUUCAUCCUCCUUGAUCCACAUCAAGCUUGACAAGACCAGUUUUUUUUUAUGGACUUAGUCUUUCUAAAGACUAUCGAGUCCAUAACUUUUUAUUUUAUUUUUUAUUUGAGAGUUUUUCGGUAUUAUUACUUGUUUUGUUUUUUAUUUUUCGUUUUACUUUUAUUUGGUUUGAUUUAACUUAGAUUUUUUAUGAUCAAUUGCAGGGGGGAUUUCAAAUAGAGGAAAAACCAAGAUAAUUCGCACACCCUGCGAAAAUUUCGCAAGGCAUGCGAAAUUUAUGGCUCAUUUCGCAUGGGAUGCGAAAUUUCGCACACCCUACGAACCAAUUUCGCACACUUUGUGAAAAUAAACCAACCCUACGAAAUCAUUUCAAAUACUCUACGAAAUUUUCGCAGAGCAUGUAAAAAAUUUCGCAGACCAAACACCAUUUCGCAUACUAUGCGAAAAUGUAAGGGGUCUACAAAACCAUUUCGCACCUCCAAAGCCAUUUCGCACAUUGUGCAAAAAUGAAAAGUCGCCCUAUCAUCCAUUUUUAAACCCCUUGAGCCCUGAAAUCCCCAUUUCGCAAGCACCCCUGUCCUUGCGAAUCCCUCAUUUUCCUCUGCCACCUUGCGACCUUGUCCCUCUCCAUUUGAUAUCGUGCCCUGCGCACAUCUCAUUUCAAAGACUCGCACUCUGCGCCCUCUCAAAGCACGAACCCAAGGCUCACAUUCCAUUUCCGACAUGGCACAGACCCGAGGAGCCCUUCCCGCCCCUUCAUCGAGACGCACACCAAGGUAGAGAGCCUCUUUUGCUCAGAUGCCAAGUGAUUCUCCAUUUCAGGCCACGGAGGCCCUGCGGAUUCCACAUUCCAAGGGUAGAACAGCCACUGGUCCUUCCUCUUCUAUUCCUCAGCGUAGAUAUGAGACGAGGAGACCACCUACUACACAAAGGGCGACUACUUCGCGCCAUGAGAAUUCGGUACGACACCCUCCUGCCAAGAGGGCCAGGACUUCAGGCCCAGGCGAGUCAUCCAAAGCUUCACAGCCUGAGCCUCCUGCAGAUUCCGAGGUUCCUACUGACAUAUCAUCGGAGUCUAUUAUCAAACGCCCGAUGCUCACAGCACCGCCCAUUGAGGGCAACUCUGAUUGUAGAGCGAGACCUUUCCACUUGGAGCUAUAUUUUAAUUAAGAGGCCAUGCCACAGCAGCCUGAGCUCCAAGACUCUUAUGGCUUACUACAGAGGUACCAUCUUGAGGACCUUAUGACUCCUCGUGAGUUCUUUUAUCCCAGAGUAGCACUAGACUUUUACCAGUCCAUGACUACUCGUGGCGUCCCGAGUCCUACCGCGAUGCACUUCACCAUUAAUGGACGUCAUGGUAUCCUCGAGGCCAGACAUAUUGGAGAGGCUCUACAGAUUCCUUUCGAGCUAGAGGACCCAUCUGUUUUCUGCCAAUGGUCCCCAAUAUCUCAGAGGGACAUGGUCCAUAUUUUAUCCAGGGGGACAUCUACAUAUUCGAUCCUUCUACGGAAGGAGCUUCGACCUGGGAUACUCCUCGUAGAUGUGGUGCUACUUUCCAACCUCUUUCCCUUUUAGCAUUCGAUACAUAGGCGAGGAGCUAUUUUGGACGCUUUAUUCUGUAUAUCAGAGGGCUUCUACUUUGGCCCGCACCACUUGAUCAUGGUUUCCCUCAUCCAUUUUGAGGAGAAGGUCCAUAGAAAGAAGCUUCAGAGGGCGAACACCAUUCCAUUACUAUUCCCGAGGUUGCUCUACUAGAUCUUGGAGUACAUGGGCUUUCCUACUGAGCCUCGGCUUGUGUGCCGCCGCCUUUGUCAAGAGCGAUCCACUCUCGACAAAUGGAAUCAGUUGGCGGGCUAUUCUACACCUCCAGGAGCCCCUCCCAUGGUAGCACCUCUAGUGUCCCCACAGGCAGAGUAGGGCAAGCUCCCGGUAGAGACUGCACCCCUAGUGCCCACACCUGAGGCUACUUCUGCUGUUCCGCCUACGACUCCUACUGUUCCACCAGUUGGUCCUUUUACAUCUGAGUCUUCCAUCAACAUCUCGACUUCGGAGUUUCGCGCCCUUGUGCAUACCUUUCAGACACUCACCACCACACAUACUGCUCUCUUCUAGAAAAUGGCUGAGAUGCGUGCCCAUCAGGACCAGCAGACUACUAUACUCCGCCAAAUUCAACAGCACCUGGGACUUCUGCCUCUGCCUCAGCUUGACCUUCCCACAUCAUCAGAGCCUCUAGCUCCAGUUGAGGAUACUAUUCCACCUGAGGACACUACCACAGUAGAGGUUCAGAUUCCACCACCUCAGGAGGCCACCACAGCUACAUUAGAGGAUGCAUCAUCUCCACCUGAGGCUCCCACUACUUGAUCAUAGGACAUCUCUUUAUCUUAUUGUAUUUACAUAUUAUAUUACUGGAGAUUUGUCUUUGUUUUGAUACUUUAUAUUCUGGCAUUGAAUGUAUUGCCUAAUGAUAUCUCAAUUGUACUUUCUCAUAUUAAUAUAUAGACAUCAAUUUUUUUUAGUAUACUUAGGAUUUUUCUAUUUACUCUACUCAUUACUCUUUUGUUUUUUUUUUUUUACUCAUGUGGUUUCUCCUAUACGACUCAGACUCCAUUUCACUCAGGAGGUACCACUUCUUCCCUUUAUUUUCAAUUGCUCUUGAAACAUUGAGGGCAAUGUUGAUCUUGGUUGGAGGGAGAGUUGAGGAAGGAAGUGAUUACUACUCAAAAAGUGCUAUUUCAUAGCUUGUAAUUAACUCUUUUAAAACACUUUUGAGUAGUAGUUAUCACCUUUUAACCCAAUUAACAUAUUAAGGACCCUUGCAAUCAAUUCUAAUCAAAUUGUGUUAAGUUUUGGUAUUUUGAUAGCUUUUUUAUCACCAAAGCAAUCCGAGAUUGAGGAUAUUUAUUUGGAAUCCAUGGCAAAAGAUGUUUGGACAGGACGUCCGGACACACCAUCGGAGGGCGGCGGAACGUGGGCUGUGGCAGGCUGUCGGAAUGACGUAGCAAGGCUUGUGCACUUUAGCCAAUGAUCGGGAUAACAUAUCCGAAAUUCUGCUCCGCCGACAUUCCACCCGGAUGUCUCACAUCCGGAAUUCUGCUCCGCCGACAUUACACCCAGAUGUCUCACAUCCAAAAUUCUUCUCCGUCGACAUUCCAUCCGAAUAUUUCACAUCCGACGCUUGACGCCGGAUGGGAGAGGAGGGCGUUUCAACUUCCCCGGUCAGACAUAUCCGAAUCCUUUGAUAACGCUUACCCGGAGAGUUUCGCAGCCAUUUUGCACAGUGCCGCGGUGUUCUCUUGAAGCUUCCCGAUAUGUGCGACCGACAUUUUGAGAUAUUUUGCUUUAGAUAUUUGAUGUCUAAAUCCCCAAACUCUCCUUGUAACCCACCAAUUAUAGGAUUCCUUAGUUAUUAAGUUUGGAAAAAUGGUGAAUAACCCCUUAUAUAUAGUUUGCAAUUUUCAUAAAAAAGAUAUGUAGAAUCUCGGGAGCUUGUUCCCAGAGAGACGCAUCCUUUGUACAGUUUUGGAAGGAAGUAAAAUACAGAGCACUUGCUCUGCUUUUCAUAUAUAUUUUUGUUUUCUCGUUCUUUUUAUUUCUAGCCAAUCAAAGUCUGAGGAUUUUUCCUCAGAGGAUGAGAGGCUAGGCUCUUCGUCUCUUGGAGUGAAGAAAACUAGGUAAGUUUCCACAUGCAUAAAUUGAAAGUUUUGUUGUUUUAGUUUUUAAUGAAGAGAAAGUGUGACCCGUUAAUGGUUUUUAUCUUUUUAGUUAACUUAAAACGCCUUUAAAUCACCCGGGCCAACACUUGAUAAGGCAAGUGGUCUCCAUCCAUUGAGAUGCACUAGUUUAUCUCUUGCGAGCCUUUGGGAGGUGGUUUGAAGGUAGGAUUUUCUAGAAUAACCAACACUUGAUAAGCUUUUGGACUCUAAGGAGACAUCCAUUAGUUAUCUCUUGCGAGCUUUUGACGGGUAAUCCAAGGUUAAAGAUCACCUUGAAUGGCAAGUACUAGGUGAGAGGUAUGAGCCAUUGCAAGAUGCAUUAGUGAGAGGGAUUUAGUGUUUGAACCCAUUAAAGGGAAGCAUCUGUACCACACCGGUUCGGGAAAUAACUAUAUGUUAAAUCCCCAAUGAGAGGAAAAGAAACAAGUGACCGGAACUCCCUUUUUGUAUAAGGAACCUGAGCCUAGUGAUCUAAACUCCAAGAAACACUUUUCUUUGUAAGUAAAAUCAGUUACUAUUUUUGGUUAGUUUAAAACCAAACCUUUUUCAUUCAAACAUCUUUAUGUUUUCUUUUAAAGCUAACCUUGAAAUGAAAAGGCACCAAUUCAUAUUUGAAUUAAUAUCAAUUGUGAAGUGAAAACCCAUCCCAGUGAACGAUCCUAGAGCCACUAUGCUAUAGUAGCUUUGUCUUUGCUACCCUAGUUCAUGGUUUAAUAGGUUAUAAAUUUUGUUGAUUACUCCCACAAUCAAAGGAGCACCAGUUGGACAUGAAUCAACUGAGACACUAAUUGGGCACAAAUCAGGAAGUUUUGUUAAUAAUGCUAGGUUAAUUUGUUAAUUUAGUUACUUUCUGCUUAAUUUUAAAAGUUUUCACUUUACUUUCCAUAGUUAUUAAGGAAAAAUUCUCAAAAUGAAAUGGGAGAAAUUGAAUUCUUACAUUUUUACUUGAAUUUUAGAAUUUGUAUUAUGCUUAUUGAAGCUGAUGAAUUAUUGAAACUCCUAUUGAAUUCAACCUUAUUUCUUCCACUUUAAUCUUACCACACACGGUGCACAUUAGGUUCCGAUUAUAAGAGGUGCGUUCUUAGCCUAUUGGAGGUUGGUCAAUUUGUUAAAGUUUGAGAAAGAUCUAGGUUAGGGGAGAGAGAAUAGUCUGACAUACUAUAAUCGAAAACUAAUAAACUUAACACUUAGAUCUUUGUGGAAGAGUAAGGAUUGGACCUUUGGGAGUGGAAAUUCGUUUGAUGCUUAAAUUUGCAUAAUGCUUACACUUUAUAAAUUGUGAUUAGGCAAGAGAUUUGAUGACUCUUGUUCAAGGUUGGGUUUUGCCUCUUUGAUGUUCCAUGAGAGAGUAUAAUCCUCAUCAUGCCACUUGAAAUUUUUUUUGGAGUGAUUAACAUGAUUUUGUAAAUUACUUUACUGUCUAUUUUUUUUUUAUCUCUCCUUCAUUGCUAAUGGACUAGCAAUAUGUCAGUUGAGGGGAGUGAUUACUACUCAAAAAGUACUCUUUUAUAGCUUGAAACUAACUGUUUUGAACACUUUUGAGUAGUAGUUAAUACCUUUUAACUCAAUUGGCACAUUAAAGAACCUAGCAAGGGUUACUAAUUAGUUUUUGGCAAGUUUUGGUGUUUUUGGUAGCUAUUUGAUCAUUGAAACAAGCCAAGAAUGAGGGAGAAUUUUGUGAAGUCCAUGGCAAUGCAAGUUAAAGCUCAAAUACAUGAAGAAUCCAAGCUUUGGAGCACUUCAUAGCCCUUUCCAAAGCCAAUCAGAGAUGCAAGGAAGAAAACCAGAGGAAGAAAUCCAACAAUUAGCAUUUUCGCAUGGCUGUGCGAAAUUUCGCACACCAUGCGAAACCACAAGAGGCAGCCAAAGAAUUUUGCACACUAUGCGAAAUUUCGCAUGGUAUGCAAAAUCUUCUUGUGCACCAACUCCGUUAUAUUUUUAUCUCAAAUAUUUUGUGUAAUUUCCUAGUUUCUCCUUGUAACCAACCUAGAUAUUUUCUUUUAUAUAUUUUUUAGGUAACAUCAUCUAUAGGGGGAGAGACAUAAGGAGGAUAUGGAUGUUUUUCAUAGAACACUUGUAAAUUUCCGGUAGUAAGAAAUAUACAGAGCUUUUUGCUCUACCUUACCUUCUCAUUUUGUUUUCACUUGUCUUUCUAGCCAAACAACCUCUGAGGAUGAUUUCUUAGGGAAUGAGUGGCUAGGUUUUACGUUUCUUGGAGUGAGGGAAGCUAGGUGAAAGACCCGAAUGCUAAGGUGGGAGUUGUCCUUGCUUUAAAUGAAAGUAGUUGUUAAACAUUAAUGGUUUUUAUUUUAAGGUUUAGCUUUAAAUCCCUUAAAAACAUCUUGAAUGGUCAAUACUUGGUAGGCUUUUUGGAUUCUAUGGAUGCUUAUUGCUAGAUCCCUGGAUGUCUAUUAGUUAUCAUUUAUGAGCCAUUGGAAGGUGGUUCAAGAUGAGGGUCUUUAAUGUUUGAAGCCAUUAAUAGGAAACAAUUACCAUUCUUUCAUGAAUCCUUUGGAUCAAAUCUUAAUUGCUAAAUAUAAAACUAGUUCGGGAGAUAACCAUCCUUUAUGUUAUUAUGCCCAACGCGAGGAGAAGAUUCGGAAUCUUCCCCUUUGUCUAAGGAACCCGAUCCUAGUGACCUAAAGCUCUAAGAGACCUUUUCUUUAUAGUUAACUUCACUUAUUGUUUUUUCUUAACUUAAAAUCAAUCUUUGCAACCACAAUUCCAUUUUCUUUGAAAGCUAAUUUUCAUAAGGAAAAUCACCAUUUUAUUUUCUUCCCUAAGUCAACUGUACGAUGAAAACCCAUUCCCAUGGACGAUCCUAGAGCCACUAUACUAUGUUAGCUAUGCUACCCUAAUGUGAGGUGAUUUAGGUUUUAUAAAUUUUGUUGAUAACACCUGUUUGAGCCAGAAUCAAAUGGCGCAACUGAACCAGGGACGAAUCAACAACUUAUAUGGGAGGGACACAAGUUUAAUUGAUUUGCAUUUCAACGUUAUAUAUAGGUAUGUUUUGGAAGAUUUGUUCUGGAAAUACUGCACCAAGUACGAUUCUUUUUGUCUUGAGUGGGUCUACUUGCAUGCCAAUUAACGAGUGGAAAAGUAGGAGCACCUACCUCAUGCUCGCGGAACCGAAGGUCAGUGAAGUGGGGCUCCUUUUGGCCUCUUGUGUUUCUAUUCCAACCAAGGCGGCGUAAGGAAAAACAACAAUAUGUUUGUGCUAAAUAUCAACGCAUGAUAGAUGUUUUUGUUUUUUGGUAUGUCAAGGCUAAUGAAUGAAAUGCUUUAGCUUGUUUUGUGACUGGAACUGCAAAUGUCCAAAUUGGAGUAUCUCCAUUUCUCACUUCGGAUGGUUAACUUAUAAACAAGAUAUAGGAAACAUGUGAACAUCUUGAGGAACAAUUUGAAUUAUUCAUUAGAAGUCCUGGGUUGAGUUCCAAGAUUUAAAUUAGACCCCUCUAGCAGCUUCAGGGGUACCUAGCAACCUAUAGCAUAUUAAUGAAGAUUUAGGAUUUAGACUCUAGAAUACAAAUUAAUAUGUAUCUCAUGCUUUGACUAGCUUCCCUACAUAUGCACAAAAUGGAGAUGACCUAAAAAAAUAGCAGAAUCUAGCUUCCCUACAUAUGCACAAAAUGGAGAUGACCCAAAAAAUAGCAGAAUUUCCUUAGUUUCUGUGGUUAAGGUGAUUCUCCGCUUAAUAUCACAUUGACUCAUUAUGCAAAAUCAACUGAGCUAAUUUUGUUUAUUUAUUUAAUGUCAAAUAGGAACUCCUAAUUAACCUAACCCUUGGCCUGUGUAAAUUGAUUUCACAUGCCCAAUGUUGAAGUAGAAGUCCAUAUUUUGAAUUUUAUUUUUGUAAAGGUAAGGAAAAUGAAGCAUUGUGUAAUUAUAAAAAUAACUUCAUUGGAAUUCACAAGGUUCACCCAAAAUGGAGCUACAUCCGUAUUCUAUCCUGCAGUAGACUAUAUAGAUUGUACAAUAGUAAAUUGCAAAUACAAUUAAUAAGUCUUGUGCUUCCUUACUAAUAAUCCUUUGACAUGAACAUUGCAGCACUAAGGUCCUCUUGGGAAGACACCUUGCACCCAUGAGAGCACGAAGAGGAAGCAAGGCAGAGUCAUGGGUGCAAUGUCAUGACUUGUUGUUGCACCAAGAGAGGCUUGGUGAUGGCAUGGUGUUGCAGUAGCAAGAAUGUUGCCUUGGUAGGGACAUAAUCUAGGGAUAGAUGCCAAGAAAGGCUUAGCACUCACAUGAGUUGCACAAAGAUGAAUGUAAUAGAGCAUCAGAGAGACGUCUUGGCAAGUAAAUGAAUGGAUCCAAGAGGCAACAACAUGAGGAGUUUCAAAUGGAUAAGGAAUGAGUCAAAGACAUUUGAAAGCUACAAGUUGGAUUCUAAUUACGAUUGCAAUUUGAGUUUGAGUAGGAGUUUAGAUUCUGAUUGUAAUUGUAGUAUGAGUUGGACUAGGAUUGCUUAUCCCUAGUCAAAAUAGGAGUGGUUCGUGUCACACCCUAUGAAAAGAGUUUGAGUAGGGACUAGGAUUGCUUACUCCUAGUCAAAUAUGGAGUAGGUGGUGCCACACCUAUAAAAAAAAAGGGACAACAUGAGAGAGAGAGAGAGAGAGAGAGAGAGAGAGAGAGAGAGAGAGAGAGAGAGAAAGAGAUAAUGAAUUCACUAAAGAUAUUGUGGGAGUUUUUCUUUGUUACGUCUUGUAUUAUUACUUAGAAUAGGAAUAAAAUACAAGUUUGGGCUAGAGCCCCAUAAUUAAUCUCGUGUGCCUUUGUGGUUAUUCUUUAUUUGUCAUCUCGUGUGGAUUGGAUUACAUUGACUUAGAGGGCUUCUAAGCACCACCUUUGUGGGUUAUUAUUUAUUUUCCAUUUCUUGUGGAUUAGAUUAGGUUGACUUUGAGGGCUUUUAAGCACCACCUUUGUGGGUUAUUCUUUAUUUUCCAUAUCGUGGGGAUUGGAUUAGGUUGACGAUGAGAAAAAUUAUGUGGGAAAUUUGUGUUGGGACACUUAUCAUAACCAGGUAAAAUCUGCCAAGUCCUUUGUAAUAUCUUCAACAAAUAUUUCAGACUAGUUCUUCACCAUAAACAUCAUAUUGUGUUUUGUUUUUCUCCUGGAUUCUGAGUUGAAUUGUUUCAAGUCAAUUGAAUGCAUCUGAAUAUUAUUAGCUUGUUUGAAGGCCUGGUGAUUUUCCAUUUAACUUUACUUUCUUUAGGUUAUGCUCACUAUAAGAAAAAUGAGAAAUAAUGACGCUUUUUACGCGUUAAGAAAGGCAACAGAUGAUGCUUCUCUAAAGCGUCCUCUUCGGCUCUGUCAUUAUAUGUGUUAGCCAAUAAUGACGCUUCUAGGAAGUGCCAUCUUUGAAUAAUGUUAAUAACGACACUCGUAAAAAGUGUCAUCUUUAAACAUAUUCUGGUCAAAUAAUUUUUACAAAAUUAGUAAUCUUCAAGCCGUUUCUGAAUCAUAUCUGAGCCUAUUUCUGGGGACCAGAAAACCAUCUUUUUUCCAUUCGCCUGAGAGGUCUGAUUAGCAUUUCUGGAAUCAAUCUCUAAACCCAAGCUUCCCUCAUCUACCCAUUUAACCCUCAUGCCCUCCUGUUUGAACAACUUUCCCACUAUAUACACAAAUUUUUUACCUUCUGUUGUUGGUAUUCGACCUCUUCCCAUUCCCAGCACAGAAUCCACCAUUAGUGCCACUUUGUGAAUAAAAUCAUCGAACCAGAUCUUUCGGGCGGAAGAUGAGCUCCAGAGAAAUAAAAUUUUUGGGGUCUUCCCAGCAUGAAAGUCAUAGGUAGCAUUAAUGACAUCAAGAAAUGGGGCACUGUUGAGAAAAAACAUGUUCCCAUCAACCACCCAAGAAUUGUACCAGACUCCAAACACUUCUGGAUUACAUAUGCCUUUACUAAGAUAUAUUUCUUGAUCUCCAUAUCAGAAUCUUGGAGACUCUUCAUUUUAUGAGCUCUGACACUACUGUGAAAUUGGUCCACAUCAAUCACAGGAUGACCCCUUCUAGCAAGAUCAAGCAGGAAGUCUGAAUUCGGGCCCAUAAAAAUGUAGUUCUGAAUAUUGAAACUCUCAAAGUGGCACAACAAAUUCCUUAUGACUCUUUCAGAUGCUCCAAACAGGCUCACAAGUAUAAUGGUAUCCUGUUUUUGCACAGAGUAAAGAAAAUAUCCGAGUUCUUCAAAACUCCUUACAACUAUUCCAGGAUGUACUUCUUUGAAACAGAAAUCGUACCACUUUAGCUUAGUCAGAGGUUGAAUCUAAAAUAACAAAACCCAAACUGAAAUCAAAAUCGAAAUCAACCCUAAUAGAUUUCAGAAACAACAAAUUAAAAGAGUAAAGCACAAAAGGGGGAAAACACAUAUGAAGCAAUCUCCAUACAAGCCCUAACCUUAGAUAAACCCAAAAAAAAAAAUCAAAGCAGAGAGUUACCAUAGAGCAUCUCUGUUUCAAGCUUAGAAAAUGUUUAAUGCCAUUGAUAACUAGUUGGCUAGUGGUGGACUUCAAGCUUCUCUAUUUCGGUGUUAGUAGCUCUCAAUGGCUAUGGUGAGAACAAAGAAAUGAGAGGCUUAGGGUUUGGGAUGUGAGGUUAUUGAUGAUGAUGAGGAUAAAGUUAUGGGCUCUUGGAGGGGUUAGGGAAAUUGAAGAUGGCUGAGAGUAAAGGCUAGGGUUUUUGAGAUAGUUAAUAGCUUUUUAGGGUGUGACUGUCCAUAGAUAGAAGAUAAAUGAGGGUGUGAGAAUUUAUAGAUCUCUAGGUGAUAUGGCGGGUGUGAGAAUGAAAUUUUAGAGGGAAUUGUGUGUUUGGUAGAAAUUUCACACAUGCAUAUAUAAUGUUUCAGAACAUGGCACUUUAAAAAUACGACAAGGAAGAAAUUAUUUAUUGACGCUUAAAUAAAGCGCCAAGGUCUCCAACAUUUUUGCAAUCAAUGACGUUUGUAAAAGGUGCCAUUGAAUAGGAGUGCCAUUGCUUUCCCACAAAGCAUCAUUGUUAAUCAAGCCUUUAAAAAACGCCAAGAUAUGUUGCCACUUAGGUUAAAUAUUGACGCUUUUAAAAAACGCCAAGGAAAAAAACGUCAUUAUUCAUGUUUUUUGUAGUAGUGGCUUGAUUCCUAAAAAGUAAAGGAAAGCAAAAAGUAAAAAAAUAAAAAUGUGGAGAGUUAGGACAUGCGUUAUCUAAUUGUCCUAGUCCCAAAUAUAUUAAGAAAGUCAUGUAGGUUACUUGGAGUAACGAGUCAAGUAAAGCAAGCCUUCUAGUGUUUAAGACAUUAGAUAUUACCGAACUGAUUAUGUCAUUAAUGUAUUGCAUUUGUUGUUUCUAAUAUAUAGAAGAAGAUGAAAUUAUUGGAAUAAGUGGGAAAUAGGAAUAAAUCCAAGGUACCAAAAAGUCACUUUAUCUUAGAUGUUGUUGGAAACAUAAGUGAUUUCACAAUAACGACUAUGAGACAAUCAAGGAUUAAUAAGAUAGACUUUAUAUGAUAUACCUCCCAAUUAGAGCCUAAAAAUAUGGAUGAAGCACUUAGAGAUGAAUCUUCAAUUUUUGUACUAUAGGAAGAAUUAAAUCAAUUUGUUAGCUAUUCUUUGGAUAUUUGAUUCAUCACAAGCUACAAAUCACUUUUGAUGACCAAACACGAAACUAAGAGGAUUGGGCCCAAUUCGAUGCCUAUCAACAAUGAUUUGUAUUCCACCUCAUUAAUUAUUCAAAGUUGGGAAGCUAGGUCUAACCACUUUCUCUACCUGUUCACCCUUAGAGGAGCAGAAGAAAAUUCUAACUUUGGUGCCUAAUGCCUUUGACAAUCUUUCGACAAAGAGAGUUCACUAAUUACUUUGAUUAUUUCUCUGUUGGUCACUGGGGGACAAGACUUUUGUAAUGAAGUCAACUAGAACUUGCCCUUUGAGGGCCAUUCAUGGACGAUAUUACACCAUGAAUUCCCUUAGGUCAUGUUUGGUAUGUGAGAAUGAGGAGUGGAAUGGACAUCUUAUUCAUUUUUUCAUCUAUUCAAAUGUUGGGAUAACUCAAGUGACCAUGAGAAUGAAAUCAAGAAUGAUUCAAGGGAAAUGAAAUCUUACUUAUAAGUGUGAUUUCAAUUAAUCUCUAAUAGAAAUUAUUUUGAAUCAAUAGUGCAAGUUAUUUUUAAAAACAUUUUUCCAAAAUUAAAAAAAUCAAUUUUUUUUUUUUCGAUAAGUUGUUUUUAAAAGGAUUUUUUUUAUUUUGUAAAAAGAAAAUUGUAAUUCAAUUUAUAUAAUAUAAACUAAAUUUUAUUUUAUUCAAAAAGAAAUAAUUUUUUAAUUAUAAAUAAAUUAAAAAUAAAUACUUUUAAUAAAAUAUAAAUAGUAUUAUUAUAAUAAAAUCAUAAAUAAAUUUAAUUUUUUUUAUAAAUAUUAUAAAAAUAUGGAUAUUAACAUUGGAUAAUUGAUUUAUUUUGUUAAAAUAAAAAAUAAUAAUUUUUAAUAUUAUUUUAUGUUAAAUGAAUUUUAAAAUAAAGAAAGUUUAAUUAUUUUAAGGUAUAGAAGAGCCAAAUUUUGCAUUACAUACAUAACAAACAAUAUUUAUUAGAAACAUUUCUCAAGGAGAAUCUUAUUCCAUCUCACAAAGAUACUCGUUUAUUCGAUGUUUGACCAUCCGUAACAAUCAUGUCAAUUCUACUGAUUUAAUAAUUCCUUUACAUUUAUUACUCACUUAUGAACAUGGUAUUGUGAUUUAUUUAUUUAUUUGAUGUAUAAUUAAUUAAUCAAUUUUUUAAAUUUCAAAUUAUUUUUAAAAACUAUUCAUUAAGGAAUUUAAAGCAUUAAUUAUGUCUAUUAUUUUUUAUAGUCAUUAUAUAUAUAUUGAGUUUUAAUUUAUUUUUAAAAAUUAUUAAACUUAUUAAUAAAUUCAAUAUAAAGUCUCGUUUCAUUUGAAAUUCAUUUCUUUAGUGAAAAUUUUGAAAAAAAAAUUGUUAUUUAUUUUACUUUGUUUUAAAAAAAUUGUUUCUAGAGAACAAUAAUCAAAUAAUGGUAUGAAUUUUUAAAAACAAUUUUGUUUUUAAAUCAUAUGCCCAAAUAAUUUUUUUUUAUUUAGCAAAAAACUUUGUUGUAGUAUGUGGCUCAUAUUGAGGGAAAGACAUAUAUGGAGAAAAAUGUGCAAAUGUUGGAGUGGAGCGGAGUGGAAUGACGACAUUUGUCAUUCAAACUUGUAUUUUUAUUGUUAAGGGUGACCGAUAGGUUGGUACGGUUUAGGGGUAUUUUUGGAAUUUCAUUACCUGAGGGUUAGUAUAAAUACCAUUUUAUGUAACCCUAAUUUUACAUAUAAUGUAAGUUUUCUUCCUUGUUCUUGUGGACAUAGGCAAUCCGUCGAACCACGUUAAAUCUGUGUGUUUUUUUUUCUUUUUUCUUUUUCUCUAAUUUCUUCACCAGGAAUCGUUACACUAAGAUCAACAAACUCUCAAAGAUGAUUUUUAAAAUGAAAAAAAUAAUGUAUAGUGUGAGAAUUUUUUAUUUUUUAUUUUUUUAAAAUGAAAAUAAAAAAUUGCUUUAAGGUAAAAGUGUGGAUAUUAUUGUUAAUUUAUUUCAUUUUUCAUUUUCAUUUCCAUUGUUACCUACAAUUGAAAUGGAAACAACUAAUCAUUACAACCUUACAUUCUUAUAUGCAUCCAAAUACAAAAAUUGAAAUCACCAAAUUCAUAUUCAAGGCAAAAUAGGAAUGAAAACAAAUAUUCAUUCUCAUUCUUUAUUCCCACGUGUCAAACAUGACCUCAAAGUUAUAAACAUGAACAAGAAGUCCUUGAAACACCAAUGAUCUCUUCUGGUAUAUAUAUGAGCUUGAUUGACAACUGUUUUAAAUACAGUUUUUUUUUUUUUUGUUUUCAAAAUCAAAACAAAUUUAUUUUUAUUUUUUAUAAAUAGUAGUUUUUUAAUAUUUUUUUUAAACCUUAUUAUGAAAAUAGGAUGUUUUCUAAUAUCAUAUUUUAAUUAUUUUCAAUUAUUUUCCCUUCUUUUAAGGAGGGCUAUUUUAAAAAUAUGAAAAAUGAUACAAAAUAAAGCAUUACAAAUAAAAAUCAUUUUUAAGAAAUAUAUGAAAAUAAUUUGAGAACAUUUGAAGUUCCUUAAUUAAACUUUUGUUCUAGAAAAUGCAAGAAAACUGUUUUUGAAAAUUGUUUUCAUAAUGAUAUGCAUUGAUCGUUUAAAAUUUAAUUACAUGAUAAAAAGACCUAUGUAAAAACCAGAGUUAUAUAAUCAGUCAUAGAUCAAAUCUACUAAAUAUGAAAAGUAAGUACAUAGUUGUAUAUGACUUAGAUGGAGCCUUCUCCGAAUGACAUUCUUUAGUCGGUACUCAUAUUUUUUUGUUUCGUGUCUUCAACAUAACACCUCAUGAUCCUUAAUAAAUCACCUGAAAACUAUAUUAGCACCUUAUUGUUUAAUAUUUCUCUAAAUUUUUUUAUUAAGCAAAUAAAUUCCAAAUUUAAAAUGACAAAUAAAAUUUAUUAAUUUUUAAAAAUAAUUUAAAACUCAAAAACCAAUUUAAUUGAUAUUAAAAGUCAUGAAACUUAAUAAUAUUAGAAAGUCAUGUAUCCAAAUUUAUUUUAAAUGACUUGUUUAAUUUCUUGUUUAUAUAUAUUAUAUUUUUAUAAUUUUUUUUACUAUACAAAUAAAUUUUAAAUUAAACAAAACUUAAUGCGUUGAAUUCAUUAACGAGUCUAAUAAUUUUUAAAAGUUACUUAAAAUUUAAAUACUAAAUCAAUUAGUACCACAAAUUCAUGGAAAAAAAUUGAUUUAUUACUACUAUAUUGUUUCUCUAUUGCAUAGAACCAUUAUUUUUCAAUUUUUUCAUUUGGCAAAUGAACAUCAAAUUAAACAAGACUAAGUGUAUUAAAUUCAUUAAUGGGUCUAGUAAUUUUUUAAAAUAAUUUAAAAUUCAAAUAUUGAUACUCCAAAUUAAACAAGACUUAGGUGGUGUUUGUUUUUUGGUUGAAUAGAAAAAGGUAAAAUAUUUGACUUUUUCUAUUUAGUUAAAAGUAACUUGUUGACAUCGUCCAAUAUAAUUAAAGUAAACCUAUUGAGGGCAAGUUCACUUUAAUUAUGUUGGACGAUGUCAACAGGUUACUUUUAACUCAAUAGAAAAAAUCAAAUAUUUUGACUUUUUUUUUAACUCAAAUAAUAAAUCCAUUAAUACAAAAAAAUUAUGGAUAAUUUGAAACUUUCUUUCUUUUUUUUUUUUUUUUUGCUACACAUAGCUAUAUUUUUAUAAAUUUUAUCAUUAGAGAAAUGGAUUUCAAAUCAAGUGAAACUUUGUAUUGAAUUAAUGGAUUUAACAUUUUUUAAAAAUAAUUUGGAACUAAAAAAAAAAGAUUUAAUUACUAAGAAAAUCAUAGAUCAAAACUAAUAUAUUCUGAUCCAUGAUUUUAUUAUUUUUCCUAUACAUACAAUUAUAUUUUUAUAAUUUUCUCACUAGGUAAAGAUAUUAUAAAUUAAGUGACACAUAAUUAAUAAUUUAAAUUUUUGAAUGAAUCUUUUAAUUUUAGGAAUAAUUUGAAAUUUAAAAAGUUGAUCCAAUUAAUUGUAAAUUAACUUAAAAUAUUAUAAAAUAUUAUGUUCAUAAUUAAGUACUAAAUGUAUAUAUGUAAUGAAAACUUAACUAGUUACAUGUUACAAAAGCCAAAAUUUAUUCAUUCUUUAUUUUAAAUAAAAUAUUAUUAAUAAUUAUUUUUUUUAAAAUAAUAUUUAGUAAUUAUUGUUUUUAAAUUAUUAUUAUUAAUUUUUAAUAAAAAAAUUGCAAAGUUAUUAAUAUCAUUAUAUUUCUAACAUAAAUUUAAAUAGUAUAUUUUUUAAUAUAUAUAUAUAUAUAUAUAUAUAUAUAUAUAUAUAUAUAUAUAUAUAUAUAUAAUUUAUGAUUUCAUUAUAAUAUUUUUAUUCAUGAUUGACGAAAAAUUAUUUAUUGUUUAAUUUAUUUGAAUUGCAAAACUAUUUUUCAAAAUUCAAGCGAGAAAAUAGGCCUGGAUUUGAAUUUCCUGUAGAAGAGAAGGAUGUGGAGAAUAUGUUGGGAGUAUUUGUGGAUAAAGAAAAGGCCAGGGUACUGAGAAAGGAGAGAGAACUUGCUCUUGCCAAAAGAGCCCUGCACAGGUAUUCUACUGAUUCUAAUUAUCGGUUCUUACAUGAUCAGAUUUCAGAUUUAUUUGCUGAGCUUCUGAAAUCUGAUACAGUAUUUAAACUCCGGUGAGCUUUACAAGAUUAGUCUCGCAUCCAAUUCCAAAUGGUGUCCCACAAUUGAUUCUUCUUAUGAUAAAUCCACCUUGAUAUGUGAAAAUAUUGCUCGAAAGGUUUAUCCUCGCGAGGAAUAUCCAGAAUACUAAGGAAUUGAGGAGGCUCACUAUGUUUAUAGAGUCAGGGAUAGGUUGAGAAAACAAGUAGUUGUUCCAUUACAUAAGGCCCUGGAGUUGCCAGAGGUUUUCAUGUGUUCGAACAAGUGGGGAUCACUUCCCUACAACCCUGUGGCUUCAGUGGCCAUGAAAUCAUACAAGAGCCUCUUCUCAAACCAUGAUACAGAGCGGUUUGGUGAGUAUCUUGAGAAAGUGCAAACUGGGAAGGCUAAGAUUGCAGCUGGUGCAUUACUUCCCCAUGAGAUUAUAGCUUCAUUGAAUGAGGAGGAUGCCGAGAGAGUUGCCGAGCUUCAGUGGGCAAGAAUGCUGGAAGAUUGAUCAAAGAAAGGGAGGCUCACAAAUUGCAUUGCAGUAUGUGACGUAUCAGGAAGUAUGAGUGGAACUCCAAUUGAGGUGUGUGUGGCUCUGGGGCAGUUAGUUUCAGAGCUCAGUGAAGAUCCAUGGAAAUUAAGGUAAUGUAAUUACUUUCAGUGCAAAUCCUGAGCUUCACAAGAUCCAAGGAGACAGCCUUGUAUCCAAGACUGAAUUUGUGAGGAUGAUGGAAUGGGGUGCCAACACUGACUUUCAGAAAGUUUUGACAGAAUCUUACAAGUAGCAGUGGAGGGAAAUAUGAGUGAAGAUCAAAUGAUAAAGAGGGUUUUCGUUUUCAGUGAUAUGGAGUUCGAUGAAGCUUGUGGGAGGUAUAACUAUUGUGACUAUGACUAUGAUAUGGAGGAAAUUGACGAGAGUCAGAAGGCAUCUCAGAAGUGGGAGACAGAUUAUGAAGUGAUACAGAGGAAAUUCCAGGAGAAAGGAUACAGAAAAGUUCCAGAGAUAGUGUUUUGGAACCUUAGAAACUCAUCAGCGACUCCAGUGACGGCCACAGAGAACGGGGUGGCCUUAGUAAGCGGGUUUUCAAAGAAUCUGUUGACCUUGUUUUUGGAAGGAGGUGGAAUUCUGAUCCCUCAGGAUGUGAUGGAAUUCGCCAUCUCUGAUGAAGAUUACAAGAAACUUGUUCUAUUUGAUUAAGAUAUCAAGAGAUUUAUCAAUAAUAAUAUAUUUUUUUUCUAUGUGAAAUACAUAUAAUAUUAACUGUGGAGUUAUCAAAGUUCUGGAGGUUUAAUUAUUUCUUCUUUUCAAGUUUUGUUUAUUUAAGGUUUUCUUUGUCUUUGUUAGGAAUUCCCCUUGGGUGGACCCAGCUGGGGAGUUGGAUUGAGGAAGUAAGCAGGCGAACUUGUGUUCUUCUAUGGACAGAGAAAAAAAAUAAAAUAAAAAAAUAAAAAAGGAGGUUAUUUGCAUUUGGAUGUCGUGGUUUGAGGGUACAACUACAAGCUCGAAAUUGUACAUAAUGUGAAAACUCCUGUGUCCAUUGCUGAGAACAGCAUAAAUGAUGGUGAUUUUCAAGUUGUGCCUGGUAUUCUACAGGAUGAAACAAGAAAGGAUCCAGGUGGUAUAUUGAACAAUAUCCCAAUCAUGUUGGUGGCAUCUUUAUUUAGUUAAUGGUAUUCAUUUGGUGGAAGCUGGUUGUUUAUGAUGUUUUUAAUUUUUUUUAACAUGAAGUUCGAUCAAAUACGUAUCUUAGUAUGUUUUGUUUGAGCUAAUUGGCAAAUGCGCUUUAAACAUGGUCACAUGGAUGCAGUUUUAUUUGUGAAAUGAUAAUAGUCGAUUACUUGGUCAGUAAGGUUUAUAUCUCUAACUUCAACAUCUUAUUGUAGUCUUUUAAAAUGUCAAAAGUUUAAUGCUUGAGAAAUUUUGGAAUGGAGACAUUCUAAACAAAGUUAAUAAUCCACAAGACUUGGUAAAACCGAUCAGAUGAUGCUUACGUACAUCAAUGCCUUCUUUAAGCCAUAUCCUAUUUUCAUUGAACGGGAUGUGCCAUCUAGUUUGGUUCUUUAAGCCUCCAAAUCCUAAACCUAGUCUCAAUUUAGAGCAAAUUUAGGGUGCAGGGCCUGCAUGCCUCCCCCUCCCCCUUCCACAAAUAGUAGUGACCUUGCUAUGCCUAUGCAUUGUCAAUGCCUCAUUUUCUAUGGUCUCCAAUGUAAUAUCUUAGUUUCAAUGUCUCUUUCCUUACUAUCUCCAAUGCAAUAGAUUGAUUUCAAUACCUCUUUACAACUAAGACCUCCAAAUUUUCUUGGUUCAAACCUACCAGAAUUUUUCUUCUCCUUUGCUUUCUAUCAAUAUUAGUUCCCCUAAUUUAAUAUAUACUUCUUUAUUACCUUCAACUCUACCUCUCUUUCUUUCUCUAAAAGCUUCCUCAAAGAUUUAAUUGCUUUCUUGCAUGUUUUAAGAAAACAAACAUGCUCAUAUUACAUUACCUCUACUUGAGAUCUACCUUAUACUCUACCUUCUUUCUUUACCUCCUAUAUCAUCUACUACAUUAGCUUCAAAAAUAUUAUUUAGUUUGAUACUAAAUAAGGCUCCUAAUCCUACUCUUCCUUCAACAAACUUUCUUUUUACAAGUUCCUUAAACUUUAUUUUUUAUUUUUUAUUUUUUGGAAAUUCGGGUUAGAAAGAUUCCAUUACUCUUACCUAAUAUUUCAACCAUCAAGUUGAAUCCACUUAUUGCCUAAAUCCAAGGAGUCUGCCCUCCACAAAAACAAGGAAAUUGAUCCCACAAUAACAAGGAGAUUGCCUUCCACAGAAACAAAGAGAUCUCCCUUCACAGAAGCCGAAUACAUUGCAAUCUAUUUUCUUUCUUGUAAGAUCAAAUCUUCAAUCGAGCUCCAUCUUAUGGGGGCAUAUUAGAGAAAUUUAAUAUUAUCCUUAAUUUACAUAUUAAUAUUUAUCUAUUUAUUAUAUAUUGAAUUAAAAUAGAAUAUAGAAUUUGAAUCAUAGUAGAAGUUUACUAUAAGAUUGAAUUACAAUAGUUAAUAGAGUUUAAAUUAUAAUAACUCAAAUACAUUUAUAUAUAUUUGACCUUACGAGAUUUUCUAUUUAUGUAUUUGAACUACAAUCCUUAUGAUCCUUAGGUCUCUAUACCUUCGUGAUGGGCUCCUUGACAUUUCAUAGGUUGUGCUACACAUGCAUUUGAAAUUUAGAGUGCAUUUGACAGUGAUUCUGGGAAGUGUUUUUGGCAUUUCUAACACUUAAAAUUUUUUAUUUUUCAAGUAUUAGAAAUGCUACAAACACUUUUGAAAAUUACUGUCAAACACACUCUUAGGAGCGCAUAUAGUAGAAAACUAGAAAUUGUGGUUUUUUUAGGAUUUACUGUAAUGUCAUUAGGAGGGUAGUAAGUUGAAACUGAGUAUGAAUAAAUAUUUCUUUCUUUGGGAUGUUCUUCUGGUAGGUGCUGAUGAAACUGUUCUUUUUACUGCCAAUGUCACAUAUCAGCCAGAAAUUGAAAAUUUCAGUCAAGGUGUCCUCGGUUUUAGUGGUGAGGAAAGCUAGAAAUUUUAAGGUGAAGUUCUGUUAAAAACCUUAAGUAGCUGGGAUAUCAGGCCUGUUUUGCUUGAAAAAAAAAGUUGCAAGAUAACUCAUAUGCCAAACAGGUUCUGAUAUUGUGAAUCUAUCGGCAGACAUCAGUAAUCUCAUCUUCUGAGAUGGAUGUUGGGGGUGCAUGUGGUGGUGGAGGGGCAAGGUUUCAUUUGGUUUAUUUUGUUGAUGGAUAUUGUCUAGCCCCCUGCGCCAAGUUUGAGGGGUGGUGGGUUGUGAUGGCCCUACAAUUACUAUUAAUUUCUUCCUCUUUUACCGAUUAAAGUGUCCGAACAGUCGAAGUUACCCUUAUGCAUGUCAACUUGAUCACUUACCUCUUCAAUGGAGUUUAUGCUGGUUCAUUUAGGAACUGAUUUUUAUUGUUAUGCAUUCUAUGCUGAUGUUUAGGCCUCUCCAUCAUCACUAUAUACAAAAAUUCUAGGUUGAUACUAUAGGUUGAGAUUUAUUUUUUAAAUAAAAAAUAAUAAAAAUAAAAAUUAUGGUGAUGUUUAGUUGUUUUAUGGAAAAUUUUAACAAGUUAUUUUUGGGCAAGUUUUCAAACAAAAAGAAAAGUAAAAGUUGUUUUGACAAAAACAUAUAGAAAAAAAAAAUCAUAGAAAAGAAAUAAUUUCCCCAUAUUCUAACUUUUUUUAAUUUUUCUCAAUGGGCAAAGGAAUAUCAAAUCAAGUUUGAGUAGGAUUUCUUAAUUUUUAAAAUAACUUACAAUUAAAAAAUUUUGGUGUUUUCAUUUUUGGACAAUUUUUUAUUAAGCAAAUGGACUCUGAGUCAUGCAAGAGAUAUGGUUGAUUAAUGGGUCAAACAAUUUUUUUAAAAUAAUUUAAAACUCAAAUACAUAAUCAAUGUCACAAAAUUUAUAAACAAAAAUAGGUUUAGAGAAGAUCUACACAUAAUUUUACUUUUCUAAUUUUAUUUUAUUUUAUUUUUUUGUUGGAAAAUAGUCUUCAAAUCAUGUAAGAUUUAAUAGGUUAAAUUUGUUAACAAUAAAUUUUAAAUUAUAAAAUAUAAUCUGGAACUUAAAAAUCAAUUCAAGUAAUGCUAAAAAAAAUCAAAUUUGGUAUAGAAUGACUACGUAAAAUUUUUUACAAAACAAAUGAAUUUUAAAUCAAGUGAGAUUUAAUGCAUUAGAUUUUUAUCAAAUAUAGUAAUUUUAAAAUUUAAUUUGGAACUCAACAAUAGACACAAUAAAUACCAAAAAAUAAUGAACCAAAAUUGGUUUGGAAUAACUCCACAACCUCUUUUUUUUUUUUUUGGUGCACACGAAUUUUCUUACUAGGUAUAUUGCUUUCAAAUUGAGAAAGAUUUACUAUUUAGAUUUUUUUUUUUAAUGAGUUUAAUGGUAUUUUAAAAUAAUUCAAAAUUUCAAAAAUUGACUAAUUACUAUUAUAAAUUCAUAAACCAAGACUAAUUCAAAAUGCAUUGGGGGCUAAGGGGGUUGAAAAUAGGGACAAUGGGAUGGGUUUGGGACAUGACACUCAUAUCUCAUUUCCAUUCCAAUUACAUAGUUAUCUCCCAUCCUUAUCCCAAACUUGUGUUGGAGCAAGUUGAUUUGUUCCCAUCUUUGUUGAUGAAAUGACUAAUAACCUCAUCCCCUCCUUAUCUUAGAUGUACAUUUUGUCAAAUUUGAUCAGGUAUGAUUGAUCCAAGCCCUAACCCUAAUUGGUAAUGACUGGAUACUACACCUAAUUGCAUUCUUCUUUCGUCGCAAAAUAAUGAGAUUAUAAUAAUCUAGCAAAUAAGAAAAAAUAGUAUGGAAGUUCAAUUUAACACCAUAACUAUCAAUAAUUUUAAGCUUAUAGAUGACUUAAAUGAUUAAAAACUAAUGCAAAAUACCAAAAAAAAAAGUUCAUAUAAAGAAUUCACAAGAGAACAAAAUGAACAAAAACCAAAUAUGAACAUGGGUCAACAUUAGUUAUGGAUUUGGAUUCCUUUCAAGGCCAAUCUUUGAACCAAGACUUCAUCAAAUCUACUACUUCAAAGGCUUUUGUGUUCUUCUUGGGUUGUGCUCUCAAACAAAGACUUCAAGGUGAUGCUCUAGAUGAUUGCAUUACACAUAUUUAGGGUGGAGAGAUUGGAGAAGCUUGAAGAUGCCAACGAUGGGUACAAUUGAGUGGUCAAUAAGAACAAUGUAGCCUAUGACUAGUUUGAUGUCGUGGUACAAGAGUUUUAGGCAUUGAGGUUAAAGCAAGAGCAACAUGGAAUUGAUUUUGGAGUCUUUCAAUUAGUGUAAAGGAGGAAGAAGUGGUAUUGAUUCUAGAAAUAGGGUUUUAGGUGGUGCGUUAGAGGAUGAAGAAGAAGAAAAAGAAGGAUCUGUUGGAAUUAGUGUGAGUGUGAAGAGAGAAGUAUAUAAAUAAGGGGAAGUAAAAGCAAAGUUCUAAAAGCUAUAUUUUUUUUUAUUGUUGGUGUAUGGUUGCAUGAUUAUCCCUAUAAAUAAUAGGAGUUUUUUUGGUAUUCUACUAGUAGUUGAAGGAUAAUUUCAUAAAUUUAUAUUUAGAGUGGGGUGGGGUGAGUUGUGACAAAAUUCAUACCCGUCCUAAACCUUGGUUCAGAUUUUUAAAAUAUCCUCAAACUUAUCAUAUACCCAACUUUUAUAUUUCAUACUUGUCUUGAUAGAGGCAGGUUAGGCCGGGUUACUUGAGUAACCUACAUAAUUGUCAUCCCUAGUUGAAAUACACUUUUUUGGCAGUGGCCACCAACUGAGCUAGAAGCUUGAUCGAUUGACCUACAAGAUUAGUUCUCAUCAUUUUAAAAAAAGUUUUGGCCUUGGUUGUGAGUGCAAUUGAAUCUAAACUGGCAUUUCCUUAAUGCAUCUACUUCAAUCCUAAAUUUCUUACUUCCUAAGCCUCAAUUGUUGUUAGGAUUUUGGAAAGCCCAUUUCCUUAAAUUGUAAAUUUAAGAAAAAAUAAAAUAAAAGUGAGACAUUUCUUGAUUGAAUAUUGUUAAAGGUCCCUUGGCAUUAAGACUUGGUUGAAGCCUUGGAAGAUUAGUGGAACUCUCAACUUGUGUUUGAAUCUUGAGGAGAGUGGACGUAAGCCAAAAUUUUGUCAAACCAUUAAACAAAUUGAGUUUGAAUCCUCAUUUCUUGAUUUCUUAUUUAUUUGCUUUUUCUUAUUAUUACUUGAAUUGUCAUUUGCAUUCAUUAAUGUUAAAAUUGGUUAUAAUUAACCAACACUAAUUCUCUUUCCCCUUCCCUUUCUUGGGUGUAAACCUAGGUUGGAUUAACUAGAUUAAUUUAUAAAAUCUAUUAAGAUGGUAAAAGAAUAAUUAUUCUUAACACACAUAAGAUCAUCUUCAAUCAAAUGACUCAUUGGCUAAUAUGUUGAAUUUGCUUAUUACUUGCAACUCAAAAUUGUGUUCUAGUUGAUAUGUCAAGUCCCCAGUGUAUGGACAUUAAAUUUGUAGUACGUGAUGGUAAUUAGAUGGUCCAACUCCAAGAAAGUGAUUGAAAACUAGUUCAAGAAAGGUGCAAAAGGGAAUUGUUUUGGUAUUUUCGUUUUUAUUCUUGAAGGUGGCAGAGCUAAAAUUUGUGAAAUCAAGCAAAACAUACUGAAAUUACAUUGAAAGAAAGAAAAUGGGAGUUAAUGUCUUGCAGUAGAUGAUAAGGACUUCAUGCAUGUAGUAUGACCCAUGUCUUGGACUGAUGCCAACUCACGGUUACACUUAUACCCUUGGUUCUCUCUUUACUACCUUGGCUAACCUAGAUCAGGCUAUGAGAUAGGCUCCUCACCACACCAUUACUUGCCCAUUAAUUAGAGACAUUUUCAAGCACUGAGGUAACAUGGUGACACCAAGAGGGUUUAUUCCUCGCCCUCCUCGCCCUCAACAAGUCUAGACUUGGUCUCAAAAAAAUGGAGAAAAAUGAGGUGUCGUUAUGUAGAAAUACAACAACCAUGCCUUCCUCAUUACUUUGAUUCAGAAUGUGAAGGUGAAAUUGAGAAACAGAAACUCUUGAAACCAAAAUGAAAAUUGAUACUUUUACGAAGAAUUACAACAACAUUGGAGGAAGACUACAUUCUUCCUCUUUAUUCCUACAUUUCUACACUACUUCUACUCCACUCCAUAUUUCUACAUACAUCUUUAAUCAGUCUUCCCUCCUUUAUAUAGAGCCAUCUUCACACAAAUUCCGCAAGGUAGAAAAGAGGAAUGAAACUUGGAGCAAGGUUCGACUACUGGCUGUAGCUUGUCAAGGCUGGAAGUGAACCUUUUUUCUUGGCUUUUCUGGGCAUGGGUAGUAACUUGUGGGUUCCUUUUUGGGAUACAAAUGGCUAGAACAUGUGGCACUAUCUUGUUGGAUGAUGUGUCAAGCAUGUGGCAGCCAUCUAGUGGCGAUUAUGUCAAUUUUGGGAUGGAGAGUUGGCAUCCAAUUGCAAAGAAAUAUGACGUCUACCAACAGGCAAUGUAAACCUAUGUAGAUCAUAUGAAGAUAGAGAGGAAAAAUAUAGAAAUGGAUAUAUACCUAGAACUAGCUUUUUAUUAAAUGAAACGGAGAGCCAACAAUGAAGGAAAAUAAAUUUUUUUGGCUUAUAUCAAAGAGUUCACAUUGUGCUACCCUAGGUUUUCUUAAAACUUACUUUUAUGAUAACAAAAAAAAAAAAAAACAUUAUUGUUUAAUCCUUUGUUUUAAACGCAUGUUUAGCAAGUUAUAAAAUGUAAAAAUCUUUCUAAGUUCAAAUAUGAAGAUAUGACAUCAUUUCAAGCAAGAUAGUCUCUAGGAAUUAAUGUAAAGCUAAAUUAAGGUGAAAUUAAAUUAGUUCAAUGCAUUAAUUUAAGAAACUUGACCUAUCAAAAGUACAAAAUUAGAUGAAAUCCAUUUCAAUGGUUAAAAUGAUCAAAAUCAAACUUUUUCUAAGUAUUUUUUAAAAGUAUCAAUAUUGAAAGACAAUUUUAUAUUUAGUCAGAGUUUGGACAAAACCAAAAAGCACACAAAAUCCAAGCGACCAUCUCUAGCUUGGAUGGUCGCUUGAUCUCUAGCUUGUGUACUUGGAAAGCAACAUCGAGAUGAUAUAUAUAUAUAUAUAUAUUUUAUAUAAUAUUGUUUGUCCAAAUUCCCUAAAAAUUAGGCCACCACAUGUUCAUAAUUCUCCCUUCUUGAAUUUGAAAACUCGGACAAUUGGACAAUGCGACACCUAAGUCCGGUUUCUAAAUGCUAAAGUGAAAGGGUAGGUAUGGACCAUUGAAAUGUGAUCACAACUUUUCUCUGUAGCCAUGUUGUCUCUUUUUUCUUUUGCAUGAUUUUCUCACCUUAACAGAAUCAUAGACUUGUUUAAUCUCUAAAUGGGAUUAAUUUCAUCCAGCUUUAAGCUACUAUAUUAUAUCUAGGUGGAGGACUUUUAAGAGUGCAACCGACAUAGAGCACAUGCAAGUGGGUAUAUGGGACAUGAAAUUUCUUCUUAUAAAGAUUGCAUGAUUUUUAUAUUAGAGUUGUUGGGGCGCAAUGUAUGUAGCUUGUUUUGCAGUUAAAUUAAUUGGAUAAGUAGACAUUGGCGUUUCUAAAUCUACUGUGAAGUGCUUCAUGUACGUGUGAAGUAUUAGAAAUUUCUUUCUUGGCAACUUGUUUUUUCUUUGCGGUCUACUGAUAGGUUUGACUAAAAUUAUAUUCCCUGUCAUGCUAAUUAAUUUUCACGUGCAUGCUCAAAAGAAGAGUAUGACCUUAGUGCACCAAAAUCACUUUGAUUAAUUUGUGAUAGGUUUUUGUGCAUCAUGACAUUAGCCUUAUUCAUUUAGAUAAUGUUUAGUUUUUAGAAAGUAUUAAGAAAAGGAAAAUAAAUAUUAAGAAAAAUAUUCUUAUAUUUGAUUGUAUUAUGAAAAAUGUCAUAAAAAAAUCAAAUAUAAUUUAAAUUAAUUAAUAAUUUAUACAUUUUCAAAUUAUUUAAUCUUUAUAUUGAAGAUAUAAUAUAAAUGAAAUGAGUUUUAAGUAUUAUAUAAAAGUGAUUUAUUGAUCUUGCAUAUAUGUAUUUCUUUUUUUUUUCUUCUAUUUUUUUUCUUUAUUUUAUUUUCCUUAUGUUUUCCUCAACAUUUUCCGGAACCAAACAUAGCCUUAGGAAAUCCACAAUUACCUUCAACUGAGUAUAUUCGGUUGUUUUAGCAAUGUUAGGCUGCUAACUUGUGUUGGUACGAACCUGUUAAGCCUAAAGAUGUAAUUAGUUAGGAUAUUCUUUUCCCUCUAGUCUUGUAGCUCCACGUGUAUAGUUGGUUAGGACCUCAUUGUAUAUAAUGCCUGCCCUGUUAUUGUUGAAGACAACAGAGAUAAAUAAUAUUAACAUUUUUCCUCUCAUCUCUCUUUGUUUCCCUCUGUUUUCAUCUCCUCUCUCAUCUUGGUAUCAGAGCCUCCAUGGAUUCUUUCAAAGAAACCUCCGAAUCACCUUCUGCUAGCAUUGUUAAUGUGCAAAACCCAUUAUCUCAGUCAAACAACCUUCCUUCACCAGCAGCCACACCCUCUUUUUCUUUCUUGUCUAUGAAUCAACCUCUCACAGUGAAGCUGGAUAAUGGAAACUACCUCAUCUGGAAGAAUUAGCUUCUGAAUGUCAUCAUUGCGAACAGACUCGAUGAUUUCAUUUAUGGAACUCGACCCUGCCCUCCUUGAUUUCUCAAUCUGCAACAACAAACCCUCACUCCAGAGUACUCGGUCUAGCAGAGAUACAAUCGACUUCUAAUGAGUUGGCUGUACGCAUCCUUGUCCGAAGAUAUAAUGACUCAGAUUGUUGGGUAUUCAACAACUGUGGAGAUUUGGAACGUCCUUAAUCAGAUUUACUCUGCCUCUUCAAUGGCGUGGGUUACCGAGCUUCACACCAAGCUUCAAACGCUCAAGAAAGAUGGACUCUCAGUUGGUGAAUAUAUUCAAAGGCUCAAAUCCAUUUGCAAUAGUCUUGCAGCAAUAGGAGAACUAGUUUCUGAGAAAGACCAGCUUAUCUAUUUGUUCAAUGGAUUAUAUUGUGAGUAUAAUUCUUUUGUUACCUCCAUUCAAAAUCGAUCUGACCAACCAACUAUUGAGCAAAUCCAUAGCCUAUUGCUUAGCUAUGACUUUCGGCUUGAACAACAAAACUCUGUUUCUCUCCAUUAUGCCCAAGUCCGUAUGGCUCAUCUGAACAAGAAACCUUAUAAAUCAACUCCUCAACCUACAUUCAAUCAUAUUCACAUUCAACCUAGAUACUCUUCUCCACCUUUUAAGCCAACCACUAGUCAAUAUCAACCCAGGAUUUUGGGCAAACCACAACCACAACCAUGACAGCCUCAACCUCAAUGGAAACCACAUUUUUCAAUCCAGAAUCAAAAGCCUCAGUGCCAAAUUUGUGGUAAAUUUGGACACACUGCUCUUAUUUGCUUCCAUUGCACAAAUUUGAACUAUUCACCCCAACCUUCUCCUAAAUCUUUCAAUACUGUUCUCACCACAAAUUCCCAGCUCCCUAAUCCUCCAAAAUUUUCUUACCCUACAAUGGCUCAUCCUGCUGCUACGCAUAACACGAUUCCUGAUACAAAUUGGUACAUGGACUCAGGUGCUACACAUCACUUUACUCCGGACAUCAACAUGCUUGACACUGUGACACCAUUUAGUGGUUUAGAACAGGUGACAGUUGGGAAUGGUAAGCAACUCUGUAUCUCACAUCUUGGUACUGCAAAACUACCAUCCUCGUAUUCUCCUCUUGUUCUACAUCAGGUAUAUCACACUCCAAAAAUUUCAAAUAAUCUUAUUAGUGUUAGAAAAUUGUGUUCUGAUAAUAAAGUUUUUGUUGAAUUUUAUGCCACUCAUUUUCUUAUCAAAGAUCAAGUUUCGAAGAGAGUUCUCUUUCAAGGUCAACUUGAUAAUGGCUUAUACAAAGUUCAGUCGUCAUGCUCUCCUUCUACUAUUUCCUUUCAUCCUCAAGUUUUCAUAGCCAACAUCAAGGAUCAAAAUUUGUGGCACAAGAGACUAGGCCACCCAGCUUUAUCUGUUAUUAAUCAAAUCUUGGAUUCUUGUAACAUUGCUCGAACACAGAAAAUUGGUUUUAAUUUUUGUAGUUCUUGUCAAUUAGCAAAAAGCCACAGGCUUCCUUUUUCUCUGUCUCCAUCCAUUGCAGAAAAACCUUUUGAGUUAAUUCAUACAGACCUAUGGGGUCUUUCUCCUGUUCGCUCUAUUUCUGGUGCUCGUUAUUUUUUACUUUUCAUUGAUGAUCAUACUCGUUUUACUUGGUUUUAUUUGCUCAAAACAAAAGAUGAAGCAUAUCCUACUUUUCUCAAGUUUCAAGCUCUCAUUGAAAAUCAAUUUAAUACCAAGAUUAAGGUUGUCCAAUCUGAUUGGGGAGGUGAGUUUCGAUCUCUCUCCAUACUGUUUUCAAAUAUGGGCAUUGUCUAUCGUUUAUCAUGUCCAUACACCUCACAACAGAAUGAGUGGGUUGAGCGAAAAAAUCACCAUGCGGUUGAAAUGGGAUUGUCCUUUCUUGCUCGCUCGGGUAUGCCCUUAUCUUAUUGGCCUUAUGCCUUUCAAACUGCCACUUACCUUAUUAAUCGUCUCUCUACCCCUGUGCUGCACCAUCAAUCCCCUUACUUCGCACUCUAUCACAAAUUCCCAGCUUAUACUCAUCUUAAGGUCUUUGUUCCUCUUGUUUUCCAUAUUUACGCCCUUAUAAUACCCAUAAACUCCAAUACAGGUCACUGGAGUGUGCUUUUCUUGGUUGCAGUUCACACCACAAAGGUUAUCUAUGUCUUGACAUUCAUUCUAGCAGGGUGUAUAUUUCUCGCCAUGUGAUUUUUAAUGAAGAUUCUUUUACAUUCAAGAAUUUGAAAUCUUCUCUCUCUUAGUCUAUUUCUUCUUCCUCUUCUUUAUUAGUUCCUCUGUUCAUUUCCUUGCCUCCCCUCUCCCCAUAUCCUCCUAUUUCUCCAUCUAUAUCUCAUUCUUUUCUCUCUUCUUCUUCUACCUCUAGUACUUGUUCCCCUCUCGUUGCUCCUACCUCUCUUCCUCCCUCUUCACACUUUGUGUCCCAUCUAUUCCACCUCCUUCUCCACCUUCUUCGAGUGUGGACCUGCUUGUACCUUGUGUGAAUACAAAUUUACUUACUUUUUCUCGCACUCACAAUAUUCAUCCUAUGGUGACCAGAUCUAAGGGUUUGUAUCUAUAAACCUAAGUUGCUAUUGAGUGUCUCCAUAGGUUCUCUCACUAAGCCUACUUCCUUUCUUCAAGCUAUUAAAGAUCCUUCAUGGAAGCAAGCCAUGGAAUUGGAGUUUGCUGCCCUUCAACACAACAAGACCUGGCAUCUAGUUCAUUCACCUUCCUCAGGCAAAGUAAUUGGUUGUAAAUGGGUCUAUAAGAUAAAGCUUUAGCCUGAUGGCUAAUUGAGAGAUACAAGGCCCGCUUAGUAGCUUAGGGUUAUCAUCAAACUGAAGGUAUUGACUACUUCGAAACAUUCAGCCUGGUUGUCAAGCCUUCUACUACCGUAUUGUGCUCAGUCUUACUUUUUCCCAGAAUUGGUGUAUUAGACAGCUGGAUGUUCAUAAUGCCUUCUUACAUGGUGACUUAGCUGAAGACGUUUUCAUGGAACAACCACCUGGAUUUGUUGAUCCUCUCUAUCCUACUCAUGUCUGCAAGUUGGAUAAGUCUCUCUACGGUCUUAAUAGUCACCUCGGGCUUGGUAUACUAAGCUGAGUACUUCUCUACUACACUUGGGAUUUGUUACUUCUAAGAAUGACUCUUCCUUAUUUAUUUGUCAUUCGUCUCAUGGGUUACUUCUUGUUCUUGUCUAUGUGGAUGAUAUAAUCGUCACUGGGAGCCACUCUCCUCAAGUUACUCACCUUAUCCAAUAGUUGCAUCAUCAGUUUUCUUUAAAGGAUCUUGGUCAUUUACACUAUUUUCUGGGCUUGGAGGUUCAUCACACCCCUACUGGUAUUCACCUCAGCCAAGCAAAGUAUAUCACUGAUCUCCUUACCCGGGCGGCUAUGUUGGAUGCCAAGCCAUGUCCCACUCCUAUGUCCUCCAACACAUAUCUUUCUCUUCAUGAUGGAGUGGCUCUUGAAAAUGGUUCAGAUUAUUGAAGUUUUGUUGGUGCCCUUUAGUAUUGUACCAUGACACGCCCAGAUAUAGCUUUUGCAGUAAAUAAAGUGUGUCAAUUCAUGCACCAUCCCUCUGAUGUUCACUGGCAGGCUAUAAAACGUAUUCUCCAGUACUUAAAGGGCACAUCUCAUUUUGGUCUCUUCCUACAGCCUUCCUAUGACUUCAACAUCACUUGCUAUACAGAUGCCGACUGGGCUUCCUGCCUUGAUGACAAGUGUAGCACCAGUGGCUACUGCCUCUUUCUUGCCUCUAAUCUGGUUUCUUGGUCAUCUUCCAAACAAAAAGUGGUCUCCCGCUCCAGCGCCAAAUCAGAGUACCGAGGGGUAGCAAAUGGGGCUGCUGAAAUUGCUUGGACUGAAUCUCUUCUUUGUGAACUUUCCACCCACUCGACCUCCCCUCAUUGUCUGUGACAAUAUCAGUGCCACAUACUUAGCUGUCAAUCCUAUUUUGCAUGCCCGCACCAAAACAUGUGGAAAUCGACUAUCACUUUGUCUCGGAACGUGUUCUUCAACGCUCUCUCUCUCUCCAGUUUACACCUUCGGAUGAUCAACUUGCUGAUUGCAUGACCAAGCCUCUCUCCACCCAACGUUUCAUCACUCUACGCUCCAAGCUCACUGUUCUCACUAGACCAAUGAGCUUGAGGGGGGAUGUUAAGCCUAAAGAUGUAAUUAGUUAGGAUAUUCUUUUCCCUCUAGUCUUGUAGCUCCACGUGUACAGUUGGUUAGGACCUCAUUGUAUAUAAUGCCUGCCCUGUUAUUGUAGAAGACAACAGAGAUAAAUAAUAUUAACAUUUUUCCUCUCAUCUCUCUCUCUGUUUCCCUCUGUUUUCAUCUCCUCUCUCAUCUGAACCAAAUGAUCCAUGUUAACCUUGGCUUGGUUUGAUUUGGCUCUAUCUUAGAGAGCUCAAGGAUCACGUCAACUCUGGUUUCUACUAUUCAGGUCCAUUCCCAUAUGAACUGGUUCAAAUUUGAGAAAAUGGUAACAGACCUUUAGUGAUGUUGGUUUGGAGCCAGUUGCCAAACCCGCCCUGAGCUUUACCACUAAUGUCAAGGGAGAAAGCCUUUUGAACAAAAACAAUAGCUUCAAGAGACUGAAUCGUGGAUGAAAUCUGAUCCACAUUUCUUCUCAUUUUGGAAACAAAUGAGAACUUAACUAAGAAGAUUCUACGGCCUCAUAGUGCUUUUCCUGAUCUAAGGUUGGUUCGUUUCCCAAAUUGUGAGAUGCACGGGCCAGACUUCAGAACUCUCACGCUCAGGAGUGUAUCCACGUGGUGGACAUAAGAUGGUGGCUUAAGAUCUGGUGUCGGUGGCUUUACUUUACUAGGAGAGUAGUGUGUCUUCAUCUCAUUCACUGCCGGAGGGUGGCGUAAGCAGUGACGCUAAGGUGGGGCAUAGUCAAUAUCAUUUGCAUUUGACCAUUAUAGUUUUCUCCCGGCUUGAAAGUAACCUUAUCGUGAUAAAGGAUUACUAGCACUAGUUCAGAUGACAGUCAUGUUAAAUUCGGACCAUGUUUGUGUCACAUUAUCAGCAACCAUGUGUUUAUGGUUCAUGCUUUCUGCAACUGAAAUUGAAAUUGAUAUAUAACCAGGUGAACUUCAAUCUAAAUUCUGGAAGUACUCAUGUGAGCGAUGGUGCCCAUCUGCAGAGUCCAUCAAUUGAAAAAUGGAGUGAGUGUAUCUAUAAGAGGGAAGGCUUGGCAAAUGUCCAGUUUUCUGGGAAUUCAACAAGGAUCUAAAAUAGAUUGUUUUCUUUGCUGAUUUCAAUGGUUGAAAUUUGAGAAGAUUGUGUCCCACAUAACACAACUAUUACUGGUCCUUCUGUUGCAAUUUAUCCUCUAAGGCUCUAGCAUGUCUUCCAAUUCCCACUUCCCUGUUACUCCAGGAAAGCUAUUUCUGUCAUUGUGAAGAAGAAAAGAGAAUGUAGAUAUCGAUGCUUUUAAGUGACUGGAGCAUUCAUAUCAGGUGGUCUGCAGCCAUAUAUGCCACUUUGUGAAGAUUGGAACAGUCAAUCACUAGGCUAUAUAUUAGUGUGGCCCAGCCACUUUAAUCAAGGACAAUUCUUCAUACUUAAAAGUCAAAUUCUGCCUUUAGUCUCAUUAUAAAUUGCUGUUUAAAUAUUAAGCAAACAUUUGUUUAAUGCGAUUAAGACAGUACUAACUCAAUACUUGUUCUAUUUUUGGAUGGAAAUGCUUGAUGGUUUCAUCAUUGGAUGGGAUAAAGGUGCAUUCAUGAUUAUGAAUACUUGUAGUUAUAUUUUCAUUCUCUUUUUUCUCAAUGAGACUUGUUGGCACAAUUUUUCUGUUCAGAAACCUACCUCUCCAUGGAAAAUAAGUUGUGAUUGAUAGUACUGGAUAUAUUCAAGAAAGCUAAAUAUAGAUAGCACAAAAUAUUAUCGACAUAAAUAGCAUUAACAGCGUACGUAUGUCUCAGUGCUCAUCAGCCAUAAGCAUGGGGCAAACACUUACGAUGAGCAACUUACGUCAAAAUUCCAGAAUAGGACAUAGAAGUGACAGAUCUAUAUAUAUAGAACACUGCAUAAGAGUCACAAGAAAGGAAAUUACGGGUGCAUAGCAGCUCUUAUUUCACAUACUACUCAUACUGAUCAAAGUCACUCAGUUGGGAUGGGUGGGAGUAGGAGGUUUGUGGGGUGGCUUGUGCGGAGGAGUUGGCAGCUUCUUUCCAGGACCUGGUGGCUUCUCUCCCUUAGGUGGUUUGCCAACUGGGGUUGGUGGCUUGUAUGAGUCUUCAGCAUUCUCUGCAGGAGGGUGACCAGGGUUGUGACCAUAAUGUGGUGGCUUCUCUCCCUUAGGUGGUUUGCCAACUGGGGUUGGUGGCUUGUGUUCUGGGAGUGGCUUCUCCCCCUUGGGAGGUUUUUCCAAUGGGGUUGGUUUGUGUUCAGGAGGUGGCUUCUCCACUGGAGGCUUGUGUUCAGGAGGUGGCUUCUCCACCGGAGGCUUGUGUUCAGGAGGUGGCUUCUCCACCGGAGGCUUAUGCUCUGGUGGUGGCUUCUCCACCGGAGGCUUAUGCUCUGGUGGUGGCUUCUCGAAUGGGGGAUGCUUAGGGUAAUCAGCAAGUGAGGGGGCGGUGAGAACCACCAGGCCAAGCAAGACCACUAGCAAGUAUGUAGGAGACAUCUUUGGGUUUAGACUCAGAUGGUGCAAAACUAGGAGAAUUGUCUUUUAUAGCGGAUCGCACCCAAUAAUGAAAUGACACGUGUCUUUAUGACCCAUGUGUAAUGGGGUCGAUUUGGGUCCUACAGUGUUGAAAACUUCGACAUCCACUUUUGGCCUUUUGCUUUCUCUACAGCCGCCUUGCUUUUUCCCUCUUUCCUUUUGUUUUCCUCCUGCCCCAUUCUAUCAACUAAACACAAUUAUGUAGUUGUUUAAUUCUUAAAUGAGAUAUUAUCCGUCAAUCGUAUCAUAUUUUAUCAACAGAGAACGGAGUGCAAUGUGGCAAUCCAAAGAAAGAAGAUCCAUAAUGCAGCUGUAAUUUUAUCGUUUACUUUUAUCUCUUGGACCACUGCAUUUUUGUUAAGAGGUGCAAUAAUACACGUCUUUAUCUGCCAUUCAAUGUUUACAGUAAAGAGAGGGCACAAAACUCUUCACUGCUCUGCAUGUGUCCCAAAAAUGCAAUUGGACAAAUUAUGAUUUGCAUGCUAAAAAGAGGCAAAUGAGGUUAAUUCGCACCAUAAUUAUUUUGUUUUCUGGACCCCGGGGCCCUUUGGUUGGUUUGGGGGUCAGAAAAUGAACAUCAUAGGGGGUUUUUCCCUUAUGUGCAUUUGUAUCUGAUGGCUUUAACUCGCCUUGUUACUACAAAGAAAUUGUCACAUAUAGGAACUUAUUCCAGGCUGAGUAUCUCCGCAUAGACCCUAUAAAAGAAGACAAGUCAUAAUGAACAUCUAACCUUUGUUCAAUUUGAUUCAAUGCCCCAUUGUGUCCACCUCACAAAUCUGAAUUAUUAUAUCCAUUGAAUACAUAAAUUAAUGAAGAAAAUAUGAAACCCAAGAUACAUCUCUGCACAACCUCAACCCUGGUUGCUAUGUUUCCCUUCUAUUCACAUGAGGAUAUUGAUUACGGAAUAGGGAAACCUAGCAAGGGUUUACUCGGCUCUGGUUUGAUGCUAAUUGCCAAACUUGCAACAAGCCCUGAGUUUGAAGCUCACAGAAGAUGUUAUACAGGCAGGGAAAAACCUUCAGAGUUCGCUGCCAAAGAUAAUUAUUAAGGAGAUAUCACCAAGAGAAUUCCAAGGAGUCUGAAUCAAAGACAAAUUGGUCGUUCGUGGAGGUUCUUACUUUCUUUUGGGUAUAACUCACUGAGGGCACUGUCUUUUUUAUUUUCAUUUCACAUUUAGAGUUCUGUUCUGGAAACAUAUAAAAGGAGCAUCAGUUUGUUCUUGGGUAACCCAUAGUCGUGAGUGGGUCCAUUUGCAUGCUACUUAGUUGAAAAGUUGGACCAUUUGCUCCGACGCCUACCUCCUGGAUUCCAUGCUCGGAUAAAACAAGAAUAAAAAAAUAUUUAUAAUUUACAAAUGGGGGAAAGAAAAAAAUGUCAACAACAAACUAGGAAAAAAGAGUAGUAAAAUUCAUGUCACAUGCUAGUGAGAGAAGGGGUUGUUACACUCACUCGAAGUUCUUUUCAAAAUAUCGCAUGGUAUUUUAUUUUAUGUGUGAGCGCAGUUGUGAAUGGAACGUGCAAAAGUCCAAAUUGGUGACCUUUAAUAAAUAUUUAAAACAAAAAACGAAAAAAAGGAGGGAAAAGGGAUCAGAAAAGAUAAAACAAUGUGUACAAAAGCUCAAUUAGUUUGCAAAUUACUGUUUGGAUUUUGAUAGUAUUUUAUUUGAUGUAAAAGAGAAUUUAAGAUAUUUCCGAAACAAAAGCAUUAGUUUGCUCCAUGUCAAUUUCGGCAUUUCUCAUAUGUUUCACACAUACACAGAAGAGCAUCGUUUUUUAAAGCAUGCAUUUAUGUUGGAUUAAUUUGGAUUUUGUGGGAACUGGGGCAAGGAUCACAUGGAAGAGAGGUUGACUUUUUUCAGUACUUCAAUGGUUGAGACAGGUGAAGGCCUGAUUGAUACUGAAGCCUGAAAUUGCGACUCCGUCAUUUGUCAAAACAUAUGACAGCUUCCAUGCUCUCGUUUGGUUGCAUUGUUCUGUGGUCAUGCAUACAUGCCACUUAGUGAUCAGUCUGUAACUGUCAAUCAUUGGGCUUUGACUGAACAACAUCAGCCAUGUAUAAAUACUUGCAAAUCAAACGGUCUUCUUCCUCCCAUAAGGAAUUUCGGUUUAAUUAUGAAGCAUGCAUUUGGCUGACCAUCAUAAACCACUUCUUUAAAUUGAUGAAUGAUAGUUUUUCAUUCAUUCUUUCAUUCGUUCAUAUACAGAGUAUAUAUAGAGGGUAAUCAUCAUUCUAAGAAUGGGAAAGAAUGAUACAAGGAAAUAAUGAUAUAAAGAAAUAACAACUAAUAUUCUAAUAUCUCAACUUUCCUAAUAUCUAAACAUUCCUAAUAUCUCAACACUAAAUGAUAUAAAGAAAGAAUGAUAUAAGGAAAGCAUUCCUAAUAUCUCAACACUCCUCCUCAAGUUGGUGCAUAGAUGUCAAACAUGUCCAACUUGUCUAAAAAUUUUGAGAACAGUUGACUUGAGACAUCUUUGGUGAGGAUAUCGGUCAAUUGAUCUUCUGAUCGAAUCUUAGGCAAUUCCACAAUCUUAUCAUCCAACUUUUCCUUAAUGAAAAAUCUAUCCAUCUCGACAUGCUUUGUACGAUCAUGUUGUACUAGAUUAUGAGCAAUGUCACAUGCUGCUUUAUUGUCACAAAACAAUCGGAUUGGUUGCCUAGAUAGGUAACCUAAAUCCUAUAAGAGGAGUCUUAGCCAUAAUGCCUCACAAAGUCCUAAAGUCAUACCUCUAAAUUCCGCUUCUGCACUUGAACGAGCGACGACAUUUUGCUUCUUACUUUUCCAUGUCACAAGAUUACCACCUACAAAGGUAAAGUAACCAGAUGUAGAUCGCCUAUCAUCCACUGCACCGACCCAAACAGCAUUAUACUUCUAUACUCUGAUGAUCAACAUUUUUAGCGAACAAAAUUCCCUUCCUAGGAGCAUUCUUCAAAUACCUCAAAAUACGCAUGACUACAUUCAUAUGUUGCUCUCCAGGAUUAUGCAUGUAUUGACUCACUACACUCAAUGUAUAAGCAAGAUCUAGUCUUGUAUGAGCUAAGUACAUUAAUCUCCCCACAAGUCUCUGGUAUCUUCCCUUAUCGAUUGAUACUUGAUUAGGCUCAACACACAAUUUCAGACCUUCUUCUAUUGGUGUAUUAAUAGGUUGACAUCCCGACAUUCCAGUUUCCUGUAGAAGAUCUAAGGCAUACUUUCUUUGAGACAGAAAAAUUCCUUCACUUGAUCGAGAAACUUCAAUCCCAAGAAAGUAUUUCAGACGACCAAGAUCUUUCAUUUCAAAUUCUCUAGAUAGAUACUUUUGCAAAGCUUUUCUUUCUUCAGGAUCAUUUCCUGUAACUACAUGUCAUCCACAUAUAUCAUAAGUGUCGUAAUCUUACCAUGUUGCUUUUUCAAGAACAAAGUGUGAUUUGAAUUACUUUGAUGAUAGCCAAAAGCUCUCAUUGAUUUUGUGAACCUUCCAAACCAUGCUCUCGGGGAUUGCUUCAACCCAUACAAUGACUUCUUCAAUUCGCACACCUUCUGACAUUGCUUUUCUGACACCAUGCAUCCUGGUGGAAGAUCCAUAUAUACUUCUUCAGAUAAAUCGCCAUGCAGAAAGACAUUUUUUACAUCGAACUAUUGUAAUGGCCAAUCUAGGUUUGCAGCUAAAGACAAUAAUACUCGAACUGUGUUGAUCUUAGCUACAGGUGCAAAUGUCUCUGUGUAGUCAAUUCCAUAAGUUUGAAUGUACCCACUAGUCUUGCUUUAAAUCGUUCAAUACUACCAUCUGCCUUGUACUUCACAGUAUAGAUCCAACGACACCCAACUAGCUUCUUUCCUGGUGGACAUUCUACGAGUUCCCAUGUUUCAUUUUUCUGCAAUGAUUUCAUCUCUUCAUUCAUGGUUGCUUUCCACUUUGGAUCAGCUAAAGCUUCCUGCACACUAUUAGGAAUAGCUACAGUAGAUAAUUGAUUUACAAAUGACUUAUUUGAUUCAGACAAACCAUGGUGUGGACCCGCAUUUUUCACGUGCGCCUCUACUCGAUCGGCGAGACUCGCUUUCUAUUUGUGAAAAAUUAAUUUUAGAAAAGUUGGAGUCGCCACCUAUUUUAUUUUUAUUUUGAAGGGAAAAUAAAACAAGAAAGAAAAACCCUAAAAAGUGACUCCAUAGUUUUGGAAAAAGCAUGUCUUUGGGAAACCUGAGUCUAGGUCCGGGGAUCAUGUUACUUAUUGGGAAGGUACCUCUAGGAGGUAGCACCCCUCUAAGCCUUAUGAAGGUCUCUACUAACUAAAUUAAGGGAAGUGUGGCAAUAAAUCGAUUGAUCAUAGAUACCUAAGUAGACUAGGUGAUUUUAAAGUGUGGCAUGUCAAACACAAUCAAAUUGCAAUAAAGGAGAGUUAGGGCGCGUACCUGAACCGCUUCUCAAGCGCUAUCAUAAAACAUCAAUGGUUAAUUUAAAUAAUAUAUCAUCCAGCAUGUAUUUUAUUAGAAAUAAUCAAACAAUGAAACAUGUAUAUCAGAACACUCAAGCAUUAUUAGACAUAAGCAUUAUUUCACUAUUCACAGAAUUCAGAAAGUAGGUGAUAGAGGACAUACCUGGAUAGCAUAGAUAAUUUGUAAUGUGCUUCCUCAAGUUGUAAGGGGUUAGAUAACAAAUAAUAAAAUAUAGAAAUCCUAGCAUGCUCGUUAUCUAAUUAGCAUAGCAAAAGUGAUCACAGUAUACAGAAUCAUCAAUUAUCACAUACAUCUUGUAUAUAAUUCCUAAAAAAAAUAGAUAGACAUGAUUUCAACAAGUGUCAAAUGUGGCAACAAAAAUAAAUUUUGAAAAGAUUUUCUUAUGUAGGGGUUUCACCAAUUCCCCAAAUUAAUAUACACGAAUUUAGCUUAGAAUUAUCCCAUUUAUUUGGGACUACAAGCUUUGAUUCGUGUUUUUGUUCAAAACCAAAAAUUUUUGUUGAAAAUCAAGAAGGAUGCGAACCGAACAAGAUAUGGUUGCAUAUUAUUUUUAAAUAAAUAAAUAAAUAAAUAAAGGAGAUUUUGAUCCUGAGGACUUUAAUGAGUUUUUUUUUUUAAAAUAGAUUUUUAAAAUGAUUUUUUUGAGAAAAGUAUUUUAUUUUAAAAUAAAAGGGAUUAAUUUGGGAAAAAAAUAAAAUAUAAGAAAUAAAAUACCAAACAAAACAAAAAUGAAACCUCAAAGUAAAAUUUUUUUAGUAAUUAACAAAAAUGAUAAUGGUGAUGGUAGAGGGCAAUCUUCAUGAUUUUCCAAUGGCCUCAGAAAGAAAAUCAAAUUAAAUGAAGGAUCACUAACAGGCAAGACAUUCUAAAUUAGACAAACUAACAAAGUAUCAAUUCAUGAACUAACCGCUAGGAUUUUGAAAGCAUAUAAGCUAAGAUAAGGGUGAUCAGGAACUAAUAUUAAUGAUUUUGAAAUAAAAACUAAAAAAAAGGAUCAAUUCGGGUAAGGAACUAAAAUUAUAAAAGUACCUAAACUAAUUAUGACGAGUUUGACUAAAUUAAACUAAAAACAUGAACUUUCAAACAUAGAAUUAAUUUUACUAAUGAACCAAAGCAAACUAAAAAUAUGUACUUUCAAGCAUAGAAUUAAUUUUAUUGAUGAACUAAACUAUAACAAAUAUCUAAACUAAAUAUAAUGAAUCAAAUUAAAUUAAAGCAACUUAAAAACGCAAACUUUCAAACAUAGAAUCAAUUUUAUCAAUGAAUUAAAACUAUAAAUGUAUUUGAACUAAAUAGAUGAAUCAAACUAAAUCAGAGCAAAAUUAAAAAAAAAAAAGAACUUUCUAACAUGAAAUCAAUUUUAUCAACAAAUAAAUGAAUGAAUAACAAGUAAUUAAAAGAAUAGCUACUACAUGAAUAACUGAAUGAAUAAAAUUCAAAUGUUUUCAAUCUGAAGCAAUCAAUCAAAAUUAAAUAGGGAUCAAAUCAAAAUAAUCGAAAUCGGAAAAACAAUAUGCAAUCUUUCUAAAGGUUUAACCAGACAAUUGAAUUAAAAUUAUGAAUAGAAUAAAUUAAUAAACCAAAUCGAAACCUAAAUUGUACCUAAAAAGAUUAAUUAAUUAAACUAAGAAAUCAAAAUCAAUAACAAAACUAAACUAAGGAGUAAAUUAAGACAAGACUAAUUAAAUUAAACUCACAAACACGUUUUAACUAUCAUAUGGAUUAAAACAAAAUUAGCAUGGACUUAUGAAUUACGAACAAAAAUAAUCAAAACUAUUUUAAAAAACUCACCUCUAUUAUAAGAAAAAAUCUGCCUUUGAUGCGUUGAGGUGGCUCCCCUCUCUGUGUGGAUCUCUCUGCUCCCCAGAAAAAAAAUGUCUCUUCCUCCGUUCUCUUUUGUUUCAGCAAAAUAAUAUAUCCCCUGCUGUGGAUCUCUCUACUCCCAGAAAAUAAUAUAUUCUCUCCGUGUCCUAAAGUGGACCUAGGGUGCCUAAGUGGACCUAGGGUGCCUAAAUGGGCCUAGGGUGCCUAAAUGGGCCAAGUGUAUCUAAAUAGGCUUAGGGUGCCUAAGUGGGCCUAAGUCUAAGUGAGCCUAAGUCUAAAUCAAGACUACCAAGGAUCAUAAUAAGGGGUUAGGCAAUCCCUUAACCAAAGUCUCCAAGGUGGCUAAAAAAAAGUAAGUAGUAUGAGUAGCUAUGGGUCACCAAGGAACUACUGUGGAGCAUUGAAAACGAAUUUAAAGACAUGUGCCAAAGGGACAAAAUUGAGGGUCUACAGAUGGUUAGACACAUAGUUGCUCAUGGGAUAUUUGACUUUGGUAAACAAUUCAGAUUCAUAUGUGGGUUUAGGAAUACCUUUAUUAUGACGGUGUGGUAAUCGUUUCAUGAAUGGAUCAGGUUGCAAAUUAAGAACACCCUCAGCAAACAACGAUUGGUUUGGUAUUUCAGUGAAGACAUCUUCGAACCCAAAUUGUUGACCACUCAUAUCCAACUCACCCGCUUCCUGGUUCACUAGUUCAGAUUGUCCAAAUUCAUCAUUCUCAUAGAUAUGAUAAUCAUAAUCGAGAGUCUGAAUUUCCUUAUGGUACUCCCCCUGAAGUUCAGACUUAGAUGAAAAAUACAUCGAAUAUUCAUGAAACAGCNNNNNNNNNNNNNNNNNNNNNNNNNNNNNNNNNNNNNNNNNNNNNNNNNNNNNNNNNNNNNNNNNNNNNNNNNNNNNNNNNNNNNNNNNNNNNNNNNNNNNNNNNNNNNNNNNNNNNNNNNNNNNNNNNNNNNNNNNNNNNNNNNNNNNNNNNNNNNNNNNNNNNNNNNNNNNNNNNNNNNNNNNNNNNNNNNNNNNNNNNNNNNNNNNNNNNNNNNNNNNNNNNNNNNNNNNNNNNNNNNNNNNNNNNNNNNNNNNNNNNNNNNNNNNNNNNNNNNNNNNNNNNNNNNNNNNNNNNNNNNNNNNNNNNNNNNNNNNNNNNNNNNNNNNNNNNNNNNNNNNNNNNNNNNNNNNNNNNNNNNNNNNNNNNNNNNNNNNNNNNNNNNNNNNNNNNNNNNNNNNNNNNNNNNNNNNNNNNNNNNNNNNNNNNNNNNNNNNNNNNNNNNNNNNNNNNNNNNNNNNNNNNNNNNNNNNNNNNNNNNNNNNNNNNNNNNNNNNNNNNNNNNNNNNNNNNNNNNNNNNNNNNNNNNNNNNNNNNNNNNNNNNNNNNNNNNNNNNNNNNNNNNNNNNNNNNNNNNNNNNNNNNNNNNNNNNNNNNNNNNNNNNNNNNNNNNNNNNNNNNNNNNNNNNNNNNNNNNNNNNNNNNNNNNNNNNNNNNNNNNNNNNNNNNNNNNNNNNNNNNNNNNNNNNNNNNNNNNNNNNNNNNNNNNNNNNNNNNNNNNNNNNNNNNNNNNNNNNNNNNNNNNNNNNNNNNNNNNNNNNNNNNNNNNNNNNNNNNNNNNNNNNNNNNNNNNNNNNNNNNNNNNNNNNNNNNNNNNNNNNNNNNNNNNNNNNNNNNNNNNNNNNNNNNNNNNNNNNNNNNNNNNNNNNNNNNNNNNNNNNNNNNNNNNNNNNNNNNNNNNNNNNNNNNNNNNNNNNNNNNNNNNNNNNNNNNNNNNNNNNNNNNNNNNNNNNNNNNNNNNNNNNNNNNNNNNNNNNNNNNNNNNNNNNNNNNNNNNNNNNNNNNNNNNNNNNNNNNNNNNNNNNNNNNNNNNNNNNNNNNNNNNNNNNNNNNNNNNNNNNNNNNNNNNNNNNNNNNNNNNNNNNNNNNNNNNNNNNNNNNNNNNNNNNNNNNNNNNNNNNNNNNNNNNNNNNNNNNNNNNNNNNNNNNNNNNNNNNNNNNNNNNNNNNNNNNNNNNNNNNNNNNNNNNNNNNNNNNNNNNNNNNNNNNNNNNNNNNNNNNNNNNNNNNNNNNNNNNNNNNNNNNNNNNNNNNNNNNNNNNNNNNNNNNNNNNNNNNNNNNNNNNNNNNNNNNNNNNNNNNNNNNNNNNNNNNNNNNNNNNNNNNNNNNNNNNNNNNNNNNNNNNNNNNNNNNNNNNNNNNNNNNNNNNNNNNNNNNNNNNNNNNNNNNNNNNNNNNNNNNNNNNNNNNNNNNNNNNNNNNNNNNNNNNNNNNNNNNNNNNNNNNNNNNNNNNNNNNNNNNNNNNNNNNNNNNNNNNNNNNNNNNNNNNNNNNNNNNNNNNNNNNNNNNNNNNNNNNAACCAAAGGAAGCAUGUUCCAGACGUCGAUGCCACAACCAAAUUUCAGACUUUUUCUUCUCCUCCUUAGAUCCAUCUGCCAUCAAGGCUUGUUGCAACUUAUUUGAAUCCUUUGAUUGCAAGUCCAAGUAUAGAGUUUCCCCCGCUUAAUACGACAACCAAUCGUCUGUCUUGUUUGAAUGUCCUUAAUCACACAAAAUUCAGGCCAAAAAAUGACAAUACAAGAUAAGGCUGCAGUGAUUUGAGAAACUAACAAAAGAUUGUAAUCUAAAGAUGGAACAACUAAAACAGAAUCCAAAUUCAAAGUAUCAGUAAGAGUUAAGGAUCCUUCCCCAAUGACUGGGGUUGUGUUACCAUUGGCUGUGGAAACAAUUUUUUGUGAGGAAGGUCUAAGGGGUGAAACCUGUCUAGAAUCAAAAGUCAUAUGAUCUGUAGCACCAGAAUCAAUUAUCCAUGCACUAUUAAUAACAGGUGUAAAAGUAUUUAAAAACUUACCACAAUGAUCUGUAGCGGCUACUAAUGCAGAGACUUUCUCAACAACAUUAGUCUUUGUUUUUAUUUCGGUAACAGUUGCAAUCAAGGUUUUCUUGGAAUUCUUCUUCCGUUGAUCACGAUUAUUAUCAUUAAUAACAAAGUGUUGAUAGCCUAAACAUGAUCUAAAGGUCCAUGGUGCAAACCCUCGGUUCCUCAUUGUUUUCCUGGUCAUACCAAGAGUUGUUGCUUUGAAAUUGUGGGAUAUCCAGACUGGUGGGAUCAGUUUUAUUGCAGUGAGUGCAUUUGAAUGUUGACUUAUCAAUAUUAGGGCUUGUCUUCGGAUGGUUGAUUGCUGUUGGACUACCAUAGCGACAAAAUAUCCAGGAUUUCAAUUCCAGGGCUCUGAUACCAUCUUCAAAUUGAUGAAUGAUAGUUUUUCAUUCAUUCUUUCAUGUACAGAGUAUAUAUAGAGGGUAAUCACCAUUCUAAGAAUGGGAAAGAAUGAUACGAGGAAAUAAUGAUAUAAGGAAAUAAUAACUAAUAUCCUAAUAUCUCAACUUUCCUAAUAUCUCAAUAUUCCUAAUAUCUCAACUUUCCUAAUAUCUAAACAUUCAUAAUAUCUCAACACUAAAUGAUACAAGGAAAGAAUGAUAUAAGGAAAACAUUCCUAAUAUCUCAACACCACUUCAUGAUAUAUAUAGUUUCUUACCCUUAAUCAAUGGUUUCUAAGUGAAUUUAUAUAGAAAGAAAUCCAAACUGUAGACAGCAGUAUUGGUAACACUCAAUAUUCUGUAUAUAAUAGAAUAAAUAGCGUCACAGUGAUCGUCGCCUACAAGCAAGGUACAAAUACCACAAAGAGUGACCCACAUAGACAUUCCCCAACAAGAUGUAGUAGUGACUGACACAUAGCCACAAUUAACACGUAGAAAAGGAUAAGACCGGUGCACAGUAGCUCUUAUUUUACAUACUACUUAUGCCAACCAAAGUCACUCAGUUGGGAUGGGAGGGAGAUGGAGGUUUGUGCGGUGGCUUGUGGGGCGGAGUUGAUGGCUUCUUUCCAGGAGCUUCUGGCUUUUUCAUCGGAGCUGAAGGAGGCUCAAUCUUAUGAGGCGGCUUGUACGAGUCUUCUUUGCUCUCGAAAGGAGGGUGGCCAGGGUUGUGACCAUAAUGUGGUGGUUUCUCUCCCUUGGGAGGUUUACCAAUUGGGGUUGGUGGCUUGUGUUCUGGGAGUGGUUUCUCUCCCUUGGGAGGUUUAGUGGGUGACUUGUGUUCUGGAGGUGGCUUCUCCACCGAAGGCUUGUGCUCCGGUGGUGGCUUUUUGGUUGGAGGGGGCUUGGGGUAAUCAGCAAGAGAUGGGGUGGUGAGAACCACCAGUCCAAGGAACAACACUAGCAAGUAUGUGGGAGACAUUUUUGAGUUUGGGCUGAUCAGAUGAUGCAAAACUAAAGCAUUACGUGACCUUUUAUAGCAAGUAGCUCCCAAUACCUACUUGACACGUGUUACUGUGACCCAUAAAUAUUAUGGGGUCUAUUUGUGCCCUACCGGGUUGAAAACUUGGACAAUUGGGCAAGGACCCGCCUGACUAUGGAGGACUACUGAGGUGUGAUCACAGCUUUAGGAUUUUUCUUCCUCUGCAGCCGUCUUGCCGUUGGCAUGAUUUUCUUAAUCUCAAAUAAAGGCAUAGUUAUAGAGUUGUUUAAUCUCUAAAUGGGAUUUUAUAUAUCUUCAGAUAGCCAUUAAUACAUUUGAUGAAGAAAGAAAGACAAGUGCAUACAACAUGUAUACGACUAGCUUUCAUGGAGUUCAUUUAUGAUCAGUUUUCCUGUACAUGUAAACCAAGAUCAUAUAUGUUUUUGUUCCACAACAAUUUUGGAAUCUUGUUUAUCCGUUUUUAUCAUUAUAAUGUCACAUAGGCUGCCAACUUGGGCGCUAAAUUAAAGAUCCAGUUGGGCAAGUUCGUUUCAGAAUUUCAAUGGUGGAUUCAGGAAUUGUUUUAUAAGAUAUGCAAAAUAGUAGAGGGAUGAAUAGUGUUUCAUUAAGAAAAGAGCCCUGUAAAAAUAUUGUUUAAAGGUGCCAUAGAAACUAUAAUCAAUAAAUAACUUUUUUUCCCCAUGGGUGGUGUUUCUUGUGGGGAUCAGUGACUGGUUUGAGUCAACGCCGUGUCUCUUUAGUCCAGAAAUCAACUAUUUUAUGCAUUGAAUACAUCAACAAAGAAAAUAUGAAAGCCAAAUGACACCUCCCCCGCAAAAACUAAACCCUGGUUGCUAACUUUCUAUGUUUCAGUUCCAUUCACACAAGAAUAUUAGUUCAAGUUUGAGAAAAAUGGCGACUUACCUAGUGAUAACUCGGUCUUGGUUUGCGAUUUGACUUUAACGUCAUGGGUUGAAGCCUCCUACAAUCAUCGUGUAUGCUAGUUCAAAGCUCGUGGAAGAAGUUAUACAGGGAGGGAGAAACCUCCACAGCAAGCUCCAAAAGAGAAUUAUCACAUUGAAAGCUCCAGUUGAACACUGGGUGAAAGCCAUAACAAGAUUGGUUUUCUAUCGCUCUUUUAAGUAAUGGAAGAUUAUUAUCUCUGCUUGUCACUACAACCGUGCAUGCUGCUAGAUCUUUCUAGACACUUCAAACAGUGAAACCAAGUAUGAUUCUUUUUCUCUUGAGUGGGUCCACUUGCAUGCCAAUGAACGAGUUGAAAAGUUGGACAAUUGGCCACAGCGCGCACUUACCUUCUGGAACCGAAGGUCAGUGAAGUGGGGUUCCUUUUGGCCCCUUGUGUUUCUGUUCCAACCUACUCCAGGAACCGAAGUUCAGUGAAGUGGGGCUACUUUUGGCCUCUUGUGUUUCUGUUCCAACCAAACAAAAAUGGGAGGGAAAAAUAGCAUUAUGCUUGUGCUAAAGAUCAACGCAUGAUAGCUGAAUAAGGGAGAAAAAGGCAUUGCUAUCUCAAUUUCAUAAACUUGAUAAGUAGUGACAUUAAUAGUCUUCCUCAUAGAUGGAUACAUGGUUUUAUUUUAUUUAUUUAUUUUUAUUUUUUUGUUUUAUGUCAAUGCUAAUGAAUGAAGUGCAUUAGCUUGUUUUGUGACUAGAACUACAAAUGUCCAAAUUGGAGCUUCUCCAAUAUAUUUCUCAGUGAGUUAUUGAUUAGAACUCUUGGAUUGAGUUCCAAGAUUUGAAUCAGACCCCUCUAGCAGCUUCAGGGGUACGUAGCAACCUAUAGCAUAUUAAUGAAGACUUAGGAUUUAGACUUAGGAAUACAAAUUAAUAUGUACCUCAUGCUCUGACUAGCUUCCCUGCGUAUGCACAAAAUGGAGAUGACUCCCAAAAAAAUAGCAGAAUCGCCUUAGUAUGUUUUUGUGGUUAAGAUGAUUCUCCACUUUAUAUAUCCACAUUGGUUCAUUAUGCAAAUUAAUCAACUAAGCUAUUUUUAUUUUUUCUUAAAUGUGAAAUAGGAGCUCCAAAUUAACCUAACCAUUGGCCUGAUUGAAUUGAUUUCACUUGCAUAAUGUUAUAGUAGAAGUCCGUAAUUUGAAUUUUAUUUUUGCAAAAGGUAACGUAAAUGAAGCAUUGUAAUUAAAUUUAUUUGUAAUUACAAACUAAUUUUAUUUUAUUAAGAAUUAAUUUAAUUACUCAUUUAAAAUAAAAAUCAGUUAUACUUUUACCAAGAUGAUAAUAUUCAUAUUUUUCUAGUUAACAUAUAUAAAAUAGUACACUUUUUCAUAUAAAAAAAUAAUUUAUGAUUUAUUAUAAUGUUACUAUUCACAUUUUACUAAAUUGAUGGUACAUGAUAGUGAGAGAAGGGGGUGUCACACUCAGCUAAAGUUCUUUUCAAAAUAUUGCAUGGUGUUUAAUUUUAUGUGUCGGCGCGCGUGUGAAUGGAACCUGCAAAAGUCCAAAUUGGCGUUUCUCCAUUUUCCACAUAGGAUGGUGACGUUAAUAGACAAAGAUACAAUAUCUGUAGACAUUGCUUAAAAAUCGAUGUGAAGUAUUAGAAAUUACAGGGCACUGUACUGGGGGAGCGGCUGCCCCGCCAAAGGAGGAAGAAUGUAGCAAUUUCUUCUGUUAGCCAGGCCUUAGGAUUUAUGCAUGGGAUGCCUAAUAACAAACAGAGAAAAUAUACUUUUGGGGAAGGUAUCCAACAACAGACACCAUCAUUCAGAUGGUGGGAAGGUAUCCAACAGAUGCCAUCAUUCAGAUGGUAACAUAUAUAUACAUUUAUUAGUGAGUUUUUUUAAUACCUAUAAAAAAAAAUAUACACUUUGAUAUUGUGGCUGAAUCCAUUACAUACUCAACUAACCUUGCUCAUUAGGGAUUUGACUUAACAAGGGCAACGUUGCAGUACAAGCUCAAAACUUUAUGCAGGUGACAUUACAUUUGGUAAAGAAGAGGAAAAUAACGAAAGCCAUCCAUAAAAGCAAAAUUCCACAUGGGAUGAAAUUCACAAGCUUCAUUUACGAUAGAGUCGCAUCCAGGCAAUUAAUUCCACAUUAGACCGCCUGUUGACAUGUGUACCAAUCUUUUUUCAAAAAAUAUUUAUAAAUAAUUGAUACUCACAAAAAUAAUUUAAUAUUUAUAAAGGAUAAAAAAAUAUUUUCAAAUCUAUAACAAUUUAUAAAAUAUUAAUAAAAAAUUAUCUCUUAAACUUAGUAUAGUUUUAUCAGAUUAAACUUUUAUUUUGAACAAAUAAUUUUAAUCUAAGUUUUAAAUUCUAAAAUUAUUUCCUUAAAAUAAAAUUUUAAAAUUCAACACUUCAAUUGAAAUUGUCUUUUUAAAAAAUAUCUUCUUAUUUUAAUCCUUAUAAACUAUAGUUGAUUGAAAAUACUAUUGAAGUUCUCUCUUAAAAAAAAGUCUUAUUUUAAUCUUCAUAAAUUGCCCUUGAUUUGAAAAUAAAUUUUCAGUUAUCAUAUUUUAAAUAAUAUCUAUAUUUAAAAUACUCUAUUUAAAAAAAAAUGAACUAAUUUUAAUUAUAUUAUAUUUUAUUUUUUUAUAUAUUUUUAAUGAUAAACCAAACAUAGAAAAUCAUUUUUCUAAAUAUUUUAAAAUUUCUAAGCAACCAAACAUAAUCUUCAAAAUAAAAGGAAAAUAAGGAGGGACAUUUGAGAAAUGGCGAUUAAAAAAAAGUGUACAAAAGCUCAAUUAAUUUUCUUCUAGUCUUUUAUAUAAAAAAGUAAAGGAAUUGAAAAGUAUUGAUAUGUAAAUUAAUAUUUGGAUUUUAAUAGUAUUUUAUUUGUCUUUCUCUAUCUCAUGUAAAAGAGAAUUUAAGAUAUUUCCUAAAGCAAAGCAUUAGUUAUCUGCAAUCAGUGGUGAUCAUGCCCCAUGUCAAUUUCGGACCCAUAUCUUAAAACUGUAUAAUUUGCAUUCAAACAUUACUGAUUUCUCAGAUGUUUCAUACUCCACAGAAGAGCAUUGUUUGUGAAAGCAUGCAUUUAUGUUGGAUUUUGGAUGAUGUGGGAACUGGGGCAAGGAUCAUAUGGAAGAGUGGUCGAUUUUGUUCUGUACUUUAACAUUUGAAAUAGGAGAAGCUCGGGCAUUUGUGGGGCUUAAUUGAUUUUGAAGCCUGAAAUUGCGUUUCUGUCAUUUUGUAAAAAAUAUGGCAGAUUCCAUGCUCUCAUAUGUUUGGUCUGUGGCCAUGUAUAGAUGCCCCUUAGUGACCAGUUUGUAACUGUCAAUCAUAGUGUUUUGACUCUGGCUCAACAACAUCAGCCAUUGACGGAUUUUCAUACUUGCAAAUCAAAUAGUCUUCUUCCUCCCUUAGGAAUUUCGGUUUAAAUGUUAUUAAGCAUACAUUUGGCUGACAAUUAUUAACCACUUCAUGAUAUGGUUUCUUACCCUUAAUCAAUGGUUUCUAAGUGAAUAUAUGCAGAAGGAAAUCUGAACUGUAGACAGCAGUAUUGAUAACUCUCAAUAUUCUUUAUAUAAGAGAAUAAACAACGUCAUAGUGAUCGUCGCCUACAAGAAAGGUACAUUUCCCAACAAGAUGUAGUUGUGACUGGUACAUGGACGCAAUUAACUCGUACAAAAGAAUAAGACCAGUGCACGGCAGCUCUUAUUUUACAUGCUAAUUAUGCUAACCAAAGUCACUCAGUUGGGAUGGGAGGGAGAUGGAGGUUUGUGCGGUGGCUUGUGGGGCGGAGUUGGUGGCUUCUUUUCAGGAGCUUGUGGCUUUUUCGGAGCUGAAGGAGGCUCAAUCUUAUGAGGCGGCUUGUACGAGUCUUCUUUACUCUCGACAGGAGGGUGGCCAGGGUUGUGACCAUAAUGUGGUGGCUUCUCUCCCUUAGGUGGCUUGCCAACUGGGGUUGGUGGCUUGUGUUCAGGAAGUGGUUUCUCUCCCUUGGGAGGUUUACCAAUUGGGGUUGGUGGCUUGUGUUCUGGGAGUGGUUUCUCUCCCUUGGGAGGUUUAGUGGGUGACUUGUGUUCUGGAGGUGGCUUCUCCACCGGAGGCUUGUGCUCCGGUGGUGGCUUCUCCACCGGAGGCUUGUGCUCCGGUGGUGGCUUCUUGAUUGGAGGGGGCUUGGGGUAAUCAGCAAGAGAUGGGAUGGUGAGAACCACCACUCCAAGGAACAACACUAGCAAGUAUGUGGGAGACAUUUCUGAGUUUGAGCUGAUCAGAUGAUGCAAAACUAGAAGAAUUACGGGACCUUUUAUAGCAAGUAUCUCCCAAUACCCACAUGACACGUGUUACUAUGACCAUAAAUAUUAUAGGGUCCAUUUGUGCCCUACCGGGUUGAAAACUUGGACGCUUGGCCGAGGACACACCUGACUAUGGAGGACUAUUGACGUGUGAUCACAGCUUUUGGAUUUUUCUUCCUGUGCAGCUGUCUAGCGGUUGGCAUUAUUUUCUUAAUCUUAAAUAAAGGCAUAGUUAUAGAGUUGUUUAAUCUCUAAAUGGGAUUUUAUAUAUCUUCAGAUAGCCAUUAAUAUAUUUGAUGAAGAAAGACAAGUGCAUACAACAUGUAUACGGCUUGCUUCAAUCGAGUACAUUUAUGAUCAGUUUUCCUGUGCAAGUAAACCAGUUUUUUGUUCCACAACUAUUUUGGAAUCUUGUUUAUCAGUUUCUAUCAUUAUAAUGUCACAUAGGCUGCAAACUUGGGCACCCAAAGAUCUAGGUGGGCAAAUUUGUUUCAGACUUUCAAUGGUGGAUUCAGUAAUUGUUAAAAGGUGUUUCUUCAUUAAGGAAAGAGUCCGGUAAAAAUAUUGUUAAAAGGUGUCAUAGAAACUAUAAUAAAUAAAUAACUUCUUUUCCCCAUGGGUGGUGUUUCUUCUGGGGAUCAGUGACUGGUUAGGGUCACCCAAAAUGAGUCCAGAUUAAAAUUGGUUCGAGUCAAAGCAGUCUCUUUUGUCCAGAAAUCAACUAUUUUGCGCAUUGAAUGAAUCGAUAAAGAAAAAAUGAAAGCCAAAUCACACCUCCCCUGCAAAACCUAAACCCCGGUUGCUAACUUUCUAUGUUUCAGUCCUAUUCAUAUAGGAAUAUUGGUUCAAGUUUGAGAAAAAUGGCAACUUACCUAGGGUUUACUUGGUUUUGGUUUGCGACUAUUUACGCAACCAACCAUGAGUUUGACUUUAACGUCAUGGGUUGAAGCCUCCUACAAUCAUGUAUGAUAGUUCAAAGCUCGUGGAAGAAAUUAUACAGGAAGGAAGAAACCUCCAAAGCUAGCUCCAAAAGAGAAUUAUCACAUCGAUAGCUCCAGAGAUUCCCAAGGGAACUGAAUCAAAGACAAGUUCCUCACUUUUUCUUCUUUUGAGGCCAAAUAUGAACCAAGGAUCACACGACCUCAUUCAACUUCAUAAGUUUGAUUUCAUGCAGUUGAACACUGGGUGAAGGCCAUGACAAGAAUUGAUUAAAAAAUUCUACCACUCUUUUAAGUAAUGGAAGAUUAUUAUCUCUGAUUGGCACCACAACAGCACAUGCUGCUAGAUCUUUCUAGACACUCCAUGCAAUGAAAGCACAAUGGAUCUUGUAAUGAUAGAAACUAAGCCAUGCUACAGUACUAGAUGAGGGGGUAAAACUAGUAGACAUCUUUCUAGACACUCCAUGCAAUGAAAGCACAAUGGAUCUUGUAAUGAUAGAAACUAAGCCAUGCUACAGUACUAGAUGAGGUGGUAAAACUAGUAGACAUGGCUGGCAGUUGAUUACUACUCAAAAAGUACUCUUUUAUAGCUUGAAACUAACUGUUUUAAACACUUUUGAGUAGUAGUUAAUACCUUUUAACUUAAUUGGCACAUUAAGGAACCUAGCAAGGGUUACUAAUCAACAUUUGGCAAGUUUUGAUGUUUUUGGUAGCUAUUUGAUCAUUGAAACAAGCCAAGAAUGAGGGGGAAUUUUGUGAAGUCCAUGGCAAUGCAAGUUAAAGCUCAAAUACAUGAAGAAUCCAAGCUUUGGAGCACUUCAUAGCCCUUUGCCAAGCCAAUCAAAGAUGCAAGGAAGAAAACCAAAGGAAGAAAUCCAACAAUCAGCAUUUUGGCAUGGCUAUGUGAAAUUUCGCACACCAUGCGAAACCACAAGAGGCAGCCAAAGAAUUUCGCAUGGUAUGCGAAAUCUUCUUGUGCACUGACUCUGUUAGAUUUUUAUCUUCAGAUAUUUUGUGUAAUUUCCUAGUUUCUCCUUGUAACCAACUUAGAUAUUUUCUUUUAUAUCUUUUUUUAUAUUUUUUAGGUAACAUCAUAUAUAAGAGGAGAGACAUAAGGAGGAUAUGGAUGUUUUUCAUAGAACACUUGUAAAUUUUUGGUAGUAAGAAAUAUACAAAGCUUUUUGCUCUGCCUUACCUUCUCAAGGGAUGAGUGGCUAGGUUUUCUUGGAGUGAGGGAAGCUAGGUGAAGGACCUGAAUGCAAAGGUGGGAGUUUUCCUUACUUUAAAUGAAAGUAGUUGUUAAACAUUAAUGGUUUUUAUUUUAAGGUUUAGCUUUAAAUCCCUGAAAAACACCUUGAAUGGCCAAUACUUGGUAAGCUUUUUAGAUUCUAUGGAUGCUUAUUGCUAGAUCCAUGGAUGUCUAUUAGUUAUCAUUUACGAGCCAUUGGAAGGUGAUUCAAGGUGAGGGUCUUUAGUGUUUGAAGCCAUUAAUGGGAAGCAAUUACCAUUUUUUCAUGAAUCCUUUGGAUCAAAUCUUAAUUGCUAAAUAUAAAACCGGUUUCGAGAGAUAACCACCAUCCUUUAUGUUAUUAUCCCCAACGCGAGGAGAAGAUCCGAAAUCUUCCUUUUUAUCUAAGGAACCCGAUCCUAGUGACCUAAAGCUCCAAGAUACCUUUUCUUUGUAGUUAACUUCAUUUAUUGUUUUUGCUUAACUUAAAAUCAAUCUUUGCAACCACAAUUCCAUUUUCUUUAAAAGCUAAUUUUUAUAAGGAAAAACACCAUUUUAUUUCCUUCACUAAGUCAACUGUACGAUGAAAACCCAUCCCUGUGGACGAUCCUAGAGCCACUAUACUAUGUUAGCUAUGCUACCCUAGUGUGAGGUGAUUUAGGUUUUAUAAAUUUUUUUGAUAACACCCAUCUGAGCCAGAAUCAAAUGGCACGACUGAACCAGGGACGAAUCAAAUGACGCCGCUACCAAGGAUGGUGCCAAAGUACAUUGACAUGACUUUUGGUGAACACUUGUGAUCUUCACCACAAGUUUGGUGAUUUUUCUUUUACUAAUUUUUUUUAUUUUAGCUUAUCUUUUAUUUAGUUUUUAGUUAACCUUAAAUUUUUCCUAGAAUUGUAUUUCUUUUGUUUUCUUUGUUUUUGUUUCAGUGAUCUUUAGUUGUGCAUGCCCUAUUGGAUAAGAGAUAUUGAGGGAAUACUUGUGAAGAUUGAAACUCCUCGAGAAACUGAGUUAGAAGUGUGCUUGAACAUCAUGGAUGUUCCACCUGAAGACCAGAAUAGCCAACAUGGUUAAGAGGAUAAUUUCAACACAUACCGAUCCAUGAGGAACCGCAUACAUCCACCUUGUAUGAGUGCACCGUCAGGCAUAAUGCCUCCCACUGAGCAGCUAGUAAUCUGACCUCACAUUGUGCCACUCCUACCUACUUUCCAUGGGAUGGAGAGUGAGAAUCCCUACUCGCAUAUUAAGGAAUUCGAGGAGGUUUGUAAUACAUUCCAAGAAGGAGGAGCUUCAAUUGACUUGAUGAGGCUCAAGCUAUUUCCUUUCACUUUGAAGGAUAAGGCCAAGAUUUGGCUUAAUUCUUUAAGGCCAAGAAGUAUCCAAACUUGGAUUGAUUUGUAAGCCGAGUUUCUUAAGAAGUUCUUCCCUACCCAUAGGACCAAUGGUUUGAAAAGGCAAAAUUUGAACUUCUCAGUUAAAGAGAAUGAGAAAUUCUAUGAGUGUUGGGAGAGCUACAUGGAAGCUAUUAACGUUUGUCCUCACCAUGGCUUUGACACAUGGCUCUUAGUGAGCUAUUUUUACAAUGGUAUGUCUUCUUCAAUGAAGCAACUCCUAGAAACUAUGUGUGGAGGAGACUUCAUGAGUAAGAAUCCGGAGGAAGCCAUGGACUUUUUGAGUUAUGUGGCUGAAGUUUCAAGAGGAUGGGAUGAACCAAAUGCUAGAGAGGUGGGAAGAAUGAAGUCUCAACCUAAUGCUAAGGGUGAGAUGUAUGUUUUGAAUGAAGACAUUGACAUGAAAGCAAAGGUUGCAGCUAUGGCAAGGAGAUUGGAAGAGCUAGAAAUGAAGAACAUACAAAAAGUGCAAGCCAUUUCUGAGACAUCAAUGAAAGCUAUGCCUUGUUCCAUUUGUCAAUCUUAUAAGCACCUAGUGGAGGAGUGUCCUACAAUUCCAGCAGUGAGAGAGAUGUUUGGUGAUCAAGCAAAUGUUAUUGAUCAAUUCAAGCCUAAUAACAAUGCUUCAUAUGGCAACACCUACAAUUCAAAUUGGAGGAACCAUUCAAAUUUCUCUUGGAAACGAAAGCCACCUCAAUACACACAACCUACUCAAGCACCUUAGCAAUCCUCGAAUCUUGAACAAGCUAUUGUGAACCUUAGCAAGGUUGUGGGAGACUUUGUGGGAGAUCAGAAGUCCAUCAAUGCUCAACUGAAUCGGAGAAUUGACAGUGUGGAGAGUACAUUGAACAAAAGGAUGGAUGAGAUGUAAAAUGAUCUGUCUCAAAAGAUAGACAAUGUCCAAUACGUAAUCUCAAGGCUUACCAACCUCAACACAGUGUAAGAGAAAGGAAAGUUUCCUUCUCAACCUCAUCAAAAUCCUAAGGGUAUCCAUGAAGUAGAGGCUCAAGAGGGAGAAUCUUCAAAGGUGAGGGAAGUCAAAGUAGUUAUCACCUUGAAGAGUGGUAAAGAGGUUGAUCAACCCACAUCCAAGCCAAAGCAUAAUGAAGAGAGUGUAGCAGAAAAAGAAAAGAGAGGAAAAUAAAGGAAUUAGAAUAGAGAAAAAUACAAAGAAAGAUGACCAUGAGUCUAGUGUGGAUGAAGAGCCCGAGAGGAUGGUGAUCAAGGAAGAUAUGAUGAAGAAACACAUGCCUCCACCUUUCCCCUAAGCUUUGCAUGACAAAAAAAGAACCAAUAAUACAUCAGAAAAUUUUGAAGUAUUGAGGCAAGUGAAGGUCAAUAUCCCUUUGCUAGACAUGAUCAAACAAGUGUCGACAUAUGAAAAAUUCUUGAAGGACUUGUGCACUGUAAAGAGAGGGUUGAAUGUGAACAAGAAAGCUUUAUUGACCGAGCAAGUGAGUUCCAUCAUACAGUGCAAGUCCUAGUGAAGUACAAAGAUCCGGGUUGCCGUACCAUCUCAGUGAGUAUUGGAAGGACUUGUGUGGAGAAAGCUUUGUUGGACUUGGGAGCAAGUGUGAAUUUGCUAUCCUACUCUGUCUAUAAGCAGUUGGGAUUUGGAGAGUUGAAGCCAAUAUCCAUCACUCUAUCUCUAGCGGAUAGAUCAAUGAAGAUUCCAAGAGGGAUGAUCGAAGAUGUCCUGGUUCAAGUUAACAAAUUCUACUAUCCAGUAGAUUUUGUUGUUCUUGAUAUGGAUCCGGUUGUCAAAUGAACUAAUUAUGUUCCUAUCAUACUUGGAAGACCCUUCCUAGCUACAUCAAAUGCAAUCAUCAAUUGUAGGAAUGGAGUCAUGCAACUCACAUUUGUCAACAUGACAUUAGAGCUCAACAUCUUCCAUUUGUACAAGAAGCAUAUCCAUCAGGAGGAAAAAGAAGGUCUAGAGGAAGUGUGAAUGAUUGACACUUUAGUGGAAGAGCAUUGUGAUCGAGAAUGCAAAAAGAUUUAGUUGAGAAUUUUGGGGAUCUUGAUGAAAGGUUACUUGAACCCUCAGAUUUGCUUGCUACCCUACUCCAUUGGAAGAGAAGAGAAGAAAUUCUACCCUUAUUCAAUGAGGAGGAGACGCAAAGAGCUGCAAAGGAGAAACCCCCAAAACUUAUUCUUAAGCCACUACCCACAGAGUUGAAGUAUGUAUACUUGGAAGAAGACAAGAAGUGCCCUAUUGUUAUAUCUUCAACUCUUACCAUUCAUCAGGAGGAUUGUCUACUUGAAGUCCUUAGAAGAUGUAAGAAGACAAUAAGGUGGCUAAUUUCUUAUUUGAAAGGGAUCAGCCCUUUAGUCUGCACCCAUCAUAUUUACAUGGAGGAUGAAGCUAAGCUAAUUCAUCAACCUCAGAGAAGGUUGAACCCUCACAUGCAAGAGGUGGUUCGAGCUGAAGUUCUGAAGCUACUUCAGACCAGUAUUAUUUACCCCAUAUCAAAUAGCCCAUGGGUGAGUCCUACUCAAGUUGCGCCAAAGAAGUCUGGGAUCAUGGUGGUGCAAAAUGAUAAGGGAGAAGAUGUCUCUACACGCCUCACUACAGGUUGGAGGGUGUGUAUCAAUUACAGGAGGUUGAAUGCAGUGAUAAGAAAGGACCAUUUCUCAUUGCCCUUUAUUGAUCAGGUGCUUGAGAGGGUCUCUGGGCUUUUUUUUUUAUUGUUUCUUGGAUGGCUACUCCGGGUACUUUCAGAUAGAAAUUGAUGUUGAAAACCAAGAUAAGACCAUUUUCACAUGCCCAUUUGGAACCUAUGCAUAAAGGAGAAUGCCUUUCGGCUUAUGCAAUGCACCCGCAACUUUCCAAAGAUGCAUGUUAAGCAUUUUCAGUGAUAUGGUGGAGCGUAUUAUGGAAGUCUUUAUGGAUGAUAUCACCAUUUAUGGAAGUGCAUUUGAUGAAUGCUUGGUCAACUUAGAAGCUGUUCUGAACCGAUACAUUGAGAAAGACUUAGUGCUUAACUGGGAGAAGUGCCAUUUCAUGGUACACCAAGGGAUUGUCCUUGGGCACAUUAUCUCCAAGCAAGGCAUUGAAGUUGACAAAGCAAAGGUUGAACUCAUUGUUAAGUUGCCAUCCUCAACAAAUGUCAAAGGAGUAAGGCAAUUCUUUGGCCAUGUCGGGUUCUAUAGGAGGUUUAUCAAGGAUUUCUCUAAGCUUGCAAGGCCUCUUUGUGAAAUAUUGGUGAAUGAUGUUAAAUUCAUAUGGGAUGAUGGAUUUGAAAGGAGUUUUGAAGAAUUGAAGCUAUUUUUGACAACCGUACCAAUAGUGAGGGCUCCCAACUGGCAACUGCCCUUUGAAGUAAUGUGUGAUGUCAAUGAUUUUGCUAUAGGAUUUUUUCUUGGGCAAAGAGAAAAUGGAAAACCUUAUGUGAUCUACUAUGCGAGGAAGGCAUUGAAUGAGGCACAAAGAAACUACACAACCACCGAGAAAGAAUUGUUAGCUGUAGUUUUUGCCUUGGAUAAGUUUCGCGCUUACUUGGUGGGGUCCUUCAUCAUGGUUUUUACUGAUCACUUUGCUUUGAAGUAUCUGUUGACUAAGCAAGAUGCUAAAGCAAGGCUGAUUAGAUGGAUUCUCUUACUUCAAGAGUUCAAUCUCCAUAUCAAAGAUAAGAAAGGAGUGGAGAAUGUGGUAGCAGACCACAUUUCAAGGCUAGCUAUCGCACAUAAUUCCCAUGCUUUGCCCAUUAAUGACGAUUUUCUAGAGGGGUCUCUCAUGUUGGUGGAAGUUGUCCCUUGGUACGCUCACAUUGCUAACUACCUGGUCACGGGAAAAGUUCCAAGUGAGUGGAAAGCACAAGAUAAGAAGCACUUCUUUGCAAAAAUUCAUGCCUACUAUUGGGAAGAGCCAUUUCUAUUCAAGUAUUGUAUGGAUCAGAUAAUAAGGAAGUGCGUUCCUGAAGAAGAGCAACAGGGGAUCCUUAGUCAUUACCAUGAAAAUGCAUGUGGAGGCCACUUUGCUUAUCAAAAGACAGCCAUGAGGGUGUUGCAAUCGGGUUUCUGUUGGCCAUCACUUUUCAAAGAUGCCCACACCAUGUGCAAGAGUUGUGAUCGAUGCCAGAGGCUUGGGAAGUUGACACGCAGGAACAUGAUGCCUUUGAACCCCACUUUAAUAGUUGAUAUUUUUUAUGUUUGGGGCACUAACUUCAUGGGACCUUUCCCUAUGUCUUUUGGCUACUCUUACAUCUUGGUAGGAGUAGAUUAUGUUUCUAAGUGGGUUGAGGCAGUCCCAUGCAAACACAAUGACCAUAGAGUGGUUCUCAAGUUUCUUAAAGAGAAUAUCUUCUCAAGAUUUGGGGUGCCCAAAGCCAUAAUUAGUGAUGGGGGUACUCAUUUUUGCAACAAGCCUUUUGAAACUCUCCUAGCCAAGUAUGGGGUGAAGCAUAAGGUAGCUACACCUUACCACCCUCAAACUCAUGGACAAGUUGAGUUAGCAAACAGGGAGAUUAAAAACAUAUUGAUGAAGGUGGUGAACACAAACAGAAAAGAUUGGUCAGUCAAGCUUCUUAAUUCACUAUGGGCAUAUAGAACAACUUACAAGACCAUUCUCGGGAUGUCUCCUUAUCGCCUAGUUUAUGGCAAAGCAUGCCAUCUCCCUGUGGAAUUGGAAUACAAAGCUUGGUGGGCAAUCAAGAAGCUCAACAUGGAUUUGAGCAGAGCUGGGUUGAAGAGGUUCUUAGACCUUAAUGAGAUGGAGAAAUUGAGAAAUGAUGCCUACAUCAAUUCAAAAAUUGCAAAAGAAAAAUUGAAGAGGUGGCAUGAUCAGUUGAUUUCCCGCAAGGAUUUUCAAAAUGGACAAAGAGUCUUACUUUAUGACUCUAAACUCCACAUCUUUCCGGGCAAGCUGAAAUCAAGGUGGAUAGGUCAUUUUACCAUUCACCAAGUGCAUUCAAAUGGAGUAGUGGAACUACUCAACUCCAACAAUAUCGAGAACUUCAAAGUGAAUGGCCACCGUCUCAAGCCCUUUGUGGAGUCUUUUUCUCACAACAAGGAGAAAUUCAUCCUCCUUGAUCCACAUCAAGCUUAACAAGACCAAUUUUCUUGAUGGACUUAGUCUUUCUAAAGACUAUCGAGUCCAUAACUUUUUGUUUUAUUUUUUAUUUGAGAUUUUUUCGGUAUUGUUACUUGUUUUGUUUUUUAUUUUUCGUUUUAAUUUUAUUUGGUUUGAUUUAACUUAGGUUUUUGAUGAUCAAUUACAGGGGGGAUUUCAAAUAGAGGAAAAACCAAGAUAAUUCGCACACCCUACGAAAAUUUCGCAAGGCAUGCGAAAUUUAUGGCUUAUUUUGCAUGGGGUGAAAAUUUUCGUACAUCUUACGAACCAAUUUCGAACACUUUGCGAAAAUAAACCAACCCUGCGAAAUCAUUUCGAUUACUCUACGAAAUUUUCGUAGAGCAUGCGAAAAAUUUAGCACACCAAACACCAUUUCGCAUACUAUGCAAAAACCUAAGGGGUCUGCGAAACCAUUUCGCACCUCCAAAUCCAUUUCGCACAUUGUGCGAAAACCAAGAGGCGCUGUGCGAAAAUGAAAAGUCGCCCUGUCAUCCCUUUUUAAACCCCUCGAGCCCUAAAAUCUCCAUUUCGCAAGCACCCCUGUCCUUGCGAAUCCCUCAUUUUCCUCUACUACCUUGCAACCUCGUCCCUUUCCAUUUGAUAUUGUGCCCCGCGCACAUCUCAUUUCAGAGACUCGCACUCCGCGCCCCCUCAAAGCAUGGACUCGAGACCCACCUUCCAUUUCCGACGUGGCACGGACCCAAGGAGCCCUUUCUGCCCCUUCACUAAGACACACACCAAGGCAGAAAGCCUCCUUUGCUCAAGUGCCUAGUGAUUCUCCAUCUUAGGCCUCAGAGGCCUCGGAGGCCCCGUGGAUUCCACCUUCCGAGGGUAGAGCAGCCAUUGGUCCUUCCUCUUCUACUCCUUAGCGUAGAUACGAGACGAGGAGACCACCUACUACACAAGGGGCGACUACUUCGAGCCUUGAGAAUUCAGUACGAUGCCUUCCUGCCAAGAGGGUCAAGACUUCAGGUCCAAGUGAGUCAUCCAGAGCUUCAUAGCCUAAGCCUCCUGUAGAUUCCAAGGUUCCUACUGACAUAUCACCGGAGUCUAUUAUCAGAAGCCCGAUGCUCAUAGCACCGCCCAUUGAGGGCAACUCAGAUUAUAGAGCGAGAUCUUUCCACUUGGAGCUAUAUUUUGAUCAGGAGGCCAUACGACAGCAGCCUGAGCUCCGAGACUCUUAUGGCUUACUGCAGAGGUACCAUCUUGAGGAACUUAUGACUCCUCGUGAGUUUUUUUAUCCCAGAGUAGCACUAAACUUUUACCAGUCCAUGACUACUCGUGGCGUCCCGAGUCCUACCACGAUUCACUUCACCAUUGAUAGACGUCAUGGUAUCCUCAAGGCCAGACAUAUUACAGAGGCUCUACAAAUUCCUUUCGAGCUAGAGGAUCCAUCUGUUUUUCGCUAAUGGUCCCCAGUAUCUCAGAGGGACAUGGUCCGUAUUUUAUCUAGGGGAACAUCUACAGAUUCGAUCUUUCUACGGAAGGAGCUUCGACCUGGGAUGCUCCUCUUAGAUGUGGUGCUAUGCUCCAACCUCUUUCCCUUACAACAUUCGGUACAUAGGUGAUGAGCUAUUUUGGACGCUUUAUUCCGUAUAUCAGAGGGCUUCUACUUUGGCCCGCACCACUUGAUCAUGGUCUCCCUCAUCCACUUUGAGGAGAAGGUUCAUAGGAAGAAGCUUCAGAGGGUGGACACCAUUCCAUUACUAUUCCUGAGGUUACUUUGCCAGGUCUUGGAGUACAUGGGCUUUCCUACUGAGCCUCGGCUCGAGCUUUGCCGCCUUUGUCGAGAGUGAUCCACUCUCGACAAAUGGAAUUAGUUGGCGGGCUAUUCUGCACCUCCAGGAGCCCCUCCCAUGGUAGCACCUCCAAUGUCCCCACAGGCAAAGUAGGGCGAGCUCCCGGCAAAGACUGUACCACCAAUGCCCACACUUGAGGCUAUUUCUGCUGCUCUGCCUAUGACUCCUACUGUUCCACCAGUUGGUCCUUUUACAUCCGAGCCUUCCAUCACCAUCUCGGCUUCGGAGUUUCGCGCCCUUGUGCAUACCUUUCAGACACUCACCACCACACAUACUCCUCUCUUCUAGCAAAUGGUUGAGAUGUGUGCCCAUCAGGACCGGAAGACUACUAUACUCUGCCAAAUUCAGCAGCACCUAAGACUUUUGCCUCAACCUCAACCUAACCAUCCCAUAUCAUCAGAGCCUCUAGCUCCAACUGAGGAUACUAUUCCACCUGAGAACACUACCACAGUAGAGGUCCGGUUUCCACCACCUUAAGAGGCCACCACAGCUACAUCAGAGGAUGUGUCAUCUCCACUUGAGGCUCCCACUACUUGAUCAUAGGACAUAUCUUUAUCUUAUUGUAUUUACAUAUUAUAUUACUAGAGAUUUGUCCUUGUUUUGAUACUUUAUAUUCUGGGAUUGGAUGUAUUGCCUGAUGAUAUCUCAAUUGUACUUUCUCAUAUUAAUAUAUAGACAUCAAUUUUUUUUAGUAUACUUAGCAUUUUUCUAUUUCCUCUACUCAUUACUCUUUUGUUUUUUUUUACUCAUGUGGUUUCUCUUAUACAACUCAGACUCCAUUUCACUCAGGAGGUACCACUUCCUCCCUUUAUUUUCAAUUGCUCUUGAAAUAUUGAGUGCAAUGUUGAUCUUGGUUGGGGGGAGAGUUGAGGAAGGAAGUUUUGUUAAUAAUGCUAGGUUAAUUUGUUAAUUUAGUUACUUUCUGCUUAAUUUUAAAAGUUUUCACUCUACUUUCCAUGGUUAUUAAGGAAAAAUUCUCAAAAUGAAAUGGGAGAAAUCGAAUUCUUGCAUUUUUACUUGAAUCUUAGAAUUUGUAUCAUGCUUAUUAAAGUUGAUGAAUUAUUGAAACUCCUAUUGAAUUCAACCUUAUUUUUUCCACUUUAAUCUUACCACACACGGUGCACAUUAGGUUCCAGUUAUAAGAUAAAAAACUAUCUCACCCCCUAAACUUAGAAAAAUUUACACUUGGUACCUUUGACAUCGUUUUAAUAGUGUUGGGACACCUUAUAAAAGGCCAAUGAGCCUUUAAAAAAAAAAAAAAAAAAAAAAAGAGAAAGAACAAAGUAUUGCACUUGCCUUGAAACCUGAGCAAGAUCCGAGGGGUAUACAGUGAAAGUCUUUAAAACCUGGUGCCCUAAGCCUUGAUUGGUUGGGAGUCACCGACCUCAAUGCUCGUUAUAAGGGUGAAUAGGUGGAGUUUAACAUAUUGUAGGUGCUUGGGUAUUGAAUUUCAAUCUCAAAAGUCCGGGAAAAAAUCUAAGGAGUUAGUGGUCAAAAGAUCCUUAAAGCUUGAUGCCCUAAACCUUGAUUGGUUGAGAGUCAUUGAUGGAUCCCCGCUACAUGGACAUUUUAGAAAACAAUACCUUUAGCAUUGCACGCCUACAAUGAAAAAAAAAUGUGAAAUAAAAGAGGUGCGUUCUUAGCCUAUUGGAGGUUGGUCAGUUUGCUAAAGUUUGAGAAAUCUAGGUUGGGGGGAGAGAAUAGUCCGACAUACUAUAAUAAAAAACUAAUAACCUUAACACUUAGAUUUUUGUGGAAGAGUAAGGAUUGGACCUUUAGGGGUGGAAAUUCUUUUGAUGCUUAAAUUUGCAUAAUGCCUACUCUUUAUAAAUUAUGAUUAGGCAAGAGAUUUGAUGACUCUUGUUCAAAGUUGGGUUUUUCCUCUUUGAUGUUCCAUGAGAGAGUAUAAUCCUCAUCAUGCCACUUGAAAUCUUUUUGGAGUGAUUAACAUGAUUUUGUAAAUUAUUUUACUGUCUAUUUUUCUUUAUCUCUCUUUUAUUGCUAAUGGACUAGCAAUAUGUCAGUUGGGGGGAGUGAUUACUACUCAAAAAGUACUCUUUUAUAGCUUGAAACUAACUGUUUUAAACACUUUUGAGUAGGUGUUAAUACAUUUUAACUCAAUUGGCACAUUAAGGAACCUAACAAGGGUUACUAAUAAGUUUUUGGCAAGUUUUGGUGUUUUUGGUAGCUAUUUGAUCAUUGAAACAAGCCAAGAAUGAGGGAGAAUUUUGUGAAGUCCAUAGCAAUGCAAGUUAAAGCUCAAAUACAUGAAGAAUCCAAGCUUUGAAGCACUUCAUAGCCCUUUGCGAAGCCAAUCAGAGAUGCAAGGAAGAAAACCAGAGGAAAAAAUCCAACAACCAGCAUUUUCGCAUGGCUGUGCGAAAUUUUGCACACCAUGCGAAACCACAAGAAGUAGCCAAAGAAUUUUGCACACCAUGCGAAAUUUCGCAUGGUAUACGAAAUCUUCCUAUGCACCAACUCCGUUAUAUUUUUAUCUUCAGAUAUUUUGUGUAAUUUCCUAGUUUCUCCUUGUAACCAACCUAGAUAUUUUCUUUUAUAUCUUUUUUUUAUAUUUUUUAGGUAACAUCAUAUAUAGGGGGAGAGACAUAAGGAGGAUAUGGAUGUUUUUCAUAAAACACUUUUAAUUUUCUGGUAGUAAGAAAUAUACAAAGUUUUUUGCUCUGCCUUACCUUCUCAUUUUGUUUUCACCUAUCUUUCUAGCCAAACAACCUCUGAGAAUGAUUUCUCAGGGGAUGAGUAGUUAGGUUUUACGUUUCUUGGAGUGAGAGAAGCUAGGUGAAAGACCCAAAUGCUAAGGUGGGAGUUGUCCUUGCUUUAAAUGAAAGUAGUUGUUAAAUAUUAAUGGUUUUUAUUUUAAGGUUUAGCUUUAAAUCCCUUAAAAACACCUUGAAUGGCCAAUACUUGGUAAGCUUUUCGGAUUCUAUGGAUGCUUAUUGCUAGAUCCAUGGAUGUCAUUAGUUAUCAUUUAUGAGCCAUUGGAAGGUGGUUCAAGAUGAGAGUCUUUAGUGUUUGAAGCCAUUAAUGGGAAACAAUUACCAUUUUUUCAUGAAUCCUUUGGAUAAAAUCUUAAUUGCUAAAUAUAAAACUGGUUCGGGAGAUAACCAUCCUUUAUGUUAUUAUGCCCAAUGCAAGGAGAAGAUUUCGAAUCUUCUCAUUUGUCUAAGGAACCCGAUCCUAGUGACCUAAAGCUCCUAGAGACCUUUUCUUUGUAGUUAACUUCAUUUAUUGUUUUUGCUUAACUUAAAAUCAAUCUUUGCAACCACAAUUCCAUUUUCUUUAAAAGCUAAUUUUUAUAAGGAAAAGCACCAUUUUAUUUCCUUCACUAAGUCAACUGUAUGAUGAAAACCCAUCCCUGUGGACGAUCUUAGAGCCACUAUACUAUGUUAUCUAUGCUAUCCUAGUGUGAGGUGAUUUAGGUUUUAUAAAUUUUGUUGAUAACACCCGUCUGAGCCAGAAUCAAAUGGAACCACUGAACCAGGGACAAAUCAACAGCCUAUAUGGGAGGGACACAAGUUUAAUUGAUUUGCAUUUCAGCGUUAUAGAUAAGUAUGUUUUGGAAGAUUUGUUCUGGAAAUACUGCACCAAGUACGAUUCUUUUUCUCUUGAGUGAGUCCAUUUGCAUGCCAAUUAACGAGUUGAAAAGUAGGAGCACCUACCUCGUGCUCAUGGAACCGAAUGUCAGUGAAGUGGGGCUCCUUUUAGCCUCUUGUGUUUCUGUUCCAACCAAGGCGGCGUAGGGAAAAACAACAAUAUGUCUGUGCUAAAUAUCAACGCAUGAUAGAUGUUUUUUUUUUUUUUUUUGGUAUGUCAAGGCUAACGAAUGAAAUGCAUUAGCUUGUUUUGUGACUAUAACUGCAAAUGUCCAAAUUGGAGUAUCUCCAUUUCUCACUUCGGAUGGUUAACUUUAUAAACAAGAUAUAGGAAACAUGUGAACAUCUUGAGGAACAAUUCAAAUUAUUCAUUAGAAGUCCUGGGUUAAGUUCCAAGAUUUAAAUCAGACCCUUCUAGCAGCUUCAAGGGUACUUAGCAACCUAUAACAUAUUAAUGAAGAUUUAGGAUUUAGACUCCGGAAUACAAAUAAAUAUGUAUCUCAUGCUUUGACUAGCUUCCCUACAUAUGCAUAAAAUGGAGAUGACCCAAAAAAAAUAGCAGAAUCUAGCUUCCCUACAUAUGCACAAAAUGGAGAUGACCCAAAAAAUAGCAUAAUCGCCUUAGUUUCUGUGGUUAAGGUGAUUCUCCGCUUAAUAUCCACAUUGACUCAUUAUGCAAAAUCAACUGAGCUAAUUUUAUUUAUUUAUUUAAUGUCAAAUAGGAACUCCUAAUUAACUGAUUACUGUCGAAAAGUGCUAUUUUGUAGACCUAAUUAUAAGGGUUUUAAGCACCUUUGAGUAGUAAUCAUAUUCAUUUAACCUAAUUAAUUCAUUAAGCUCCUUAGUAAUUAGUUCUAACCAUUUUUAGUGGCAAGUUUACAUGUUUUUCAUCAGCUUAUGAACCAAUUCAAGCAUGCCAAUUGAUGGAGGAGCUACUUGGGCGAGUUAAGCAAGGAUUUUGGACGUUUACAGGCUUGAAUUUCAAGUGGAAACACGAGCACAAGCAAUGGGAACACCAUUUCGCAAGGGGAGGCAAUUCACCUUGCCAAAUGACCAAUUUCGCAAGGGGAUUUUCCUCAUGGUGCAAAAUUUGGUCAUUUCGCACCAUGAAGAAACCACCUUGCAAAAUUUCGCAAGGUGGAUUUAGGCACCUUGCGAAAUGCCAAAUUUCACAAGGUGGCUUUUCACCUUGCGAAAUUUGGACCUUUCAUCUUCCCCCCUUGCGAAAUGCCUUUGAAAUCCCCUGUUUUGAGACGCUGUUGAUGAUAUUCCACUGCCGGUUCUCCAAGAUAUUUUGCUUGACUUUUAGCUUUAUAAAUACCUAUUUUACCCUUGUAAUCAACCAAUGAAAAGGUUGCUUUUGUAAUAGCUCUUGUAAUUUAGCUUUUUAUUGUCUUUAAAUAGAGGUGAAGAGCCUCAGACACGAUCAUCUUGUAACCUGUAACUUUAUAAGUUAUAAGAGCACUUUUGUUCAUACGCUUCUUUUCUCUUUUCUUUCUCAUUUUCUUAGUAGCCAAACAUCCUUGGAGGAUGAAAUCCCCAAGGAUGAGAGGCUAAAACCUUUUAGUUUCUUGAAGUAAUGGAUGCCAUGUGAAGCUCCCGUGUCAGGAUGGAGAUUUCCAAGCCAUAAAUGUAAGUAGCUGAGCGUCAUAAAUGUUUUCAUUCAAAGUAAAGCUUUUAAUCCCUCUGACUUGCUUUGAAUGGCCAAUACUUGAUAACCUUUUGGUCUCAAUGGAUUCUUAUUGUUAGAUCCACUGACGUUCAUUAGUUAUCUCCUACGAGCCAUUGUAUUGCAAGUCGAGGAGAUGACCUAUACCAAUAAAAGAGCAUUUAUGAGGUUCAACUACCCUUUUUGUAAGUUUUCAAGGACUAAAACUCAGUUGUUAAACUCAUACCGGUUCGAGAAGUAAGCAUCACCUUAGUUGCUUCCCCAACUCGAGGUGAAAAGUCCCAAAAUCUCCAUUUUUACACAGUGAGUUAAGCAUGGCUAUCCAAAGCUUUAAGAAACUUCUUUUUCCAUCUUUUAACCUAUUUUCAUGUUAGUUUAGUUUACAACACCUUCAUCUUUUUAUGUUUUCAUCUUAACCUAAUUUUUAUUAAGAAAAGUUCACUCCAUCCUCCGAACUUCACCAGUUAAAGUAAAAACCCUUCCCAGUGUUCGAUCCUAGAGCCACUAUGCUAUAGUAGCUUUGCUACUUUAGUGUAAGGACCUUAGGUAUAAAUUUUGUUGAUACCCUUACAUGCCAAGCUACCAAGAGUCGGGUUAUCAUUAACCUAACCAUUGGCCUGUGUAAAUUGAUUUCACAUGCACAAUGUUGUAGUAGAAGUCCAUAUUUUGAAUUUUAUUUUUGUAAAGGUAAGGAAAAUGAAGCAUUGUGUAAUUAUAAAAAUAACUUCAUUGGAAUUCACAAGGUUCACCCAAAAUGGAGCUACAUCUGUAUUCUAUCCUACAGUAGACUAUAUAGAUUGUACAAUAGUAAAUUGCAAAUACAAUUAAUAAGUCUUGUGCUUCCUUACUAAUAAUCCUUUGACAUGAACAUUGCAGCACUAAGGUCCUCUUGGGAAGACACCUUGCACCCAUGAGAGCACUAAGAGGAAGCAAGGCAGAGUCAUGGGUGCAAUGUCAUGACUUGUUGUUGCACCAAGAGAGGCUUGGUGAUGCCAUGGUGUUGCAGUAGCAAGAAUGUUGCCUUGGCAGGGACACGAUCUAGGGAUAGAUGCCAAGAAAGGCUUAGCACUCACAUGAGUUGCACAAAGAUGAAUGUAAUAGAGCAUCAGAGAGACGUCUUGGCAAGUAAAUGAAUGGAUCCAAGAGACAACAACAUGAGGAGUUUCAAAUGGAUAAGGAAUGACUCAAAGACAUUUGAAAGCUACAAGUUGGAUUCUAAUUACGAUUGCAAUUUGAGUUUGAGUAGGAGUUUAGAUUUUGAUUGUAAUUGUAGUAUGAGUUGGACUAGGAUUGCUUAUCCUUAGUCAAUAUAGGAGCGGUUCGUGUCACCCUAUGAAAAGAGUUUGAGUAGGGACUAGGAUUGCUUACUCCUAGUCAAAUAUGGAGUAGGUGGUGCCACACCUAUAAAAAAAAGGGACAACAUGAGAGAGAGAGAGAGAGAGAAAGAGAGAGUGAAUUCACUAAAGAUAUUGUGGGAGUUUUGCUUUGUUACGUCUUGUAUUAUUACUUAGAAUAGGAAUAAAAUACAAGUUGGGGCUAGAGCCCCAUAAUUAAUCUCGUGUGCCUUUGUGGUUAUUCUUUAUUUGUCAUCUCGUGUGGAUUGGAUUAGGUUGACUUAGAGGGCUUCUAAGCACCACCUUUGUGGGUUAUUAUUUAUUUUCCAUCUCUUGUGGAUUAGAUUAGGUUGACUUAGAGGGCUUCUGAGCACCACCUUUGUGGGUUAUUAUUUAUUUUCCAUCUAUUGUGGAUUAGAUUAGGUUGACUUAGAGGGCUUUUAAGCACCACAUUUGUGGGUUAUUCUUUAUUUUCCAUAUCGUGUGGGUUGGAUUAGGUUGACAAGGAGAAAAAUUAUGUGGGAAAUUUGUGUUGGGACACUUACCAUAACCAAGUAAAAUCUACCAAGUCCUUUGUAAUAUCUUCAACAAAUAUUUUAGACUAGUUCUUUCAGUUAGUGUAAAGGAGGAAGAAGUGGUAUUGAUUCUAGAAAUAGGGUGUGUGUAUUUGAACUACAAUCCUUAUGAUCCUUAGGUCUCUAAACCUUCGUGAUGGGCUCCCUGACAUUUCAUAGGUUGUGCUACACAUGCGUUUGAAAUUUAGAGUGCGUUUGACAGUGAUUCCGGGAAGUGUUUUUGGCCUUUCUUACACUUGAAAAUUUUUAUUUUUCAAGUAUUAGAAAUGCUACAAACACUUUUGAAAAUUACUGUCAAACACACUCUUAGGAGCGCACAUAUAUAGUAGAAAACUAGAAAUUGUGGUUUUUUUAGGAUUUACUGUAAUGUCAUUAGGAGGGUAGUAAGUUGAAAUUGAGUAUGAACAAAUAUUUCUUUCUUUGGGAUGUUCUUCUAGUAGGUGCUGAUGAAACUGUUCUUUCUACUGCCAAUGUCACAUAUCAGCCAGAAAUUGAAAAUUUCAGUCAAGGUGUCCUCUGUUUUAGUGGUGAGGAAAGCUAGAAAUUUUAAGGUGAAGUUUUGUUAAAAACCUUAAGUAGCUGGGAUAUCAGGCCUGUUUUGCUUGAAAAAAAAAGUUGCAAGAUAACUCAUAUGCCAAACAGGUUCUGAUAUUGUGAAUCUAUCGGCAGACAUCAGUAAUCUCAUCUUCUGAGAUGGAUGUUGGGGGUGCAUGUGGUGGUGGAGGGGCAAGGUUUCAUUUGGUUUAUUUUGUUGAUGGAUAUUGUCUAGCCACCUGCGCCAAGUUUGAGGGGUGGUGGGUUGUGAUGACCCUACAAUUACUAUUAAUUUCUUCAUCUUUUACCGAUUAAAGUGUCCGAACAGUCGAAGUUACCCUUAUGCAUGUCAACUUGAUCACUUACCUCUUCAAUGGAGUUUAUGCUGGUUCAUUUAGGAACUGAUUUUUAUUGUUAUGUAUUAUAUGCUGAUGUUUAGGUCUCUCCAUCAUCACUAUAUACAAAAAUUCUAGGUUGAUACUAUAGGUUGAGAUUUAUUUUUUAAAUAAAAAAUAAUAAAAAUAAAAAUUAUGGUGAUGUUUAGUUGUUUUAUGGAAAAUUUUAACAAGUAAAAGUUAUUUUUGGGCAAGUUUUCAAACAAAAAGAAAAGUAAAAGUUGUUUUGACAAAAACAUAUAGAAAAAAAAAUCAUAGAAAAUAAAUAAUUUCCCCAUAUUCUAACUUUUUUGAAUUUUUCUCAAUGGGCAAAGGAAUAUCAAAUCAAGUUUGAGUAGGAUUUCUUAAUUUUUAAAAUAACUUACAAUUAAAAAAUUUUGGUGUUUUCAUUUUUGGACAAUUUUUUAUUAAGCAAAUGGACUCUGAGUCAUGCAAGAGAUAUGGUUCAUUAACCGGUCGAACAAUUUUUUUAAAUUAAUUUAAAAGUCAAAUACAUAAUCAAUUUCACAAAAUUUAUAAACAAAAAUAGGUUUAGAGAAGAUCUACACAUAAUUUUACUUUUCUAAUUUUAUUUUAUUUUAUUUUUUGUUGGAAAAUAGUCUUCAAAUCAUGUAAGAUUUAAUAGGUUAAAUUUGUUAACAAUAAAUUUUAAAUUAUAAAAUAUAAUCUGGAACUCAAAAAUCAAUUCAAGUAAUGCUAAAAAAAAAUCAAAUUUGGUAUAGAAUGACUUUGUAAAUUUUUUUACAAAACAAAUGAAUUUUAAAUCAAGUGAGAUUUAAUGCAUUAGAUUUUUAUCAAAUAUAGUAAUUUUAAAAAUAAAUUUGGAACUCAACAAUAGACACAAUAAAUACCAAAAAAUAAUGAACCAAAAUUGGUUUGGAAUAACUCCACAACCUUUUUUUUUUUUUUUUGGUGCACACGAAUUUUCUUACUAGGUAUAUUGCUUUCAAAUUGAGAAAGAUUUACCAUUUAGAUUUUUUUUUAAUGAGUUUAAUGGUAUUUUAAAAUAAUUCAAAAUUUAAAAAAUUGACUAAUUAAUAUUAUAAAUUGAUAAACCAAGACUAUUUCAAAAUGCAUUGGGGGCUAAGGGGGUUGAAAAUAGGGACAAUGGGAUGGGUUUGGGACAUGACACUCAUAUCUCAUUUCCAUUCCAAUUACACAGUUAUCUCCCAUCCUUAUCCCAAACUUGUGUUGGAGCAAGUUGAUUUGUUCCCAUCUUUGUUGACGAAAUGACUAAUAACCUCAUCCCCUCCUUAUCUUAGAUGUACAUUUUGUCAAAUUUGAUCAGGUAUGAUUGAUCCAAGCCCUAACCCUAAUUGGUAAUGAGUGAAUACUACACCUAAUUGCAUUCUUCUUUCAUUGCAAAAUAAUGAGAUUAUAAUAAUCUAGCAAAUAAGAAAAAAUAGUAUGGAAGUUCAAAUUAACACCAUAACUAUCAAUAAUUUUAAGCUUAUAGAUGACUUAAAUGAUUAAAAACUAAUGCAAAAUCCUAAAAAAAAUAAAAAUCAUAUAAAGAAUUCACAAGAGAACAGAAUGAACAAAAACCAAAUAUGAACAUGGGUCAACAUUAGUUAUGGAUUUGGAUUCCUUUCAAGGCCAAUCUUUGAACCAAGACUUCAUCAAAUCAACUACUUCAAAGGCUUUUGUGUUCUUCUUGGGUUGUGCUCUCAAACAAAGACUUCGAGGUGAUGUUCUAGAUGAUUGAAUUACACAUAUUUAGGGUGGAGAGAUUGGAGAAGCUUGAAGAUGCCAACGAUGGGUACAAUUGAGUGGUCAAUAAGAACAAUGUAGCCUAUGACUAGUUUGAUGUCAUGGUACAAGAGUUUUAGGCAUUGAGGUUAAAGCAAGAGCAACAUGGAAUUGAUUUCGGAGUCUUUCAGUUAGUGUAAAGGAGGAAGAAGUGGUGUUGAUUCUAGAAAUAGGGUUUUAAGUGGUGCGUGAUUACUACUCAAAAAGUGCUAUUUGAUAGCCUUUAAUUAAUCCUUUUUAACACUUUUGAGUAGUAGUUUAGGCCUUUUAACUCAAUUGGCAUGUUAAGGAUCCUUUAAAGCAAUUUUGAUCACUUUGUGCAAGUUUUGGUGUUUUUGUUAGUAUUUUGAUCACCAAAGCAAGUCAAGAAUGAGGAGAACUAUGAGGAAUCAUGGGCAAAGCUUAGAAUUCAAUUGCCAAGAGUGAAUCCGGAUUGCAAGGAGAAAAAGCAAAGAGAAUCUGUCAUGAAGCCUAUUCUUGAUGACAGUCGUAGCAGCCACUUUUGGAGCACUUUCUGAAGUCCAAAUGAUGCAAGCUAUAUACCAUUUCAAAGAUCAGGAAGUCAACAAUCCAAUGCUUCAAACGGUGCGCGAUUCGGAGUUGAAACGAAGAAGUUGCAGCCAUUACAAGCCAGUCACUCUAAAGUGUUGCGGAAUCAGCCUUUUGUUGCGAGAAUUUCGCAGCACUUUUGUACAGUAAGGUGUUUCUCCUUCUGACGAUGCACGAACCAUGCCGCGAGAGGGAAGCUAGGAACUUCAAGAUGGAAGCCAACUUUGCAGCCUGGUGAAGAUAGCUUGGUCUUGCGAAAUAAUUUCGCAGCCCUCUUGGGUGUCUGCGAAAUUUCGCAGGCACCACUUUUUUCCUGCGAAAUGGCUCCGGAAGCCUCCCGAAGCUUGCUACCGACAUUGGGAGAUAUUUUCCAUUAGAUUUUUGUUGUCUAAAUUCCAAAAUACUCCUUGUAAACCACCAAUUACAUGAUUCCUUAGUUUUUAAGUUAGUAAAAAGACCAAAUAUCUAUGUAAUAAUUAGUUUUAUAUUAGUUUGCUAUAAAUACCUCUCGGGAGCAUGUUCUCAGAGAGGAGUUCCUUCUGUAACCAUUUUGGUAAGCAAGUAAAGUCUUUUCUUUCUACUGCCUUACCUUCUCACUUUGUAUUUUCAUUUUAUUUCUAAGUUAUGAAUUCUCUGAGGAGCUUUCCCCAGAGAAUGAGUAACUAAACCUCCAAUUCCUUGGAGCUAAGGUUGCCGGGGAAGGUUCCAAGUGCAAGAAUGCAAAGCUCUGUGGUUUUAGCUAGUAAUGAAGAGGAAGUGAAAUCCUUUAGUGAUUUCAAUGUUUUUAGUUAACUUAAAACACCUUGGAGUCACCUGGGCCAACACUUGGUAAGGCAAGUGAUUUCCAACCGUGGAAAUGCACUAGUUUACCCCUUGCGAGCCUCUGGUAGGUGACUUCAAGGUAGGAUUUUCUGGAAUUACCAACACUUGGUAAGCUUUUGGACUCCUAGGAGACAUCCAUUAGUUAUCUCUUGCGAGUUUGUGAAGGGGAAUCCAAGGUUAAAGAUCACCUUGAAUGGUAAGUGCUCGUGAGAGGCAUGAACCAUUGCAAGUUGUAUCAGUGAGAGAAUUAAAGUGAAAUCUAAUUGAAGGAGUCUCUGUACAUCACCGGUUAGAGAAUUGACUAUAAGUUGAAUCUCUAAUGCGAGGAAAUGAACCAUCUGACCGGAGCUAUGUCUUUUGCAUGAGGAACCACCCCAGUGAACCUAAAUCUCCAAGGAAUGCUUUUCUUCCUAAAUUAUUCCAAACUUCUGUUAAGUUAGUUAGUUUAAGUCUAAACCUUUACCAAUCAAACUUUGUGUUUUAUUUCUUAAGCUAACCGUGAAAUGAAACAAAACCAAUUCACUUGGAAUUGGUAUCCUUGAUUGCUUGCAAAUCAUUCCCAGUGAACGAUCCUUAGAGCCACUAUACUAUAGUAGCUUUGUAUUUGCUACCCUAGUGUAUGGUGUUAUAGGUAUAAAUUUUGUUGAUCACUUCCUCAAUCAAGGAACACCAGCUGAACACAAAUCAGCUGAGACACCAAUUGGGCAUGAGUCAAAUGGCGCCGUUGCCGGGGAAUGAGUGUCAAGAUCAUUGUGAUACCAUUUUUGAGCACUUGUGAUUUUCAUCACAAGUUGGUAAAGUUUCUUUCACUUUACUAAUUUUCAUUCUCUCUUUGUUUAUUUACAAUCUAAGUUUAUCUUUUUAAAAUUUAGUCUAGUUUAAUUUUGCUAUUGUAGCCUUGUUUCUCUUGUUGUCCUCUGUUCUUGUUGUCCUCUGUUUUCAUUUUAGUUGCAGCUGAAUACUAGUUGUGUAUGCCAAAGUGGAUACGAGACAUUGGAGGUAGGCUUAUUAAGUGUGAUACACCUCAGAGAGGAGAAUUGGAAGUAAUCUUGAAUAUCAUGGAGGCUGCACCUGAAGAUCAGCAUAGUCACCAAGGUCGUCAAGACAAUCUCAAUGAAUUCAGAUCAAUGAGGGACCGUAUGCAUCCACCUCGUAUGAGUGCACCAUCAUGUAUAGUGCCCCCUACAGAGCAACUAGUGAUCAGACCAUAUCUUGUUCCACUUCUACCAACUUUCCAUGGGAUGGAAAGUGAGAAUCCGUAUGCACACAUCAAGGAAUUUGAAGAUGUUUGUAAUACAUUCCAAGAGGGAGGAGCUUCAAUUGAUUUGAUGAGGCUUAAGUUAUUUCCUUUUAAUUUAAAGGAUAAGGCCAAAAUUUGGCUUAAUUCUUUAAGGCCAAGGAGUAUCCGCUCUUGGACUGAUUUACAAGCUGAAUUCCUCAAGAAAUUUUUUCCUACUCAUAGAACAAAUGGCUUGAAAAGGCAAAUUUCAAACUUCUCAGCUAAAGAGAAUGAGAAAUUCUAUGAGUGUUGGGAAAGAUACAUGGAAGCUAUAAAUGCUUGUCCUCACCAUGGCUUUGAUACUUGGCUACUGGUGAGUUAUUUUUAUGAUGGUAUGUCCUCCUCAAUGAAGCAACUCCUCGAGAAAAUGUGUGGAGAAGAUUUCAUGAGCAAAAAUCCAGAGGAAGCUAUGGAUUUCUUGAGCUAUGUAGCUGAUGUUUCAAGGGGAUGGGAUGAACCAACUAAAGGAGAAGUGGGAAAGAUGAAGUCUCAGUUGAAUGCUUACAAUGCAAAGGCUGGGAUGUAUACUUUAAAAGAGGAUGAUGACAUGAAAGCAAAGUUGGCAGCUAUGACAAGAAGAUUGGAGGAGCUGGAGCUGAAAAGAAUGCAUGAAGUGCAAGCUGUUGCUGAAGCACCAGUGCAAGUGAAGUUGUGUCCCAAUUGUCAAUCGUUUGAACAUUUGGUAGAGGAAUGCCCUGCAAUUUCAGCUGAAAGGGAAAUGUAUAGAGAUCAAGCAAAUGUUGUUGGACAAUUCAGGCCCAAUAACAAUGCUCCUUAUGGAAAUACCUACAAUUCAAGUUGGAGGAAUCAUCCAAAUUUUUCAUGGAAGGCCAGAGCAACUCAAUACCAACAGCCGGAUCCACCAUCUCAACAAUCUUCAAGUAUUGAACAAAUAAUAGCUAAUCUCAGCAAGGUAGUGGGAGAUUUUGUGGGAAAGCAAGAAGCCACCAAUGCUCGAGUGGAUCAAAGAAUGGACAGAGUGGAUCAAAGAAUGGACAGAAUGGAGAGUAUGUUGAACAAAAGAAUGGAUGGAAUGCAAAAUGAUAUGAAUCAAAAAUUUGAUAACAUCCAAUAUUCAAUUUCAAGGCUUACAAAUUUGAAUACACUGCAAGAAAAGGGAAGAUUUCCUUCUCAACCUAACCAAAAUCCCAAAGGUGUCCAUGAAGUGGAAAGCCAUGAGGGAGAAUCAUCACAGGUGAAAGAUGUGAAAGCUUUGAUCACUCUAAGGAGUGGUAAGAAAAUUGAGCAGCCAACACCCAAGCCACAUGUUGAGAAAGAAGAAGAGAUGAAGAAAGGGAAGGAAAUGGAAGAUAAAGGCAGUGAGAUCAGUGAAGAAAAGAAGGACUCUGAUGCAACAAUGAAAGUAAUUCCAGAGAAGGAGCUUCUGAAGGAAGAAAUGCUGAAGAAAUCAACUUUUCCACCUUUUCCUCAAGCAUUACAGGGGAAAAAGGGGGUUAGAAAUGCAGCUGAAAUCCUAGAAGUAUUGAGGCAAGUGAAAGUUAAUAUUCCACUGCUGGAUAUGAUCAAACAAGUUCCAACGUAUGCAAAAUUCCUAAAGGACUUGUGUACUAUCAAAAGAGGGUUGACUGUAAACAAGAAAGCCUUCUUGACUGAGCAAGUAAGUGCAAUCUUACAGUGUAAGUCUCCUUUGAAGUACAAAGACCCUGGAAGUCCUACCAUUUCAGUCAUGAUUGGAGGAAAGGUAGUGGAGAAAGCCUUGCUAGACUUGGGAGCAAGUGUGAAUUUGCUUCCAUAUUCUGUCUACAAGCAACUGGGACUUGGAGAGUUGAAGCCAACAGCAAUCACUUUGUCUCUGGCAGAUAGAUCAGUGAAAAUUCCAAGAGGGGUAAUUGAGGAUGUAUUGGUUCAAGUAGAUAAUUUCUACUAUCCUGUAGAUUUUGUUGUUCUUGAUACAGAUCCUACUGUAAAGGAAGCUAAUUUAGUUCCUAUCAUCCUUGGAAGGCCAUUUCUUGCAACUUCAAAUGCAAUCAUCAACUGUAGAAAUGGGCUUAUGCAACUCACUUUUGGUAACAUGACACUGGAUCUAAAUAUUUUCUAUAUGUCUAAAAAGCAAAUCACUCCAGAAGAAGAAGAGGGUCCAGAAGAGCUAUGUAUUAUUGAUACUUUGGUGGAGGAGCACUGCAAUCAACAUAUGCAAGAUAAGUUGAAUGAAAGUUUUGUGGAUAUUGAGGAAGGUUUUUCUGAAUCUCCUAAUGGGCUUGCUACUCUACAAAGUUGGAGAAAGAUAGAAGGAAUUCUACCUUUGUUCAAUGAAGAAGAGGAGGCAGCUGUUGAAAAAGAAAUUCCAAAACUCAAUCUGAAGCCUUUACCUAUGGAGCUGAAAUAUACAUAUCUUGAAGAAAAUAAUCAAUGUCCUGUCGUAAUAUCUUCAUCUCAAACCAAGUCUCAAGUGAAGGAUGCAAGCUUCAAAUGGGAUCCGGGCAAACUGAAUCAGGAAGGGCAAAAAGUUUUGAUGUAUGACACAAGACUCCAUAUCUUUCCUGGGAAGCUCAAGUCAAGGUGGAUUGGUCCAUUUGUUAUUCACCGAGUAUAUUCCAAUGGAGUGGUGGACUUAUUGAAUUCCAAUGGCAAGGACAGCUUUAGAGUCAAUGGAUAUCGUCUUAAGCCGUUCAUGGAGUCAUUCAAAUCAGAAAAGGAGGCAAUCAACCUCCUUGAACCUCAAAAAGCCUAAGUGAAAUGGGUUUGCUGGACGUGGUUUUACCACAGUCCAAAAAUUUUUGUAAAUUUUGUAAAUUUUCAAGUUGUUUCCAUGCUUUUAAUCUUAGUUUUUGAUUUUAAAUCAUGUUUUUAGGUGUGUUUUAAUCGUUUUAUAUGAUCCCAGGCGGAAGAAAUUUCAAGGGGAUUGAAAAGAAAAAAAUCGGGUCGAAAUUGGAGCCGAAACAGAGCAAAAACAGGGGAAAAACAGAGCUCUGCGAAAUUUCGCAGGGUGAAGGAAACUUCUGCGAAAUUGGCAUUUUGCUGCCAAACCAUUCCGCAGCACUGUAGAAGCCUCUGCGAGUGUAUUUCGCAAUUGCGAAAGUGGAUUUGGCACACGAGUGCCACUUCGCAGCACAGUGACAUCAAUUUCGCAGCUGCGAAACUCACUGCGAAGUUGCUGCGAAAAUGGCAAGUUGCUGCGAAAUUGGCGUUUUGUUGCGAAACGUAAUCUGACCCCUGGGCUUCCGUUUUUCCUAUUUAUACCUGUCAAAAGUGCUGCGAAAAAGGUUUCAAAAAUUAGAGCACCAUUCUCGCAGCCCUUUCAUCUUCUUCGCCAAGCCACGCCGUCCGUUUCUCCGGUCGUCUUCUCCGUUUAGCAGCGCCGGCCAAAGAUCGAUAGCCCAAAAAUGGCACGAACGCGAGGGGCAAAGUCUUCAUCCCCUUCGAACCGCAAAAGGAGUCUGCGAAAGGAGCCAAGUUCAGGCUCUGUUCCAGAACCUGCUCCAAAGCCUUCGCCGUCGAGACCACAACCUUCUCCAGUGAAGCCGGCGCCACCAAAGCCGCCGGCAAGGCGAUAUUUAACCAGGUCAGGUGGUCAGCCAUUGAAGAAGAAAGCCAGAGUUGAGAGCUCUGAACCAAUCGAUUUGACUGAGCAAUCCCCUGAGAAAUCACCAAAUCCUUCACCGGUACAAAUUCCAGUGCCAUCACCGGUUCCCUCGCCAAUUCCCUCACCAGAAGCAACUCCAAUUCCAUCGCCGGUACCAUCUCCGGCACCCCAAGAAAAAGCUCAGGAGCCUCAAGCGCCAAUUCCAGAGCCCCAAAUUGCAGCUGAAGCACCUCUGGAAGAAGUGAUCCGAAGGCCAAUGCUGCCUCAGCCCCCAAUCGAAGGAAACCUGGAUUGCCGAACUCGGGCAUUCCAUUCUGAGCUUUGCUUCGAUUUAACAGCAUUCAGAGUGAGGCCAGAGCUUGCCCAAUCCUUCCAACUGCUGAGGAGAUAUCAUAUGGAGCAUCUGCUAGCUCCAAGGGAUUUUUUCUAUCCCCGGGUAGUCACGGAUUUCUACCAAACCAUGACAACCAAAGAAGUAAGAAAUCCAACUCUGAUUCAUUUCAUAAUUGAUGGAAGGCAUGGUAUUUUGGGAGCAAGACAUAUUGCUGAAGCCCUGCAAAUUCCUUUUGAGCCAACUCAAUUCGACAAUUUUAAAGCUUGGACAAAUCCUACUGAGUUAGAGAUGGUUAGCACACUAACCAGAGGAGCUGCAAAUCGAUCGCAUUUGUUGAGGGGGGAGCUACCUCCAGUUAUGUUUUUGAUUGAUGCCUUUUUGAGGCAUAAUAUCUAUCCCCUGCAGCAUUGGACCCAAAGAAGGGGAAUUCUCCUAGAAGCCUUGUACAAAAUGUCUGAAGGAUUCUUCUUUGGGCCUCAUCAUCUGAUCAUGGCAGCCCUUCUAUACUUUGAGGAGAAGGUUCACAAGAAGAAGCUUCAAAGAGCAGAUUGCAUUCCACUCCUCUUCCCAAGGCUGCUAUGCCAAGUUUUGGAGCAUCUCGGAUACCCCUCUGAGCCUCAGCAGGAAAGAAAGAGAAUAUGCCGUGAGCCUUUUACCCUUGAUAAAUGGAAUAAUAUGACGGCCUACAAAAUUGAUCAGCCUGGGCAGCCUCAGCCAGCAGCAAGGAGAGUCUCCCCAAGACAUAUACCUGAAGGUAUAACACUUGCUACUCCUGCCAUCCCUCGAGCUCCACCAGCUGCACCUGCUCCAUCACAGCCAUCCACAUCAGCUGAGCCGAGGAUGGCCAUCCCUAUAUCCGAAUAUCGAGAGCUGUGCCGUGCAUUGGAGACUCUUACAGCUUCUCAGAGCAAUCUUGCUCAGGAGUUGGCAGCCAUUAAAGCAUGCCAGGAGCAGAUGUUAGCCUCUCAGACUCAACAAGCUGCCAUCCUAAGGCAGCUUCAAGUCCAUUUCGAUCUGCCACAAGCUGUAGAGCCCUCUAUUCCUACUCCACCAGAGCCACACUCUCAGCCUUCAGAGUCUCAUCCUCCAGAACCCGAAGCACCAGCUGAUCCACCUACUGAGGAGGCAGAUCCUUCUGCCUAGCACCAUCACCCCCCUCAUCAGACAUUAUAUAUAUAUUUGCUGUUUAUGUUUUUAUGCAUGUUUGUUUUGUUUUAGUUGAAAAGAAAUCCCAGUAUUUUGGUACUAUAUAUGGGAUUCCUUGUGUUACUUGUCUUUAGUAUUGUAAUCACAUGAACUCAAAGUAAUACAAGUUGACUAUUUCUUGUUAAAAGUUAGCAUUAAAGUUUCCUUAUUUCCUUUUCUCACAUAUUCUAUUCUUUUUGAAACAUGUGGUUUUCCCCAAUCAAUAUUCGAAUUUGAUAUCAGCAUGGAGGUACCACUUCCUCCCUUUUAUUACAGUCACUCAAAUCACAUUGAGGACAAUGCUCAGUUCGGUUGGGGGGUAUGAGGAAGGAAGUAUUCUAAACCUUUUUGGUAUUGCAAUUAUAUUGGUUAAUUAGUUGUAGAUUUUACUUUUUACUAGUGUUACUCUAUUCUCCAUGAAUUUUGAGGAAAAAUUUUCAAAUUAAACCAAGAGAAAUUGAACUGUUGUUUUUCACUUGACUUAGAGUAUGGAUUAUGCUUACUAAAGUGGUUCAAUUGUUGAAACUUCUACUGAAAUUGAAUUGAGUUCUUCCACUUUAAGCUAUCCACACACUGUGCACAUUAGUUUCCGAUUAUAAGAUGAAAAGCUAUUUCCCUCUUGACUUAGUAUAUUUUUGGGACUUGGUAUAUUUGACCUCAUUUGAUAAAAAUUGAAACACCCUGCAAAAGGCCAAUGAGCCUUUGAAAUAAAGAAAGUUGUUUGCUUGCCUUGAAACCCGAGCAAGGUCUGAGGGGUAUAUGGUGAAAAUCUUUAAAGCCUGGUGCCCUAAGCCUUAAUUGGUUGGGAGUCACCGACCUCAAUGCUCGUUACAAGGGUGAAUAGGUAGAGUUAGCAUAUGGUAGAUGCUUGGGUAUUAGAAAUUCAUUCUUAAAAGUCCGGGGAAAAAUCCGAGGAGUUAGUGGUUGAAAGAUCCUUAAAACUUGGUGCCCUAAACCUUAAUUGGUUGGGAGUCAUCGAUGGACCCCCAUUACAUGGACAAGUCAGAAAGAGUACCCCAUAAAGCUACCUUAAAAAAAAAAAAAAAAAAAAAAAAAAAAAAAAAGAUGAAAGUGUGUUCUUUUCUUAUUGAUUUUGGUCAGUUUGCUAAAGUGUUGAAAAGAGAUAGGUUGGGGGGUGAGAUUAGUAGCAUAUUAUUCUCGGAACCUAAGGAACCAAUACACAUAGAUUUUUGUGGAAGAUUGAAGUUUAGUUCUUAGAAAAUGAAAUGAUUUUAAAACUUCAGUUUGCAUAAUGCACUCCCUUGAUUGACAGUGUUUAGCAUAGGUGUUAUGACUCUUGUUGAGAUUUGGGUUUGUAUUUCUUUAAUGAUUCAUGUGAGAAAUAGAUCAUCAUGCCACUUGAGAAUUAUUUUCCUUUUAGCAUGAUGUUGUAAAUUUUAGAUUAGUUUGCUAUUUAUUUUUUAUUUUCUCUCCUAUAUUGCUAAGGGACUAGCAAUAUGUCGGUUGGGGGGAGUGAUUACUACUCAAAAAGUGCUAUUUGAUAGCCUUUAAUUAAUCCUUUUUAACACUUUUGAGUAGUAGUUUAGGCCUUUUAACUCAAUUGGCAUGUUAAGGAUCCUUUAAAGCAAUUUUGAUCACUUUGUGCAAGUUUUGGUGUUUUUGUUAGUAUUUUGAUCACCAAAGCAAGUCAAGAAUGAGGAGAACUAUGAGGAAUCAUGGGCAAAGCUUAGAAUUCAAUUGCCAAGAGUGAAUCCGGAUUGCAAGGAGAAAAAGCAAAGAGAAUCUGUCAUGAAGCCUAUUCUUGAUGACAGUCGUAGCAGCCACUUUUGGAGCACUUUCUGAAGUCCAAAUGAUGCAAGCUAUAUACCAUUUCAAAGCUCAGGAAGUCAACAAUCCAAUGCUUCAAACGGUGCGCGAUUCGGAGUUGAAACGAAGAAGUUGCAGCCAUUACAAGCCAGUCACUCUAAAGUGUUGCGGAAUCAGCCUUUUGUUGCGAGAAUUUCGCAGCACUUUUGUACAGUAAGGUGUUUCUCCUUCUGACGAUGCACGAACCAUGCCGCGAGAGGGAAGCUAGGAACUUCAAGAUGGAAGCCAACUUUGCAGCCUGGUGAAGAUAGCUUGGUCUUGCGAAAUAAUUUCGCAGCCCUCUUGGGUGUCUGCGAAAUUUCGCAGGCACCACUUUUUUCCUGCGAAAUGGCUCCGGAAGCCUCCCGAAGCUUGCUACCGACAUUGGGAGAUAUUUUCCAUUAGAUUUUUGUUGUCUAAAUUCCAAAAUACUCCUUGUAAACCACCAAUUACAUGAUUCCUUAGUUUUUAAGUUAGUAAAAAGACCAAAUAUCUAUGUAAUAAUUAGUUUUAUAUUAGUUUGCUAUAAAUACCUCUCGGGAGCAUGUUCUCAGAGAGGAGUUCCUUCUGUAACCAUUUUGGUAAGCAAGUAAAGUCUUUUCUUUCUACUGCCUUACCUUCUCACUUUGUAUUUUCAUUUUAUUUCUAAGUUAUGAAUUCUCUGAGGAGCUUUCCCCAGAGAAUGAGUAACUAAACCUCCAAUUCCUUGGAGCUAAGGUUGCCGGGGAAGGUUCCAAGUGCAAGAAUGCAAAGCUCUGUGGUUUUAGCUAGUAAUGAAGAGGAAGUGAAAUCCUUUAGUGAUUUCAAUGUUUUUAGUUAACUUAAAACACCUUGGAGUCACCUGGGCCAACACUUGGUAAGGCAAGUGAUUUCCAACCGUGGAAAUGCACUAGUUUACCCCUUGCGAGCCUCUGGUAGGUGACUUCAAGGUAGGAUUUUCUGGAAUUACCAACACUUGGUAAGCUUUUGGACUCCUAGGAGACAUCCAUUAGUUAUCUCUUGCGAGUUUGUGAAGGGGAAUCCAAGGUUAAAGAUCACCUUGAAUGGUAAGUGCUCGUGAGAGGCAUGAACCAUUGCAAGUUGUAUCAGUGAGAGAAUUAAAGUGAAAUCUAAUUGAAGGAGUCUCUGUACAUCACCGGUUAGAGAAUUGACUAUAAGUUGAAUCUCUAAUGCGAGGAAAUGAACCAUCUGACCGGAGCUAUGUCUUUUGCAUGAGGAACCACCCCAGUGAACCUAAAUCUCCAAGGAAUGCUUUUCUUCCUAAAUUAUUCCAAACUUCUGUUAAGUUAGUUAGUUUAAGUCUAAACCUUUACCAAUCAAACUUUGUGUUUUAUUCCUUAAGCUAACCGUGAAAUGAAACAAAACCAAUUCACUUGGAAUUGGUAUCCUUGAUUGCUUGCAAAUCAUUCCCAGUGAACGAUCCUUAGAGCCACUAUACUAUAGUAGCUUUGUAUUUGCUACCCUAGUGUAUGGUGUUAUAGGUAUAAAUUUUGUUGAUCACUUCCUCAAUCAAGGAACACCAGCUGAACACAAAUCAGCUGAGACACCAAUUGGGCAUGAGUCAGUGCGUUAGAGGAUCAAGAAGAAGAAAAAGAAGGAACUGUUGGAAUUAGUAUGAGUGUGAAGAGAAAAGUAUAUAAAUAAGGGGAAGUAAAAGCAAAGUUCAAAAAGCUAUAUUUUUUUAUUGUUGGUGUAUGGUUGCAUGAUUAUCCCUAUAAAUAAUAGGAGUUUUUUGGUAUUCUACUAGUAGUUGAAGCAUAAUUUCAUAAAUUAAUAUUUAGAGCGGGGUGGGGUGAGUUGUGACAAAAUUCAUACCCGUCCCAAACCUUGGUUCAGAUUUUUAAAAUAUUCUCAAACUUAUCAUAUACCCAACUUUUAUAUUUCAUACUUGUCCUAAUAGAGGCACGUUAGGCCGGGUUACUUGAGUAACCUACAUAAUUGUCAUCCCUAGUUGAAAUACACUUUUUGGCAGUGGCCACCAACUGAGCUAGAAGCUUGAUUGAUUGACCUACAAGAUUAGUUCUCAUCAUUUUAAAAAAAGUUCUGGCUUUGGUUGUGAGUGCAAUUGAAUCUAAACUGGCAUUUGCUUAAUGCAUCUACUUCAAUCCUAAACUUCUUACUUCUUAAGCCUCAAUUGUUGUUAGGAUUUUGGAAAACCCAUUUCCUUAAAUUGUAAAUUUAAGAUAAAAUAAAAUAAAAGUGAGACAUUUCUUGAUUGAAUAUUGUUAAAGGUCCCUUGGCAUUAAGACUUGGUUGAAGCCUUGGAAGAUUAGUGGAACUCUCAACAUGUGUUUGAAUCUUGAGGAGAGUGGAUGUAAGCCAAAAUUUUGUCAAACCAUUAUACAAAUUGAGUUUGAAUCCUCAUUUCUUGAUUUCUUAUUUAUUUGCUUUUUCUUAUUAUUACUUGAAUUGUCAUUUGCAUUCAUUAAUGUUAAAAUUGGUUAUAAUUAACCAACACUAAUUCUCUUUCCCCUUCCCUUUCUUGGGUGUAAACCUAGGUUGGAUUAACUAGAUAAAUCUAUUAAGAUGGUAAAAGAAUAAUUAUUCUUAACAUACAUAAGAUCAUCUUCAAUCAAAUGACUCAUUGGCUAAUAUGUUGAAUUUGCUUAUUACUUGCAACUCAAAAUUGUGUUCUAGUUGUGUCAAGUCCCCAGUGUAUGGACAUUAAAUUUGUAGUACGUGAUGAGUAAUUAGAUGGUCCAACUCCAAGAAAGUGAUUGAAAAGUAGUUCAAGAAAGGUGCAAAAGGGAAUUGUUUUGGUAUUUUCGUUUUUAUUCUUGAAGGUGGCAGAGCUAAAAUUUGAGAAAUCAAGCAAAACAUACUGAAAUUACAUUGAAAGAAAGAAGAUGGGAGUUAAUGUCUUGCAGUACAUGAUAAGGACUUCAUGCAUGUAGUGUGACCCAUGUCUUGGACUGAUGCCAACUCACGGUUACACUUAUACCCUUGGUUCUCUCUUUACUACCUUGGCUAACCUAGAUCAGGCUAUGAGAUAGGCUCCUCACCACACCAUUACUUGCCCAUUAAUUAGAGACAUUUUCAAGCAAUGAGGUAACAUGGUGACACCAAGAGGGUCUAUUCCUCGCCCGGAACAAGUCUAGACUUGGUCUCAAAAAAAUGGAGAAAAAUGAGGUGUCGUUAUGUAGAAAUACAACAACCAUGCCUUCCUCAUUACUUAGAUUCAGAAUGUGAAGGUGAAAUUGAGAAACAGAAACUCUUGAAACCAAAAUGAAAAUUGAUACUUUUACGAAGAAUUACAACAACAUUAGAGGAAGACUACAUUCUUCCUCUUUAUUCCUACAUUUCUACACUACUUCUACUCCACUCCAUAUUUCUACAUACAUCUUUAAUCAGUCUUCCCUCCUUUAUAUAGAGCCAUCUUCACACAAAUUUCGCAAGGUAGAAAAGAGGAAUGAAACUUGGAGCAAGGUUCGACUACUGGUUGUAGCUUGUCAAGGCUGGAAGUGAACUUUUCUUGGCUUUCUGGGCAUGGGUAGUAACUUGUGGGUUCCUGUUUGGCAUAAAAAUGGCUAGAACAUGUGGCACUAUCUUGUUGGAUGAUGUGUCAAGCAUGUGGCAGCCAUCUAGUGGCGAUUAUGUCAAUUUUGGGAUGGAGAGUUGGCAUCCAAUUGCAAAGAAAUAUGACGUCUACCAACAUGCAAUGUAAACCUAUGUAGAUCAUAUGAAGAUAGAGAGGAAAAAUAUAGAAAUGGAUAUAUACCUAGAACUAGCUUUUUAUUAAAUGAAACGGAGAGACAACAAUGAAGGAAAAUAAAAUUUUUUGGCUUAUAUCAAAGAGUUCACAUUGUGUUACCCUAGGUUUUCUUAAAACUUACUUUUAUGAUAACAAAAAAGAAAAAACCAUUAUUGUUUAAUCCUUUGUUUUAAACGCAUGUAAGGUGUAAUUAAGUUAGUUCAAUGCAUUAAUUUAAGAAACUUGACCUAUCAAAAGUACAAAAUUAGAUGAAAUCCAUUUCAAUGGUUAAAAUGAUCAAAAUCAAACUUUUUCUAAGUAUUUUUUAAAAGCAUCAAUAGUGAAAGACAAUUUUAUAUUUAGUCGGAGUUUGGACAAAACUGAAAAACACACAAAAUCCAAGCGACCAUCUCUAGCUUGGAUGGUCGCUUGAUCCCACCUAGAGAUGUGCAUGAGUAAAAGGAUUUGAAAAUGGAAAUUGACUAUGUAGUCGAUCAAUUAACUUUGCAACAUCAUAUGCAAUCCUAAUUGCUAGUCAUCUAAUCAAUUAGGUAGUCAAUCAACAGGCCAAAAAUAUGUUUAUAAUGACUAUUUUGUACAAAAACCACCUGUAUAGUUAAAUAUAAUGCAUUUCAUUUAUAAAUCUUCUAAUUCUUGAAUAACGAUCCUAUCAUCCUUUGAAAGUUUUUAUUACACUUUUUUUACUUUUGUUCUAAAACUUACACAUCACCCUUAAUUGUACCAUGAGAACCUAGCUAUUUUUUAUUUUUUUUUUUGUAAUUCAUCAAAGUUAGCUUUUGUAUUCAUUGUUGUAUUAUUUUUAGUAUAACUUAGAAAGCUAGUGUUUUCAAGUGAGUAAAAUUAACUUGUAAAUAUUGUAAAGAUUCAUCGACAUGUAUCUUAAACUAAGUGUACAAGUUAAAACAUUUGCUAGUAGAUUUUCUCAAAAUUUAGAAUAGAGCUUGAGACUAUUGAAAUAGGUGGGGUUGCACCAAACCACAUCACAUCGUUGUUUGCACCUUUUUUCACUCUCUUUUACUUAGUUGCUCUAUAUUUGUUGUCUAGUAAUAUCCUAUAGGCUUGAUGGGUUAGGGAGCAUCCCUUUGUGAAAAAAUUUUAUUCAAUCCUUAGUUGUAUCACGCAUAUAUAAAAUGCCUCAUUGUUUUAAUGGUAUUCAGUCGUGGCAUCACAGAUAUGGGCAUCUAAAUUUUAAAAGUUUGAAACUUUUAUCUAAAGAAAAUAUGGUGCUUUGCCUUUUUGUAAAGCAUGUUGAUGAAAUCCAUGAGAAUUGUGUACUUGGGAAGCAACACCGAGAUGACUUUUUUUUUUUUUUUAUAAUAUUGUUUGUCCAAAUUCCCUACAAAUUAGGCCACCAGAUGUUCAUAAUUCUCCCUUCUUGAAUUUGAAAACUCGGACAAUUGGACAAUGCGACACCUAAGUCCGGUUUCUAAAUGCUAAAGUGAAAGGGUAGGUAUGGACCAUUGAAAUGUGAUCACAACUUUUCUCUGUAGCCAUGUUGUCUCUUUUUUCUUUUGCAUGAUUUUCUUACCUUAACAGAAUCAUAGACUUGUUUAGUCUCUAAAUGGGAUUAAUUUCAUCCAGCUUUAAGCUACUAUAUUAUAUCUAGGUGGAGGACUUUUAAGAGUGCAACCGACAUAGAGCACAUGGAAGUGGGUAUAUGGGACAUGAAAUUUCUUCUUAUAAAGAUUGCAUGAUUUUUAUAUUAGAGUUGUUGAGGCGCUAUGUAUUUAGCUUGUUUUGCAGUUAAAUUAAUUGGAUAAGUAGACAUUGGCGUUUCUAAAUCUACUGUGAAGUGCUUCAUGUACGUGUGAAGUAUUAGAAAUUUCUUUCUUGGCAACUUGUUUUUCUUUGCGGUCUACUGAUAGGUUUGACUAAAAUUAUAUUCCCUGUCAUGCUAAUUAAUUUUCACGUGCAUGCUCAAAAGAAAAGUAUGACCUUAGUGCACCAAAAUCACUUUGAUUAAUUUGUGAUAGGUUUUUGUGCAUCAUGACAUUAGCCUUAUUCAUUUAGAUAAUGUUUAGUUUUUAGAAAGUAUUAAGAAAAGGAAAAUAAAUAUUAAGAAAAAUAUUCUUAUAUUUGAUUGUAUUAUGAAAAAUAUCAUAAAAAAAUCAAAUAUAAUUUAAAUUAAUUAAUAAUUUAUACAUUUUCAAAUUAUUUAAUCUUUAUAUUGAAGAUAUAAUAUAAAUGAAAUGAGUUUUAAGUAUUAUAUAAAAGUGAUUUAUUGAUCUUACAUAUAUAUAUUUCUUUUUUUUUUCCUUCUAUUUUUUCUCUUUAUUUUAUUUUCCUUAUGUUUUCCUCAACAUUUUCCGGAACCAAACAUAGCCUUAGGAAAUCCACAAUUACCUUCAACUGAGUAGAUUCUGUUGUUUUAGCAAUGUUAGGCUGCUAACUUGUGUUGGUACGAACCUAUUAAGCCUAAAGAUGUAAUUAGUUAGGAUAUUCUUUUCCCUCUAGUCUUGUAGCUCCACGUGUACAGUUGGUUAGGACCUCAUUGUAUAUAAUGCUUGCCCUGUUAUUGUAGAAGACAACAAAGAUAAAUAAUAUUAACAUUUUUCCUCUCAUCUCUCUCUGUUUCCCUCUGUUUUCAUCUCCUCUCUCAUCUUGGUAUCAGAGCCUCCAUGGCUUCUUUCAAAGAAACCUCCGAAUCACCUUCUGCUAGCAUUGUUAAUGUGCAAAACCCAUUAUCUCAAUCAAACAACCUUCCUUCACCAGUAGCCACACCCUCUUUUUCUUUCUCGUCUAUGAAUCAACCUCUCACAGUGAAGCUGGAUAAUGGGAACUACCUCAUAUGGAAGAAUUAGCUUCUAAAUGUCAUCAUUGCUAACGGACUCGAUGAUUUCAUUGACGGAUCUCGACCCUGCCCUCCUCGAUUUCUCGAUCUGCAACAACAAACCCUCAAUCCAGAGUACUCAGCUUGGCAGAGAUACAAUCGACUUCUGAUGAGUUGGCUGUACGCAUCCUUGUCCAAAGAUAUAAUGGCUCAGAUUGUUGGGUAUUCAACAGCUAUGGAGAUUUGGAAUGCCCUUAAUCAGAUUUACUCUGCCUCUUCUAUGGCGCGGUUUACUGAGCUUCGCACCAAGCUUCAAACGCUCAAGAAAGAUGGACUCUCAGUUGGUGAAUAUAUUCAAAGGCUCAAAUCCAUUUGCAAUAGUCUUGCAGCAAUAGGAGAACCAGUUUCUGAGAAAGACCAUCUUAUCUAUUUGUUCAAUGGAUUAGAUUGUGAGUAUUAUUCUUUUGUUACCUCCAUUCAAAAUCGAUCUGACCAACCAACUAUUGACAAAAUCCAUAGCCUAUUGCUUAGCUAUGACUUCCGGCUUGAACAACAAAACUCUGUUUCUCUCCAUUCUGCCCAAGUCCAUAUGGCUCAUCUGAACAAGAAACCUUAUAAAUCAACUCCUCAACCUACAUUCAAUCAUAUUCACAUUCAACCUAGAUACUCUUCUCCACCUUUUAAGCCAACCACUAGUCAAUAUCAACCCAACAUUUUGGGCAAACCACAACCACAACCAUGACAGCCUCAACCUCAAUGGAAACCACAUUUUUCAAUCUAAAAUCAAAAGCCUCAGCGCCAAAUUUGUGGUAAAUUUGGACACACUGCUCUUAUUUGCUUCCAUCACACAAAUUUGAACUAUUCACCCCAACCUUCUCCUAAAUCUUUCAAUACUGUUCUCACCACAAAUUCCCAGCUCCCUAAUCCUCCAAAAUUUUCUUACCCUACAAUGGCUCAUCCUGCUGCUACGCAUAACACGGUUCCCGAUACAAAUUGGUACAUGGACUCAGGUGCUACACAUCACUUUACUCUGGACAUCAACGUGCUUGACACUGUGACACCAUUUAGUGGUUCAGAACAGGUGACAGUUGGGAAUGGUAAGCAACUCUGUAUCUCACAUCUUGGUACUGCAAAACUACCAUCUUCGUAUUCUCCUCCUGUUCUACAUCAGGUAUAUCACACUCCAAAAAUUUCAAAUAAUCUUAUUAGUGUUAAAAAAUUGUGUUCUGAUAAUAAAGUUUUUGUUGAAUUUUAUGCCACUCAUUUUCUUGUCAAGGAUCAGGUUUCGAAGAGAGUUCUCCUUUAGGGUCAACUUGAUAAUGGCUUAUACAAAGUUCAGUCGUCAUGCUCUCCUUCUGCUGUUUCCUUUCCUCCUCAAGUUUUCAUAGCCAACAUCAAGUAUCCAAAUCUGUGGCACAAGAGACUAGGCCACCCAGCUUUAUCUGUUGUUAAUCAAAUCUUGGAUUCUUGUAACAUUGCUCGAACACAGAAAAUUUGUUUUAAUUUUUUAAAUUCUUGUCAAUUAGCAAAGAGCCACAGGCUUCCUUUUUCUCUGUCUCCAUCCAUUGCAGAAAAACCUUUUGAGUUAAUUCAUACAGACCUAUGGGGUCUUUCGCUCGUUCGCUCUAUUUCUGGUGCUCUUUAUUUUUUACUUUUCAUUGAUGAUCAUACUCGUUUUACUUGGUUUUAUUUGCUCAAAACAAAAGAUGAAGCAUAUCCUACUUUUCUCAAGUUUCAAGCUCUCAUUGAAAAUCAAUUUAAUACCAAGAUUAAGGCUGUCCAAUCUGAUUGGGGAGGUGAGUUUCGAUCUCUCUCCAUACCGUUUUCAAAUAUGGGCAUUGUCUAUUGUUUAUCGUGUCCAUACACCUCACAACAGAAUGGGCGAGUUGAGCGAAAAAAUCGCCAUGCGAUUGUCCUUUCUUGCUUGCUCUAUGCCCUUAUCUUAUUGGCCUUAUGCCUUUCAAACUGCCACUUACCUUAUUAAUCGUCUCUCUACCCCUGUGCUGCAUCAUCAAUCCUCUUACUUCGCACUCUAUCACAAACUCCCAACUUAUACUCAUCUUAAGGUCUUUGGUUCCUCUUGUUUUCCGUAUUUGCACCCUUAUAAUACCCAUAAACUCCAAUACAGGUCACUAGAGUGUGCUUUUCUUGGUUACAGUUCACACCACAAAGGUUAUCUAUGUCUUGACAUUCAUUCUAGCAGGGUGUAUAUUUCUCGCCAUGUGAUUUUUAAUGAAGAUUCUUUUCCAUUCAAGAAUUUGAAAUCUUCUCUCUCUCAGUCUAUUUCUUCUUCCUCUUCUUUAUAAGUUCCUCUGUUCAUUCUCUUGCCUCCCCUUUCCCCAUCUCCUCUUAUUUCUUCAUCUAUACCUCAUUCUUUUCCCUCUUCUUCUUCUACCUCUAGUACUUGUUCCCCUCUCGUUGCUCCUACCUCUCUUCCUUCCUCUUCACACUCUGUGUCUCCAUCUAUUCCACCUCCUUCUCCACCUUCUCCGAGUGUGGACCUGCUUGCACCUUGUGUGAAUACAAAUUUACAUACUUCUUCUCGCACUCACAAUAUUCAUCCUAUGGUGACUAGAUCUAAGGUUUGUAUCUAUAAACCUAAGUUGUUGUUGAGUGUCUCCAUAGGUUCUCUCACUAAGCCUACUUCCUUUCUUCAAGCUAUUAAAGAUCCUUCAUGGAAGCAAUCCAUGGAAUUCGAGUUUGCUACCCUUCAACACAACAAGACCUGGCAUUUGGUUCCUUCACCUUCCUCAGGCGAAGUAAUCGGUUGUAAAUGGGUCUAUAAGCUAAAGCUUCAGCCUGAUGGCUAAAUUGAGAGAUACAGCCUGCUUAGUAGCUAAGGGUAUCAUCAAAUUGAAGUAUGGACUACUUCGAAACAUUCAGCCUGAUNNNNNNNNNNNNNNNNNNNNNNNNNNNNNNNNNNNNNNNNNNNNNNNNNNNNNNNNNNNNNNNNNNNNNNNNNNNNNNNNNNNNNNNNNNNNNNNNNNNNAGCUUCAGCCUGAUGGCUAAAUUGAGAGAUACAAGGCCUGCUUAGUAGCUAAGGGUUAUCAUCAAAUUGAAGGUAUUGACUACUUCGAAACAUUCAGCCUGAUUGUCAAGCUUUCUACUAUCUGUAUUGUGCUCAGUCUUACUUUUUCCCAGAAUUGGUGUAUUAGACAGCUGGAUGUUCAUAAUGCCUUCUUACAUGGUGACUUAGCUAAAGACGUUUUCAUGGAACAACUGCCUGGAUUUGUUGAUCCUCUCUAUCCUACUCAUGUCUGCAAGUUGGAUAAGUCUCUCUACUGUCUUAAAUAGUCACCUCGGGCUUGGUAUACUAAGCUGAGUACUUCUCGCUACACUUGGGAUUUGUUACUUCUAAGAAUGACUCUUCCUUAUUUAUUUGUCAUUCGUCUCAUGGGUUACUUCUUGUUCUUGUCUAUGUGGAUGAUAUAAUCGUCAUUGGGAGCCACUCUCCUCAGGUUACUCACCUUAUCCAACAGUUGCAUCAUUAGCUUUCUUUAAAGGAUCUUGGUCCUUUACAUUAUUUUCUGGGCUUGGAGGUUCAUCACACCCCUACUGGUAUUCACCUCAGCCAAGCAAAGUAUAUCACUGAUCUCCUUACCCGGGCGGCUAUGUUGGAUGCCAAGCCAUGUCCCACUCCUAUGUCCUCCAACACAUAUCUCUCUUUUCAUGAUGGAGUGGCUCUUGAAAAUGGUUCAGAUUAUCGAAGUUUUGUUGGUGCCCUUUAGUAUUGUACCAUGACACGCCCAGAUAUAGCUUUUGCAAUAAAUAAAGUGUGUCAAUUCAUGCACCAUCCCUCUAAUGUUCACUGGCAGGCUAUAAAACGUAUUCUCCGGUACUUAAAGGGCACAUCUCAUUUUGGUCUCUUCCUACAGCCUUCCUAUGACUUCAACAUCACUUGCUAUACAAAUGCCGACUGGGCUUCCUGUCCUGAUGACAAGUGUAGCACCAGUGGCUACUGCCUCUUUCUUGCCUCUAAUCUGGUUUCUUGGUCAUCUUCCAAACAAAAAGUGGUCUCCCGCUCCAGCGCCGAAUCAGAGUACCGAGGGGUAGCAAAUGGGGCUGCUGAAAUUGCUUGGACUGAAUCUCUUCUUUGUGAACUUUCCAUUACUCCCCCUCCCCUCAUUCUCUGUGACAAUAUCAGUGCCACGUACUUAGCUGCCAAUCCUAUUUUGCAUGCCCGCACCAAACAUGUGGAAAUCGACUAUCACUUUGUCACGGAACGUGUUCUUCAAUGCUCUCUUUUUGUCCAGUUUACACCUUCUGAUGAUCAACUUGCUGAUUGCAUGACCAAGCCUCUCUCCACCCAACGUUUCAUCACUCUACGCUCCAAGCUCACUGUUCUCACUAGACCAAUGAGCUUGAGGGGGGAUGUUAAGCCUAAAGAUGUAAUUAGUUAGGAUAUUCUUUUCCCUCUAGUCUUGUAGCUCCACGUGUACAGUUGGUUAGGACCUCAUUGUAUAUAAUGCCUGCCCUGUUAUUGUAGAAGACAACAGAGAUAAAUAAUAUUAACAUUUUUCCUCUCAUCUCUCUCUCUGUUUCCCUCUGUUUUCAUCUCCUCUCUCAUCUGAACCAAAUGAUCCAUGUUAACCUUGGCUUGGUUUGAUUUGGCUCUAUCUUAGAGAGCUCAAGGAUCACGUCAACUCUGGUUUCUACUAUUCAGGUCCAUUCCCAUAUGAACUGGUUCAAAUUUGAGAAAAUGGUAACAGACCUUUAGUGAUGUUGGUUUGGAGCCAGUUGCCAAACCCGCCCUGAGCUUUACCACUAAUGUCAAGGGAGAAAGCCAUUUGAACAAAAACAAUAGCUUCAAGGGACUGAAUCGUGGAUGAAAUCUGAUCCACAUUUCUUCUCAUUUUGGAAACAAAUGAGAACUUAACUAAGAAGAUUCUACGGCCUCAUAGUGCUUUUCCUGAUCUAAGGUUGGUUCGUUUCCCAAACUGUGAGAUGCACGUGCCAGACUUCAGAACUCUCACGCUCAGGAGUGUAUCCACGUGGUGGACAUAAGAUGGUGGCUUAAGAUCUGGUGUCGGUGGCUUUACUUUACUAGGAGAGUAGUGUGUCUUCAUCUCAUUCACUGCCGGAGGGUGGCGUAAGCAGUGACGCUAAGGUGGGGCACAGUCAAUAUCAUUUGCAUUUGACCAUUAUAGUUUUCUCCCGGCUUUAAAGUAACCUUAUCGUGAUAAAGGAUUACUAGCACUAGUUCAGAUGAUAGUCAUGUUAAAUUCGGACCAUGUUUGUGUCACAUUAUCAGCAACCAUGUGUUUAUGGUUCAUGCUUUCUGCAACUAAAAUUGAUAUAUAACCAGGUGAACUUCAAUCUAAAUUCUGAAAGUACUCAUGUGAUAGAUGGUGCCCGUCUGCAGAGUCCAUCAAUUGAAAAAUGGAGUGAGUGUAUCUAUAAGAGGGAAGGCUUGGAAAAUGUUCAGUUUUCUGGGAAUUCAACAAGGAUCUAAAAUAGAUUGUUUUCUUUGCUGAUUUCAAUGGUUGAAAUUUGAGAAGAUUGUGUCCACAUAACACAACUAUUACUGGUCCUUCUGUUGCAAUUUAUCCUCUAAAGCUCUAGCAUGUCUUCCAAUUCCCACUUCCCUGUUACUCCAGGAAAGCUAUUUCUGUCAUUGUGAAGAAGAAAAGAGAAUGUACAUAUCGAUGCUUUUAAGUGACUGGAGCAUUUAUAUCAGGUGGUCUGCAGCCAUAUAUGCCACUUUGUGAAGAUUGGAACAGUCAAUCACUAGGCUAUAUAUUAGUGUGGCCCAGCCACUUUAAUCAAGGACAAGUCUUCAUACUUAAAGUCAAAUUCUGCCUUUAGUCUCAUUAUAAAUUUCUGUUUAAAUAUUAAGCAAACAUUUGUUUAAUGCGAUUAAGACAGUACUAACUCAAUACCUGUUCUAUUUUUGGAUGCAAAUGCUUGAUGGUUUCAUCAUUGGAUGGGAUAAAGGUGCAUUCAUGAUUAGGAAUACUAGUAGUUAUAUUUUAAUUCUCUUUUUUCUCAAUGAGACUUGUUGGCACAAUUUUGCUGUUGAGAAACCUACCUCUCCAUGGAAAAUAAGUUGUGAUUGAUAGUACUGGAUAUAUUCAAGAAAUCUAAAUAUAGAUAGCACAAAAUAUUAUCGACAUAAAUAGCAUUAACAGCGUACGUAUGUCUCAGUGCUCAUCAGCUAUAAGCAUGGGGCAAACACUUACUAUGAGCAACUUACGUCAAAAUUCCAGAAUAGGACAUAGAAGUGACAGAUAUAGAACAUUGCAUAUGAGUCACAAGAAAGGAAAUUACGGGUGCAUAGCAGCUCUUAUUUUACAUACUACUACUCAUACUGAUCAAAGUCACUCAGUUGGGAUGGGUGGGAGUAGGAGGUUUGUGGGGUGGCUUGUGCGGAGGAGUUGGCAGCUUCUUUCCAGGACCUGGUUGCUUCUCUGCUGGAGUUGAAGGAGGCUUAAUCUUCCGAGGUGGCUUGUAUGAGUCUUCAGCAUUCUCAGCUGGAGGGUGACCAGGGUUGUGACCAUAAUGUGGUGGCUUCUCUCCCUUAGGUGGUUUGCCAACUGGGGUUGGUGGCUUGUAUGAGUCUUCAGCAUUCUCAGCAGGAGGGUGACCAGGGUUGUGACCAUAAUGUGGUGGCUUCUCUCCCUUAGGUGGUUUGCCAACUGGGGUUGGUGGCUUGUGUUCUGGGAGUGGCUUCUCCCCCUUGGGAGGUUUUUCCAAUGGGGUUGGUUUGUGUUCAGGAGGUGGCUUCUCCACUGGAGGCUUGUGUUCAGGAGGUGGCUUCUCCACCGGAGGCUUGUGUUCAGGUGGUGGCUUCUCCACCGGAGGCUUAUGCUCUGGUGGUGGCUUCUCGAAUGGGGGAUGCUUAGGAUAAUCAGCAAGUGAGGGGGCGGUGAGAACCACCAGGCCAAGCAACACCACUAGCAAAUAUGUAGGAGACAUCUUUGGGUUUGGGCUCAGAUGGUGCAAAACUAGGAGAAUUGGCUAGCCUUUUAUAGCGGAUCGUACCCAAUAAUGAAAUGACACGUGUCAUUAUGACCCAUGUGUAAUGGGGUCGAUUUGGGUCCUACAGUGUUGAAAACUUCGACAUCCACUUUUGGCCUUUUGCUUUCUCUACAGCCGCCUUGCUUUUUCCCUCUUUCCUUUUGUUUUCCUCCUGCCCCAUUCUAUCAACUAAACACAAUUAUGUAGUUGUUUAAUUCUUAAAUGAGAUAUUAUCCGUCAAUCGUAUUAUAUUUUAUCAAGAGAGAACGGAGUGCAAUGUGGCUGUAAUUUUAUCGUUUAGUUUUAUCUCUUGGACCACUGCAUUUUUGUUAAGAGGUGCAAUAAUACACGUCUUUAUCUGCCAUUCAAUAUUUACAGUAAAGAGAGGGCACAAAACUCUUCACUUCGCACCAUAAUUAUUUUGUUUUCUGGACACCCCGGGGCCCUUUGGUUGGUUUGGGGGUCAGAAAGUGAACAUCAUAGGGGGUUUUUCCCUUAUGUGCAUUUGUAUCUGAUGGCUUUAACUCGCCUUGUUACUACAAAGAAACUGUCACAGAUAGGAACUUAUUCCAGGCUGAGUAUCUCCUCAUAGACCCUAUAAAAGAAGACAAGUCAUAAUGAACAUCUAACCUUUGUUCAAUUUGAUUCAAUGCCCCCAUUGUGUCCAUCUCACAAAUCUGAAUUAUUAUAUCCAUUGAAUACAUAAAUUAAUGAAGAAAAUAUGAAACCCAAGAUACAUCUCUGCACAACCUCAACCCUGGUUGCUAUGUUUCCCUUCUAUUCACAUGAUUUGAUGCUAAUUGCCAAACUUGCAACAAGCCCUGAGUUUGACACCUAGUAUCGAUGGGCGAAUUUAAAGUCUCCUCCAAACAUAUAUUCCACAGCUUGAAGCUCACAGAAGAUGUUACAGGCAGGGAAAAACCUUCAGAGUUCGCUACCAAAGAUAAUUAUUAAGGAGAUAUCACAAAGAGAAUUCCAAGGGGUCUGAAUCAAAGACAAAUUGGUCGUUCGUGGGGGUUCUUACUUUCUUUUGGGUAUAACUCACUGAGGGCACUGUCUUUGUUAUUUGCAUUUCACAUUUAGAGUUCUGUUCUGGAAACAUAUAAAAGGAGCAUCAUUUUGUUCUUGGGUAACCCAUAGUCGUGAGUGGGUCCAUUUGCAUGCUACUUAGUUGAAAAGUUGGACCAUUUGCUCCGACGCCUACCUCCCGGAUUCCAUGCUCGGAUAAAACAAGAAUAAAAAAAAUAUUUAUAAUUUACAAAUGGGGGAAAGAAAAAAAUGUCAACAACAAACCAGGAAAAAAGAGUAGUAAAAUUCAUGUCACAUGCUAGUGAGAGAAGGGGUUGUUACACUCACUCGAAGUUCUUUCCAAAAUAUCGCAUGGUAUUUUAUUUUAUGUGUCAGCGCAGUUGUGAAUGGAACGUGCAAAAGUCCAAAUUGGCGUUUUUCCUUUUCCCGUGUAGGAUGGCGACCUUUAAUAAAUAUUUAAAACAAAAAACGAAAAAAAGGAGGGAAAAGGGAUCAGAAAAGAUAAAACAAUGUGUACAAGAGCUCAAUUAGUUUGCAAAUUACUGUUUGGAUUUUGAUAGUAUUUUAUUUGUCCAUCUAUAUUUGAUGGAAAAGAGAAUUUAAGAUAUUUCUGAAACAAAAGCAUUAGUGUAAAACUAAAUUAAGGUAUAAUUAAGUUAGUUCAAUGCAUUAAUUUAAGAAACUUGAUCUAUCCAAAGUACAAAAUUAGAUGAAAUCCAUUUCAAUGGUUAAAAUGAUCAAAAUCAAACUUUUUCUAAGUAUUUUUUAAAAGCAUCAAUAUUAAAAGACAAUUUUAUAUUUAGUCGGAGUUUGGACAAAACCAAAAAGCACACAAAAUCCAAGCGACCAUCUCUAGCUUGGAUAGUCACUUGAUCCCACCUAGAGAUGUGCAUGAGUAAAAGGAUUUGAAAAUGGAAAUUGACUAAAUAUUUAGUUGAUCAAUUAAAUUUGCAAUGUCAUAUGCAAUCCUAAUAGCUAGUCAUCUAAUCAAUUAGGUAGUCAAUCAAGUGUUUGUAAUGACUAUUUUGUACAAAAAACCACAUGUAUAGUUAAAUAUAAUGCAUUUCAUUUAUAAAUCUUCUAAUUCUUGAAUAACGAUCCUAUCAUCCUUUGAAAAUUUUUAUUACACCUUUUUUACUUUUGUUCUAAAACUUACAUAUCACCCUUAAUUGUACCAUGAGAACCUAGCUAUUUUUUUUUUUUUUGUAAUUCAUCAAAGUUAGCUUUUGUAUUCAUUGUUGUAUUAUUUUUAGUAUAACUUAGAAAGCUAGUGUUUUCAAGUGAGUAAAAUUAACUUGUAAAUAUUGUAAAGAUUCAUUGAUAUGUAUCUUAAACUAAGUGUACAAAUUAAAACAUUUGCUAGUAGAUUUUCUCAAAAUUUAGAAUAGAGCUUGAGGCUAUUGAAAUAGGUGGGGUUACACCAAACCACAUCACAUCGUUGUUUGCACCUUUUUUCACUCUCUUUUACUUAGUUUCUCUAUAUUUGUUGUCUAGUAAUAUCCUAUAGGCUUGAUGGGUUAGGGAGCAUCCCUUUGUGAAAAAAUUUCAUUCAAUUCUUAGUUGUAUUACGCAUAUAUAAAAUGCCUCAUUGUUUUAAUGGUAUUCAGUCGUGGCAUCACAGAUAUGGGCAUCUAAAUUUUAAAAGUUUGAAACUUUUGUAAAGCAUGUUGAUAAAAUCCAUGAGAGUUGUGUACUUGGGAAGCAACAUCGAGGUGACUUUAUUUUUUUUUCCUUUUAUAAUGCCACACCUAAGUCCGGUUUCUAAAUGCUAAAGUGAAAGGGUAGGUAUGGACCAUUGAAAUGUGAUCACAACUUUUGGCCUUUUCCUUUCUCUGCAGCCAUGUUGUCUCUUUUUUCUUUUGCAUGAUUUUCUUACCAAAACAGAAUCAUAGACUUGUUUAGUCUCUAAGCUACUAUAUUAUAUCUCGGUGGACUUUUAAGAGUGCAACCGACAUAGAGCACAUGCAAGUGGGCAUAUGGGACAUGAAAUUUCUUCUUACAAAGAUUGCAUGAUUUUUAUAUUAGAGUUGUUCACGUGCAAUGUAUUUAGCUUGUUUUGCAGUUAAAUUAAUUGGAUAAGUAAACAUUGGCAUUUCUAAAUCGACUGUGAAGUGCUUCAUGUACGUGUAAAGUAUUAGAAAUUUCUUUCUUGGCAACUUGUUUUUUCCUUGCCAUCUACUGGUAGGUUUGACUAAAAUUAUAUUCCCUGUCAUGCUAAUUAAUUUUCAUGUGCAUGCUCAAAAGAAGAGUAUGACCUUAGUGCACCAAAAUCACUUUGAUUAAUUUGUGAUAGGUUUUUUUGCAUCAUUUAGAUAAUGUUUAGUUCUAAGAAAAAUUUAUAUAAAAAUGGUUUAUUUAUCUUACAUAUAUAUAUAUAUAUAUAUAUUUUUUUUUUUUUCAUUUUUUUUUCUUCUAUUUUAUUUAUUUAUUUUAUUUUCCUUAUGUUUUCCUCACAUUUUCCGGAACUAAACAUAGUCUUACGAAAUCAACAAUUGCCUUCAACUGAGUAGAUUCUGUUGUUUUAGCAAUGUUAGGCUGCUAACUUGUGGUGGUACGAACCAAAUGACCCAUGUUAAUCUUGGCUUGGUUUGAUUUGGCUCUAUCUCAGAGAGCUAAAGGAUCACGUCAACUCUGGUUUCUACUAUUCAGGUCCAUUCCCAGAUGAACUGGUUCAAAUUUGAGAAAAUGGUAACAGACCUUUAGUGAUGUUGGUUUGGAGCCAGUUGCCAAACCCGCCCUGAGCUUUACCACUAAUGUCAAGGGAGAAAGCCAUUUGAACAAAAACAAUAGCUUCAAGAGACUGAAUCGUGGAUGAAAUCUGAUCCACAUUUCUUCUCAUUUUGGGAAAAAAUGAGAACUUAACUACAAAGAUUCUACUGCCUCAUUCAUAGUGCUUUUCCUGAUCCAAGGUUGGUUCGUUUCCCAAAUUGUGAGGUGCACGUGCCACUCUCACGCUCAGGAGUGUAUCCACGUGGUGGACAUCAGAUGGUGGCUUAAUAUCUGGUGUCGGUGGCUUUACUUUACUAGGAGAGUAGUGUGUCUUCAUCUCAUUCACUGCCGGAGGGUGGCGUAAGCAGUGACGCUAAGGUGGGGCACAGUCAAUAUCAUUUGCAUUUGACCAUUAUAGUUUUCUCCCGGCUUGAAAGUAACCUUAUCGUGAUAAAGGAUUACUAGCACUAGUUCAGAUGACCGUCAUGUUAAUUCGGACCAUGUUUGUGUCACAUUAUCAGCAACCAUGUGUUUAUGGUUCAUGCUAUCUGCAACUAAACUUGAUAUAUAACCAGGUGAACUUCAAUCAAAAUUCUGGAAGUACUCUUGUGAUAGAUGGUGCCUGUCUGCAGAGUCCAUCAAUUGAAAAAUGGAGUGAGUGUAUCUAUAAGAGGGAAGGCUUGGCAAAUGUUCAGUUUUCUGGGAAUUCAACAAGGAUCUAAAAUAGAUUGUUUUCUUUGCCGACUUCAAUGGUUGAAAUUUGAGAAGAUUGUGUCCACAUAUCACAACUAUUACUGGUCCUUCUGUUGCAAUUUAUCCUGUAAGGCUCUAACAUGUCUUCCAAUUCCCACUUCCCUGUUACUCCAGGAAAGCUAUUUCUGUCAUUGUGAAGAAGAAAAGAGAAUGUACAUAUCGAUGCUUUUAAGUGACUGGAGCAUUCAUAUCAGGUGGUCUGCAGCCAUAUAUGCCACUUUGUGAAGGUUGGAACAGUCAAUCACUAGGCUAUAUAUUGGUGUGGCCCAGCCACUUCAAUCAAGGACAAGUCUUCAUACUUAAAGUCAAAUUCUGCCUUUAGUCUCAUUAUAAAUUGCUGUUUAAAUAUUAAGCAAACUUUUGUUUAAUGCGAUUAAGACAGUACUAACUCAAUACUUGUUCUAUUUUUGGAUGCAAAUGCUUGAUGGUUUCAUCAUUGGAUGGGAUAAAGGUGCAUUCAUGAUUAUGAAUACUUGUAGUUAUAUUUUCAUUCUCUUUUUUCUCAAUGAGACUUGUUGGCACAAUGUUGCUGUUCAGAAACCUACCUCUCCAUGGAAAAUAAGUUGCGAUUGAUAGUACUGGAUAUGUUCAAGAAAGCUAAAUAUAGAUAGCACAAAAUAUUAUCGAUAUAAAUAGCAUUAACAGCGUACGUAUGUCUCAAUGCUCAUCAGCUAUAAGCAUGGGACAAACACUUACUAUGAGCAACUUACGUCAAAAUUCCAGAAUAGGACAUAGAAGUGACAGAUCUAUAUAUAUAGAACACUGCAUAUGAGUCACAAGAAAGGAAAUUACGGGUGCAUAGCAGCUCUUAUUUUACAUACUACUACUCAUACUGAUCAAAGUCACUCAGUUGGGAUGGGUGGGAGUAGGAGGUUUGUGGGGUGGCUUGUGCGGAGGAGUUGGCAGCUUCUUUCCAGGACCUGGUUGCUUCUCUGCUGGAGUUGAAGGAGGCUUAAUCUUCCGAGGUGGCUUGUAUGAGUCUUCAGCAUUCUCAGCUGGAGGGUGACCAGGGUUGUGACCAUAAUGUGGUGGCUUCUCUCCCUUAGGUGGUUUGCCAACUGGGGUUGGUGGCUUGUAUGAGUCUUCAGCAUUCUCAGCAGGAGGGUGACCAGGGUUGUGACCAUAAUGUGGUGGCUUCUCUCCCUUAGGUGGUUUGCCAACUGGGGUUGGUGGCUUGUGUUCUGGGAGUGGCUUCUCCCCCUUGGGAGGUUUUUCCAAUGGGGUUGGUUUGUGUUCAGGAGGUGGCUUCUCCACUGGAGGCUUGUGUUCAGGAGGUGGCUUCUCCACCGGUGGCUUGUGUUCAGGAGGUGGCUUCUCCACCGGAGGCUUAUGCUCUGGUGGUGGCUUCUCCACCGGAGGCUUAUGCUCUGGUGGUGGCUUCUUGAAUGGGGGAUGCUGAGGGUAAUCAGCAAGUGAGGGGGCGGUGAGAACCACCAGGCCAAGCAACACCACUAGCAAAUAUGUAGGAGACAUCUUUGGGUUUGGGCUCAGAUGGUGCAAAACUAGGAGAAUUGGCUAGCCUUUUAUAGCGGAUCGUACUCAAUAAUGAAAUGACACGUGUCAUUAUGACCCAUGUGUAAUGGGGUCGAUUUGGGUCCUACAGUGUUGAAAACUUCGACAUCCAGUUUUGGCCUUUUGCUUUCUCUACAGCCGCCUUGCUUUUUCCCUCUUUCCUUUUGUUUUCCUCCUGCCCCAUUCUAUCAACUAAACACAAUUAUGUAGUUGUUUAAUUCUUAAAUGAGAUAUUAUCGGUCAAUCGUAUUAUAUUUUAUCAAGAGAGAACGGAGUGCAAUGCAGCUGUAAUUUUAUCGUUUACUUUUAUCUCUUGGACCACUGCAUUUUUGUUAAGAGGUGCAAUAAUACACGUCUUUAUCUGCCAUUCAAUGUUUACAGUAAAGAGAGGGCACAAAACUCUUCACUGCUCUGCAUGUGUCCCAAAAAUGCGAUUGGACAAAUUAUGAUUUGCAUGCUAAAAAGAGGCAAAUGAGGUUAAUUCGCACCAUAAUUAUUUGGUUUUCUGGACACCAUAAAAAGAUGUUAUACAGGCAGGGAAAAACCUUCAGAGUUAGCUACCAAAGAUAAUUAUCAAGCAGAUAUCACCAAGAGAAUUCCAUAGAGUCUGAAUCAAAGACAGAUUGCUCGCUCGUGGGGGUUCUUACUUUCUUUUGGGUAUAACUCACUGAGGUCACUGUCUUUUUUAUUUGCAUUUCACAGUUAGAGUUCUGCUCUGGAAGGUUUGUUCUGGAAACAUAUAAAAGGAGCAUCAUUUUGUUCUUGGGUAACCCAUAGUCGUGAGUGGGUCCAUUUGCAUGCUACUUAGUUGAAAAGUUGGACAAUUUGCUCCGACGCCUACCUCCUGGAUUCCAUGCUCGGUAAAACAAGAAUAAAAAAAAAUAUAUAAUUUACAAAUGGGGGAAAGAAAAAAUGUCGGAAAAAAUAGUAAAAUUCAUGUCACAUGCUAGUGAGAGAAGGGGUUGUUACACUCACUCGAAGUUCUUUUCAAAAUAUCGAAUGGUAUUUUACUUUAUGUGUCAGCGCAGUUGUGAAUGGAACGUGCAAAAGUCCAAAUUGGCGUUUUUAUUUUUCCCAUGUAGGAUGGUGACCUUUAAUAAAUAUUUAAAACAAAAGACGAAAAAAAAAAGGAGGGAAAAGGGAUCACAAAAGAUAAAAUAAUGUUUACAAAAGCUCAAUUAGUUUGCAAAUUACUGUUUGGAUUUUGAUAGUAUUUUAUUUGUCGUUCUAUAUUUGAUGUAAAAGAGAAUUUAAGAUAUUUCCGAAGCAAAAGCAUUAGUUUGCUCUGUGAUGUCCCACAUCGAAUAGGGGAGAAAGUUUCUGGCGCUAUAUAUGUAGAGGCUCCUCUUAACCAAGUAGAUGCGUUUUAAAACCAUGAGGGCCCCCUUAGGUCCAAAGCGGACAAUAUCUACAUGAUUGGGUGUAAGUCAUUACAAAUGGUAUCAGAGCCGAUCCCCGACCCCGGUGUGGGGGUUUGUUUGGCCCUGUAAGGGGUGUUUGUCUGUUUGACCCCACAAUCCCAUGGGACACAACGAGGACGUUGUGUCUGCAUGGGGGGGCGUUUGUGAUGUCCCACAUCGGAUAGGGGAGAAAGUUCCUAGUGCUAUAUAUGUAGAUGUUUCUCUUAACCAAGUAGAUGCAUUUUAAAAUUGUGAGGGCCUCUUUGGGCCCAAAGCGGACAAUAUCUACAUGGUUGAGUGUAAGUCAUUACAUGCUCCAUGUCAAUUUCAGCAUUUCUCAUAUGUUUCACACAUACACAGAAGAGCAUCGUUUUUUAAAGCAUGCAUUUAUGUUGGAUUAAUUUGGAUUUUGUGGGAACUGGGGCAAGGAUCACAUGGAAGAGAGGUUGACUUUUUUCAGUACUUCAAUGGUUGAAAUAUGUGAAGGCUUGAUUGAUACUAAAGCUUGAAAUUGCGACUCUGUCAUUUGUAAAAAAAUAUGACAGCUUCCAUGCUCUCGUUUGGUUGCAUUGUCCGGUCGAGAGGUGCAAAAAGCAUUCUCUCUCUUCUAAUAGUCUUUUCGUUUAAAUCAAGGGAUUUGCCUUCCCGGUCGAGGUCCAAUAGAGGGUAACGGUCACCUACUAAACAUUAAAUGCUCCAACAACUAGUGAACUGAUCGACCCCAGCUCGACUAGUUGAGGUUACUUUUUGGUUUUCUUGUCUCCCGAGGUUAGAAACCUAUAAAUAGAGAGCUUCACUUCAUUUAUGAGUAAGAGAACACCUAAAUUUAUUUGUUUACCUACUUGUUUUUGCCAUAAAAGCUCUCAUUUCUUUUCUUGGUGUAUUAAAUCUCCAUUUGCAUAUCCUUUAGUGCACCUUUGUGAUUCAUUCUAGCCUUGAGUUGUAUUUAAGCCUUUGUUGAGCUAGGUUGAGAGUUUCAUACUUGUUUAUUGAGUGUUAAAGCCUUCAAGUGAGUUAAAACUUGAAGAGAUUGUGUAAGAGCCCAUUGGAGUCGGAAUCCAAGUGUAAAGGUGAUUAAAAGCUUGGUUGAAGCUUCAAGUUAGUGGAACUCUCACUCGGUUAUGAGCUUGAGAAGAGUGGACAUAGACAAGGCAGUGUCGAACCACUAUAAAAUCUGAGUUUGAUUUCUCUAACCUUAUCUCUUUAUAUUUGCUUCUCUUGUGCUUAAAUUUUUUGUGUUUAAAAAGAAUUUUUAAAAACUCAAUUCACCCCCUUCUUGGGAGUUUUUCUCUUUUAAGAUCAGCUUUUAUUUUCUCAAUUGGUAUCAGAACUAUGCCUCUUGUUUAAGACUUAAUCGUCUAAGAGGAAAUGGCUAAUCCAUCAAGUUCAUCUCACAUUGAAAGUUUUGCAACCAAUAGACUUCUUUUUUUUUUUUUGCGGGAACUGAUUAUCCCUAUUGGAAAACUAAAAUGACUUGGUUUUUACAAUCAAUUGAUUUAGAUGUAUGAGAUGCCAUUGAAGAUGACCUAACUUUUCCUUCAAAACUAGUUGAUGGAGUCAUGGUUCCAAAACCUAAGCAAGAAUGGGAUGAGCGUGAUUGAAGAAAUUUUCAAUUAAAUGCUAAAGUCGUUUAUACUUUGCAAUGCUCUAUGGACAGAAAUGAAUAUAAUAGAAUAUGUCAAUGCAAAUCGGUUAAAGAAAUUUGGAGAUUGCUUGAAAUAACUCAUAAAGGAACAAAUCAAGUUAAAGAGUCAAAAAUCAAUUUACUUGUUCAUAGAUAUGAAUUGUUUUUUAUGAAAGAUAAUGAAACUAUUGUUAAGAUGAUCACUAGGUUCACCAACAUUGUUAAUGGUCUUAAAGCCUUGGGAAAGACCUACAAGGAAUCCGAAAACGUGAUGAAGAUCUUGAGGUCACUUCCAUCAAAGUGGCAUACCAAGGUCACCGCAAUUUAAGAAGCAAAAGACUUGAUCAAGCUACCUUUGGAGGAGUUCAUAGGGUCAUUGAUGACAUAUGAAAUCAAUUUGGCAAAGAAGUAACAAAAAGGUGAAGACAAAAAGAAGAAGAACAUAACUCUCAAAGCUACAACUAAGGAAGAAGAAGUUGAAGAAGAAAAACAAAUUGAAGAAGAUGAAGAUUUAGCCCUCAUCACAAGAAAGUUCAACAAAUUCAUGAGGGGUGAAAGGUUUAGAAGAAGAAGGUUCACUUCUAGAAGAGACUUUUCUAAAAAGGAAUCUUCAUCUAAUGGUGACAAAAAGAGAUGGGAAGAGAAAAGAGACUUGGUGUGUUUCAAGUGCAAGAAACCGGGACACAUUAAAUAUGAUUGUCCUCUCUACAAAAGUGAAGUCAAGAGGAAAAAGAAUAAGGCAAUGAUGGCCACUUAGAGUGAAAGUGAAGAUGAAUCAUCCGAAGAAGAAAAUGAGAAAGAAGUGGCAAACAUGUGUUUCAUGGCAAUAGAUGAACUUGAUGAGGUAAAAUCUAACCUUAGUGAUUAAGAUAUACAUGAUGCAUUUGAAGAAUUGUAUGAGGAUUUUUAAAAACUUAGUUUGAAAAAUAUUUCUCUUAAAAAGAAAGUUCAACAACUUGACAAAGAACUUAGAGAAGUAAAAGAAAAAUUUUCAAAUGUUAAAGUUUCUAAAACUCAUCUUGAAAAAGAAAAUGAGAUUCUAAGAAAGAAAAAUGAAUAGUUGAACUCCUCUCUUUCAAUCUUUUCUUCUAGACAAAAAUCUUUUGAAAUGAUUCUAACUAGCUAAAAAUGUGUUUUUGACAAACAAGGGUUAAGAUUUAAAUCUUCAAAAAAUCAAAAGUAUUUUAAAAACUAUUUUGUAAAGGAAUCCACAAGUGCAAGUCCUUCCACUACUUGCAACUUUUGUGGAAGAGAAUGGCACAUUAGUAGUACGCCCUUUAAGAAAUGGUUCUCAAAAGAAUUUAAAUGCAAAAACUAAAAAAGAUUUGGAUUGAGAAAUCCAAGGUCACUAACCCUCAAGGACCCAAAAAGAUAUAGGUACCUAAAUCAACUUGAGUUUUAUGUUGUAAGGUUCAAAGAAUGAUAAGUGGUUCUUAGAUAAUGGUUGCUCAAGACACAUGACCGGAGAUGAAUCCAAGUUUGCUUUUCUUAAAAAGAAAAAUGGAGGAUAUGUUACCUUUGGAGACAAUGCAAAAGAAAGGAUGAUUGGUCAAGGCAACAUUGGUAAUGGCACAUCCUCUCUCAUUGAAAGUGUUUUAUUAGUAGAUGGUUUCAAACAUAACCUUUUAAGCAUUAGUCAAUUUUGCGACAAAGGUUUUUAAGUGAUUUUUUAAGCAUCUCAUUGCAUCAUCAAGGAUAUUCAAAAUGAUAAAACCAUUUUCAUGGGCCAUAGAUGUGAUAAUGUUUAUGCUAUAAAUAUUUCAAAAUAUGAUGGCCAUGAUAGAUGUUUUUCAAGCAUGCAUGAUCAAAGUUGGUUGUGCCAUAGGAGAUUGAGACAUGCUAACAUAGACCUCAUUUCCCAACUCAACAAAGAUGAACUUGUUAGAGGCCUUCCCAAAAUAAUUUUUUAAAAAGAUAAAGUUUGUGAAGCUUGUCAAGUGGGAAAGUAAAUCAAAAACUCUUUUAAAAACAAAAACUUCAUUUCCACAUCUAGGCCACUUGAGUUGUUGCAUAUGGAUUUAUUUGGUCCCUCUAGGACACCAAGUCUUAGAGGAAAUUCUUAUGCAUAUGCUAUUGUGGACGACUUCUCUAGAUACACAUGAGUCUUGUUUUUUAGUCAAAAGAAUAAAGUUUUUUAUGAGUUUUCAAAGUUUUGCAAUAAGAUUCAAAAUGAAAAAGGUUUUUCAAUUACUUAUAUAAGAAGUGAUCAUGGGAGAGAAUUCGAAAAUAUUGAUUUUGAAGAGUAUUGCAAUGAGCAUGGAAUUGACCACAAUUUUUUGGCUCUUAGAACUCCUCAACAAAAUGGGGUAGUUGAAAGGAAAAAUAGAACUCUUCAAAAAAUGACAAGAACCAUACUAAAUGAAAACAACUUACCAAAAUAUUUUUAGGCCAAAACGGUUAACACUUCUUGUUAUGUUUUAAAUAGAGUAUUAUUGAGGCUCAUACUUAAGAAAACUCCCUAUGAGCUUUGGAAAAACAAAAAACCCAACAUUAGUUAUUCCAAAGUCUUUGGAUGCAAUAUUUUAUAAUAAACACCAAAGACAAUCUUGGAAAAUUUGAUGCAAAAUUGGAUGUUGGAAUUUUCCUUGGUUACUCAACUUCAAGUAAAGCUUUUCGAGUUUUAACAAAAGAACCAUGGUUGUAGAGGAGUCCAUCCAUGUUAUUUUUUAUGAAUCUCCAAGAAAGAGAGAGGAUUGAUGAUGAUUUAGGUUUGAAGACCUCUAUAGGAAGAUUGCAAAUCGAAGAUAGAAGACAACAAGAAGAAAAUGGAGAGAAUCCAAAGAAAGAAGGAUCACCAUUGGCACUACCCCCUCAUCAACAAGCGCAAGGUGAAUCAAGUCAAGAGCUUCCUAAAGAAUGGAAGUUUGUCAUCAAUCACCCACAAGAUCAAAUUAUAGGCAAUCCAUCUAGUGGGGUAAGAACUAGAUCCUCUCUUAGAAAUAUUUGCAAUAAUCUAGCUUUUAUCUCUCAAAUUGAGCCUAAAAAUAUAAAUGAUGUUUUAGAUGAUGAAAAUUGGAUAAUUGCAAUGCAAGAAGAGUUAAAUCCAUUUGAAAGAAGUGGAGUAUGGGAAUUAGUACCAAGACCUUCAAAUCAAAGUGUUAUUGGAACUAGAUGGAUCUUUAGAAAUAAAAUGGAUGAAAAUAGCAUAAUUGUUAGAAAUAAAGCAAGAUUGGUAGCCCAAGGUUUUAAUCAAGAAGAAAUGAUAGAUUAUGAAGAAACCUUUGCCCCCGUAGCUAGGUUGGAAGCCAUUAGGAUGCUACUUGCCUUUGCAUGUUUUAAAGACUUUGUUUUAUAUCAAAUGGAUGUGAAAAGUGCUUUUUUAAAUGGUUUUAUAAAUGAAGAAGUAUAUGUUGAACAACCACCCGGUUUUCAAAGUUUCAACUUUCCUAACCAUGUUUUUAAACUUAAAAAGACACUUUAUGGUUUGAAACAAGCACCUAGAUCAUGGUAUGAAAAAUUGAGUAAAUUUCUUUUGAAAAAAAUGUUUUAAAAUGGGAAAAAUUGACACAACUCUUUUUAUAAAAACCAAAGAAAAUGAUAUGCUCUUAGUUCAAAUAUAUAUUGAUGAUAUCAUUUUUGGUGCUACUAAUGUCUCUCUUUAUGAAGAAUUUUCUAAGUGCAUGCAUAGUGAGUUUGAAAUGAGCAUGAUAGGAGAACUCAACUUCUUCCUUGGACUUCAAAUCAAGCAACUAAAGGAAUGAACCUUCAUCAAUCAAGCAAAGUAUAUAAGAGAUCUUCUCAAAAGGUUCAACAUGGAAGAAGCCAAAACAAUGAAGACUCUAAUGAGCUCAUCCAUUAAGCUUGAUAAGGAUGAGAAAGGUAAAUCCAUUGACUCUAUUAUGUAUAGAGGCAUGAUAGGUUCUUUGCUCUAUUUGACCACUAGUAGACCUUACAUUAUGUAUAGUGUGUGUUUGUGUACUAGAUUUCAAUCUUGUCUUAAAAAAUCUCACUUAAGUGUCGUGAAAAGAAUCCUCAAAUAUUUGAAAGGGACAAUGGACAUAGGCUUAUGGUAUCCUAAGAGUGAUAACUUUGAAUUAAUUGGUUUUUUGGAUGCUGAUUUUGUCAGUUGUAGGGUUGAAAAAUAAAACACUAGUGGCACUUUUCAUUUCUUAAGACACUUACUUGUCUCAUGGCAUAAUAAGAAGCAAAAUUUGGUAGCUUUGUCAACAGCAGAAGCUAAAUACAUAGCAACUGGUUUAUGUUGUGCACAAAUCCUUUGGAUGAAAUAAACACUUAGUGAUUUUGAUUUAUCUUUUGAGCAUAUUCCUAUUAAAUGUGAUAAUAGUAGUGCCAUAAGUAUAUCAAAAAAUCUCGUGCAACACUCUAGGACUAAGCAUAUAGAGAUUAGACAUAAUUUUCUUAGAUAUCAUACACAAAAGGAUGAUAUAACACUUGAAUUUGUAAGCAUAAAAGACCAACUUGCCGAUAUCUUUACAAAACCUCUAAGAACAUUUUGUUGAUAUUAGAGGACAAUUAGGAGUGAUUUCUUUAUGAUCUAAUGUGAUGAAUUCUUGAUGAAUAUACUUUUUGAUUGCAUGAAUUUCAUGUCAUAUAUGCAUCAUAUAGAAAUAUACUUAGAUAAUGGUCAAAUUUCGACCAAAAAUCAAAAUUCCCAUGGCAUUAGGCAUAAAAAUUUUGGAAUUUCAACUGAAAAUGGUAGGAGGAGGAUCACAAAAUGAGAAAGUAUGCAAAAAUUGAAAAAUCAAAACGUUGACCAAGCGGUCAAUCGGACUAGACCGAUCGACUAGUUUGUCGAGAUUUAGGAUUUUUAAGAGACUCCAACGCUUCAAUUUUUGCACCGUUCUCCUCUAUUUCUUCACGGUUUCUCUGAUUUUGUCUUUUAGAGACUAAUUUGAGUGCGUUUUGGAUCAAUUGAAGCAUUUUGGAUUGGAUUUUAGGAAGAUUGAAAGUUAAGGUUUCGGAUUUGGGUCGCCUUCUCUUCCUCUCGCGUGUCACAAUCAGCUUUAGCAUUGUUCUCUUUCCAUUUUCACACACCUAGGGUUUCAGUUGUGAGCAUCUCUCUCUCUUUACCAACCACUACUCCCUUGCUUCUUCCAUAUGGCUCCUAGGCGAGAGUCCGCUACUUCUAGGGCACAAGGCAAGCACCCAACUGAGUCGUCUCAGUCAAAGGCACGUCGAAAAGUGAGAUUUGACAUUGCCUUGUUCAGUUCCAUGGAGGACUACCAACUAUACAAGCAACACUUUGCUUAGAGACGAGUAGUUCCCAAGAGAAAUAUUAAUUUUCCUCAACUUCAGCAUUUCGAAUUUAAGGGUCUAUUUACUAGGAUGGUUGGUUGUCUAUUGUCACAAUUUCGGAGCCGGUUUUCCUGACCUUAGUGCGAGUUUUUUACUCGAGGGCGACUUAUGGCAUGGGUGGCAUGAUCAUUUCUACUGUUGGAGGAGUUGAGAUCUGUCUGGACCCAGAGAGCAUCUGCCAUAUUUUCGAUAUUGCUCUGGUUGGACUCAAAGUAUACAAGUCCAAAAUGUGGCCCAUUGUGCCAGGAUUUGAGCUUAGAGAGGUCAUUCAGAGGAUUUGUGAACUUCCAGACGCCCAGGAGAUGGGCAAACCAUUGCCACACAGUUUGACGGUCAUCAACAGGGUGCUACACCAUAUAUUGUGCUCUAUCUUUCUACCACGAAGUGGACAUUGAGAUGAGGUCUCUUAUUAUGAGGCAUUCCUUAUUGACUCCAUUCUAACGGAGAGACGAAUUCAUCUACUAUGUCAUCAUUCACUAAGCCUCCUCACAGUGACAUACCACCUCAUCAGGCACCUCUUGCUCCUGACCAUGCUCCAUUGAUGGAUUUAUUUACUCAUAUUAGCUCUCUAGGCACUCGCAUGAAGGAGUUUGUUGUAGUUAGUGAUACAUGGUUCUACUCCAUAGAGGAUCGCAUGGAUCAGUAUCAGACUGGCUUCACGUCACAGUUUGAGUAUCUCCAAUAGAGGAUUGAGCAUAUUGAGGAUCACUUGAGCAUGAGAAGAUGAUGGCUUUUCUAUGCUCUGUGUUUCCACCUCCACCUCGUCAACCUUGAUUUCUUAGAGACCCAUUGUUUUCAUUUUGUAAUGUUGCCAAAAGGGGGAGAUAUUUAGGAUCUAGGACUCUAUAGGAGACUUACAUGCAUAUCAUUUUCAUAUCAUUGUUUGGAUCGUACAUAUUGGAUAGUGAUACUUUUUACUUAUAUAUGAUAUGCCUAUAUGUUUCAUGUCUUACAUUGUUUCUUAUUGCAAAUUAUCUCUAACAUGUCUUGAUUAUCUUUUUUUUAACUUCAUAAAUUUUGAUUGUUAACCCAUGAUUGGUUUGAGGGGAAGAUUCUUCUUCUCCUAGAUAACCAAGGUUUGUCAUCAUAAAAAAAUUGGAGAUUGUUAGCCCAAGGGUUCUCCUAAUCAUGUUUUGAUGAUAACAAACCAUGCUUAAGUUACUAAUUGGUUUGAAUUAUAAAGAAUUUCAAGUGUUAAUUUGAAAAUUCAUCAAAGAACCUAAUGGAUGCAAGAUCAAGAUUUUUGGAAGACCUUUAAUCAUAAGAAACAUAUGUAAGAUGAAUGCAUGGGUGCACUUAAGAUUUGCAUAUCAUUUCAUGCAUAUUUGGAAAACACGGUUUAUGCUUUAAAGUUACAUUUCCAUCAAAAUUUGAGAUCCAUCAAAUGAACCUUAGGAAAAAUGUUUUAAAAUUGGCAUAUAAUUUUACCUAAAGACCUUGCCUAAGUGUUAGAAGCAAAAGGACAAAAAAAAUAUAGGUUUUCUGGUCAAAAAUGGUGAACCAGUCAAGGCAUUGUCUAAAUCAGCUCAAUCGGCCAAGGUACCGGUCGAUCGGUUUCCCUUUCCCUGUCGAGAUCUAGUCAAGAGGUACAAAAAUCACAAUCUCUGUCUCUUUCUCUCUUUGUCUAUCUUCCAGUAGUCUUUCCUUCCCGGUCGAGGGAUUUGCCUUCCCGAUUGAGGUCCGAUUGAGAGUAAUAGUCACUUGCCAAAUAUUAAAUGCUCCAACAGUUAGUGAACUGGUCGACCCCCACCUUGCCCAGUUGAGGUUACUUUUUGGUUUUCUUGGCUCCCGAUGUUAGAAACCUAUAAAUAGAGAGUUCCACUUCAUUUAUGAGCAAGAGAACACUUGCAUUUAUUUGUUUACCUACUUGUUCUUGCCUUAAAAGCUCUCAUUUCUUUUCUUGGUGCAUUAAAUCUCCAUUUUGAUAUCCUUUAGUGCACCUUUGUGAUUCAUCUUAGCCUUGAGUUGUAUUUGAGCCCUUUUUUUAGCUAGGUUGAGAGUUUCAUACUUGUUAAUUGAGUGUUAAAGCCUUCAAGUGAGUUGAAACUUGUAGAGAUUAUGUGAGAGUCGAUUGGAGCCGAAAUCCAAGUGUAAAGGUGAUUAGAAGCUUGGUUGAAGCUUCAAGUUAGUGGAAUCCUCACUCAAUUAGGAGCUUGAGGAGAGUGGACGUAGCCAAGGAAGUGUCGAACCACUAUAAAAUUUGAGUUUGAUUUCUCUAACAUUGUCUCUUUAUAUUUGUUUAUCUUGUGCUUAAAUUUAUUGUGUUUAAAAAGAAUUUUUAAAUACCCAAUUCACCCCCCUCUUGGGUGUUUUUCUCUUUUAAAAUUAGCCUUUAUUUUCUCACAAACUAUUGUAGUAUAGUGGUUUUUAGGUGUCAUCCAUUAGGAUGAAUUGUUCUCGGUAAUUAAGGCGUGAAUGAGAGGAGAAUUAAUGAUUGUGAUUAAGUAAAAUUGAUUUGAAAAUUCAUGGUGAAAAAUCAAUUUAACAAUGGUUUCUAAUUGAGAAAAACAAUGAAAUGUGAAAUAAAAUAAAAUUAAUAGGAAAUGAAAUUCUCGAAGUUAGAAUUUUCUAAAAAACAAAUUCCAUGGUGAAUGGAUGUUGAGAUCUAAUUUUCAUCAAGUUAGAUUGAAAACCGAAAUUUUCAUAUAAACUGAUUUUUUAUUUAGUUUUAGGUCUAGAUUUAAUUUCCCUUAAAAUUAGGUUAUUUAAUCCAAGAAAUCAAUUCAAAUCAUAUAUUCAAUUCAUCUUAAAUUAUCUUCCAAUUAUUCACACAAUGCAACUAUUCAAUCUCAUCAAAUCUAGCUUUUAAGAAUUUAAUGAAUCUACCUAGUUUGCAUUGUAAUAGUCAUCCAUGACAAUUUGAAGAGAAAAAUAAUUCAAUUAAUCAAUCACUUGGAUCAAAUUACCUUUGCAAUUAAAGUUCAUUUCUCUAAUUCACCACAGAUUUUGUCUCUAGAUCCUCCUUUCUCAAAGAAAAAUGAGAUUUAGCCACACAUGAUUGGAGAUUUGGUCUCAUAAGGCAUGUUUAGCUAGUGAUAAAAUGAGAGAAAAUAAAGAAAAAUAGAGAAUUCGAUUAAGAAAGAAAAUCUAAAAAAUUCUACAAUUAGAAAUGUCCAAAAAGCUUUUUCAUGAGAAAAUCAAGUUUCUAUUUAUAGGCCAAGGUCAAGUGGACACUUGACAUCAUCUAAGAGGUCUUCCGGAAGCUUCUUCAUCAAGAAAUCUGGAGUUUAAUAAUAAAAUGGUCAUUUCACAAGAGCUCAAACAAUUUCGCAUGAUUAUGUGAAAUAAAAAAUGCAACAACAGCAAUUUACAUCUUCUUGGAGCAUUUCGCAUGACUGUGUGAAAUUUUCACAUGAUCAUGUGGAAUCGACUUGACAACUCUCAUUUAGCCUACAACAUAAUUCCACCUUUUGGUCCAUUUUUCAUAGUCAUGCGAAAUGGAAAUAUUUGAUUUUUAAGUUUUCUUUUGUCAUUUCUUUCAUUUCCUUCUCUUGAUUCCACUUCAACUACCUCCGAAUCCUGGUCCAAACCAAUUGCAUUACUUCUUUCAUUAUGCAUUUGGAUCAUCAUCAACAUUAUUUGUUCUCUUCAAUUUGAUUCAUCUCUUUUGUCACCAAUUUAUCAAAAUCAUACCUUGAAAUGACUCCAAAACUUCAUAAAACUUGUUAGUAACUCUUGCAAGGGCAACAACAUAUUAAUUAAGUGUUUUAGGCAUAGUUACUACUCAAAAGAUGCGAAACUCAUGAUAAUUAUUAUAUAAAAUAUGCUCUUUUUGAGUAGUAAUCAACUUUCUUGCAUAAGCAGACCUUUUAGGGUGGAGUACUAAAGACCAAUAUGCUUGUCCUUGUUGUAAUAAAGAAACUUGCUCUUAUUGAUUGCACCAUGGGAGAAAAUUUUGCUACAUGAGUUAUCAUCAAUUUCUUCCCACCAAUCAUAGAUUUAGACGUGACAAGAGGCCUCUUAAUGGCAAGGAGGAACUGACACUCACACUUAUACAAUUAUCGGGCAUUGAUGUGUUGCAACAAUUAGAAUAACUUACACCAAUUAUGUUGGGGAAGUCACAAAAGGCAAACAUGAAAACUAAAAGGAAAAAAGAAAAAUGUUACAUAUCACCACAACUGGAAAGAAAAAAGUAUUUACUUUCAUUUGCCAUAUUGGAAAGCACUUAUUUUACAUCAUAAUAAUUUAGACAUAAUGCAUAUUGAGAAAAAUGUGUGACAAUAUAAUUGAGACAUUGUUCAGUAUUGACGAAGAAACAAGGACAACCUAAAUAGUCAUCUCGAUUUACAAGCUCUAACUAUUAGAAAUGAGAUUCACCCAAUAGAAAGCAGGACCAAAUUUAUUUUGCUUGCAACAUGCUACUCACUCACCCCAAAUGAGAUUAAGGAAUUUUGCAAGUUUUUGAAAUCAAUAAAGGUCCCCAAUGGCUAUUCUUUCAAUAUCUCUCGUUAUGUGCAACUCAAUGAAAGGAAGAUAUAUGAGCUCAAAUUGUAUGAUUGUCAUGUCCUAAUGCAACAACUUCUCUCACUUGUAGUUCGUGGAGUUCUACAUAAGAAUGUUUGUGGAGUUAUCAUAGAAUUGCGUAAUUUUUUCAAGCAAUUGUGCUCAAAGGUGUUAGAAACAAAUCACUUACACCAACUUGAGAACAAUAUUAUUGUCAUACUAUGUAAAAUGGAGCAAAUAUUUCUUCCAUCAUUCUUUGAUAUUAUGGUGCAUUUACUUGUGCAUCUAGUAAGGCAAAGGUUGCAAGACUUGUGCAAUAUUGUUGGAUGUACCUAAUUGAACGAUAUUGUUAUAAUUUCAUAUGAAUCAUUUAAUUUUAUUUUAUAUUAUGUUCAGUUCAUUAACAUGUACAUUGGUCUACAUAUGGAUGAUGAUAGGUACCUAAGCACUUUAAAGUCAUAUGUGCGUAAUAGAACUUUUCUAGAAGGUUCUAUUGUAGAAAGGUACCUUGCAAAAGAAUGUACAACAUUUUAUUCUAGGUACUUGAAUGAUGUGGAAAUAAAGUAUAAUCACAAUGAUAGAAACUUUGUUGGUUUCAACACUAGAGGAGAUGAAAGGGGUUAUCUUUAAACAUAUUGGACAUGCAUUGGGAAAGCCCAUAUUUCAUUAACUUAGUUCAAAAGAGUGGUCACAAGCACAUUUAUAUGUGUUGACAAAUUGCGAAGAUGUCAUACCAUUCAUUGAGUAAAAAAUUUAUUUGAAUUUUAAUUAAAGCUCUAGUUUAUAUCCUUAAUCAAUGUUUUUUAAAUUCACAAGGAGCACAAGCAAACCAUCAAGGCUAGACCACAUAUACGUGUUUGAGACGUAGAUUUAAUUCAUAACAAGGAAUUUAUCAAGUGGUUUGAAAGACAUGUAAGUAUAUUCCUUAUUAUAAGGGAUUUAUUUCACAUUAUGUUUAUAUUGAAUCCAAACCUAUUAUUGAAUUGUAGGUUGAACAAUUACAUAAUGAAGGUCAUAUAUCUGAACACCUUCUCACAUUAUCAUGUGUUCCAAAUUCAUUAGUUACAUGCUUCAAAUGAUAUAUUGUCAAUGGAUUUAGAUCCCACAUUAAAGAACGUGAUAAAAAAGUUUUUAAAAAAAGACUCAGAAUAAUGGAAUUGUUGUAGUUGCAAAAACGUCAAGCUUUACAAGUGCAUGUGAUAUGAGUCCAAUUAUUAGUGAUGCUCUCUACUAUGGUGUUCUAACUAAAGUUGUUGAGUUACAUUAUCUUGGUGAAAAUAAGGUUGUUUUAUUCGAGUUUGAUUGGUGGGAUGUUACAAAUAUUGGAAAAUUGAUAAAAGAUGAUGAGUACAAUUACACAUUUGUUAACUUUGCAUGAAUUCUAACCACGAACGAACGAUUUGUACUUGCAUCUCCAGCAAAGUAAGUGUUCUAUGUGAAGAAUGCGAAUGAAUCAGAUUGGCAUACUAUCAUGGAGAUGCAACCUCAAGACCUCUAUAAGAUGAACGGGAUAGGAUCCAAUGGUGAUUUUGAACCAUUUCAACAAAGUGAACUACAUGAUCACUAAUAUAUCUCAGAUUUAGUUGAUGAAGAUAUAAUCAAGUGGAACAAAAGUGAUGUUUUAGGACUAAUCAUCCUAAAAAAUAUUGUAGUUUCUUAAAAAAAAAAUGAAAAUGAAGAAGAUAAUUGAACCUUUGUCAUACUUUAAAAAGCAACUAUGCAUUGUUCAUUUUGUAUGUUUUGGUUUUCUUCAUUUAAUUUCCUGAUUUUUGUGAUUCAAUGUCAUAUUAUUGAUCUUGAAAUAUUUUUCUAAUUUUUCAUUCUACGAUGGUUUCAACAAGGAUGACAUCAAGUCAAAAAAGGAAAUGUGGUCCCACACACAAUAUUGCAUUACAGGGAUUAAGGUCAGGGAAGAAGGUAAAAGUUGCAUUUAAUGAGUACAAUCAAUUGGUUAAACAGAAAAAUGGAAAACACUUAUCGAGCUACAUAGGGACACUUGUAUCUAACCAACACAAUGUACCUCUCCAAGCUAGUGAUUGGAAAAAUGUUCCAAAUGAUGCAAAAGAGAAAGUAUGGCCUUUGUUUUGGUAUGUUGUAUUUCUCACUAUAUGAUGUCAUUUCACUGUUAUUCUAUUUUGUGACUAACGUUUGAAUCAUAUGUAAGAAAAAUUUGAAGUAGAUAAAGACUGAAAAGAUUACAUGUUGGGUAUAGCCUCAAAUAAAUAUAGAAGCUAUAAAAAUAUGAUGAAUGCAAAAUACUAUGACCCUUGGCAUAAGGAUGCAUGAGGAGAGGUUAAUACAUAAAUCACCAUUUGUCUCUGAUGUUGAUUGGAAGUGGCUUGUCUCUGAUGCAUAAACCAAAUCCCCCACUGAAUGUUUGAUAUUUGAUAGCAGGAAAAACACACCCGCAGCUAUACACCUCCAUCAUUCAGAUAAUUAUAGUGGGGGAGAUGAUUCAUGGUUGCCCUUAUACCCUUUAUUUGCACCAUCUAUUGAGAUUCUUUAUCAUGGCCAGGUUUUACUGCAGCAAUAAGAUAUGGUGGCAACAAUUUUAUCUAUAGGUGCGGUUCCAGACCGCCUCCAUAGGUGCGGUUCCUGACUGCCUCCAUAGGUGCCUCUUCUUGUAAUGUUUGUUCUGGGAAUUACACUUGAAAGCCUUAUCGUGAUAAGGGAUUACAAACACUAGUUCAGAGGACAGCCAUGUUAAACUUCCACUAUGUUUGUGUCACAUUAUCAGCAGCCUAGUGUUUAUUGGUCAUGCUAUCUGCAACUAAUAUAACCCGGUGAACUUCAAUCUAAAUUCUGAAAGUACUCAUGUGACAGAUGGUGCCUUUCAGCAGAUAUCAUCAAUUUAAAAGUAGUGUGUGUGCCUAUAGGUGGGAAGGCCUUGGCAAAUGUUCAGUAUUCCGGUAAUUCAAGAAGGAUAUAUCUAAAAUAGAUUUUCUUCUUGCCCAUUUCAAUAGUUAAAAUUUGAGAAGAUUGUGUCCACAUCACACAAAUAUUAUUGGUCCUUCUGUUGCAAUUUACCUCUGAACAUGUCUUCCAAUUCCCACGGUCCUGUUACUCCAGGAAAACUAUUUCGGUCAUAUUGAAAAAAAAAAUAUUAAAGAAGGUACACAUGCUUUUAAGUGGACUGGGGCAUUCAUAUCAGGUGGUCUGUAUCCACAUAUGCCACUUCGUGAAAGGUGGAACAGCCUAAUCACUAGGCUAUUUAGUGUGGCCCAGCCACGUUAAUCAAGCACAAGUCUUCAUACUUAAAGUCAAAUGGUGUCUUUAGUCUCAUUACACAUCGCUAUUUGAAGAUUAACUCAUCACUAGUGUAAUGCGAUUAAGACAGUCCUAACUCAAUAUUUGUUCUAGUUUUGGAUGCAAAUGCUUGCUGGUUUCAUCAUUGGAUGGGAUAAAGGUGCAAUCAGGACUAUGAAUACGUGCAGUAAUACUUCAUUCUCUUUUUUCUCAAUGAGACUUCUUGGCACAAUUUUGCUGCUCAGCAACCUACCUUUCCAUGGAAAAUCAGUUGUGACUGAUAGUAAUGGAUAUAUUCUAGAAAGCUAAACAUAGAUAGCAUUCAAUAUUAUCGAUAUAACAUUAACAGCGUAUGUCUCAAUGCUCAUCAGCUACAAGCAAUGGACAAACACUUUGAGUAACUCACAGCAGUCAAAAUUCCUAAACAGGACAGACGUGACAGAUCUAUAUAUAGAACACUGCAUAUGAGUCACAGGAAAAGAUAAUACGGGUACAUAGAAGCUCUUAUUUUACAUAUUACUCAUACUGAUCAAAGUCGCUCAGUUGGGAUGGAUGGGAGAAGGAGGUUUGAGGGGUGGCUUGUGCGGGGAAGUUGGCAGCUUCUUUCCGGGAGCUGGUUGCUUCUUUGCUGGAGUUGAAGGAGGCUUAAUCUUCCGAGGUGGCUUGUAUGAGUCUUCAGCAUUCUCAGCAGGAGGGUGACCAGGGUUGUGACCAUAAUGUGGUGGCUUCUCUCCCUUAGGUGGUUUGCCAACUGGGGUUGGUGGCUUGUUUUCUGGGAGUGGCUUCUCUCCCUUGGGUGGUUUGCCAACUGGGGUUGGUGGCUUGUGUUCUGGGAGUGGCUUCUCCCCCUUGGGAGGUUUUUCGAAUGGGGUGGGUUUGUGUCCUGGUGGUGGCUUCUCUCCCUUGGGAGGUUUACCAAUUGGGGUCGGUGGCUUGUGUUCUGGGAGGGGCUUCUCUCCCUGGGGAGGUUUAGUGGGUGGCUUGUGUUCUGGAGGUGGCUUCUCCACCGGAGGCUUAUGCUCUGGUGGUGGCUUCUCGAAGGGGGGAUGCUCAGGGUAAUCACCAAGUGAGGGGGUGGUGAGAACCACCAUGCCAAGCAACAACACUAGCAAGUAUGUAGUAGACAUCUUUGGGUUUGGACUCAGACAGUGCAAAACUACGAGAAAUCGCUAGCCCUUUAUAGCGGCUCGGACCUAAUACUGACAUAAUAUAAAAUAAAUAUUAUAUUUUAUCAAGAGAGAACAGAGUGUAAUUUUAUCAUUAAUACCGAUCGAGGCCAAAGAAAGAAGACCCAUAAUCCAUUUCCCACAAGCAUACACAAUGCAGCUGUAAUUUUAUCAUUUACUUUUAUCCCUUGGACCACUGCAUUUUUGUUGAGAGACACAAUAACACAUUUUUAUCUGUCAUUCAACAUUUACAGUAAAGAGAGGGCACAAAACGCAAUUAGAUAAAUUAUGUUUUGCCUGCUAAAAAGAGGCAAAUAACUUUAUUUGCAACAUAAUUAUUUUGGUUUCUAGUGACCCCGGGGCCUUUCGGUUGGUUUGGGAUCGGAAAAUGAACAUCAUAGGGGGGGUUGUGCCCUUAUGGGCAUAUAUAUCUGAUAGCUUCAACUGGCCUUGUUCCUAGAAAGAAAUUGCCAAAGAUAUAAACUUAUUCCAGGCUGAAAGUAGAUGAGAGUCAUAAUGAACAUCAACCUUUGUUCAGUUUGAUUCAAUGCCCCCAUAGUGUUCAUUUCACAGAUCUGAAUGAUUAUAUCCGUUGAAUACAUAAAUUAAUGAAGACAAAUAUGAAACCCAAGAUACAUCUCUGCAUAACAACCCCAACCCUGGUUGCUAUGUUUCCCUUCUUCUAUUCACAUGAGGAUACUGGUUAUAAUUGUCAAACUUGCAACAAGCCCUUUGACACCUAACGUCAAUGGACGAAUUAAAAGUCUCCUUCAAACGUCUAUUUCACAGCAUGAAGCUUAUAAAGGAUGCUGACAACCUUCAGAGUUAGCGACAAAAGAUAAUUAUCAAGGAGAGAUAGUUCCAUGAGAAUUCCAAGGAGUCUGAAUCAAAGACAAAUUGCUCACUCAAGGGUUCUUAUUUUCUUUUAGGUACAAAUCUCUUGAGUGUUGUUAAAGAAACACGUCACUGUCAUUUUGAUUUGCAUUUAACAUUUCACUUUUGUUCUGGAAGGUUUGUUCCGGAAACAUAUCAAAUGAGCAUCAUUUUCUUCUUCGGUGACACAUGGUCGCGAGUACGUGGGUCCAUUUUCAUGCCACUUAGUUGAAAAGUUGGAAAGAAAAAACAUGCCAACAAGAAGAUAGUGAGAGAAGGGGCACUUCAAGCCUUUAACAUGAACAAACAGUAAAUAAAAGAUGUUUCUCCACUCAUAAAAGUGUGUUAGAUAGCAAUAUAACGAAUCACAUCCAAAAUCUUUACUAGGCUCAAACAUAAAGAAGACUCAUUUUUAAGAAAAGAUAAAAAUGGCAUUGUCUGAUAGUAUCCAAUACACGAGAUGGCACUUAAUUUGUACAAGAUCUGUCAAUGCUGACGCACAUUUUCUGAUUAAAAAAAAACUGAUCAGUCAAAAGCAAUGAAGAGAAGUGAUGACAAUGAAUGAUGCUUCCAAUAUUUUCACCCCUUAUAGUGUUCUUCAUGAUUCAGAUAUAUAAUUGGAAAUAGAACAACCCUAUGCCAUACAUUCGUCUAAGUAUGGUGUCUAAUUUUUUGUGUCAGCGGUUGCGAAUGGAGCGUGCAAAAGUCCAAAUUGGCGUCUCUCCAUUUCCACAUAGGAAGGUGACCUUUAUUGACAAAUACCCAAUAUUUGUAGACAUUCCUUAAAUAUCAUAACUUCUUGUUGAUUUGAAAAUCAUUUUUCAACUACCAUGUUUUAAUAAAUAUUUUUUAAAAUGUAUUUUUAUCAAAGUCCACCAUGAUGGAUAAUAUUCACCAUGCAAUAAUUAAUAAAGUACAAACUAAGCGAAAUGAAAAGCAUUUUCUUUGCUUUGAGUUGAUUUUGGUUGCAUUGAGUUGAUUUUGGUUUCAUGGUUUUUUCAACUCUUAUUUUGAUUGGAAGAUGUCAAGAAAAGAAAACAUAAAGAAAAAUUAAAAGGGAAAAAAGAAGAAAAAUAAAAAAAAAUAGAUUUAAAAGUUAAUAAAUUAUUUUUUAUAUUUAUUUUAAUUCAUUUCACUUAUUUUUCUUUUACUAUAUAAAAUUUAAAUAAUUUAAAUUUUAUAAUUAAUUUAAUUACAUUUCAUUUUCUUCUAUAUUUAAAUAUUGGAAAAAUAUUUUACUUAAUAUUUUUUUCUUUAAUUUCUUUGGCAUUUUGGGAACCAAACUUAGCCUUUAAAAUAAAAAACAAAAAAAAAAUGAAAAUAAGGAGGGAAAAGUGAGAAAAGAUAAAAACAAUAUGUAAAGGAUUUGAAAAGUAUUAGUUUGUAAUUACUAUUUGGAUUUCAAUAGUAUUUUAUUUGUCUUUCUAUAUUUCAUGUAAGAGAGAAUUUAAGAUAUUCCCCAAGGCAAAGCAUUAGUUACCUGCAAUCAGUGGUGAUAAGGCUCCAAGCCAAUUUUGGGCCCCAUAUCUUAAGACAGUACAAUUUCCAUUUCAACAUUUCUGAUUUCUCAGAUGUUUCACAUACCACAGAAGAACAUUGUUUGUGAAAAUAUGCAUUUAUGUUGGAUUUUGUAUGCUGUGGGGACUGGGGCAAGGAUCAUAUGGAAGAGUGGUUGACUUUUUCUGUACUUUAACGGUUGAAAUAGGAUAAGCACGGGCAUUUGUGAGGCUUAAUUGAUUUUGAAGCCUGAAAUUGCGUUUCUGUCAUUUUGUCAAAAAAAUGGCAGAUUCCAUACUCAUAUGUUUGGCCUGUGGCCAUGUACAGAUGCCAUUUAGUGACCAGUUUGUAACUGUCAAUCGUUGCGUUUUGACUCUGCCUCAACAACAUCUGCCAUUGACGGGUUUUCAUACUUGCAAAUCAAAUAGUCUUUCGUCCCAUCAGGAAUUUCGGUUUAAAUAUUAUUAAGCAUACGUUUGGCUGACAAUCAUUAUCCAGUUCAUGAUUUGGUUUCUUACCCUUAAUCAAUGGUUUCUAAGUGAAUAUAUGUAGAAGGAAAUCCGAAGUGUAGACAGUAGUAUCGAUAACUCUCAAUAUUCUCUAUAUAAUAGAAUAAACAGCGUCAUAGUGAUCGUCGCCUACAAGCAAGGUACAAAUACCAAAACGAGUGACUCACAUAGACAUCUCCCAACAAGAUGUAGUAGUGACUGACACAUGGACACAAUUAACUCGUAGAAAAGGAUAAGACCAUUGCACAGCAGCUCUUAUUUUACAUACUACUUAUGCUAACCAAAGUCAAUUAGUUGGGAUGGGUGGGAGAUGGAGGUUUGUGCGGUGGCUUGUGGGGCGGAGUUGAUGGCUUCUUUCCAGGAGCUUCUGGCUUUUUCAUCGGAGCUGAAGGAGGCUCAAUCUUAUGAGGCGGCUUGUAUGAGUCUUCUUUACUCUCGACAGGAGGGUGGCCAGGGUUGUGAUCAUAAUGUGGUGGCUUCUCUCCCUUAGGUGGCUUGCCAACUGGGGUUGGUGGCUUGUGUUCAGGAAGUGGUUUCUCUCCCAUGGGAGGUUUAGCAAUUGGGGUUGGUGGCUUGUGUUCUGGGAGUGGCUUCUCUCCCUUGGGAGGUUUAGUAGGUGACUUGUGUUCUGGAGGUGGCUUCUCCACCGGAGGCUUGUGCUCCGGUGGUGGCUUCUUGGUUGGAGGGGGCUUGGGGUAAUCAGCAAGAGAUGGGGUGGUGAGAACCACCAGUCCAAGGAACAACACUAGCAAGUAUGUGGGAGACAUUUUUGAGUUUGGGCUGAUCAGAUGAUGCAAAACUAAAGCAUUACGUGACCUUUUAUAGCAUGUAGCUCCCAAUACCCACUAAGUAUUGUGGGGUCCAUUUGUGCCCUACGGGGUUGAAAACUUAGACAAUUGGGCAAGGACCCACCUGACUAUGGAGGACUAGUGAGGUGUGAUCAUAGCUUUAGGAUUUUUCUUCCUCUGCAGCCGUCGUGCCGUUGGCAUGAUUUUCUUAAUCUUAAAUAAAGGCAUAGUUAUAGAGUUGUUUAAUCUCUAAAUGGGAUUUUAUAUAUAUCUUCAGAUAGCCAUUAAUAUAUUUGAUGAAGAAAGAAAGACAAGUGCAUACAACAUGUAUACGACUAGCUUUCAUGGAGUUCAUUUAUGAUCAGUUUUCCUGUACAUGUAAACCAGGAUCAUAUAUAUGUUUCUGUUCCACAACUAUUUUGGAAUCUUGUUUAUCAGUUUUUAUCAUUAUAAUGUCACAUAGGCUGCCAACUUGGGCGCUAAAAGAACCAGUUGGGCUAGUUCGUUUCAGAAUUUCAAUGUGGAUUCAGGAAUUGUUUUGUAAGAUAUGCGAAAUAGUAGAGGGAUGAAUAGUGUUUCAUUAAUAAAAGUGUCCUGUAAAUUAGAAGGUGUCAUAGAAACUAUAAUCAAUAAAUAACUUUUUUUCCCCACGGGUGGUGUUUCUUGUGGGGAUCAGUGACUGGUUUAGGUUCACCCAAAAUGAGUUCAGACUAAAAUUGGUUUGAGUCAAUGCCGUGUCUCUUUUUUCCAGAAAUCAACUAUUUUAUGCAUUGAAUAAAUCAUACAAAGAAAAUAUGAACGCCCGCAAAACCUAAACCCUGGUUGCUAACUUUCUAUGUUUCAGUUCUAUUCACGCAAGAAUAUUAGUUUAAGUUUGGGAAAAAUGGCAACUUACCUAGUGAUUACUUGGUUUUGGUUUGCGACUAUUUACGCAACCAACCAUGAGUUUGACUUUAACGUCAUGGGUUGAAGCCUCCUACAGGAAGGGAGAAAGCUCCACAGCUAGCUCCAAAAGAGAAUUAUCACAUUGAUAGCUCCAGAGAUUCCCAAGGGGACUGAAUCAAAGACAAGUUCCUCACUUUUUCUUCUUUUGAGGCCAAAUAUGAACCAAGGAUCACACAACCUCAUUCAACUUCAUAAGUUUGAUUUCAUGCAGUUGAACACUGGGUGAAGGCCAUGACAAGAAUUGAUUCAAAAAUUCUAUCACUCUUUUAAGUAAUGGAAGAUUAUUAUCUCUGAUUGGCAUCACAACAGCACAUGCUCCUAGAUCUUUCUAGACACUCCAUGCAAUGAAAGCACAAUGGAUCUUGUAACGAUAGAAACUAAGCCAUGCUACAGUACUAGAUGAUGAGGUAAAACUAGUAGACACGGGUGGCAGCCUAUAUGGGAGGGACACAAGUCUAAUUGAUUUGCAUUUCAGCAUUAUAGAUAGGUAUGUUUUGGAAGAUUUGUUCUGGAAAUACCGCACCAAGUAGGAUUCUUUUUCUCUUUAGUGGGUCCACUUGCAUGCCAAUUAACGAGUUGAAAAGUAUGAGCACCUACCUCGUGCUCGUGGAACCGAAGGUCAGUGAAGUGGGGCUCCUUUUGGCCUCGUGUAAACUUGAUUCAGAAGUGAAGUUAAUAGUCUUCCAUUCAGAUGGAUACAUGGGAAUUUUUCUCUUUUAUUUAUUUAUUUAUUUUUUUUUUGUGUGUGUAUGUCAAAGGAUAAUGAAUGAAGCGCGUUAGCUUGUUUUCUGACUGGAACCGCAGAUGUCCAAAUUGGAGUUCCUUCAUUUCUUACUUAGGAUUGUUACAUGUAUAAACAAGGUAUAAGAAAUAUGCCAACGUGUCUUGAGGAGUUAUUGAUUAGAAAUAACAAGUCACCCGACUGUAGAGUUCCAAGAUUUGAAUCUUCAGACCCUAUAGCAGCCUCUGGGGUACGUGGCAUCCUAUAGCAUAUUAAUGAAGGCUUUUUCGAUUUAGACUUCACAAUACCAAUUAAUAUGUAUGCACAAAAUGGAGAUGACCCCAAAAAAAACAGAAUCGCCAUAGUUUAUGAGGUUAAGGUGAUUCUCCACUUAAUAUCUACAUUAGCUAAUUAUGUAAAUCAAAUGAACUUCUAUUUUUCCUUUUUUUUUUUGGUUUAUGUCAAAUAGUAGCCCAUAAUUAACCCAACCAUUAGCCUGUUUGAAUUGAUUUCACAUGCACAAUGUUGUAGUAGUUCAUAUUUUGAAUUUUAUUUUUACAAAGGUAGUUAAGGAAAAUGAAGUAUAAUAAUUAUAAAAGCAGACUAUAUACACUACAAUAAUUGUUAGAAUGGUAUCUCAAAUUCUAAUUUAAAAUAUUAUUUUUUGUAAAAGAAAUAUUAUAUAGAAUAUUUCCUAAUUUUAUAAAUGAUUAUAAUUAGAUCUUUAUAAAAUAAGGAAAGUUGGUAAGAAUAUCUUUAUAAAUAUUUUAGGUCAUGAGAGAAAGAAAUGGGAUAAAAAUGUGAUGAAGAGGUGAAAUAAGAGAGUUGAUUAGGAUAUAGAUGUGAAGAAGAAAGGGAUUCAAUAUAUAUAUAUCUUUCAAUUACCACAUUAAAACCCUGUGAACCUUUUAUAUGGUUUACUUUAUUUUUAUAUUCCUCCUUUAAUAUAUUUACAUUAAUGCUUCCAUUGGCACAACAAUAACGAAUUACAAAUACAAGCAACAAGUCCCAUGUUUUAUUACCAAAAGCAGGUAAAAUCCACCUAAUAUAUUACAAUAUAUUCAUCCAAUAUUUUAGACCAAUUCUUCACCAUAAAUAUCAUAAUGUGGCUUUUGUUCUUUCUUAAAUUUAAAUUGAAUUGUCUUAUAUCAAUUUGUUUGUGAUUUUUUCAUUAACUUCACUUUCAUUUGGUUAUCUUUGGUUUUUGAAAAGUAUUAAGGAAUUAAUUAACAAAAUAAUGUUAAGAAAAAUAAUUUUCUCUCUUUUGAUUUUGAUUUUGUAGUAGAAAAAUAUAAUUAAAAUUAUUUAAAAAGUAUGUAAUUUUAAAUUAUUUAAUAUUUAGAUAAAAAAAAUAAGUCUAAUGAGUUUAAAAUAACAUAUAAAAAUAAUUUAUUUAUUUUAAAUUUAUUUUUUAUUUUCCAUUAUGUUCUCUUUCUCUUUUACUUUUUCAUAUUUUUUCUUACGAAGAAUCAAACACAACCUCAUAUUAUAUGUCAAGUGUUUGUCUAUAUUUGAGCAAUGUUAGAUACGGCCAUGGAUUCAUCAAACUAAACUGAUUUUAAUAGAUACUUCACAAAUUGAUUUAUACACUAAAUCAUUGGAUAGCAAUGAUGCAUUGGAAUUAAACGUAGGAUGAAGCUCGAAGAACACUGUUUGUGUAACAACAUAUUUAUGAAAUUAUGCAAAGGAUGAGCUUCGGGGUAGUAGUACAAGGUCAUUAAUGGAGAGCCGUGUUAAACCUUGAUUGUGAUUGGAUUCCGUUAUCAGCAACAGCAACCUUGUUUGUAACCUUGAAAGUCAUUCUGUCCACAUCGAAACUCCAAUUUGACGUUUGUAAUUACCAUUCCUGGAGUGUUCCUUGAUUGAAAUUUAAAUAAUAAUUGCGGCCCACAAGGAAUAUUUUCGAUUCUGUGGGAAUUUGACAAGGUUUGUUAGAGAAGACUGGUGACAUGUUGACUUCAAUGGUUCAAAUAGGAGACGUAUGUGGAUUUGGGGGGUUUAAUUGAAACUGAGUCCCUAUGGCUUUUUAAUAUUUGCAUUGAGCAGUCUCCAUGUGACUUCCUAAUUCCCACCAACCCUCCUGUCCAUGCUGUGAAACUAAAUUGUAAUUUAUCAGCCUUUGUCAAUGGUUUCUAAAUUAAAGAUAUAGACCAUGCAUGUACUUUAAUAAAAGCAAAUCUAAAGUGUAGAUAGCAGCAAUGGUGACACCCAAUAUUCUCCAUAAAAUAGAAUUAGAAUAAGCAGUGUUACAUUGUUCAUGAUCACCUACAAGCAUACAAGAACUUCCAUGAAUAACUCAUAGCAAUUGCCAACAGGGCGUCGUAGAGACUCAUACAUAGAACACUAUCCACCCAGAGGAAAGGACAAGACCAGUGCGCUGCAGCUCUUAUUUUUCACAUGUAUACCACCACUCGUAAUAACCAAAUUCACUCAGUUGGGAUAGGUGGGAGAUGGUGGUUUGUGGGGUGGCUUGUGGGGAGGAGUUGGAGGAGGCUUUAUUUUCUGAGGCGGCUUGUAUGAGUGUGCAGGAGGAUGCCCGGGAGUGUGACCAUAAUGUGGUGGCUUCUCUCCCGUAGGUGGUUUGCCAAAUGGGCUUGGUGGCUUCUCUCCCUUAGGAGGUUUACCAAUUGGGGUUGGUGGCUUGUGUUCUGGGAGUGGUUUCUCUCCCUUGGUAGGUUUGCCAAUUGGGGUUGGCGGCUUAUGUUCUGGGAGUGGCUUCUCUCCCUUGGGAGGUUUGCUAAUUGGGGUUGGCGGCUUAUGUUCUGGGGGCGGCUUCUCUCCCUUGGGAGGUUUGCCAAUUGGAGUUGGCGGCUUAUGUUCUGGGAGUGGCUUUUCUCCCUUGGGAGGCUUGCCAAUUGGGGUUGGCGGCUUAUGUUCUGGGGGUGGCUUCUCUCCUUUAGGAGGUUUGCCAAUUGGAGUCGGCGGCUUAUGUUCUGGAAGUGGCUUUUUUCCCUUGGGAGGUUUGCCAAUUGGGGUUGGCGGCUUAUGUUCUGGGGGUGGCUUCUCUCCCUUGGGAGGUUUGCCAAUUGGAGUCGGCGGCUUAUGUUCUGGGAGUGGCUUCUCUCCCUUGGGAGGUUUUGUUGGUGGCUUGUGUUCUGGAGAUGGCUUCUCCCCUGGAGGCUUGUGCUCCGGAGGUGGCUUCUGAAAUGGCGGGGGCUUGGGGUAAUGAGCAAGAGAUGGAGUACUGGUGAGAACCACCAUUCCAAGCAACAAUACUAGCAAGCAUGUGGGAGACAUCUUUGAGUAGUUGUAGCUAAGAUGGCGCAACACUGUAGGCAUUGGGUGGCCUUUUAUAAAGGGCUGGACCCAACAGCCAUAUGACACGUGUCAUGAUGACAAAUGAAGUUGAGGGGAUCCAGAUGGGUCCUACUGAGUCGAAAACUUGCACUAAUUGAUCUGGUGAGAUGACUAUUUCUGUCCUUUUGCCCUUCUCGGCCACCCUGUGCUGUUUUCCUUUUGCACGAUUUUCGUUGCCAAACAAGCAAAUAAUAUUUCGCCAAGAAAGAGGAGAGUGAAUGUGGAAUGCAUCAAGUCCCAUCAAGGAUGGCAGAGAAGAAAUAGAAGAUUGCCCAACUGUGAUAAACAUAGCAUACACGUAGCACCAGGAACUUCAUUUACUUCCAUCUAAUGGAACAUAACAAUCUUCUAAAGUUUUUGCAUGAUUUUGUUAUAUGUCUCUUAGCCUAAAGUUGGAAAUGCGCAACAAAUUUUGUCACUUCUCUAUUUCCCACUGAUGAUGUUAAUUAGCCUUCAUAGAUAUCAUCCUUUCUACAAAGUGCUUCAUUUGUGUGUUAUUGUAAAGUGUAAGAAAAGUAAUUGAACAUGUUCUUUUUCCUUUCAUAGAUGACUUUUGAUGUGCAUUUUAAAAGCAGCGCUGUGAGUCGGUGACCUUGAUUCACACGGAAACUAAGGCUCCUAUAGGACCCACUUUUAGCUGGUUAGGGGUGAAGAAAAUAUCAACUUUUCAGAGUGAUUUAAGUCAAGGCCAAGCCUCACUGUGUCAUUACUCGUGUGAAUUUUAUAUGCACAUACAUACAUAAAUAAAGUAUGAGACCCAAAUAACACCUUCCCUUUACAAACUUAACCCCAGCCGCUCUCUUUCAAUUCUUUUCACACAAGGGUAUUGACUCUAUAAAGGUCAAGAAAAUCAUAAUUUCCUAGGGUUUACAAGGUAAUUGGCUUAAUGCUAAUGUGAAAACAUAAAAGAUAAUAGUAUAUUGUAAGCUAACGAAUAUUCUAUAGUUAUAAUUAUUUGUGAUGUGCAUAAAUAAAUCUUCAUAUAUAUAAUGGAACAAUGAAUAAAGAACCAAUGAAAAAAUACUAUAUAUCAUUGCUUGGCAUUUAAACCGUAUAUGCUGCUCUUUCUAGCUACUCCAUCCACUGAAAGACAACAAGGUAAUCCAUGUUAUAAUGAUAGAAGAUACUGUCUCUAGGCUUUUUGUGAUGAAAAAUAUAAGAUAUGGGUAGGGUUGACCCUUGUAUGUUUGUCCUAUAAACACUUCAAAGUAACAUAUUUUUCUUCUUUAGCAACUCAUAAUGAUGGGGUUCAUUUGCAUGUCACUGAGUUGAAAAGUUGGACAAUUGCCCAUGUCGCCUUCCUCCUAGAUUCCGUAGUUCACGGGAAGGUAACUCAAGUUUGACAUAUUUUGAAUUCUUUUCACUCGGACGUCUUCAUAACCUGACAAAACAAAAAUGAAAAACAGAGGAUUGGUAUAUUAUUCAUGGUAAGCCUCAAAUUAUAGUAGUAUGAGAAAGGAGAAAAAGAUUUUGGGAACUCCAAUCUGGAUAAUUCUCGUUUCUUCUCUUGAAUAAAAAUUUCACUUACCUAACUUCGUUUGGAGAAAUGGCAUAUUUUAAUUUUGUACGUCAUUGCUAAUAAAUGGAGCAAUUUAGCAUGUUUUGUGACUGAAACUGCAAAUGUCCAAUUGGCAUUUCUUCAUUUCCCACUUAGGAUCUGAUCUUGUAGACCAUAUAACGAUAUGUAUCUGUGCAAGCAUUGAAAACUAAUGUGAACUAUGAGGAGUUACAAGCCACUGGACUGUAGAGCGAGUGCCAAGAUUUAAAUCUUCAGGCUCUAUCUGGGUAAGGGGAGGAUAGCGACCUAACCUUUUACCAAAGGCUUAGAAUUUAGACUUUUGGAAAAAAAUUUCUCAUGUUUUGGCUGGAUUUCUUGUGCUUGGCGCAAAAAGGAGAUGGCCUCAAGAAAUAGCAGACUCACUUUUGUUUUCAGCCCUUAAUAAUUCUCCACUGCUUUCCAUAACUACAUGGGUUAUACAUGCAGUCUGCUGCAAUAUUCCAGUUAUAUUUAUUAUUUCAAAGAGGGUGAAUGACUUCACAUGCAAUAUGUUGCAGUAACAACCCAAAUUUUGGCACACCAUCUUAAGAAUAGAAAAGUAUAAUAAAAGAAAUCAAUCAGAGAAUCACUUUGCAUGCAGUUCAUAGAGUUCGCCCAAAAUGGAGCCACAUGUACGGACAACCCCACAAUAGACAAUCUUCUCUAUACAGUAAUAAAAUACAGAAAUGGUUAAUGAAGCUCUGUAUUUCCUUAUCAUAUAUGACCGGUUGAAAACUCAGCAAGUCUUCCUCAAUCACAGACAGUUGGAGUUGCUUCAUCAAAAUCAUGCCUUCAUUACUGGCUUCAUUUUGGUUUCAAUGUCUGUUCUACCCUUAAAUUGGGUCUCUGCUUACUACCGGGAUAUCCUUUAGCGUCCUGCAAUUCUACUAGAUUAAAGAGAAUGACUUAAUUCUGCAUUCUGCCGUCCCUAGUCCAAGUGGUACUAGAAUUGAUGUUUCCUUUAGUGUCCUUUCUUCAUACUUUCAGGUUCUUCCCUUGUUUCAAUAAUGCUGUUUUCCUUCAUGUUUAACCUCUGUUGAACCACUUAAAACAACACAAUUUGCACACCAAUGUUUCUUUACAGAAAAGACUGUUUGCAAAAAUGCACAUGUUAUAAGGUUAAUGGAAGAAUUAAUUUGGGGAUAAGGGACUAGGAUUGGGCCAAUGAAGUUUGGUGUUAAAUUUUGAUUAUGAUUGCUUUUCAUUAUCAGGUACCUUAUAUUUGCUGAUGCUAUCUGGAACUAAAUUCAAAUCAGACAUUAUCCGAUUACUAACAGGACAUAUCAUGUCCCUCUGCAGAGUUUCUAAACUAACAUGUAUCGAAAUGUGGCCCCAAAAGGAAGGCUAGGAAGAUGGAGGAUUUUGUAGGAAUCGACCAGAAUCAGAUGGAAGAGAGAUAGUCCUGUUGACUUUAAUGGUUGUGAUAGGAACAUGCAUCAUUAUAUGAGAAGUUGCAUGAAUUUAUGUAUCCUGUUAUCGUUCCUUGACGAUUUCCCAAUGCAAUUUCACUGUCCACAAGACUAACCUCUCCAUGCAGUCAAAUGAAUUGUAAUUUCUCUAUUGGUACCAGUAGUACAUUUCAUACCAAACAUAUAGUAAAUAUAAAAUAUAAAUAGAUCAAGGAAAUCUGAAUUGUAGAUAGCACUGCAAGUAACACUCAAUAUUCUCUAUAUAUAAUAAAAUAAACAGUGUCACAAUACUCAUCACCCAGUGGCAAGGGAGAAAAACCUACAAUGAGUACUCAAAUCACCAUUCUCAAACAGAAACAUAGCAGUGACUGAUACAUAGAACCUAUAUGCUCACAGGGAAAGAAUAAGAUGACCAGUGCACAGCGGGCAGCAGCUCUUAUUUUACGUACAACUCAAAUCCCAAACUAACCAAAGUCGCUCAGUUGGGAUGGGUGGGAGAUGGUGGUUUGUGGGAUGGCUUCUGGGUAGGAGCUGGUGGCUUCUGUCCCUUUGGUGGUUUGCCUAAUGAGCUUGGUGGCUUGUGCUCCGGGAGUUGUUUCUCUCCCUCGAGUAGGUUUCGAGUCUUGUCAGAUGGCUUGUGUUCUGGUGGUGGCUUCUCUCCCUGGGGUGGUUUGCCGAAUGGGCUUGGUGGCUUGUGUUCGGGGAGUGGCUUCUCUCCCUGGAGAAGGUUACGAGUUUUGUCAUAUGGCUUUUGUUCUGGUGGUGGCUUCUCUCCCUGGGGUGGUUUGCCGAAUGGGCUUGGUGGCUUGUGUUCGGGGAGUGGCUUCUCUCCCUGGAGAAGGUUACGAGUUUUGUCAGAUGGCUUGUGUUCUGGUGGUGGCUUCUCUCCCUGGGGUGGUUUGCCGAAUGGGCUUGGUGGCUUGUGUUCGGGGAGUGGCUUCUCUCCCUGGAGAAGGUUACGAGUUUUGUCAGAUGGCUUUUGUUCUGGUGGCGGCUUCUCUCCCUGGGGUGGUUUGCCAAAUGGGCUUGGUGGCUUGUGUUCGGGAACUGGCUUCUCUCCCUUGGGAGGUUCAGUUGGUGGCUGCUGUUCCGUAGGUGGUUUCUUCACCGGCGGCUUGUGCUCCGGAAGCGGCUUCUCUACCUGGAGAAGCUUACGAGUUUUGUCCGAUGGCUUGUGUUGUGGUGGUGGCUUCUCUCCCUGGGGUGGUUUGCCAAAUGGAGUUGGUGGCUUGUGUUCGGGGAGUGGCUUCUCUCCAUUGGGAGGUUUAGUUGGUGAUUGGUGUUCCGUAGGUGGUUUCUGAAGUGGGGGAUGCUUGGGGUAGUCAGCAAGAGACGAGGUAGUGAGAACCACCAGUCCCAGCAGCAACACUAGCAAGCAUGUGGAAGACAUCUUUGAGUUCAGGCUGAGAUCUGUGCAAGGAUAACAGAAUUAGGUGGCCUUUUAUAGAGGCCUGGACCCAACACCCAUAUGACACGUGUCAUGCACUCAUGGUGACACAUAAUUCUAUGGGACCAUUUGGGUCCUACAGAAGUUGCAAAGUUGGACUACUGAGGUGUGAUCACAACUUUUGUCCUUAUUGCUUUCUCUGCGGCCAUUGCACGAUUUCCUUUAGCAUCAUUUUCUUGGCUAAAUAAGCGUAUUAUAUUUGUGGCAGACCGUCCACGUGUCAUAAACAGAUAUAUUAUAAUAAUGUAGUAUGCUUUUCUCCAAUGGAACAUGACACUCUUCUAAGUCUUGUUUUAAAUAUUGUGCAGGAUUACUUUAUACGUUGCAGUUCCAAGUCAAAAUUGGUGGGCAAACGUUGGCCUUUUUUCAUUUCACCUAAGAUUAAUGCUCACCUGGGAUAGGCACUACAUGACUUAUCUGCUCUUUUACUGUAAAGUUGCUUUGUGUAUGAGAUACACCUCCCCUGCACACCCUCAACAUUCGUUGCUCUGUUUUCCUUGUGUCCAGACGAGGAUAUUAAUUGGAGGCUGACAAAACGACUGCUAGCCCAGGAUUUACAAGGUCCUGGUUUGAGGCUUCGGUGAAAGUAUUUUUGAAAAGACACACAUAGAGAUAGUGCGUUUGGUGCAAUGCAGCACUGUGAGCCAUUCUGACGCGUUCUUAAUUUCAAAACUAAUGAAUGCUUCAAAAUUUUAAGAAGUGACAUUUCCAAAUAUUUGAGUUCGUUUAAUUGAACAUUGGAUAACUAGUGAUCAUAGAUUAUUAUCUGUGCUUGGCACUAUAAGAGGGUAUAUGCUUCUUUUUCUGGCCCCUCCUUCAAGGGAGGAGGGACAAUGUGAUCUGUAACGUUAGAAGCUAUUCCAUGUCAUCUUUGGGCUCAGUUCAAAACUAAAAGAUAAUGGGGGGGGGGGGGGGGGGCAUAUCAUUUUAUAUUUCUUCUAGAAGGUUUGUUCUGGAAAUAUUUCACAGGAGCAUAUCUUUUUCUUCUAUUACGUCAUCCGCAGCCUCCAAUAGGUCGGUUAACAAGCCACCGAGUUGAAAAGUUGGAAAAAUGGGAACACAGCCCGCCUCUUGUAUUCAGUAGUUAAAUAAAAGGUCACUAGAAGUGAGAUCCCUUUUGGCGUCUUGAUUUUCAAUCCAGCACCUCUGUGACCUGACAAACCAAAAAAACUAAAAAAUAAAAAACAGUACGUGGGUUGGUGUUAAGCAUCAAGACAUGUUAAUGAAAGAAGGUAGAGAAUAGGAUAUUGAAAUCCCAAUCCUGAUAACAUGAUUUUCUUUGCUAACAACCAUAUUAUAUUUUAUCAAGAAAGAGUAAUGCAUGUGGCGUCCAUCAAGACCCAUUAGAGUUCCGCUAAAGCUAUAGUUCUGUCAACGUUAUCAUUUACGUUUCCUCUAGAUAAUGGCAUUUUCCUCUAAAGCUCUUGCACCAUUAGGCUUCAAGUCAAAAUUUCACAUGUGAACUUUGGAAAUUUUCUCCAUUUGCCCCUAAGGAUACAGUUAGAAUUGACUUAAAAUCCUGAUUGAUAUGUACUAUUAACCAAAGAAUAUUGUAUAUAAUAAUUGAAAUAUUGUUGAUUCAUCGUGGAAAUACAUUUUGUAAGGAAAGUUGUUGAGAAUUUAGUAUGCUAUAUGGAGAAAAAAGUCAUGACUUAAGGUUGUGUAUGUAUAUUCUAUAUCAAAUAUUAGGUAGGAAUGUGGGAAAGAGCAGAGUGUAAUGAUAAGAAACAAAGAAAUAUAAGAUAUUCUUGAAAGUGGAAAAUAUAAAAUGGCUAACGAGUCAAAUUUAUGAUGCGUAAGGGGGAUCAUGUCACAUAAGAAAACCAUGGCAUACUAAAGACGUACGUGUGGUAUGGAGUAAUAAUUUUGUUAAAAUAAGUUUCUUGUUGGAGUACAUUAGGUGACUAUUCAUAACGUAUCAAAUUAAAGAGUCAAGUGCAUCAAUGAAGGCAUAUGUAGAAAAUUUGUUUGUGACAUGUACCAUAAAGAUAAGAUUGACUUGAUAGAAUUUAGUCUAAGUAGGAGUUGUUAAAGGUGUCUUAAAUUUCUAAUUGAUGUAUAUUUUUUUCUAAAAAAAUAUUAUAUAGAUAUUUUAAUAAAUGAUUAAUUCUUUGUAAAAAUACUUACAUAAUAAAAAACAUCAUUAAAAAUAUCUUUAUAAAUAUUUUAAGUUACAAGAAGGAAAAAAACCACUGUGAGAUAAUGAUGAACAUGCAACACUGUACCAAGUAAAUAAAAAUGUGAUAAAAAAAAAAGAGAAACACUCGAUAAAGGAAGGCUCGUAUAUAAAGAGUAAUAUUUUUAAUCAUAUGAUAGAAUGAUUUUCUCUCAUUCAUGAAUAUAGGCAAGAUUGGGGAACCAUUAUAAAAUUUUGUACACCUCGUGUAAAUUGAUGUUUGUCUUCAUAUUUUACACCAACAAAUGACAUUGAAGUUGUCAUUGAUAAAAGGGAAAAGGCAUGCCUCCACACCAUGUGCUUGAUUCGAAUGGUUCAAGUUUGAAGAAUUUUCUCCGGAAGAUCUAAAACAUUUUCGCCUUUAAAUUUCAUUUGAUUAUUAAUAUCCGAAAAAAUAGUUAAAUACUCUUUCUAUUUUUGAGUUGUUGAAUUUUUUGAAAGUUUUUAUAUUUGUUAUCAAGAAUUUCUAUUUUAUUAAGGGUGAAUAUUUAUAAAUAAGAUAUUAUAUAAUAUUUGGAUAAGAGAGAAUGGUGGAAUAUAAUAAAGUUUUAAUCCUUCCCAAUUUUGAACCUUUUUUUUUUUUUUUGAUAUAAUCGCCUUUCUCUUGCAAUCCUAUUAUCAGGUACCUUAUAUUUGCUGAUGCUAUCUGGAACUAAAUUCCAAUCAGGCAUUGUCCAAUUACUAAUAGGACAGAUCAUAUCUCUCUGUUUCUAAACUAACAUGUAUCGUAAUGUGACCUCAUAAGGAAGGCUAGGAAGAUGGAGGAUUUUGUGGGAAGCGACCAGAAUCAGAUGGAAGAGAGAUAGCCCUGUUGACCUAAUGGCUGUAAUAGGAGAAGCGUGUGGUUUUAUGGGACUUAACUGAUACUAAACCUGUAUGAUGCUUGGAGUGGUGUUUCUUUCAUUUUGUUAAGAAAAUAUGGCAGCAUACAUGCUUUCAACUGAGUGCAUCAGAGCAUCCAUAACAGAUGGUCUGCAACCCUAGGUGCAUGCCACUUUCUGACUGAUAAUGAAAUUGUCAGGUACCUGGCCUUGACUAAGCUCAACAGCAUCACAUAAAGAGAAGCUUUCAUACUUAGAUUACUGUUUAAAGUUUUUGCUUAUUUGAUUUCUUAAUGCCAUUAUGACAUUAUUGAUUCAAUUCUGCUUCCGAUUUUCGAAGUUCUGGGCAUCUACUGAUUGCAUCAUUAUAUGAGAAGUUGCAUGAGUUUAUGUAUCCUGUUAUUGUUCCUUUGCGAUUUCACUGCUCACGGGACUAACCUCUCCAUUCAGUCGAAAUGAAUUGUAAUUUCUUUACUGGUAGCAGUAGUACUUUUCAUAGCAAAGAUAAUAGAAAAUAUGAAAUAUAAAUAGAAGGAAAUCUGGAUUGUAGAUAGCACCAUAAGUAACACUCAAUAUUCACUACAUAAUAAAUAGACAGUGUUACAUAGGUAGAGAAACCUACAAUGAGUACUCAUCACCAUUCUCAAACAGAAACAUAGCAGCGACUUAUACAUAGAACCUAUAGGCUCGCAGGGAAAGAGUAACAUGAUAAGUUCACAGCGGGUAGCAGCUCUUAUUUUACGUAUUACUCAAAAUCUCAAACUAACCAAAGUCACUCAGUUGGGAUGGGUAGGAGAUGGUGGUUUGUGGGGUGGCUUCUGGGUAGGAGCUGGUGGCUUCUUUGUUGGAGUUGAAGGAGGCAUAUUCUUCUGAGGUGGCUUGUAUGACUCUUCGGCACUCUCUGCAGGAGGGUGCCCAGGGUUGUGACCAGAAGGAGGUGGCUUCUGUCCCUUUGGUGGUUUGCCUAAUGGGCUUGGUGGCUUGUGCUCCGGGAGUUGUUUCUCUCCCUCGAGUAGGUUUCGAGUUUUGUCAGAUGGCUUGUGUUCUGGUGGUGGCUUCUCUCCCUGGGGUGGUUUGCCGAAUGGGCUUGGUGGCUUGUGUUCGGGGAGUGGCUUCUCUCCCUGGAGAAGGUUACGAGUUUUGUCAGAUGGCUUUUGUUCUGGUGGCGGCUUCUCUCCCUGGGGUGGUUUGCCAAAUGGGCUUGGUGGCUUGUGUUCGGGAACUGGCUUCUCUCCCUUGGGAGGUUCAUUUGGUGGCUGGUGUUCCGUAGGUGGUUCCUUCACCGGCGGCUUGUGCUCCGGAAGCGGCUUCUCUACCUGGAGAAGCUUACGAGUUUUGUCAGAUGGCUUGUGUUGUGGUGGUGGCUUCUCUCCCGGGGGUGGUUUGCCAAAUGGACUUGGUGGCUUGUGUUCGGGGAGUGGCUUCUCUCCAUGGGGAGGUUUAGUUGGUGGUUGGUGUUGCGUAGGUGGUUUCUGAAGUGGGGGAUGCUUGGGGUAGUCAGCAAUAGACGAGGUAGUGAGAACCACCAGUCCCAACAGCAACACUAGCAAGGAUGUUGAAGACAUCUUUGAGUUCAGGCUGAGAUCUGUGCAAGGAUAAAAGAUUUAGGUGGCCUUUUAUAGAGGGCUGGACCCAACACCCAUAUGACACGUGUCAUGCACUCAUGGUGACACAUAAUUCUAUGGGACCAUUUGGGUCCUACAGAAGUUGCAAAGUUGGACUAUUGAGGUGUGAUCACAACUUUUGUCCUACUUGCUUUCUCUGCGGCCAUUGCACGAUUUCCUUUAGCAUCAUUUUCUUGUCUAAAUAAGCGUAUUAUAUUUGUGGCAGACCGUCCACGUGUCAUAAACAGAUAUAUUAUAAUAAUGUAGUAUGCUUUUCUUCAACGGAACUUGACACUCUUCUAAGUCUUGUUUUAAAUACUGUGCAGGAUUACGUCAUAAGUUGCUUGUUCCAAGUCAAAAUUGGUGGGCAAACGUUGGCCUUUUUUCAUUUUCCCUAAUAUUAAUGCUCACCUGGGAUAGGCACUACAUGAUUUAUCUGCUCUUUUACUGUGAAGUUGCUUUGUGCAUGAGUUACACCUCCCCUGCACACCCUCAACAUUUGUUGCUCUGUUUUUCUUGUGUCCAGACGAGGAUAUUAAUUGGAGGCUGACAAAACGACUGCUAGCCAAGGAUUUACAAGGUCCUGGUUUGAGGCUUUCACGAAAGUAUUUUUGAAAAGAUACACAUAGAGAUUGCGCGUUCGGUGCAAUGCAACAAUGUGAGCCAUUCUGAAGUCUUAAAUUUCAGAUUAAUGAAUGCUACAAAAUUCUAAGAAGGGCCGUUUCCAAAUAUUUGAGUUCAUUCAUCCGAACAUCGGGUAUAUGCUUCUUUCUCUAGCCCCUCCUUGAAGGGAGGAGGGACAAUGUGAUCUGUAUCGUUAGAAGCUAUUCCAUGUCGUCAUCUUUGGGCUCAGUUCAAUACUAAAAGAUAUGGGCGGGGCCCUUAUCAUUUUAUAUUUCUUCUAGAAGGUUUAUUCUGGAAAUCUUUCACAGAAACAUAUCUUUUUCUUCUCUACGUGAUCCGUGGUUUGAAAGUUGGAAAAAUGGGUCCGUUAACAAGCCACCGAGUUGAAAAGUUGGAAAAAUGGCAACACCGCCAACCUCUUGUAUUCGAUAGUUAAAUAAAAGGUCACUGGAAGUGAGAUCCCUUUUGGCCUCUUGAUUUUCAUUCCAGCAUCUCUAUGGCCUGAUAAAUUAAAAAACUAAAAAAAAAGACAGUACGUGGGUUGGUGUUAAGCAUCAAGAGUCAAGACAUGAUAAUGGAGAGAAAGGAUAUUCAAAUUCCAGUUCUGACAACAUGAUUUUCUUUGCUGAACUACCAUAUUAUAUUUGAUCAAGAAAGAGUAGUGCAUGUGGCCAGGAUCAAGACAUACAUUAAUUUCCACAUGAUGAAGACAGUUUCUGAGAGUUUCUUCUAAAGCUCUUGCGCGAGUAGGCUUCAAGUCAAAAUCUCCCAUGUAAACACUGGUUUUUCUUUCAUUGCCACUAAGGAUGCAGUUAAUAUUGACUUAAGAUCCUACGUGAUAUAUUUUUUUAAAAGAGCUAUAUUGUAGAUAAUAUUUGAAAUAAUGUUGAUUCGUUGUGGAAAUAUAUUUGUAAGGAAAGUUGUUGACAAUUUAAUAUAGUAUAAGAAGAAAAAAGUUAUCAACUAGCUAGAGAUGAGUAUGUAAAGUGAGGCUCACGAUUCAACGCGUAAAUAUAAGAUAUUUUAAGGCUCAAUAGUUAUGAUAUCUAUUUUAUUUUUUGUAUCUCAUAUAUUCAAAGAUAUAGUAAAAUGAUUUUACAUAUAUAUAUAUAUAUAUAUAUGAACAUAACUAUUUGUGCCAAUUGAUUUUUAUCUUUAUUUUGUAUAUUAGUAAUUAUAUUAAAGUUUUUACUAAUAUAAUAACUAAUAUAAAAGCUUUUUCUAAAAGAGUCAACAGAGCAAAACACUUAUUAUAAAAAAUAAUUUUGAUUGAAGGUGGAGUCAAUUAUUCUUUAUUUAACAUGUAAUGCAUACGGCGUGUACUUCAUAACUAAAGUAUAUAAGUGUAACAUCUCUUAUAUAUUCUCAUUCAAUCUCGAAAGUGGAAAUUUUAAAAAGAUUAAACGGUUCAAAUUUGUCGUGCAUAAAGGGGAUCAUGUCACAUAAGCAAACCAUGGCAUACCAAAGACAUAGGUAUGGACUAAGAAUUUUUUUCAAAUAAGUUUCUUAUUAGGGUACAUUAAUAGGUGACUUUUUAUGACAUAUCAAAGGAGUCAAGUGCACCAAUAAAAACAUAUAUAGAAAAUUCAUGCAUGACAUGUAUCACUAAGAGAAGAUUGACUUGAUAGAGUUUAAUCCAAAUAGGAGAUUGUUAAAAGGUGUCUCAAAUUCUUGAUUGAUAUAUAUUUUUUUUAUUAAAAAGGUUAUUAUAUAGAUAUUUCAAUAGACUAUUAAUUCUUUGUAAAAAUAGUUAUAUAAUGAGGAUGGUGAUUAAAAAUAUCUCUAUCAAUAUUUUGGAUUAUAAAAAGAAAAAAAAUGAGAUAAUGAUAAACAUAUAAAACUUGUACAAGUAGAUAAAGAUGUGAUGAAAGACACUUGAUGAAUGAAGGCUUUGUAUUUCAAGAUAUAAAUAUAUGGAGCAAAACUCUUAAUUAUAUGAUCAAAUGAUUCUCUCAUAUUCAUGAAUAUAAGCAGGAUUGGGGAACCAUGAUAGAAUCUUAUAUGCCUCUCCAUGUAGAGUGAUCGAUGUUUAUCUUCAUAUUUUACACCAGUGAAUGACAUUGAAACUCUUAUUGAUAAAAGGGAAAAGGCAUGGCCUCCACCCCAAGAAAAACAAGUAACCUCGGUUUAAAUCACUAGUCUACACCCCGAAGAGAGAACUAGCCAAACCUACUAAAAGAGAAACUUAACAAUUUAGAAAGAAACCGUCCAUGAUAAAGGGCCCCUAAAGGUCCAAUUCAGUGAGGUCGUGAACAAAAACACUUUCAUGUCAAAACAGAGAUAGGUACCACCAAAAUGUAAAGGGAAAGAUGUAAACCACGUCGAACUUUGGUAAUCAAUGGUAAAGAUAGCAUGAUAGCUAAAAGCACUAAAGCUGUGCUUGGUAUGCAAAAAUGAAAAGUGGAAAUCAGCGUCUUAUUCUUUUUCACCUUUAUUCACAUAUUAGGAUAACUAAUAUCUAAUGUUUUUUAUGUCUCAAAUUCUAUUCCAUGUUAUGGUAAACUUUCAUCUUGUUUAGAUCACUUUUGUCUGGUUUGGGCUCAAGACGAUAAGCCUAUAGAGACUUCAUAUUGGGUUGAAUCGAUGCCCUUGAUCUGAUCUGUUCGUUAGAAAAAUCUGAAUUAUUAUAAGCAUUUAGAUAAAAAAUAAAUAAAUGUGAAACACAAACUACUCCCUGCACAACCUUGACCCUAGUUACUCAGUUUCACUGCUCACAGGACUAACCUCUCCAUUCAGUCGAAAUGAAUUGUAACAAGAAGAUUUUUGACAGGAGGACGGUAGUUUAAAAUAAUAAUUUCUAAAGUACUUUUGUGAAAAAAAAUAAUUCCAAACGUGGAUUUUAUCAAGUAAAAAGAAAAAAAAAAGUUAUUUUCUUUUAAAAUCUGUUCUUCUAAAGAUGAUAUAUAUACCAAAAAAAAAAAUUGUUUUCUGAAGGUAAAAUUUUUAAAAUUCAUUUUUAAAAAAAUUUACACACUAAAAUUAUCUUUUCAAGAGAAGAUUUUUUUAAUUUUAAAUAAUUAUUAAUUUAUAAUUAAUUUGUUAUUAAUUAUUUAUUAAUUUUUUUAUUUGAAAAAUGCAUUUAUAAAAAACAAAUUUGUUAUUAAUUUAUUAAAUAAUUUUUACAAAAUAAAUAAUUUUUUUUUAUUUUAAUUUUAAAAUUAAUUUUAUUAUAUAAAUUUUAAAAUUAAAAAUAUUAAUAUUUAAUUUAAAAUUUAACUAUAAAAGGAAUAAAAUAUAGAAAAAUAAAUUAAUUUAUUAUUCAAUAAAUUAAUUUUCAAUAAAAUUUUCAGCAUUAAGAGAUAAAUUUUUAAGUAUUAAUCAAUUUAAAAAGAAAUAAUGAUCAUUUGUAUAUUAAGAUAUUUUAUUUAGUAAUUAUGAAUGAUAAACAACUAAAGUAAUUUGAAAAAAUAAUAAAAUAUUUAAAAAAUAAUAAUUUAAUACACGUAAAAUUAGAAAUGAUUAACUAUUUUUUAUUAAGAAAAAAUUGAGGAAAUAUUUUGUUAUUUAAAAUUUUUUAUUUGUUUUCAAUUUUUAAUGUUAUAGGUUUCAAGAAAAUUGAUCAAAUAAAAAUUAAGAAGUCAUUUUUUCAAAAACUAUAUAUCUAAAUAAAAGCCUUGAAAUUCAAAUACACAAUAUCAUAAAUAUAAACACCAAGUCAAUCCUUAAUUAUCAAAUGUUUUUAAUAUUAAAGAAUCAAAAUCACCUACUAUCAUGAUAAUAAGAAAACCAAUAAUAUUGUUCAUAUAAAUACUAAAAAGCUAACAAAUAUCCCAAACAAUUAAUAAAGUAUCAAACAUGAUAAAAAGUCAAUUAUUAUCAUGAAUGCAAAAAAUCAAUAAUUUUGUUUAUAUGAACCAUCAACAAAGAAAAAAAAAAUCAAUAUCUAAAUAUUAAACAUAAUUUAUAUUUUUAUAAAUAUUAUUGUUGAUAAAUAUCUUAACAAUUAUAAUUUUAGUAAAUAAAAUUAAUUAAUUUUAGUUUAAGAAUUAUUUUUUUAUACUUUCGUAUUCUUAUCAAAAAUCCCCAUUUUGCAUGUCUCCUUUGGCAUGACUUUCUUACCUAAACAAGCAUAUAUAUAUAUAUAUAUAUAUAAAAUAUUUGGUUAAGAAAGAGUACUAAAGUUUAUAUGGCACACAUCAAGAUAGAAACAGAAGUGGAAGAUAAUCCAAAUGUAUGAACAGAUAUAUUAUAUCCAUGUAGUGGUAGUGACUUCAUUAUUUACUUUUAUCUAAUGGAGCAUGACACACUUCUUCUGAAUAUUUUGCACGAUUAUGUUAUGUGUCAGCUUGUUCUAAGUCAAAACUAGUGAUAAAAAUCGGUUUUUUUUGCAUUUCCUUCAUGAAGAUGGCACCUGGAUGGGGCACUACAUGAGUGGCAUAGCACGAAGUGAUUUAUCUGCUCCCUUUACUAUAAAGUGCUUUGUGUAUAAGUUACACCUCCCCUGCACUGCCUCAACAUUUGUUGUUCUGUCUUCCGUCUGUCCAAACGAGGACAAACGUAUGUUGUAGGUUGACAAAACCACAGCUAGCCUAGGAUUUGCAAGGAUCUAGUUUGAUUCGUAUGCAAAAGGAUUGGUGAAAAGAUUCACAAAGAUAAUGCUUUUUGCAAUGCAAUCUUGUUCUAAUUCAACAGUGUGGACCAUUUUCAUGUAAUGCUUCAACUAGAUGUCAGUUUCAUGAAUUUUUGUUCAUCUAAUUGAUCACUGGAUAGGCCAUAACCCGAAGAAAUUCAAAAUUCCCUUCAGUACUGUAGCUAAGGAAAGAUCCCUAUCUACCACUGGGAUUUUAAGAGGGUAAAAAUGUAGGUGGGUGCCUAUAUCAUUUGCACUUCACUAUAGGCCUCUUUGGGAAGAUUUCUUCUGAAGACAUUUCAAAGAAACAUAUUUUUCUCUUCUCUCCGUAAACGGCAGCUGCAAGUCAGUCCAUUCACAGGCCACCGAGUUGAAAAGGCUGGAAAAUUGGCCAAAGCACCCGCCUCCUGGAUUCCAUGGGUAAGGAAAAGGUCACUGGAGGUGUGAUCCCUGUUGGCCUCUUGAUUUCCAUUCCGCCAUCUAUAUGACCUGAUAACCCAAAAACACAGAAGGAAAACGUCACCUGGGUUCAUAGUAAGCAUCAAGUCAUGAUAGAGACCAGACAACAUGACCAACAAAGAGUAGCGAAUGGGGCCAACAUCAAGCCCCAUUACGGUUAGAAGAUGGAAGAAGUAGAAGACAAUCCAAUUCUGAUAGAUUCGGGCAAAUGUAGUGCUGUUCAAACUUAAUCAUUUACUAUUUCUUCAUGAAUCACGGCAUUUUUCUUCUGAAAAUUUUCCAAGAUUAGGCCUCUGAAGAAAAAUUUCAUAUGUAAAUUGGUAUAUUAAGGAAAAGGCGUUACAAAGGUGAAAAAAAACCAAUCAAAUCUUAUAUAUGACAUCUCAAAAAUAUGAACUUGCUAUAAAUAUUUAAAAUCAAAAUCUUGCACAUCACCUCGUAGUACGAACUUGCUAUAAAACUUGAAAAUCAAGAAGAAAGGGGCAGUAUUGGACGAGACUACUUAGCACAUAUUAUUAUGAUGUUUUUUCAUUUUCUUAAUGUUGUUUUUAUGUCUUAAAUUCUAUUAUUCUAUGUUACGGUAAACAUUCAUCUUGUUUGUGUGGAAUAGGAUCACUUUUCUCUGGGUUGAGUCGAUGCCCUUAGUUAAUUUGUUCAUUUGAAUAAACUAAAUUAUUAUAAGUAUUUAGAUAAGAAAAACGUGAUACAUAAAUUACGCCUCUCGGCACAACUUCAACACUGGUUACUCUGUUUCAGUUUCCUCACACAAGAUUAUUGGUUCUAGGGUUUAUUUGGUUUUGGUUUGAUUCUAAUUGCUAAACUUUCUCAAGGAAGAUGUUAUAUAGGGAGUGAGAAACCUUCACUCUUGGCUACCUCCAAGAGAAGAGCAAGUGGUCUGAAUCAAAGAUAUACUGCUCACUUUUUCUUCUUCUAAGGACAGCUAUGACCUUGCUUUAAGGUUCGAAUAGCCUAAUGCAACCUCCCAUUUCUCAAGUCAGCUGAUGAUGUAAGUCACCUUGGCUUUCCACAUUCAUACGGUGAGGACGUUUGUGGGUGUAAUUCUCUUAACAGUUUUCAUUUUAUAUGGAAAAAUUCAUAAUUAAGGGUAAUUACUGAUUCCAUUUGACAGUGACCAAGUUUAAAAUAUUAAUUCAUAUAUUAAAUGCACAUUAAAAAAUCAUGGAAUAAAUAUAUUUACUAAUAUAUAGUUCUUUUGCCAUGUUCUGUCACAGAAGCAUCGAACUUUCCCUAGAAAUUUUUGCAUGGUAUUCUACUUAUGAUUUUGAAAACUCUAGGCACCUGAGGCCACUAAUUGCAUGGUUGGAUGAGGAGCUGCAUGAGAUUAUGUAUCGUGUUGUUCCUUAACUACAAAUAUCAGUUUUAAGUAGCAUCUCCAUGUGACAUUUUCCUGAUGCAAUUUCGCUGUCCACCAACAAAUUUCACCAUGCAGCAAGAUGAAUUGUAAUUUCUUUAUUGUUAUCAACAGCUUUAAUUAAUCUUGAUAUAUAUAUAUAACUUAGUAGAAGUAUAUUAAUCUAGAUUGUAGUUGCACUAAGAUAAUAGGCAAUAUUAUAACAGUGCCACAAUGCUCAUCGCCAAAUAGAAAGGUAGAAAAACUACAAUGAGUAACUCACAACAUUCUCAAACAGGACAUAGCGGCGACUGAUACAUAGAACACUAUUGGCACUCAGGAAAUGAUAAGAUCAGUGCCCAGCAGGCAGCACGUCUUAUUUUACAUACUACUUAAAACUAACCAAAGUCAUUCAGUUGGGAUGGGUGGGAGAUGGUGGUUUGUGCGGUGGCUUUUGGGUAGUUGGUGGCUUCUUUCCUGGAACUGAUGGUUUUUUUGUUGGAGUUGAAGGAGGCUUAAUCGUCUGAGGUGGCUUGUAUGAGUCUUCAGCACUCUCUGCGGGAGGGUGCCCAGGGUUGUGACCAUAAUGGGGUGGCUUCUCUCCCUUAGUUGGUUUGCCAAGUGGGCUGGCUGGCUUGUGCUCCGGGAGCGGCUUCUCUCCCUUAGGUGGUUUGCCAAAUGGGCUUGCUGGCUUGUGCUCUGGGAGCGGCUUCUCUCCCUCAAGAAGUUUACGGGUUUUGUCAGAUGGCUUGUGUUCUGGUGGUGGCUUCUCUCCUUGGGGUGGUUUGCCAAAUGGACUUGGUGGCUUGUGUUCGGGGAGUGGCUCCUCUCCCUUGGGAGGUUUAGUUGGUGGCUGGUGUUCCAUAGGUGGUUUCUCAACCGGGGGCUUGUUCUCCGUUGGUGGUUUAUGAACUGGGGGAUGCUUGGGGUAGUCAGCAAGAGACGGGGUGGUGAGAACCACCAGUCCCAGCAGCAACACUAGCAAGUAUGUGGAAGAGUACAUCUUUGAGUUCAGGCUGAGAUUUGUGCGAGACUUGAAGAAUUAGGUGGCCUUUUAUAGCUGGCUGCACCCAACACUCACAUGACACGUAUCAUGGUGACACAUGUGCUAUGGGUCCAUUUGGGUCCUACAGAAGCUGAAAACUUUUGACUAUUGAGGUGUGGUCACAACUUUUGUCCCUAUUGCUUUCUCCGCAACCGUUUUACAUGUUUCCUUUGGCAUAAUUUUCUAAGCUAAACAAGCAUAUAUCAUAUUUGGUUAAGAAAGAGUAAAGUGUAUAUGGCACACAUCAAGGAAGAGAAACAGAAAAAGUGGGAGACAAUCAAUUGUGAUAAACAGAUAUAUUAUAUUCAUGUAGUACUAGUGACUUUAUCAUUUACUUUUAUCCAAUAGAUCAUCACUCUUUCUUCUAAAUAUUUUGGAGGAUAAUGGUACAUGUUGCUUGUUUCCAAGUCAAAAUUGGUGGCAAAAAUCGGCAUGAUACGAAAGGAUUGGUGAAAAGAUUCACAUAGAUGGUGCUUUGUGCAAUGCAGUCUUGCUCUAAUUCAACAGAGUGGACCAUGGUGAUGUAUUUUAAAUUUUAAAUUUUAAAUUAAUGCAUGCUUCAAAGUUUUAACUAGAUGUCACUUCCAUGGAUUUUUGUUCAUUUAAUUGAGCACAGGAUAGGCUAUCAAACUUGAAGUAAUAUAAAAAUCCCUUCAUUACUGUAACUAAUGAAAGAUCAUUAUCUGCGCUUGGUAUUUUGCCAAGGUAUUUGCUGCUCUUUCUAGCCCUGUCUUACAGUUAAGGACAAUGUGAUCUAGUUAACCUUAGAAGCUAUUCCAUGUCAGAUACAAGAGAUCAAGCACAUUAUCUUUGGGCUCAGUUCAAAACUAUAAUAUAUGGGUGGGGUGGAGGCCCAUAUCAUUUGCAUAUCACCACUAUUGGUUUAGUUUGGAAGGUUUCUUCUGGAAGAUUGCUGCUUUCUGGAAUCAUUUCAAAGAAAUAUAUCUUUUUGUUCUCUUGGUGACGAGCAGCGGCAAUCAAGUCUGUUGACAAACAACCGAGUUGAAAAGUUUGAAAAUUGGUCACAGCCCACGUCCAUGGUUAAGGAAAAGGUCACUGGAAGUGAUCCCUUCUGGGCCUCUUGAUUUCCAUUCUGACAUCUAUAUGACCUGAUAAAUAGAAAGAAAAAAAAACAGAAGAAAAGCGGCACCCGGGUUCAUAGUAAGCAUCAAGACAGGAUACUGAAAGAAGGGAGAAAGGAGAUUGCAAGUCCAAUCCUGAUAAAAUGAUCAACAAAGAGUAUCAAAAUGGGGCCAACAUAAAGACCCAUUGAGGUUAGCAGAUGGCAUGGCAUUUUUCUCCUUAAGUUUUCCAUGAUUAGACUUGAAGUCAAAAUUUCACAUGUAAAUUUGUAUUUCUACAUUUCCCACUGACGACACCCAACUUCAACUUGAGUUAGAAUAACAUUGUGUGAACUUAUCUGGCCCUCAAAAUUUACUGUGAAGUGCUUUCUGCGUGUGAAGAUUCAGAAAAGCACCAAGGGAACAUGUAUGGUCUGCCUUUUUCUGAUGUUAUGUUUGUCUCUAAUUCUGUUCCAUGUCAUGGUAAAUGUUCACAUUGCUUGUAUGGAACACACCAGGAUCACUUUUUCGGGUUUAUUUUGAGGCUUCAUAUUGGGUUCAUAUUGGGUUCAAUGCUUUUAAUGUGUUCAUUAGACAAAUCUGAAUUAUCAUAUGCAUUUAGAUAAGAACAAUAAUGUGAAACCCUAGUUACACCUCCCCUGCAUAACCCCAACCCUGCUUACUCUAUUUCAGUUUACUCACACAAGUUUUACCGGUUCUUAUAAGUCAAGAAAAGGCAACUGAUGUUGGAUUGACUCUCUUCCAUGUAUAAAAAGCAACUUUUAUAUAUACAUAAAAUAACUUCUUCCCCUCACCAAUGUGGGAUAUCAUGGAUUUAUUCUGGAAACACAUCAAAGGAACAUCUUUUCUCUUGGGUGACCCUAAGUGGUGAGUCAGACCAUUUGCAUGCCAUUGAGUUGCACAGUUGGAUAAAUGCACCUACCUCCUGGGCUCCAGAGUUAAAAGGGUGGAUCCCUGGAUCGCAACCCUCUUGGCAUCUUGGUUUCCAUUCCAACAUCCACAUGACUUGACAAAACAAAAAACAGAAUAAAAUCAUCACUAUUUUCAUGCUAAGCACCAAUACAUGAUGGAAAUCAUUGCUUAAAGAUUUGGGGUCAUUUAGGUUUUGACUGCCUCCUAACACCUCACCUAAUCACAAGUUUUUAUGCUUACAAAUCAAAUAUCGUUCUUCAUUAUAUUAAAAUCAUUUUAAGAUUUCAGAUCCAUCUGCUAAUUAUGAUUAUGAUAACAUUAAUUCACCUGUGCUUCUCAUUUUCGACACACAAGGCAUCUAGGUUUGCAGGAUUUCCUUAUUAGAUGAGAUAAAUGAGUACGCAUGGUUAUGUAUGCAGCAUUCAUUAACCAUGGUAUGUGACAUUUAGAAUUAAGAUAGCAAGCAAACUUUCCCUGCAGCUUGAGUAAAUUGUGAUUUCUUAGCCUCUAUGAGUGGUUCCCAAAUCAAAUUAACAUAGUGAAAUAUACGUAGUCCAGUGAAAGGAAAUGUAAAUUAUAAACUAACAGCACUACACUACUGGUAACACUCGAUACUCUCUAUAUAAUGCAAUGAAAUAUACGUUAUACGUUGCUUGUUCCAAGUCAAAAUUUGUGGCCAAACGUUGGCCUUUUUUCAUUUUCCCUAAGAUUAAUGCUCACCUGGGAUAGGCACUACAUGAUUUAUCUGCUCUUUUACUGUAAAGUUGCUUUGUGUAUGAGUUACACCUCCCCUGCACACCCUCAACAUUUGUUGCUCUGUUUUCCUUGUGUCCAGACGAGGAUAUUAAGUGGGGGCUGACAAAACGACUGCUAGCCAAGGAUUUACAAGGUCCUGGUUUGACGCUUCCGCGAAAGUAUUUUUGAAAAUAUACACAUAGAGAUUGCGCGUUCGGUGCAAUGCAACAAUGUGAGCCAUUCUGAAGUUUUUAAUUUCAGAUUAAUGAAUGCUACAAAAUUCUAAGAAGGGCCGUUUCCAAAUAUUUGAGUUCAUUUAUCCGAACAUCGGAUAAGUAAUGAUCAUAGAUUAUUAUUAUUAUCUGACGUUCUUAUAAUGGUUGGCAUUAUAAGAGGGUAUAUGCUUCUUUCUCUAGCCCCUCCUUCAAGGGAGGGACAAUGUGAUCUGUAUCGUUAGAAGCUAUUCCAUGUCGUCAUCUUUUGGCUUAAGUCAAUACUAAAAUAUAUGGGCGGGGCCCCUGUCAUUUUAUAUUUCUUCUAGAAGGUUUGUUCUGGAAAUCUUUCACCGAAACAUAUCUUUUUCUUCUCUACGUGAUCCGUGGUUGGAAAGUUAGAAAAAUGGGUCCGUUCACAAGCCACCGAGUUGAAAAGUUGGAAAAAUGGCAACACCGCCAACCUCUUGUAUUCGAUAGUUAAAUAAAAGGUCACUGGAAGUGAGAUCCCUUUUGGCCUCUUGAUUUUCAUCCCAGCAUCUCUAUGUCCUGAUAAACUAAAAAACUAAAAAAAAAACAGUACGUGGGUUGGUGUUAAGCAUCAAGAGUCAAGACAUGAUAAUGGAGAGAAAGGAUAUUCAAAUUCCAGUUCUGACAACAUGAUUUUCUUUCCUGAACAACCAUGUUAUAUUUGAUCAAGAAAGAGUAGUGCAUGUGGCCAGGAUCAAGACAUACAUUAAUUUCCACAUGAUGAAGACAGUUUCUGAGAGUUUCUUCUAAAGCUCUUGCGCUAGUAGGCUUCAAGUCAAAAUUUCCCAUGUAAACACUGGAUUUUCUUUAAUUGCCACUAAGGAUACAGUUAAAAUUGACUUAAAAUCCUACGUGAUAUAUAUCUUUAACAAAAGUAUAUUGUAUAUAAUAUUUGAAAUAAUGUUGAUUCGUUGUGGAAAUAUGUUUGUAAGGAAAGUUGUUGACAAUUUAAUAUAGUAUAAGAAGAAAAAAGUUAUCAACUAGAGAUGAGUAUGUAAAGUGAGGCUCACGAUUCAACGCGUAAAUAUAAGAUAUUUUAAGGCUCAAUAGUUAUGAUAUCUAUUUUAUUUUUUGUAUCCCAUAUAUUCAAAGAUACAGUAAAAUGAUUUUAUAUAUAUGAACAUAGCCGAUAGUAUCAUGUUAAAACCUUAUAUGACUCUUUGUGCCAAUUGAUUUUUAUCUUUAUUUUGUGUAUUAGUAAUUAGUAUUAAAGUUUUUACUAACAUAAUAAUUGAUAUAAAAGCUUUUUCCAAAAGAGUCAAACAGAGCAAAACACUUAUUAUAAAAAGAAUUUUGAUUGAAGGUGGAGUCAAUUAUUCUUUAUUCAACAUGUGAUGCAUACAGCGGGUACUUCAUAACUAAAGUAUAUAAGUGCAACAUCUCUUAUACAUUCUCAUUCAAUCUCGAAAGUGGAAAAUUUUAAAAGAUUAAAUGGUUCAAAUUUUCCGUGCAUAAAGGGGAUCAUGUCACAUAACCAAACCAUGGCAUACCAAAGCCAUGAUAUGGACUAAGAAUUUUGUUAAAAUAAGUUUCUUAUUAGGGCACAUUAUGUGACUAUUUAUGACAUAUCAAAGGAGUCAAGUGCAUCAAUAAAGACAUAGAAAAUUCAUGCAUCACAUGUACCACUAAGAGAAAAUUGACUUGAUAGAGUUUAGUCCAAAUAGGAGAUUGUUAAAAGGUGCAUCAAAUUCUUGAUUGAUAUAUAUUUUUUUUAUUAGAAAGGUUAUUAUAUAGAUAUUUCAAUAGACUAUUAAUCCUUUGUAAAAAUAGUUAUAUAAUGAGGAUGGUGAUUAAAAAUAUCUCUAUCAAUAUUUUGGAUUAUAAAAAGAAAAAAAAUAUGAGAAAAUGAUAAACAUAUAAAACUUGUACAAGUAGAUAGAGAUGUGAUGAAAGACACUUGAUGAAUGGAGGCCUUGUAUUUCAAGAUGUAAAUAUAUGGAGCAAAACUCUUAAUUAUAUGAUCAAAUGAUUCUCUCAUAUUCAUGAACAUAAGCAGGAUUGGGGAACCAUGAUAGAAUCUUAUAUGCCUCUCCAUGUAGAUUGAUCGAUGUUUAUCUUCAUAUUUUACACCAAUGAAUGACAUUGAAACUCUGAUUGAUAAAAGGGAAAAAGCAUGGCCUCCACCACAAGAAAAACAAGUAACCUCGGUCUAAAUCACUAGUCUACACCCCGAAGAGAGAACUAGCCAAACCUACUAAAAGAGAAACUUACCAAUUUAGAAAGAAAUCUUCCAUGAUAAAGGGCCCCUAAAAGUCCAAUUCAGUCAGGUUGUGAACAAAAACACCUUCAUGUCAAAACAGGAAUAGGUACCACCAAAAUGUAAAGGGAAAGAUGUAAACCAAGUCGAACUUUGGUAAACAAUGGUAAAGAUAGCAUGAUAGCUAAAAGCACUAAAGCUGUGCUUGGUAUGCAAAAAUGAAAAGUGGAAAUCAGCGUCUUAUUCUUUUUCUCCUUUAUUCACAUAUUAGGAUAACUAAUAUCUAAUGUUUUUUUUAUGUCUCAAAUUCUAUUCCAUGUUAUGGUAAACUUUCAUCUUGUUUAAGUGGAAGAGUAGGAUCACUUUUGUCUGGUUUGGGCUCAAGACGAUAAGCCUAUAGAGACUUCAUAUUGGGUUGAAUUGAUGCCCUUGAUCCGAUCAGUUCGUUAGAAAAAUCUGAAUUAUUAUAAGCAUUUAGAUAAAAUAAAUAAAUAAAUGUGAAACAGAGACUAUUCUCUGCACAACCUUGACCCUAGUUACUCAGUUUCACUGCUCACGGGACUAACCUCUCCAUUCAGUCGAAAUGAAUUGUAAUUUCUUUACUGGUAGCAGUAGUACUUUUCAUAGCAAAGAUAAUAGUAAAUAUGAAAUAUAAAUAUAUAGAAGGAAAUCUGGAUUGUAGAUAGCACCAUAAGUAACACUCAAUAUUUACUACAUAAUAAAAGAGAUAGUGUUACAAAGGUAGAGAAACCUACAAUGAGUACUCAUCACCAUUCUCAAACAGAAACAUAGCAGUGACUUAUACAUAGAACCUAUAGGCUCGCAGGGAAAGAGUAACAUGAUAAGUGCACAGCGGGUAGCAGCUCUUAUUUUACGUAUUACUCAAAAUCUCAAACUAACCAAAGUCACUCAGUUGGGAUGGGUAGGAGAUGGUGGUUUGUGGGGUGGCUUCUGGGUAGGAGCUGGUGGCUUCUUUGUUGGAGUUGAAGGAGGCGUAAUCUUCUGAGGUGGCUUGUAUGAGUCUUUGGCACUCUCUGCAGGAGGGUGCCCAGGGUUGUGACCGGAAGGAGGUGGCUUCUGUCCCUUUGGUGGUUUGCCUAAUGGGCUUGGUGGCUUGUGCUCCGGGAGUUGUUUCUCUCCCUCGAGUAGGUUUCGAGUUUUGUCAGAUGGCUUGUGUUCUGGUGGUGGCUUCUCUCCCUGGGGUGGUUUGCCGAAUGGGCUUGGUGGCUUGUGUUCGGGGAGUGGCUUCUCUCCCUUGGCAGGUUCAGUUGGUGGCUGGUGCUCCGUAGGUGGUUUCUUCACCGCCGGCUUCUCUCCCUGGAGAAGGUUACGAGUUUUGUCAGAUGGCUUCUGUUCUGGUGGCGGCUUCUCUCCCUGGGGUGGUUUGCCAAAUGGGCUUGGUGGCUUGUGUUCGGGAACUGGCUUCUCUCCCUUGGCAGGUUCAGUUAGUGGCUGGUGUUCCGUAGGUGGUUUCUUCACCGGCGGCUUGUGCUCCGGAAGCGGCUUCUCUACCUGGAGAAGCUUACGAGUUUUGUCAGAUGGCUUGUGUUGUGGUGGUGGCUUCUCUCCCUGGGGUGGUUUGCCAAAUGGACUUGGUGGCUUGUGUUCGGGGAGUGGCUUCUCUCCAUUGGGAGGUUUAGUUGGUGGUUGGUGUUCCGUAGGUGGUUUCUGAAGUGGGGGAUGCUUGGGGUAGUCAGCAAGAGACGAGGUAGUGAGAACCACCAGUCCCAGCAGCAAUACUAGCAAGGAUGUGGAAGACAUCUUUGAGUUCAGGCUGAGAUUUGUGCAAGGCUAGAAGAAUUAGGUGGCCUUUUAUAGCGGGCUGGACCCAACAACCAAAUGACACGUAUCAUGAUACACAUAUGUGUUAUAAGAUCCUUGUGGGUCCUACAGAAGUUGAAAACUUUGACAAUUGAGGUGUGAUUACAACUUUUGUCCCUAUUGCUUUCUCGUCAGCCGUUUUGCAAGAUUUUUGACAGGAGGACGGUAGUUUAAAAUAAUAAUUUCUAAAGUACUUUUGUGAAAAAAAAUAAUUCCAAACGUGGAUUUUAUCAAGUAAAAAAAACAAAAAAAAGUUAUUUUCUUUUAAAAUCUUUUCUUCAUGAUUCAUAUACCAAAAAAAGAAUUGUUUUCUGUAGGUAAAAUUUUUAAAAUUCAUUUUUAAAAAAAAAAAAUUACACACUAAAAUUAUCUCUUCAAGAAAAUAUUUUUUAAAUUUUAAAUAAUUAUUAAUUUAUAAUUAAUUUUUUAUUAAUUAUUUAUUAAAUUUAUAUGUGAAAAAUGCAUUUAUAAAAAACAAAUUUUUUAUUAAUUUAUUAAAUAAUUAUUUACAAAAUAAAUAAUUUUGCUUUAUUUUAAUUUUAAAAUUAAUUUUAUUAUAUAAAUUUUAAAAUUAAAAAUAUUAAUAUUUAAUUUAAAAUUUAACUAUAAAAGGAAUAAAAUAUAGAAAAAUAAAUUAAUUUAUUAUUCAAUAAAUUAAUUUUCAAUAAAAUUUUCAGCAUUAAGAGAUAAAUUUUUAAGUAUUAAUCAAUUUAAAAAAUAAUAAUAAUCAUUUGUAUACUAAGAUAUUUUAUUUAGUAAUUAUGAAUGAUAAACAACUAAAGUAAUUUGAAAAAAUAAUAAAAUAUUUAAAAAUAAUAAUUUAAUACACUUAAAAUUAGAAAUGAUUAACUAUUUUUUAUUAAGAAAAAAUUGAAGAAAUAUUUUGUUAUUUAAAAUUUUUUAUUUGUUUUCAAUUUUAAAUGUUAUAGGUUUCAAGAAAAUUGAUCAAAUAAAAAUUAAGAAGUCAUUUUUUCAAAAACUAUAUAUCUAAAUAAAAGCCUUGAAAUUCAAAUACACAAUAUCAUAAAUAUAAACACCAAGUCAAUCCUUAAUUAUCAAAUGUUUUUAAUAUUAAAGAAUCAAAAUCACCUACUAUCAUGAUAAUAAGAAAACCAAUAAUAUUGUUCAUAUAAAUACUAAAAAGCUAACAAAUAUCCCAAACAAUUAAUAAAGUAUCAAACAUGAUAAAAAGUCAAUUAUUAUCAUGAAUGCAAAAAAUCAAUAAUUUUGUUUAUAUGAACCAUCAACAAAGAAAAAAAAAAUCAAUAUCUAAAUAUUAAACAUAAUUUAUAUUUUUAUAAAUAUUAUUGUUGAUAAAUAUCUUAAUAAUUAUAAUUUUUUAUAUAUUAAAUUUAGUAAAUAAAAUUAAUUAAUUUUAUAAUAUAAGAUAUAUAUAAUAAUUAAGAGACUAUUUGUCCCAAACAAUUUAUUUAUUUUUUUUUUAGGAAAUUGUCUCUUCAAGAGACGACUUCUCCCAACAUUUUUAAAAAAAAAAAAAAAAACAUCUAUUCAAAAGACGAUUUCUCCUCAUUUUUUAAAAAUGAAUUUUAGAAAUCAUAUUUUCAAAAAUGAAUUUUAGAAAUCAUAUUUUCAAAAGACGAUUUUUUUUUAUAUAAAUUAUUUUUUAAAAUGACGAUUUUAAAAGGAAAUAACGAUCUCUCUCCUACUUGGCAAAAACUAUGGUAAAUUUGGAAUUAUUUCUUCCACAACCAUAGUUUAAGAAUUAUUUUUUUAUACUUUCGUAGACUUAUCAAAAAUCCCUAUUUUGCAUGUCUCAUUUGGCAUGACUUUCUUACCUAAACAAGCAUAUAUAUAUAUAUAUAUAUAUAUAUCACUUUUGUCUGGGUUGAGUCAAUGCCCUUAACUAAUUUGUUCAUUUGAAUAGUCUAAAUUAUUAUAAGCUUUUAGUUAAGAAAAAUGUGAAACAUAAAUUACACCUCUCGGCACAACUUCGACACUGGUUACUCUGUUUCAGUUUAUUCACACAAGAUUAUUGGUUCUAGGGUUUAUUUGGUUUUGGUUUGAUUCUAAUUGCUAAACUUUCUCAAGGAAGAUGUUAUAUAGGGAGUGAGAAACCUUCACUCCUGGCUACCUCCAAGAGAAGAGCAAGUGGUCUGAAUCAAAGAUAUACUGCUCACUUUUUCUUCUUCUAAGGACAGCUAUGACCUUGCUUUAAAAUGUUCGAAUAGCCUAAUGCAACCUCCCAUUUCUCAAGUCAGCUGAUGAUGUAAGUCACCUUGGCUUUCCACAUUCAUACGGUGAGGACGUUUGUGGGUGUAAUUCUCUUAACAGUUUUCAUUUUAUAUGGAAAAAUUCAUAAUUAAGGGUAAUUACUGAUUCCAUUUGACAGUGACCAAGUUUAAAAUAUUAACUCAUGUAUUAAAUGCACAUUAAAAAAUCAUGGAAUAAAUAUAUUUACUAAUAUAUAGUUCUUUUGUCAUGUUCUGUCACAGAAGCAUCGAACUUUCCCUAGAAAUUUUUGCAUGGUAUUCUGCUUAUGAUUUUGAAAACUCUAGGCACCUAAGGCCACUGAUUGCAUGGUUGGAUGAGGAGCUGCAUGAGAUUAUGUAUCCUGUUGCUCCUUAACUACAAAUAUCAGUUUUAAGUAGCAUCUCCAUGUGACAUUUUCCUGAUGCAAUUUCGCUGUCCACCAACAAAUGUCUCCAUGCAGCUAGAUGAAUUGUAAUUUCUUUGUUGUUAUCAACAGCUUUAAUUAAUCUUGAUAUAUAUAUAACUUAGUAGAAGUAAUUAAUCUAGAUUGUAGUUGCACUAAGAUAAUAGGCAAUAUUAUAACAGUGCCACAAUGCUCAUCGCCAAAUAGAAAGGUAGAAAAACUACAAUGAGUAACUCACACAACAUUCUCAAACAGGACAUAGCGGCGACUGAUACAUAGAACACUAUUGGCACUCAGGAAAUGAUAAGAUCAGUGCCCAGCAGGCAGCACGUCUUAUUUUACAUACUACUUAAAACUAACCAAAGUCAUUCAGUUGGGAUGGGUGGGAGAUGGUGGUUUGUGCGGUGGCUUCUUUCCUGGAACUGGUGGUUUUUUUGUUGGAGUUGAAGGAGGCUUAAUCGUCUGAGGUGGCUUGUAUGAGUCUUCAGCACUCUCUGCAAGAGGGUGCCCAGGGUUGUGACCAUAAUGAGGUGGCUUCUCUCCCUUAGGUGGUUUGCCAAGUGGGCUGGCUGGCUUGUGCUCCGGGAGCGGCUUCUCUCCCUUAGGUGGUUUGCCAAAUGGGCUUGCUGGCUUGUGCUCUGGGAGCGGCUUCUCUCCCCCAAGAAGUUUGCGGGUUUUGUCAGAUGGCUUGUGUUCUGGUGGUGGCUUCUCUCCUUGGGGUGGUUUGCCAAAUGGACUUGGUGGCUUGUGUUCGGGGAGUGGCUCCUCUCCCUUGGGAGGUUUAGUUGGUGGCUGGUGUUCCGUAGGUGGUUUCUCAACCGGGGGCUGGUGCUCCGUAGGUGGUUUAUGAACUGGGGGAUGCUUGGGGUAGUCAGCAAGAGACGGGGUGGUGAGAACCACCAGUCCCAGCAGCAACACUAGCAAGUAUGUGGAUGACAUCUUUGAGUUCAGGCUGAGAUUUGUGCAAGACUAGAAGAAUUAGGUGGCCUUUUAUAGCUGGCUGCACCCAACACUCACAUGACACGUAUCACGGUGACACAUGUGCUAUGGGAUCCAUUUGGGUCCUACAGAAGUUGAAAACUUUUGACUAUUGAGGUGUGAUCACAACUUUUGUCCCUAUUGCUUUCUCCGCAACCGUUUUACAUGUUUCCUUUGUGGUGUUUAAUAGUGUUUUUUUCCUUAAUUCUAAAUAAACCUUAAUACUUAAUAAUGUUAAAUAUUAGGUUAUUUAUUUUUAUAAUAUUUUAUUUAUAUUAAGUAUUAAAAAGUAAAGAAAAAUCAAUAUAUUUAUUUUUCUAUUUAGAAAAAACUAUAUAUUUUUAAUUUUUUUAUUUAAUAAAAAAUUUAUAAUAAAUCAUGAAAAAAUAGAAAAACAAACAACCUAAAUUUUAAAAAUAAAUUGUUUUUAGUAAAAACCCAAAAAAACAAACACCACCUUAACUAAACAAAUAUAUAUUAUAUUUAGUUAAGAAAGAGUAAAGUGUAUAUGGCUCAAAUCAAGGAAGAGAAACAGAAUAAGUGGAAGACAAUCAAUUGUGAUAAACAGAUAUAUUACAUGCAUGUAGUACUAGUGACUUUAUCAUUUACUUUUAUACAAUAGAUCAUCACACUCUUUCUUCUAAAUAUUUUGGAGGAUAAUGGUACAUGUUGCUUGUUGCCAAGUCAAAAUUGGUGGCAAAAAUCGGCAUGAUACGAAAGGAUUGGUGAAAAGAUUCACAUAGAUGGUGCUUUGUGCAAUGCAGUCUUGCUCUAAUUCAACAGAGUGGACCAUGGUGAUGUAUUUUAAAUUUUAAAUUUUAAAUUAAUGCAUGCUUCAAAGUUUUAACUAGAUGUCACUUCCAUGGAUUUUUGUUCAUUUAAUUGAGAACAGGAUAGGCUAUCAAACUUGAAGUAAUAUAAAAAUCCCUUCAUUACUGUAACUAAUGAAAGAUCAUUAUCUGCGCUUGGUAUUUUGCCAAGGUAUUUGCUGCUCUUUCUAGCCCUAUCUUACAGUUAAGGACAAUGUGAUCUAGUUAACCUUAGAAGCUAUUCCAUGUCAUAUACAAGAGAUCAAGCACAUUAUCUUUGGGCUCAGUUCAAAACUAUAAUAUAUGGGUGGGGUGGGGGCCUAUACCAUUUGCAUAUCACCACUAUUGGUUUAGUUUGGAAGGUUUCUUCUGGAAGAUUGCUUUCUGGAAACAUUUCAAAGAAAUAUAUCUUUUUGUUCUCUUGGUGACGAGCAGCGGCAAUCAAGUCUGUUGACAAACAACCGAGUUGAAAAGUUUGAAAAUUGGUCACAGCCCACGUCCAUGGUUAAGGAAAAGGUCACUGGAAGUGAUCCCUUCUGGGCCUGUUGGAAGCAGGGGAGGUUAACACACCAAGCAACAAAGAACAGAGAUAUGCUGCUACUGAUCUAUAUUUUUUAUUUGAUCAUAAGGCUAAAUUUAUACAGAUUGUGUAACAGAUAUGACCUCAAAAAAAAGCAUCAAAUCAAGCUACUUGUUGAACAAACAACUACCUUCUACAAAAUAACAUCAAAAUUUAACUUAAAAGCAAAAACAUAAAAAUAGCAACAGCAAAAAUAGAAACAUAAAAAUAGCUUCAGCAUUCUAGUAAUCUCGUUGACUUCAAUUGCAUGUGGUUGACGAUUUCAGCCUUUUCCUCAGCAGCUACUAAGGCAUAACUCUCAACACUCCUCCUUGACUUAGGAGGUGCAAACUCCAAGUCUUUCUCAUAGAAACUCAAAUCUUAUUUUAGGAAGAGCUUUAGUCAGAAUAUCUACAUUUUGACUGUCUGUAUUGCAGUAGACUAGUUGUAUAUCUCCUUCUUUCUGUACUUCCCUCAAAAAUUACAAUUUAAUCUUGAAGUGCUUUGUUUUACCAUGAAAAACUGGAUCAUUUGCAAUAGAUAUAGUGGCCUGGUUGUCUACAAACACCUUUGUACUCACUUCUUGCUUCAUAUCCAAAUCUGUCAGCAACUUUCCAAGCCAUAAGGCUUGAUUUACAGCUGUAACAGCAGCAAUAUACUCUGCCUCAGCUGUGGAUUGAGCCACGACUUCUUGCUUCCUUGAACUCCAUGAAAAAACACCAGAACCAAAACUAAAACAAUAGCCUGAAGUACUUCUCAUAUCGUCAACACAACCAGCCCAAUCACUAUCAGAAAAUCCAUGAAAAUUGAAACUUUGAACUUGACUGAACUUAAUGCCAUAAUCCACAGUGCCUUUAACAUUUCUUAUCACACGCUUUGCUGCCUGGAAAUGAAUUUCACUAGCACAAUGCAUGUAUCUCGAAAGUAGACUUACAGCAUGCAUUAUAUCGAGUCUUGUUGCAGUCAAGUACAUUAAGCAUCCAAUCAUGCUUCGAUAAAGUCCUUCAUCUACCUUUUUAGCACCGUCCUCCUUACAGAACUUCUCUUUCUGGUUCAUAGGGGUAGAUGUAGGUUUGCAUUCCUCCAUUUUGAAUUUCUUCAUAAUUUCUUUGGCAUAUUUUUGUUGGCAGAUGAAAAUCUCAUUCUGCUUCUGGUGUACUUCCAUUCCCAAGAAGUAAGACAUCUCAUCUAGGUCUGUCAUCUCAAAAACCUGCUCCAUUUCAGCCUUGAAUUUGUUCACAAACCCUGCAUUACUUCCUGUUACAAGCAAAUCAUCAACAUAUAGAGAAACAAUUAAUAUAUCUUCUUCAAUCUUCUUAAUGUAGAGUGUAAAUUCACUCAAGCUCUUGUGAAAGCCUAAAGUUAGCAGGUGAGUGUCAAUCCUGCUGUACCAAGCUCUAGGGGCUUGUCUUAACCCAUACAAGGCCUUCUUAAGAAGGUAUACUUUUUCUUCUUUUCCUUUGAUAGCAAAACCUUCUGGUUGUUCGACAAAAAUCUCUUCCUCUAAGUAGCCAUUCAAAAAUGCUGACUUCACAUCUAGUUGAUAAAUCUUCCAUUUUCUUUGAGCUACAAGAGCCAACAACAUCCUGAUUGUAUCCAAACGAGCUACUGGUGCAAAGGUUUCCGAAAAGUCAACACCAAACAUUUGUGCAUACCCUUUGACAACCAGCCUUGCUUUAUGUUUGUUUAUAGAACCAUCAGAGUUGAGUUUGGUUCUGUAAACCCACUUAACCCCAAUAGGUUUUUUGUGUGAAGGUCUAUCUACUAGCUCCCAAGUGUUGUUCUUGUCAAUCAUAUCUAGCUCCUCCUGCAUUGCAACCCUCCAUCUUUUAUUUUCAGCAGCUUCAACAAACCCUGCAAGUUCAAGAACAGCUAUAUUACACCUUUGAUAAAUAUCAAAAAGUGUCAUGAAACCUCUAACUGGAAGUUCAUCAACAUCUUCAUCAAUAUAUUGCUGAUUCUGCUCAUCCCAACUCCAUUUCUCCGUUUCCAAAAACUUAACAUCUCUACUUACCACAAUUUUACUAUUUUGUGGCAAGUAGAUUCUGUAAGCUUUUGAGGUGCUGUUGUAUCCAAUGAAAAUUCCUGGUUCUGACUUUUUAUCUAGCUUGUCUCUUUUCACCUGAGGAACAUAAGAGAAACACAAGCAACCAAAGGUCUUUAAAUUCAUUAGCAUAGGCUUAUAAGCAAACCAGGCCUCAAAAGGUGUCUGUUUCUGCAAUGCUUUUGUUGGUAGUCUAUUUAGCAAAAAUACUACUGUAUUUGCAGCUUCAACCCAAAAACUUUUUGGCAGCUCUUUCUCAUGCAAAAGACAUCUUGUCAUUGAUUACUACUCAAAAAGUGCUAUUUGAUAGCCUUUAAUUAAUCCUUUUUAACACUUUUGAGUAGUAGUUUAGGCCUUUUAACUCAAUUGGCAUGUUAAGGAUCCUUUAAAGCAAUUUUGAUCACUUUGUGCAAGUUUUGGUGUUUUUGUUAGUAUUUCGAUCACCAAAGCAAGUCAAGAAUGAGGAGAGCUAUGAGGAAUCUUGGGCAAAGCUUAGAAUUCAAUUGCCAAGAGUGAAUCCGGAUUGCAAGGAGAAAAAGCAAAGAGGAUCAGUCAUGGAGCAUAUUCUUGAUGACAGUCGUAGCAGCCACUUUUGGAUCACUUUCUGAAGUCCAAAUGAUGCAAGCUAUAUACCAUUUCAAAGCUCAGGAAGUCAACAAUCCAAUGCUUCAAACGGUGUGCGAUUCGGAAUUGAAACGAAGAAGUUGCAGCCAUUACAAGCCAGACACUCUAAAGUGUUGCGGAAUCAGCCAUGUGUUGCGAGAAUUUCGCAGCACUUUUGUACAGUAAGGUGUUUCUCCUUCUAACGAUGCACGAACCAUGCCGCGAGAAGGGAGCUGGAAACUUCAAGAUGGAAGCCAACUUUGCAGCCUAGUGAAGAUAGCUCGGUCUUGCAAGAUAAUUUCGCAGCCCUCUUGGGUGUCUGCGAAAUUUCGCAGGCCUCAUUUUUCACCUGCGAAAUGGCUCUUGAAGCCUCCCGAAGCUUGCUACCGACAUUGGGAGAUAUUUUCCAUUAGAUUUUUGUUGUCUAAAUCCCAAAAUACUCCUUGUAAACCACCAAUUACAUGAUUCCUUAGUUUUUAAGUUAGUAAAAAGACCAAAUAUCUUUGUAACAAUUAGUUUUAUAUUUUGUUGUUAUAAAUACCUCUCGGGAGCCUGUUCUCAGGGAGGAGUUCCUUCUGUAAACGUUUGGUAAGCAAGUAAAGUCUAUUUUCUUUCUACUGCCUUACCUUCUCACUUUGUAUUUUCAUUUUAUUUCUAAGUUAUGAAUUCUCUGAGGAGUUUUCCCCAAAGAAUGAGUAACUAAACCUCCAAUUCCUUGGAGCUAAGGUUGCCGGGGAAGGUUCCAAGUGCAAGAAUGCAAAGCUCUGUGGUUUUAGCUAGUAAUGAAGAGGAAGUGAAAUCCUUUAGUGAUUUCAAUGUUUUUAGUUAACUUAAAACACUUUGGAGUCACCUGGGCCAACACUUGGUAAGGCAAGUGAUUUCCAACCAUGGAAAUGCACUAGUUUACCCCUUGCGAGCCUCUGGUAGGUGACUUCAAGGUAGGAUUUUCUGGAAUUACCAACACUUGGUAAGCUUUUGGACUCCUAGGAGACAUCCAUUAGUUAUCUCUUGCGAGUUUGUGAAGGGAAUCCAAGGUUAAAGAUCACCUUGAAUGGUAAGUGCUCGUGAGAGGCAUGAACCAUUGCAAGUUGUAUCAGUGAGAGAAUUAAAGUGAAAUCUAAUUGAAGGAGUCUUUGUACAUCACCGGUUAGAGAAUUGACUAUAAGUUGAAUCUCUAAUGCGAGGAAAUGAACCAACUGACCAGAGCCGUGUCUUUUGCAUGAGGAACCACCCCAGUGAACCUAAAUCUCCAAGGAAUGUUUUUUUCUUCCUAAAUUAUUCCAAACUUCUGUUAAGUUAGUUAGUUUAAAUCUCAACCUUUACAAAUCAAAGUUUGUGUUUUAUUCCUUAAGCUAACCGUGAAAUGAAACAAGACCAAUUCACUUGGAAUUGGUAUCAUUGAUUGCCUGCAAAUCAUUCCCAGUGAACGAUCCUAGAGCCACUAUACUAUAGUAGCUUUGUAUUUGCUACCCUAGUGUAUGGUGUUAUAGGUAUAAAUUUUGUUGAUCACUUCCUCAAUCAAGGAGCACCAGCUGAACACAAAUCAGCUGAGACACCAAUUAGGCAUGAGUCAAAUGGCGCCGUUGCCGGGGAAUGAAUGUCAAGUUCAUUGUGAUACCAUUGUUGAGCACUUGUGAUUUUCAUCACAAGUUGGUAAAGUUUCUUUCACUUUACUAAUUUUCAUUCUUUCUUUGUUUAUUUACAAUCUAAGUUUAUCUUUUUAAAUUUUAGUCUAGUUUAAUUUUGUUGUUGUAGCCCUGUUUUUCUUGUUGUCCUCUGUUUUCAUUUUUUUUUUCAGGUAGAUACUAGUUGUGUAUGCCCAAGUGGAUACGAGACAUAGGAGGUAGGCUUGUUAAGUGUGAUACACCUCAGAAAGGAGAAUUUGAAGUAAUCUUGAAUAUCAUGGAGGCUGCACCUGAAGAUCAGCAUAGUCACCAAGGUCGUCAAGACAAUCUCAAUGAAUUCAGAUCAAUGAGGGACCGUAUGCAUCCACCUCGUAUGAGUACACCAUCAUGUAUAGUGCCCCCUACAGAGCAGCUAGUGAUCAGACCAUAUCUUGUUCCACUUCUACCAACUUUCCAUGGGAUGGAAAGUGAGAAUCCGUAUGCACACAUCAAGGAAUUUGAAGAUGUUUGUAAUACAUUCCAAGAAGGAGGAGCUUCAAUUGACUUGAUGAGGCUUAAGUUAUUUCCUUUUACUUUAAAGGAUAAGGCCAAAAUUUGGCUUAAUUCUUUAAGGCCAAGGAGUAUCCGCUCUUGGACUGAUUUACAAGCUGAGUUCCUUAAGAAAUUUUUUCCUACUCAUAGAACAAAUGGCUUGAAAAGGCAAAUUUCAAACUUCUCAGCUAAAGAGAAUGAGAAAUUCUAUGAGUGUUGGGAAAGAUACAUGGAAGCUAUAAAUGCUUGUCCUCACCAUGGCUUUGAUACUUGGCUAUUGGUGAGCUAUUUUUAUGAUGGUAUGUCCUCCUCAAUGAAGCAACUCCUCGAGACAAUGUGUGGAGGAGAUUUCAUGAGCAAAAAUCCAGAGGAAGCUAUGGAUUUCUUGAGCUAUGUAGCUGAUGUUUCAAGGGGAUGGGAUGAACCAACUAAAGGAGAAGUGGGAAAGAUGAAGUCUCAGUUGAAUGCUUACAAUGCAAAGGCUGGGAUGUAUAAUUUGAAAGAAGAUGAUGACAUGAAAGCAAAGUUGGCAGCUAUGACAAGAAGAUUGGAGGAGCUGGAGCUGAAAAGAAUGCAUGAAGUGCAAGCUGUUGCUGAAGCACCAGUGCAAGUGAAGCUGUGUCCCAAUUGUCAAUCAUUUGAACAUUUGGUGGAGGAGUGCCCUGCAAUUUCAGUUGAAAGGGAAAUGUAUAGAGAUCAAGCAAAUGUUGUUGGACAAUUUAGGCCCAAUAACAAUGCUCCUUAUGGAAAUACCUACAAUUCAAGUUGGAGGAAUCAUCCAAAUUUCUCAUAGAAGGCCAGAGCAACUCAAUACCAACAGCCGGAUCCACCAUCUCAGCAAUCUUCAAGUAUUGAACAAAUAAUAGCCAAUCUCAGCAAGGUAGUGGGAGAUUUUGUGGGAAAGCAAGAAGCCACCAAUGCUCGAGUUGAUCAAAGAAUGGAUAGAAUGGAGAGUGUGUUGAACAAAAGAAUGGAUGGAAUGCAAAAUGAUAUGAACCAAAAGUUUGAUAACAUCCAAUAUUCAAUUUCAAGGCUUACAAAUUUGAAUACACUGCAAGAAAAAGGAAGAUUUCCUUCUCAACCUAACCAAAAUCCCAAAGGUGUCCAUGAAGUGGAAAGCCAUGAGGGAGAAUCAUCACAGGUGAAAGAUGUGAAAGCUUUGAUCACUCUAAGGAGUGGUAAGAAAAUUGAGCAGCCAACACCCAUGCCACAUGUUGAGAAAGAAGAAGGGAUAAAGAAAGGAAAGGAAAUAGAAGAUAAAGACAGUGAGAUCAGUGAAGAAAAGAAGGACUCUGAUUCAACAAUCAAAGCAAUUCCAGAGAAAGAGCUUCUGAAGGAAGAAAUGCUGAAGAAAUCAACUUUUCCACCUUUUCCUCAAGCAUUACAGGGGAAAAAGGGGGUUAGAAAUGCAGCUGAAAUCCUUGAAGUCUUAAGACAAGUAAAAGUUAAUAUUCCACUGCUGGAUAUGAUCAAACAAGUUCCAACGUAUGCAAAAUUCCUAAAGGACUUGUGUACUAUCAAAAGAGGGGUUGACUGUAAACAAGAAAGCCUUCUUGACUGAGCAAGUAAGUGCAAUCUUACAAUGCAAGUCUCCUUUGAAGUACAAAGACCCUGGAAGUCCUACCAUUUCAGUCAUGAUUGGAGGAAAGGUAGUGGAGAAAGCCUUGCUAGACUUGGGAGCAAGUGUGAAUUUGCUUCCAUACUCUGUCUACAAGCAACUGGGACUUGGAGAGUUGAAGCCAACAGCAAUCACUUUAUCUUUGGCAGAUAGAUCAGUGAAAAUUCCAAGAGGAGUAAUUGAGGAUGUAUUGGUUCAAGUGGAUAAUUUCUACUAUCCAGUAGAUUUUGUUGUUCUUGAUACUGAUCCAACUGUAAAGGAAGCUAAUUUAGUUCCUAUCAUCCUUGGAAGGCCAUUUCUUGCAACUUCAAAUGCAAUCAUCAACUGUAGAAAUGGGCUUAUGCAACUCACUUUUGGUAACAUGACACUGGAUCUCAAUAUUUUCUAUAUGUCUAAAAAGCAAAUCACUCCUGAGGAAGAAGAAGGUCCAGAAGAGCUAUGUAUUAUUGAUACUUUGGUGGAGGAGCACUGCAAUCAGCAUAUGCAAGAUAAGUUGAAUGAAAGUCUUGUGGAUAUUGAGGAAGGUUUUUCUGAAUCUCCUAUUGGGCUUGCUACUCUACAAAGUUGGAGAAAGAUAGAAGGAAUUCUACCUUUGUUCAAUGAAAAAGAGGAGGCAACUGUUGAAGAAGAAAUUCCAAAACUCAAUUUGAAGCCUUUACCUGUGGAGCUGAAAUAUACAUAUCUUGAAGCAAAUAAUCAAUGUCCUGUUGUGAUAUCCUCAUCUCUGACCAGUCAUCAAGAGAAUUGUUUAAUGGAAGUUCUCAUGAGGUGUAAGAAGGCAAUAGGAUGGCAAAUAUCUGACUUGAAAGGCAUUAGUCCUUUAGUUUGUACUCAUCAUAUAUAUAUGGAGGAGGAAGCAAAGCCAAUUCGUCAAUUUCAAAGAAGGUUGAAUCCUCAUCUACAAGAGGUGGUGCGAGCUGAGGUGCUGAAGCUACUUCAAGCAGGAAUCAUUUACCCUAUUUCUGAUAGCCCUUGGGUGAGUCCUACUCAAGUGGUACCAAAGAAGUCAGGGAUCACAGUGAUUCAAAAUGAAAAAGGGGAAGAAAUUACUACACGCCUCACUUCAGGUUGGAGGGUGUGUAUUGAUUAUAGAAAGCUGAAUGCUGUCACCAGGAAGGAUCAUUUUCCAUUGCCAUUUAUUGAUCAAGUGCUGGAGAGAGUCUCUGGACAUCCAUUUUAUUGUUUCUUGGAUGGGUAUUCAGGCUAUUUUCAAAUUGAAAUUGAUUUGGCAGAUCAGGAAAAGACCACUUUUACAUGUCCAUUUGGAACAUUUGCUUAUAGAAGAAUGCCUUUUGGUUUAUGCAAUGCACCUGCUACAUUUCAAAGAUGUAUGUUGAGUAUUUUCAGUGAUAUGGUGGAGAGAAUUAUGGAGGUUUUCAUGGAUGACAUCACCGUAUAUGGAGGUACAUUUGAGGAGUGCUUGGUUAAUUUGGAAGCAGUUCUUCAUAGAUGCAUUGAAAAAGAUUUGGUGCUGAACUGGGAGAAAUGCCAUUUUAUGGUACGUCAAGGAAUUGUCCUUGGCCAUAUCAUCUCUGAAAGAGGCAUUGAAGUUGAUAAAGCAAAGGUGGAGCUUAUUGCCAAAUUACCAUCUCCAACAACUGUGAAAGGAGUAAGACAGUUCCUUGGCCAUGCAGGGUUCUAUAGGAGGUUUAUAAAAGGUUUUUCAAGUCUUUCAAAACCUCUUUGUGAGCUGUUAGCUAAGGAUGCUAAGUUUAUAUGGGAUGAAAGGUGUCAGCAUAGCUUUGAUCAACUGAAGAAGUUUUUAACAACAACUCCAAUAGUGAGAGCCCCUAACUGGCAAUUACCUUUUGAACUGAUGUGUGAUGCCAGUGACUUUGCUAUAGGAGCUGUGCUUGGCCAAAGAGAAGAUGGGAAGCCCUAUGUGAUUUACUAUGCAAGUAAAACACUAAAUGAAGCUCAGAGGAACUACACAACUACAGAGAAAGAAUUGUUAGCUGUGGUAUUUGCUUUGGACAAAUUUCGAGCUUAUUUAGUGGGGUCUUUCAUCAUUGUCUUCACUGACCAUUCAGCCUUGAAGUAUUUAUUGACAAAGCAAGAUGCAAAAGCAAGGUUGAUUAGAUGGAUUCUAUUGUUACAAGAGUUCGAUCUUCAAAUCAAAGAUAAGAAAGGAGUGGAGAAUGUAGUAGCUGACCACUUGUCAAGGUUAGUUAUAGCACAUAAUUCCCAUCCCUUGCCUAUCAAUGAUGAUUUUCCUGAAGAAUCACUCAUGUUCCUAGUGAAAACUCCUUGGUAUGCUCAUAUUGCUAAUUAUUUAGUAACUGGGGAAAUUCCAAGUGAGUGGAAUGCACAGGACAGGAAGCACUUCUUUGCCAAAAUUCAUGCUUAUUAUUGGGAAGAGCCCUUUCUCUUUAAGUAUUGUGCAGAUCAGAUUAUUAGGAAGUGUGUCCCUGAAGAUGAGCAGCAAGGGAUUCUAUCUCAGUGUCAUGAGAAUGCAUGUGGAGGCCACUUUGCCUCUCAGAAAACAGCCAUGAAGGUAUUACAAUCAGGGUUUACUUGGCCAUCUCUUUUCAAAGAUGCCCACAUCAUGUGUAGAAAUUGUGAUAGAUGCCAAAGGCUUGGAAAGCUAACAAAAAGAAAUCAAAUGCCUAUGAACCCCAUUCUGAUAGUUGAGAUAUUUGAUGUUUAGGGCAUUGACUUCAUGGGACCUUUCCCAAUGUCUUUUGGUAAUUCUUACAUUUUGGUGGGGGUAAAUUAUGUUUCUAAAUGGGUUGAGGCAAUCCCCUGUAAGCAAAAUGAUCACAGGGUGGUUCUCAAGUUUCUUAAAGAGAACAUUUUCUCAAGAUUUGGGGUGCCCAAGGCCAUAAUCAGUGAUGGAGGAGCUCAUUUUUGCAACAAACCUUUUGAAGCUCUGUUAUCCAAGUAUGGAGUGAAGCAUAAGGUAGCCACACCUUAUCAUCCUCAGACAUCCGGGCAAGUUGAGCUAGCUAACAGGGAAAUAAAGAACAUUUUGAUGAAAGUGGUGAAUUCCAACAGAAAAGAUUGGUCUAUUAGGCUUCAUGAUUCAUUGUGGGCAUAUAGAACAGCUUAUAAAACUAUUCUUGGGAUGUCUCCCUAUCGUCUUGUCUAUGGCAAAGCAUGCCAUCUCCCUGUGGAAGUUGAAUACAAAGCUUGGUGGGCAAUAAAGAAGCUGAAUAUGGACUUGAUCAAGGCCGGAGAAAAGAGAUUUCUAGACCUUAAUGAGAUGGAGGAAUUAAGAAAUAAUGCUUAUAUCAAUUCCAAAGUUGCAAAACAGAGGAUGAAGAAGUGGCAUGAUCAACUCAUCUCCAACAAGGAAUUUCAGGAAGGGCAAAAAGUUUUGAUGUAUGACACAAGACUCCAUAUCUUUCCUGGGAAGCUCAAAUCAAGGUGGAUUGGUCCAUUUGUUAUUCACCGAGUAUAUUCCAAUGGAGUGGUGGACUUAUUGAAUUCCAAUGGCAAGGAUAGCUUUAAAGUCAAUGGAUAUCGUCUCAAGCCGUUCAUGGAGUCAUUCAAAUCAGAAAAGGAGGCAAUCAACCUCCUUGAACCUCAAAAAGCCUAAGUGAAAAGGGUUUGCUGGACGUGGCUUUACCACAGUCCAAAAUUUUUGUAAAUUUUGUAAAUUUUCAAGUUGUUUCUAUACUUUUGAUUUUAGUUUUUGAUCUUAAAUCAUGUUUUUAGGUGUGUUUUAAUCGUUUUAAAUGAUCCCAGGUGGAAGAAAUUUCAAGGGGAUUGAAAGAAAAAAAAUCGGGUCGAAAUUGGAGCCGAAACAGAGCAAAAACAGGGGAAAAACAGAGCUCUGCGAAAUUUCGCAGGGUGAAGGAAACCUCUGCGAAAUGAGCAUUUUGUUGCGAAACCAUUCCGCAGCACUGUAGAAGCCUCUGCGAGUGUAUUUCGCAGCUGCGAAAGUGAAUUUGGCACACGAGUGCCACUUCGCAGUACAGUAGCAUCCAUUUGGCAGCUGCGAAACUCAUUGCGAAAUGGAAAAGCGUGAUUUCGCACCAAAAGUCCCAUUCCGCAGGGUAUUUCGCAAUUGCGAAAGUGGUUUUGGCACACGAGUGCCACUCCGCAGCACAGUAACAUCAAUUUCGCAGCUGCGAAACUCACUGCGAAGUUGCUGCGAAAAUGGCAAGUUGCUGCGAAAUUGGCGUUUAGUUGCGAAACUUAAACUGACCCCUGAGCUUCCGUUUUUCCUAUUUAUACCGGUCAAAAGUGCUGCGAAAAGGGUUUCAAAAAUCAGAGCACCAUUCUCGCAGCCCCUUCAUCUUCUUCGCCAAGCCACGCCGUCCGAACCUCCGGUCGUCUUCUCCGUUUAGCAGCGCCGGCCAAAGAUCGAUAUUCCAAAAUGGCACGAACGCGAGGGGCAAAAUCUUCAUCCCCUUCGAAUCGCAAAAGGAGUCUGCGAAAGGAGCCAAGUCCAGGUUCUGCUCCAGAACCUGCUCCAAAGCCUUCGCCGUCGAGACCACAACCUUCUCCAGUGAAGCCGGCGCCACUAAAGCCGCCGGCAAGACGAUAUUUGACAAGGUCAGGCGGUUGGCCAUUGAAGAAGAAGCCCAGGGUUGAGAGCUCUGAACCAAUUGAUUUGACUGAGCAAUCCCCUGAGCAGUCCCCAAAUCCUUCACCAGUUCAAACUCCAGUGCCGUCACCGGUUCCCUCGCCAAUUCCCUCACCUGAAGCAACUCCAAUUCCAUCGUCGGUACCAUCUCCGGCACCCCAAGAAAAAGCUCAGGAGCCUCAAGCGCCAAUUCCAGAGCCCCAAAUUGCAGCUGAAGCACCUCUGGAAGAAGUGAUCCGAAGGCCAAUGCUGCCCCAGCCCCCAAUCGAAGGAAACUUGGAUUGUCGAACACGGGCAUUCCAUUCUGAGCUUUGCUUCGAUUUAACAGCAUUCAGAGUGAGGCCAGAGCUUGCCCAAUCCUUCCAGCUGCUGAGGAGAUAUCAUAUGGAGCAUCUGCUAGCUCCAAGGGAUUUUUUCUAUCCCCGGGUAGUCACGGACUUCUACCAGACCAUGACAACCAAAGAAGUAAGAAAUCCAACUCUGAUCCAUUUCAUAAUUGAUGGAAGGCAUGGUAUUUUGGGAGCAAGACACAUUGCUGAAGCUCUGCAAAUUCCUUUUGAGCCAACCCAAUUCGACAAUUUUAAAGCUUGGGUAAAUCCUACUGAGUUAGAGAUGGUUCGCACACUAACCAGAGGAGCUGCAAAUCGAUCACACCUGUUGAGGGGGGAGCUACCUCCAGUGAUGUUUUUGAUUGAUGCCUUUUUGAGGCAUAAUAUCUAUCCCCUGCAGCAUUGGACCCAAAGAAGGGGAAUUCUCCUGGAAGCUUUGUACAAGAUGUCAGAAGGAUUCUUCUUUGGGCCCCAUCAUCUUAUCAUGGCAGCCCUUCUAUACUUUGAGGAAAAGGUUCACAAGAAGAAACUUCAAAGAGCAGAUUGCAUUCCACUCCUCUUCCCAAGGCUGCUAUGCCAAGUUUUGGAGCAUCUCGGAUACCCCUCUGAGCCUCAGCAGGAAAGAAAGAGAAUAUGCCGUGAGCCAUUUACUCUUGAUAAAUGGAAUAAUAUGACGGCCUACAAAAUUGAUCAGCCUGGGCAGCCUCAGCCAGCAGCAAGGAGAGCCUCCCCAAGACAUGCACCUGAAGGUAUAACACUUGCUACUCCUGCCAUCCCUCGAGCUUCACCAGCUGCACCUGCUGCAUCACAGCCAUCCACAUCAGCUGAGCCGAGGAUGGCCAUCCCUAUAUCCGAAUAUCGAGAGCUGUGCCGAGCAUUGGAGACUCUUACAGCUUCCCAGAGCAAUCUUGCUCAAGAGUUGGCAGCCAUCAAAGCAUGCCAGGAGCAGAUGUUAGCCUCUCAGGCUCAACAAGCUGCCAUCCUAAGGCAGCUUCAAGUCCAUUUCGAUCUGCCACAAGCUGUAGAGCCCUCCACUGAGACUCCACCAGAGCCACACUCUCAGCCUUCAGAGUCUCUUCCUCCAGAGCCAGAAGCCCCAACUGAUCCACCUACAGAGGAGGCGGAUCCUUCUGCUUAGCACCAUCACCCCACUCAUCAGACAUUAUAUAUAUUUGCUGUUUAUGUUUUUAUGCAUGUUUGUUUUGUUUUAGUUGAAAUGAAAUCCCAGUAUUUUGGUACUAUAUAUGGGAUUCCUUGUGAUUACUUGUCCUUAGCAUUGUACUCGAAUGAAUUGAAAGUAAUACAAGUUGAAUUUUUCUUGUUAAAAGUUAGCAUUAAAAUUCUCCUUAUUUCCUUUUCUCACAUAUUCUAUUCUUUUUGAAACAUGUGGUUUUCCCCAAUCAAUAUUCGAAUUUGAUAUCAGCAUGGAGGUACCACUUCCUCCCUUUUAUUACAGUCACUCAAAUCACAUUGAGGACAAUGCUCAGUUCGGUUGGGGGGUAUGAGGAAGGAAGUAUUCUAAAUCUUUUUGGUAUUGCAAUUAUAUUGGUUAAUUAGUUGUAGAUUUUACGUUUUACUCUUGUUACUCUAUUCUCCAUGAAUUUUGAGGAAAAAUUUUCAAAUUAAACCAAGAGAAAUUGAACUGUUGUUUUUCACUUGACUUAGAGUAUGGAUUAUGCUUACUAAAGUGGUUCAAUUGUUGAAACUUCUACUGAAAUUGAAUUGAGUUCUUCCAUUUUAAGCUAUCCACACACUGUGCACAUUAGUUUCUGAUUAUAAGAUGAAAAGCUAUUUCCCUCUUGACUUAGGAUAAUUUUGGGACUUGGUAUAUUUGACCUCAUUUGAUAAAAAUUGAAACACCCUGCAAAAGGCCAAUGAGCCUUUGAAAUAAAGAAAGAUGUUUGCUUGCCUUGAAACCCGAGCAAGGUCUGAGGGGCAUAUGGUGAAAGCCUUUAAAGCCUGGUGCCCUAAGCCUUAAUUGGUUGGGAGUCACCGACCUCAAUGCUCGUUACAAGGGUGAAUAGGUAGAGCUAGCAUAUGGUAGAUGCUUGGGUAUUAGAAAUUCAUUCUUAAAAGUCCAGGGAAAAAUCCGAGGAGUUAGUGGUUGAAAGAUCCUUAAAACUUGGUGCCCUAAACCUUAAUUGGUUGGGAGUCAUCGAUGGACCCCCAUUACAUGGACAAGUCAGAAAGAGUACCCCAUAAAGCUACUUUAAAAAAAAAAAAAAAAAAAAAAAAAAGAUGAUGAAAGUGUGUUCUUUUCUUAUUGAUUUUGGUCAGAUUGCUAAAGUGUUGAAAAGAGAUAGGUUGGGGGGGGAGACUAGUUUAGCAUAUUAUUCUCGGAAUCUAAGGAACCAAUACACAUAGAUUUUUGUGGAAGAUUGAAGUUUAGUUCUUAGAAAGUGAAAUGAUUUUAAAACUUCAGUUUGCAUAAUGCACUCCCUUGAUUGACAGUGUUUAGCAUAGGUGUUAUGACUCUUGUUGAGAUUUGGGUUUGUAUUUCUUUAAUGAUUCAUGUGAGAAGUAAAUCAUCAUGCCACUUAAGAAUUAUUUUCCUUUCAGCAUGAUGUUGUAAAUUUUAGAUUAGUUUGCUAUUUAUUUUUAUUUUUCUCUCCUUUAUUGCUAAGGGACUAGCAAUAUGUCGGUUGGGGGGAGUGAUUACUACUCAAAAAGUGCUAUUUGAUAGCCUUUAAUUAAUCCUUUUUAACACUUUUGAGUAGUAGUUUAGGCCUUUUAACUCAAUUGGCAUGUUAAGGAUCCUUUAAAGCAAUUUUGAUCACUUUGUGCAAGUUUUGGUGUUUUUGUUAGUAUUUCGAUCACCAAAGCAAGUCAAGAAUGAGGAGAGCUAUGAGGAAUCUUGGGCAAAGCUUAGAAUUCAAUUGCCAAGAGUGAAUCCGGAUUGCAAGGAGAAAAAGCAAAGAGGAUCAGUCAUGGAGCAUAUUCUUGAUGACAGUCGUAGCAGCCACUUUUGGAGCACUUUCUGAAGUCCAAAUGAUGCAAGCUAUAUACCAUUUCAAAGCUCAGGAAGUCAACAAUCCAAUGCUUCAAACGGUGUGCGAUUCGGAAUUGAAACGAAGAAGUUGCAGCCAUUACAAGCCAGACACUCUAAAGUGUUGCGGAAUCAGCCAUGUGUUGCGAGAAUUUCGCAGCACUUUUGUACAGUAAGGUGUUUCUCCUUCUAACGAUGCACGAACCAUGCCGCGAGAAGGGAGCUGGAAACUUCAAGAUGGAAGCCAACUUGGCAGCCUAGUGAAGAUAGCUCGGUCUUGCAAGAUAAUUUCGCAGCCCUCUUGGGUGUCUGCGAAAUUUCGCAGGCCUCAUUUUUCACCUGCGAAAUGGCUCCUGAAGCCUCCCGAAGCUUGCUACCGACAUUGGGAGAUAUUUUCCAUUAGAUUUUUGUUGUCUAAAUCCCAAAAUACUCCUUGUAAACCACCAAUUACAUGAUUCCUUAGUUUUUAAGUUAGUAAAAAGACCAAAUAUCUUUGUAACAAUUAGUUUUAUAUUUUGUUGUUAUAAAUACCUCUCGGGAGCCUGUUCUCAGGGAGGAGUUCCUUCUGUAAACGUUUGGUAAGCAAGUAAAGUCUAUUUUCUUUCUACUGCCUUACCUUCUCACUUUGUAUUUUCAUUUUAUUUCUAAGUUAUGAAUUCUCUGAGGAGUUUUCCCCAAAGAAUGAGUAACUAAACCUCCAAUUCCUUGGAGCUAAGGUUGCCGGGGAAGGUUCCAAGUGCAAGAAUGCAAAGCUCUGUGGUUUUAGCUAGUAAUGAAGAGGAAGUGAAAUCCUUUAGUGAUUUCAAUGUUUUUAGUUAACUUAAAACACUUUGGAGUCACCUGGGCCAACACUUGGUAAGGCAAGUGAUUUCCAACCAUGGAAAUGCACUAGUUUACCCCUUGCGAGCCUCUGGUAGGUGACUUCAAGGUAGGAUUUUCUGGAAUUACCAACACUUGGUAAGCUUUUGGACUCCUAGGAGACAUCCAUUAGUUAUCUCUUGCGAGUUUGUGAAGGGAAUCCAAGGUUAAAGAUCACCUUGAAUGGUAAGUGCUCGUGAGAGGCAUGAACCAUUGCAAGUUGUAUCAGUGAGAGAAUUAAAGUGAAAUCUAAUUGAAGGAGUCUUUGUACAUCACCGGUUAGAGAAUUGACUAUAAGUUGAAUCUCUAAUGCGAGGAAAUGAACCAACUGACCAGAGCCGUGUCUUUUGCAUGAGGAACCACCCCAGUGAACCUAAAUCUCCAAGGAAUGUUUUUUUCUUCCUAAAUUAUUCCAAACUUCUGUUAAGUUAGUUAGUUUAAAUCUCAACCUUUACAAAUCAAAGUUUGUGUUUUAUUCCUUAAGCUAACCGUGAAAUGAAACAAGACCAAUUCACUUGGAAUUGGUAUCAUUGAUUGCCUGCAAAUCAUUCCCAAUGAACGAUCCUAGAGCCACUAUACUAUAGUAGCUUUGUAUUUACUACCCUAGUGUAUGGUGUUAUAGGUAUAAAUUUUGUUGAUCACUUCCUCAAUCAAGGAGCACCAGCUGAACACAAAUCAGCUGAGACACCAAUUAGGCAUGAGUCAGUCAUCUCCAUUAUUGUUUUAUUUUUUCUUUCCACCACCCCAUUUUGUUGUGGGGUGUAUGGUGCAAUGAGCUGGUGAUCUAUGCCUGCAUCUUCACAAAAUUUGUUGAAUUUUUCUGAAGUAUAUUCUGUACCAUUAUUCGACCUUAUAACCUUGAUUCUGUAUUCACUUUGAUUUUCAACCAUGGCCUUAUAUCUCAAAAACACAUCAGCAACCUCAGCUUUGUAAGUGAGAAAAUAAAUCCAACAAAAUCUUGUGAAGUCAUCAAUAAAUGCAAUAUAGUACUUACUCCCUUUCAAAGAUGGUGUCUUUUGAGGUCCACUCACAUCUGUGUGAACCAAUUGUAGUUUCUGUGUUGAUUUCCAUGCUGCUUUUUGAGGAAAAGGAAGUCUUGUUUGCUUCCCAUAUUGAUAGGCUGCACAUAUAGGAAGUUCUUCUUCCAAAUCAGGGAGUCCUUCUACAAUCUAAUUCUUCUUCAUGUAGAGCACGGUAUUGUGGUGGAAAUGCCCUAAUCUUUUAUGCCAAAGCAUUGUAUUGUUCUCGUGUUGUGCAGCAGUAAUUUGCUCAUCUUCUAACAUAUUUAAGGCAAAACUUUUGCCUUUCAUUUUUAUGUUGAACACCUCUUUGCCUUCAGCAUCCUUGAUUAUGCAAUUUUUGUCUUCAAAACAAACUUUAAACCCUUUCUCAACAAGCUGUCCAACACUUAGCAAAUUUUGGUCAAUGUCAGGCACAAACAAAACAUCAGAAAUGAGCUUUAAACCUGUUAGGCUUUCAAUAGCUAAUGUUCUUUUACCUUUUACUGGAAUAUACUCACCAUUUCCUAUUCUAACUUUGGAAAUAGUUGUCCUAUCAAUCUCCCUAAAGCGAUCUUGAUCAUGUCAUGUGGUUUGUGCAACCACUGUCCACGAGCCAGCUUUCAGAGGUGCUACCGUUUGCAAAACAUGUUGCUGAAAAUAGUUGUUCCUCCUGGUAUUGUUCAGCUGCUACAUUGGUUUCUCCCUGCUGCUGCUGAGUUCUACAGAUCCUUUCUAUGUGUCCAUGUCUACCACAUUUGUUGCAUUUCACAUCUGGUCUCCACCAACAUUUUUGUUGAGGAUGAUUUGUUUUCUUGCAAUGAGGACAGGGUGGAUAGGUUCCAGUUUUUUUAUUGUUGUUGUUGCUUGGCUUAUUGUUGUUCUUUUUGUUCUUCCUCCUUCUUGUGUUACCUUCAUUGGUCUGUGUCUUUGCUUGAAAAGCUCCUUCUACAGAACUUCCUUGCCUCAUGAGUCUUCUUUGUUCCAAAGCUUGUAAAGCAUUUAGUAGUUCUGCCAAGGUGAUACUUGACAAAUCUUUUGUGUUUUCCAAAGAAGAAAUUGUAGCUUCAUAUUUUUCAGGAAUUGUGACAAAAUUGUUUUGAACAACUCUUUCAUCAGAAAACUCUUUACCUAGCAACCUCACCUUGUUUGCUAUGGUAAGAAGUUGUUCUGCAUAAUCUUUUAUGGUUUGAGACUCUUUCAUCCUCACCAUUUCAAAUUCUCGAAUUAGAUUCAUUACCUGCACAUUUCUGACUCUUUCAUUGCCUUGAUAUUCUUCCCGUAGAUGCUUCCAGAUUUCUGCAACAGAUUCAAGUUGCAUGAUUCUGGUGAGAAUUAAUGGUGAGACUACAGAAAAUAAGCAAGCCUUGGCCUUAGCCUUCCUCGUCUUUUUCUCCUUAUGGUUUUUCAUCUGUGACACAGUUGGAUUGGCUCCAAGUGGAGAAAUUUCAUAAUCUUCCUCUAUUGCUUCCCAGACAUCAAGAGCCUGUAGAUGAACAGUCAUCCUGACAGCCUAAGUUUGGUAAUUUUCUCCAUUGAAGACUAGUGGUGCUGCUGUGAAGCUUGCUUCUUCCAUUUCUGCAAGGUUUUCAGAUUCAGGUUUGGUAUACGGUGUUUAGGCUCACACACCUCACUGGUCCCUCAAGACAAAAAUUGCUCUGAUACCAAACUGUUGGAAGCAGGCGAGGUUAACACACCAAGCAACAGAGAACAGAGAUAUGCUGCUACUGAUCUAUAUUUUUUAUUUGAUCAUAAGGCUGAAUUUAUACAGAUUGUGUAACAUAUAUGACCUCAAAAAAAGCAUCAAAUCAAGCUACUUGUUGAACAAAAAACUACCUCCUACAAAAUAGCAUCAGAAUUUAACUUAAAAGCAAAAACAUAAUAAUAGCAACAGCAAAAACAGAAACAUAAAAAUAGCUUCAACAUUCUAGUAAUCUCAUUGACUUCAAUUGCAUGUGGUUGACGAUUUCAGCCUUUUCCUCAGCAGCUACUAAGGCAUAACUCUCAACAGGGCCUCUUAAUUUCCAUUCUGGCAUCUAUAUGACCUGAUAAAUAGAAAGAAAAAAAAACAGAAGAAAAGCGGCACCUGGGUUCAUAGUAAGCAUCAAGACAGGAUGCUGAAAGAAGGGAGAGAGGAGAUUGCAAGUCCAAUCCUGAUAAAAUAUCAACAAAGAGUAUUAAAUGGGGCCAACAUAAAGACCCAUUAAGGUCAGCAGAUGGCAUGGCAUUUUUCUCCUUAAGUUUUCCAUGAUUAGGCUUGAAGUCAAAAUUUCACAUGUAAAUUUGUAUUUCUACAUUUCCCACUGACGACACCCAACUUCAACUUGAGUUAGAAUAACAUUGUGUGAACUUAUCUGGCCCUCAAAAUUUACUGUGAAGUGCUUUCUGCGUGUGAAGAUUCAGAAAAGCACCAAGGGAACAUGUAUGGUCUGCCUUUUUCUGAUGUUAUGUUUGUCUCUAAUUCUGUUCCAUGUCAUGGUAAAUGUUCACAUUGCUUGUAUGGAACACACCAGGAUCACUUUUUCAGGUUUAGGGGGAUACAAAAGGCUUCAUAUUGGGUUCAAUGCUUUUAAUGUGUUCAUUGGACAAAUCUGAAUUAUCAUACGCAUUUAGAUAAGAACAAUAAUGUGAAACCCUAGUUACACCUCCCCUGCAUAACCCCAACCCUGCUUGCUCUAUUUCAGUUUACUCACAAGUUUUACUGGUUCUUAUAAGUCAAGAAAAGGCAACUGAUGUUGGAUCGACUCUCUUCCAUGUAAAAAAUGCAACUUUUAUACAUAUAAAAGAACUUCUUCCCCUCACCAAUGUGGGAUUUCAUAGAUUUAUUCUGGAAACACAUCAAAGGAACAUCUUUUCUCUUGGGUGACCCUAAGUGGUGAGUCAGAUCAUUUGCAUGCCAUUGAGUUGCACAGUUGGAUAAAUGCACCUGCCUCCUGGGCUCCAGAGUUAAAAGGGUGGAUCCCUGGAUUGCAACCCUCUUGGCAUCUUGGUUUCUAUUCCAACAUCCACAUGACUUGACAAAACAAAAAACAGAAUAAAAUCAGCACUAUAUUCAUGCUAAGCACCAAUACAUGAUGGAAAUCAUUGCUUAAAGAUUUGGGGUCGUUUUAGGUUUUGACUGCCUCCUACCACCUCACCUAAUGACAAGUUUUUAUGCUUACAAAUCAAAUAUCGUUCUUCAUUAUAUUAAAAUCAUUUUAAGAUUUCAGAUCCAUCUGCUAAUUAUGAUUAUGAUAACAUUUAUUCACCUGUGCUUCUCAUUUUCGACACACAAGGCAUCUAGGUUUGCAGGAUUUCCUUAUUAGAUGAGAUAAAUGAGUACGUAUGGUUAUGUAUCCAGCAUUCAUUAACCAUGGUAUGUGACAUUUAGAAUUAAGAUAGCAAGCAAACUUUCCCUGCAGCUAGAGUAAAUUGUGAUUUCUUAGCCUCUAUGAGUGGUUCCCAAAUCAAAUUAACAUAGUGAAAUAUACGUAGUCCAGUGAAAGGAAAUGUAAAUUAUAAACUAACAGCACUACACUACUGGUAACAAUCGAUACUCUCUAUAUAAUGCAAUAAACAAUGUCACAAUUGCCUACAAGCAAGGCACAAACACUAGAACAAGUAAAGCACAAACCUUUCCCAACAGUUCCCAGUGACUGAUGCAUAUCAUACCCUCAACUCACAGAAGGGGAUGAUAUCAGUGCACUGCAGCACUUAUUUUACACAUACUACCACUACUACUACUACUACUACUACUCAUUAGCCAAAGUCACUCAGUUGGGAUGAGUGUGAGGUAGAGGUUUGUGGGGUGCUAUGUGGAAAGGAGUUUGGCUUCUUCUCAGGAGAUGGUAGCUUCUUUGCAGGAGUUGAAGGAGGCUUAAUCUUCUGUGGUGGAUUGAUUGUAUGAGUCUUUGGCACUCUCUUCUCUAGUACAGGUGAAUACCCAGGGGUGCAUCCAUAAUGCGGUGGCUUCUAUCCCUUAGGUGGUUUGCCAAAUUCAAAAUCGAAGGAUUUUUUUUUUUUAAGUAUACGUAUCUUUGAAAGCUUUUAUUUUGUAUGGCAAAUGGAAUGAGAGGAGCAGUCAUAUUCUAUUUGGCCAGAGCAACAUAUCACAAAUGAACAAGCUAUUUACUGCCACACUGGGCAAAACAUACAUAAUCCUUGUACUUCAAACAUCCAUGAAUUCUCAUCAUUUUCAGGACACGUUGCAUGGUCUAUCAUUCUAUAUGUCGGCAUAGUAAGUGCAGCUAAUAAGCCUAUUCAGAGCUGAAAUUCAAAAUCUAUUCACAGGAUAAUGACCUUAUUAUUGGAUUUUGCUCACUGUCAUACACACAUAUCAGAUAAAGCCCCACAUGCUCAUAAGCUACAAGCAACCUACAAGCACUAAAAUGAGUGUUAGACGUAUGAAACAUUCCCCAAUACUAGUAGUAUUACCUGUUCCAUAGAACACUAAAUUAGAAGAGAGAAGAUGUGAGACUCCAGCUUUUCUUUCUACAUAUUACUCAUAUCAAGUUGGAAUAGUUAGGCGGUAGAGGCUUGGGGUGGCUUGUGUAGGGGACUAGGCAGCUUCUCUCAGGAGUUGAUUUCGUCUUAUUCUGGAUGUCCAGGUUUCGUCCUUUCGAAUUUCCCAUGCAAAUCAGCAUUCUCCUUGGGAAACUUCACUCCGUUGGGAAACUUGUGUGAAUCUUUGGCAUUCUCUACCAGAGAAGGCCCAGGGCAGUGACCAUAAGGUGGUGGCCUUUUUUCAGGUGGUGGCUCCUCUCCCACUGGAGGCUUGUGGUAAUCAGCAAGAGAGGCAGUGGAGAGAAUCAUCACCCCAAGGAACAGCACUAGCAAGUAUUUGUGAGCCAUAUUUGGGAUCUGAUGAUGAAGACUAGAAGAUAGGAGUUGCCUCAUAUAAUGGGUUGGAGACUAUAUCUCAAGGGGACGUGUAUUUAUGCAUAUGAUCUAUAUAGGACCAUCCUCCUAAUAUUUUCAAAAUAAUGUUAUUGUCUCUCUUGGGUGACAGUUUGAUUUGGUCUAUUUCCAUGCCACUGAGUAGAAAAGUUUGACAAUUGGCUACACCACCUACCUGGAUUACAUGGUUGAAAGUGAAGAUCAGUACAGUGUGAUCACACUUGACCUCUUGUUCCCCAUUCCAGUAUCUAAUUAACCUGACAAAAGUAAAAGGAAAGGAAAAAGGGAAAAAAUAGAAUAAUGUUCAAAUAAAAACGAGAAAAAAUAGCAUAAUGUUGAUGAAUCAUGAUAAGCAUCAAGGCAUGAUAGUGAGAGAGAGGAAAGAAGACAGUGUAAUUUGCAAUCCUGAUAAUCAUUAUAUAGCAGUAACUUUAAUCAUUUUUCUAUCACAGGGAACAUGACACUCAUCUUCCUAUGGAGAUAUUGCAUAAGUUUUUUUCUUUGUAUGUCAACACUAACCAAUGAAGCAUGUUAGCUGGUUUGAAACUGAAACUGUAGCCCUCUGUUUGGUUCUUGAAAAACUUGAGAGAAAAUGGAAGUAAAGUUAAAAGGAAAGAAAAAGUGAAAAAAAAUAAAAAUAGAUUGAAAGUUAACAAAUUAUUUUUACAUGUUCCCUCAAAUUUCUUUCACUUAUUUUUCCUUUUCUAUAUAAAGAUUAAAUGAUUUAAAAAUCAUAAAUUUCUAACUAAUUAUAACUAUAUUUGAUUUUCUUUCAUAUUUUCCAAGAUAAAGUCAGACAUGAGAAAAUCAUUUUCCUUAAAAAAGAAAUUCUUUCCUUUACAGUUUCUUAGAACCAAACCUGGCACAAAAGUCCAAAUUGGGGUUUCUCCAUGUUCCAUUUUUUAUGGCUACCUUUAUGGACCAUAUAAUAUAGAAUGUACUUCUGCAUACCUUCAAGAUCAAGCUGAACUAUAAGAAAAAGACAAGCCAUGGCCCACGGAGCAGGGAUACCAAGCUGCCUUCUCCUAGAUUAAGUUCCAAGAUUUCAGUCUUCAAACCUGCUAAAAGCUAAAGGCAUGUUUCCAGCCUGCGGCAGAUAACAUGCACUGUCCAACAAUAAAUUGCAAACACAUUCGAUGCAGUUUAUUAGUACAAUAAGAUUAAAUCCACCAAAUCUUUUACAGUUCAACCAACACUUGAACUAGUAGCUAGCUUCACUACUGGGUAAUAAUAUAUAAACCAAACUCUUGAUAGGAACCAACCUAUCGCAGAUCGAACUUCUUACAUCCACCAUGAAUUACUGAACCAAAAGAAGAAUCGAAGAGACUGCCAAGGAGGAAAGCCUUCCUAUAACUAGAUAUUUAUAUUCCAAAUUAGGGAGAGCACCCACUGCCCAGGCCUCGCCCAGCAUAAACAGAUAGUAUACAUAUACAUGCAAAAAGCUCCAACCUUCAAGAUUUUAACUAUUAACUUAACACAAUUAAAAAUGUAUCCAAAAAGCAAAUCCCCUUGAACUCCUGAAGCAAUUACUCCAACCAAAUAAAGAUUUUAAGAGUUCCAUGUUCAUAUCCUGCAAGGAAAUCAUUCAAUGUUCAGACCUCUAAUUUCUGUCUUUCUAAAUGCCCAGCCAAAAGGCAUAAAGUAUCAUCCAAAUUGGAUGCACAGCAUAUGUUCUUAAAUCAUGGGAUUUCACCAUAAGUUACUACACUCUAACAGGGCCCAGAAAUUGACCUCCAGAUAUGCCUAUCAAAAAAUUAUCCCCACAUACAUUUUUCUGCUGAAAAGACAAUAUUGUUACAUUUGACAUUCAACCACUACUUGAACUCAACAACCAGGGAAAAGAAUAUAGUAUUUCUACCAAUGAGGAUGAGAGGGGCUGGUGAAUUAACAGGUAAAAGUUUGUUUUGGGUUCAUUGUUUGCAUAAUAAUGUAAAAAUGGAGUAGUAUAUUAUAAAUUAAUGUAAAAAUGGAUUAGCAUAACAUAAAUUGCCAUAAGAGAACCACAAACUACAAAGAAACUUAUUUUCCAAACAAGGAAAAUUAUUCAUAGCCAUUAUUACAUAAGAAAGGAAAUUGAUAAAAUUAUUAUCCAGUUCCCCAUCAGGAAAUAUGAAAGUACUCCUAAAAGCCUCAAUUCUAACCAGAAAACCAUAGAAAUGUAUUAGAAAUAUUGUACAGGGUUCUCUCCAAUAUUAGCUUCAGUUGCUAAGGAGAUCAGAACCUUGAAAGUAAGUCACAAAGGUCGUGUGGGUUUCCCAGAGUCUUCAACAACCAGUAUUCACAUAUGUACACAUUAAAAUUAAAUAAAGCAGGUAUCAAUUCCACAGGCUUUAAGAUUUGAAUUGCUUCUCCCUGGAAUCAUACACCACUCAUAUUGUCACUGACUUUCAAUUACUUCUCCCUGCGAUCAUAUGCCACUCAUAUUGUCACUGCCUUAGGGAACAAAGUGAAAAUCUGCAAUUUCAAUUAAUUCCAACAUAAAAAUAAAAAUCAAUCCUCAAAAAAUGGAUUGCCAGGAGGUAAAUAUAAUAGAAGACGAACAACUCUCACAACCAAGUUAAAGAAACCAGCCGCUAGGUACCUUUGAGUUCUAUACUACCAGGAACAAAUUGGAUGAGAUUAUUUAAAGGCUAUUCCACAGUGGAAAUUCAUUCGUUCAAAAAACAUUUGUCAUGCAUAUAGGCAAUCUAUCCUAUGCAUUCAUACAUCAUGGUCUCAUGCAAUCUUAAUAAAAGUGGUCCUGGAAAAAGAGAGAAAAAAGUAAUUACAAGCCUGUGCGACCAGAUUUCUUUUGUUUUUUUUUUUUUUUUCCUUUGCCAAACAACCAUGUUCAUAGUUUCAGAAGUUCAUUCUGUCUUUAAGAGACCAUGGCAGUGACUUGGCCAUUCAGCUAAGANNNNNNNNNNNNNNNNNNNNNNNNNNNNNNNNNNNNNNNNNNNNNNNNNNNNNNNNNNNNNNNNNNNNNNNNNNNNNNNNNNNNNNNNNNNNNNNNNNNNUCACCAAGGACUCCUCAACCUCAAAAUAAUAGAGAAAGUCUAGGACACCAUGUCACUACUGAGGACAACCCAACACCACAACAUUUCAGUCCGUUCAAAAAGAGUAAUUGGAAUUGUUGCAAAAAAUGUUCAACUAGUCCCAACAGGAGGCAAAUUCCUCCAUUUCUUCAUCGGGUCCGGAUCCUUUGCUCAAAAAGGUAAUUUUCUUACUGCCCUAAAAGAAAAAGGGAAAAUGUGAGUCAUUGGAUUGUUGACUCAGGAGCUUUUGAUCACAUGACUAGAGUGCCACAAUUUUUCAAAAUUAUACACCUUGUUUUGGGGAUGAUACAAUUCGUAUGGCUGAUGGUUCUCUCUCAAAGGUGACUGGUACAAGUUUUAUUGUCAUCUCUAAGGACCUAACUCUUGACUCUAUUCUUUUGGUUCCAAACUUGGAUUGCAAUCUAUUGUCCAUUAGUAAACUCACUUAUGAAAAGAACUAUGUUACUAAAUUUUUCCCAAACCAUUGUGUUUUUUAGAAUUUGAAUUCGGGGAAGACGAUUGGCAAUGUUGAAGUGUGUUUAGGACUCUAUGCCUUCAAAGUGAAUUAUUAUAUUGAAAGACAAUCUUAACCAACAGUUGGUGAAAAAUGGUGUCUUUUUGUCUUUAGUUCUAAUAAAGAUAGUGAUGUUAUGUUAUAGCACUAUUGUCUAGGACAUCCUAGUUUCUUAUAUCUCAAAAAACUCUUUCCAUGGUUUUCAGUGUGAAAUUUGUCAACUAUCCAAGCAUCUUUGCAAGCCCUAUCCAUAGUUUUAAAAGACUUAAGGCACACCAAGACGCAAAGUCCUCUUGGAGCCUUAGGCGCAAGGCACACCUAAGGCGCGAACUUUAGUAAAGUGAGGUGCAUCCUGUUUUACAUAUAUAUUUUUAUAUAAUACAAUCAAGUGCCCGAAAAUUUUCCUCUAAUUUUCCCCUUCUUCUUCAUCCUCUUCUCUUCUUCACAUUGUUCGGGAGGCUAGGACAUUUUUUUUUUUUUACAUGUCUAAAACAAGCAUAUAUUGGGUUUUGGAAGAAGAACAAGCCAAAAUGACAUCGUUUUGGAGCCUAAUCUUUUAAAUAAAUAAAUAAAUAAAUAAAAACCAGCCAAAAAUGACACCGUUUUGGCCCCUGUUCUUUUAAAAGAACAAACCAAACAACGUCAUUUUGAUCUCAGGAAAUUAAAAAAACAAAACCCUCGUCAUUCUCCCUUUGCUACUCUACAACUCAUCGUCAAAGGGUAAAAAGAUGACCAAAAGAAGAAGAAGAAAAAAAAAAAACGACGACAGAGGAUAGAGGUGCACCUGUUGAGGGCGUUGCGCCUAGCCAAGAGGCGAGCGCCUUGCACACUUAAUCAACGCCUCUGUGAAGGGGCGGCUCCUGCAAUCAGGCGAAGCGCUGAAGGGUGAUGUCACAUCGUCUAGAGCCUAGGCGCACCUUUCACAACUAUGACCCUAUCCAACUCAACCAUACAAACCAUCUCAUCUUUUUUCCAUACAUAGUGAUGUUUGGAGGUCAUCUAAAAUAAAGAACAUAACAGGGACUAGAUGGUUGAUGAUCAUACUAGAAUUUCUUAGAUAUUUCUAAUGAAAAAAAAAUCAAAAAUUAGUCAAAUUUUCUAAAAGUGGACCAGAAUUUCUUUAUUGAAUUAAAAAGUUGAAAUUAAUAUUUUGGAAAAGUUAGGGCCGCUCAAGAGGUAGAAAUAGCGCUCGAGUGGUAGAAAUAGCGCUCGAGUGGUAGAAAUAGCCCUCAAGUGGUAGAAAUAGCGCUCAAGCGCUAGGACCGCUCAAGCACUUAACUAGCGCUUGAGCGCUCAUAUAGAAUCUGCCAGAAUAUGGAAGAAUAUUUUUUGGAUAAUCAUGAAAAUUGGAUUUGGAAACUUUAGAAUAUCAAUCUCCUUCGGCCUAGAGGUUUAUAUAAACCCUAUUAUAACCCUUUAGGGUUAAGAAAUUCACCAAGUGGUUUACCCUAACUUGUCAUACCAUUCCCGAUCUCUCAUCAAGGAAUCAAAGUGUUUAAUCUUGGGUUGUUUGAAGACCUGCAUCCCUUCAACAAGGCUAAGGUGUAUUCACUAGAACAAUUGAAAUUGUUGCAUUGCGGACAUGAAUCAAGUUGCAGGUUCUAGAGAGUAAGUCUUUAGAAUAAAGCAGACAAAGAGUUCUAUGUGACUUUAUCUCAUAUAGUGGAUUUAGCUUUGAGGUCUUAGACCUCGUGGGUUUUUAUCUCCAUAGUUAGUGUGGGGGUUUUCCACAUAAAAAUUAUUGUGUCUCUUGAUCUUAUGUUUGAUUUUAGAUAUUCUAUUUAUCCCUGAUAUCUCACAGGUUAACUUUAGGUUAAAAAUUCAACUCCCUAUUUAAUAAUUUUUAAAAUACACCCAUUCACGAGUGUUAUCCUACUGGACAUUGGUUUUUCACCAUAUAUAACACUCAUACCAAAACCCAUGCAACAUGGACUCCAACCUUAAGCUUAACUUUCUACGAAUGGAAAAAAAAAAAGACAUAACAUAAAUAGACAGAUUUAACAACAUGCUCCUAAUCAAGGUGAAUGUCCCUCUUUUUGAAAGAUAUGACCUUUUCCAUACGAGGAGCUUUCUUUAAAAUUUCACCUCUACCAAUUCCCAUGCCUUUACAAAGUUGUGGAAAGCUCCAAAGAGAAGGCCCAGACAUGUAAUGGGUAGAUUCCCUACCUUAGAACCUUACACCAAAGCUAAACCCCUAAUAUUUGUGACUUCUAUAAGAAUCAAUUCAUUUUUUUCCAUAUUUAUUUCUAAAUCAGACAUUGCCUCAAACCACAUGAAGUUAUAACUUGGAUGUUACAGAUGCUCUUAAUUAGUGUCACAAAAAAAUAGGGUAUCAUCAUCAAACAAGAAAUGUGACACUUCCAUCCCCUCCUCCUGUCUUCCUCCCACUUUGAAACUUGAGAUGUAACCCCUUUUAUCUAAUUCUCCUCAAAAUUCAAUUGAAAGCCUUCAUUGCCAAUAUGAAAAUGUAAGGGGAGAGAGGAUCUUUCUACCUCAAAUCCCUUGAGCUCUCAAAGAAACUGAAUAGGACACUAUUUACUAGAAUAGAGAAUUGAGUAGUGGAAAUGAACCAUUUGAUCCACCUCACCCACUUAUGAUCAAAGUCCAUUUUAUCCAACAUCAUUAACAAAAAGUUCCAAUUUACAUGGCCAUCGUCCUUUCCAAUGUCUAACUUGCAAAUUACCCCACUAUUGGGACUCUUUAACCUUGAAUCUAGAGCAUCAUUUAUGAUUAGAACUGCAUCUAGAAAUUGUCUGUCUUCCACAAAAGCAUGCAAAUAAACUAAAACUAUUUUACCCACCACAUUUUUUAGUCUUUUAGCCAAGACUUUUUCCAAUAGCUUGUACAAAAAAACCCCCAACUAAGCUAAUCAAUGUAAAAAAUUUUAGGUUCUCUGCUGCACCUAUAUUAGGGAUCAAGACCAAGAACAUGACAUUUAAAUUUUGCUCAAAGGAACAAUUAUCAAAAAACUCCCCAAGCUCAUUUGCCAAAAUAUUAUAAUAAAUCCAUUUGGCCCCUACAGCUUUAUCCCCACUCAAGCUAGACAAGGCAACAAGAAAUUCCUCAUCAAAGAAAGGUAACUCCAAUUUCCUAGAAUCAGCACAUAGCAUAACUUCAAAGGUCAUCCCAUUAAUGUUGAGUCUCCACUCGCCCAUAUCAGAUAGGAGAUUUUGGAAGGCCCUAAACUCCCCUUCCUUUAUAUUUGCUUCCCAAGCAACCAUUUUGCAUUCACUCAAAUUUUAAACAUGAAGUUUUUUAUUCUUUGGGCAUUGACCAUUUCAUGGAAAAUUUUGGUGUUUUUAUCCACCCCCUCUUUUAACCAAAUUUCUCUUUAUUUUUGCCCCCAUACAUAUAGAUUCUUCUAACAAGGCCCACUUGCUAAACUCAAUCACCACUAACCUUUGGCCUCAACGAUUUCAAGAGAUAAGGUAACUGCUCUCUACUUUGAGUCCCAGAAGUUGAUCCAGUUUAGCACCUCUAGGUUUUUUGUUGAGACAUUCCCAAAACCUUCUUCAUUCCAAGAUUUUAAAUCUCGUUUGACAGCCUUUAGUUUAACUUCCAAAAUAUGACCAUACAAGCCAUCCACAUUAUAACCAUCAACCAACUCCUCACAAAAUCUUUUAAGCCUUUUGUUUUAGGCUACAUAUUUUAAAAUGUAAACUGUGUUUUCCCACUCCUUAUCCUACCUCCAUCUAAAACUAUGGGGUAAUGACCAAAAAUUGGUUUAGGUAAAAUACUCUAGAUUAAAGUAGAAAAACGAUUCUACCAAUCAUCUGACACUAGGAAAUGGCCAAGCUAGCCUUGAAGAAGACAAAAGAUUAUGAACACCACUCCAAGUGAAUAGCCCUCCAACUAGCGAAAGAUCCCAAGGUCAAGUCCUCUAUGUCCUCUGAAAAGAACCUCAUAUCAAACAACAUUCUAAGGCAAUUCCUCCUUUUCAUGGGGAACUUGACCAUAUUAAAAUCCCCUCUGAAGCACUAGAGGUCAUCCCAAAGGCCUCUUAUGGCACCCAACUCUACCCAGAAAUCCACUCUUUCUCCCCUUUAAACCAACCCAUAAACUCUUACGUAUACCUAGACAAAGCUAUCUUCACAAUUCAUAGACAAGCAAUAGAGAAUGCUUCCACCUCCUUACCAAUUAACUCUAAUACCCUACUAUCUUGGAAAACCAAAAUGCCUACUAUCAAGCUUCUAACUUCCAAUACCAUUUCAAAAAUUUUCCUACUCCUAAACUCCUUACCAGUUGAACGAACAUCUAUCGAACCUUGGUUUCUUGUUAACAAACUAGAUCAACCCCUUGAGACCUUAUCAAUGACUUUAUUAUCAUAUACUUUUCCUCAUCAUUUGCUCAUUUGACAUUCCAAGACAGGAUUUUUAGCUUCAUCAUGCAACCUAUGUUGGAUCCUAACUGCUACUCUUGGAGCCCUUUUCCUUUUUGUUGAGCUUUUAUAAUUGACUAAGCAUCCCAACUUGUUGAGGUCCCUCUCAAACCAAGAUAUCGAGGUUAACUUCCUCUUCACCUCCAACGAAAAAACAGAAACCCCUCUCCUUAGCCUGCCACACAAGGGAAAAGAUCUCUUUUUCAAAUCCAUCAACUGGCAUUCUUGAGAAACUAUUGAAAUUUGCCAACUUACAAGAUAUACAAUUGGAGGAGUGCUUCUCUACCAAACAACUACUAAAAUUCACCUCAAAGGUGACCUUUUCCCCUGAUCUCUCCCCGGCCUCCAUACCCACUGACCCUUUCACAAAAUUUUCUAGAAUUUCCACUAUCAAGCCGUUACGGAGAACCAUCCUCAACAAACUCCUUUGACUAAUGUGAAAAACCCCACCCAAGAGCAUCUUCCAGAAGUUAACUUACAAGAUUAACUAUAAUCUUGUGAAGACUCGUUACCUAAUGGGUAAAAAAUUUGAAAUUCUAUUAGUAUAAUUCUUUUUAGGCACAAAAGCUGUGAAAAUAGCAUUGGUGCUCUAAUUAAUAACCCCAUAAUUAUUAAGCAAUAAAACAACUUUUAAUAAAUUCUCUUUCACCACAUCCCACCAAUCCUAAUGCAAAAAAGCUAGGAAAAAGUCAUCAUUGCUCUAAGCAUUUCUCCUCACUAGUUGAAAGACUGCUUUAUGAACUUCCUCUUCGACAAAAGGACAAUCCAACCAAUUAGCACCAUUUUCCAAAAUGAGAGACCAACCCCCACUCUUCUAUCCUCUAAGGAUCUUCAUAUAACCAUUAAUGCCUUUCUAUACCAGCUAGUAUAUAUCGGGUUUUGGGCAAGUCCUAUAAAUUGGUUUGAGUAAGAUUUUUAAUUACCCUGUUCUUUCUUUUUAGUUGAUAAAUAUGCAUAUAUGUAGUAAUUCAUACAUCAGAAAAGAUUUUGCUAAAACAAAAGAAUUGACAUGCAGAUAGUGACUUCUUGAUAAGAGUAAUAGCUUAAGGGAGGAAAAUGAACUCCUCCAGUGGCCCCAAAGUGGUAAGUUCCUUCAGAUCCCAUGUUGCUAUUCUGCAUUUCUUUGUGUUUUGGCAUCAGCCCUCUUAAUUAAUUCACUAUCCAGCUUCUCAAAUUCCUCGGAUUCUUCCCUUGUUCUUGUGGAAACAUCUGCAUCUUGUCCUUGCAUUGUUAUGGAUUGGUGAUUAUCAUUCUUUGAGAACUGUGUGGCAGCUGCUCGUGCACCAGCUAUGGCUGCAAGGAGACCUUCUGGUUUCUUGUCUUCAGCAGCUUUGGAGCCAUCAAAGCAAGAAACAAGUAAUCCUGGUUUCAAAGAGAGGGGAUCUUGUGGUUCUGGAAGCAGAAACUUGACAGGUAGUGGAGCUUGAACAGGACGAAGACCCCUAACUGCUGCCUCAUAUAUCUGCAACAAUUUCAGGGGGGAUAAGUAAUUAAAAAUCAGUCACUCUAUUGCAUUAGUUAGACUUGCUUUCAAUGCGAUAGCAAAGAAAGAAUCAUCAAUGAAAAAAGAAAAAAUAAAUGAAAAAGAACAAAAAGGAGAGGGAAAAAAAAAUGAUGGGUGCUCAAUUUGUACUUUUCUUUCCAGGUUAUAAAUACGUUGGUACCCGCGCAUCUCAAAUGGUAUGAUUAAUUUCUGCAUCAGGUCAGGAGAACUAAGUCCAUCAAUAUACUAAAAAGCAAAUAUACCAAAAGGCAAGCAAAAAUGUUUAACCAUCUUGAGUGUCAAACUCUCCAAGAAACUAUAUACUUUUAGCUGAAUGAAAACACAUGCCUGUGGUUGCUCACAGAGCCAGCAAAACUCUGUUUGCGCUUCUAGCCUUACCUACAAAUAGAGUUUAGGUUAUCCAACCAAAAUGGAGAUACAUCACACAAAACAAACUGUACCUAAUCAGUUUACGAAGGGGACGGGGGGAAGCAAAAAGCAAAAGUAAAUUUCUAAGAUGCCCACCCCUUCAGGUACCUCCUUCCAGCACGCCAGCUCUUCACAUUUAACACAACCAACUACUUCAAUACAACCUGUGGCAAGAAUAGAGUUUGUUGGAUUUAUUGUAGCAUGCCAUACAGAAAAAUUUAGCAUUUCAGUAAGAAUAAGAAUAAGAGAGCUACUUUCCACUAAAAUACGAAUCACCCAUCAACUGUUGCAAACAGACAACAAUGUGAAUAACAGGUUUUAUAUAUAUAUAUAUAGAGAGAGAGAGAGAGAGAGAGAGAGAGAGAGAUAGAUAGAUAUAGAGAGAGAGAGAGAGUCAAAUAAUAAUAAAGGACAAAAAUAUUUCUUUGAGAAAGACUAAUUAGAAAGAAGAAACAAAGAACCCACAUGAAAUCAAUUUAGAUAAGAGAAAUACCUUUAAGAAUCUAGUUCUUUUUGCAAAUUGCAACUUAGAAUUGGAAUGCCACAUAUUAUUAUAAGGUAUCACAAGAGAUUAUUGCUUCAUUUUUUUUCUUUGCCAGAUCAGUUUUAAUAAAUAUAAAUAUAAAAAUAUAAGCAUGUACACACACACACGCAAACACAUUAUGUGUGUAUGUUUAUGGAUAUGUAGAUAUAGGUUUUUAAUAAUAGAGCAUGAAAACAUAUCUAGUCAGAAAUUCCAAAAAUCCAAAACCAUUAGCAACACCUAACAGUCUUGAAACUGGGUAAUGUUCUGGAAACUUGAGGUCUGCUAUCCCAUUCACAGCAUAGAUCUCCCUGUAGAAAUUCUCCAUUGCUUUGAUUGUGUCUGAAUCUGGGACCUUACUAGCAGCAUGAAUCCAGAGUCGGCCUUCAUAAAACAAAACAUGUAUAUUAAGAAAUAUCCUUGUAGAACAGUAACAUUUUUGCCAGCAUGCAAUUCGUGUUAAUAAUCCUUGGUUCUCACCACUCAUUGUACAUUACAAUGUAAAGACCUAAUAAGCCCUAAUAUAGGUAGGUGUCUGUGCAGAGAGAGAGAGAGAGAGAGGGGAGGGGGGUGAAAGGAAAGAUGAUUAUAGAACAAAUACAAGUUGAAUCUCCUGAAAUAAUGUCCAUCAAGUUAUUUCCUAGCAACAAGUACUGAUUAUGCUUUUCCUGAUAACAUGAUUUUCUUUGCUAACAACCAUACUAUAUUUUAUCAAGAAAGAGUAGUGCAUGUGGCGUGCAUCAAGACCCAUUAGAGUUCCGCUAAACCUAUAGUUCUGUCAACGUUAUCAUUUACGUUUCCUCUAGAUAAUGGCAUUUUCCUCUAAAACUCUUGCACCAUUAGGCUUCAAGUCAAAAUUUCACAUGUGAACUUUGGAAAUUUUCUCCAUUUGCCCCUAAGGAUACAGUUAGAAUUGACUUAAAAUCCUGAUUGAUGUAUACUUUUAACCGAAGAAUAUUGUAUAUAAUAAUUGAAAUAUUGUUGAUUCAUCGUGGAAAUACAUUUUGUAAGGAAAGUUGUUAAGAAUUUAGUAUGCUAUAUGGAGAAAAAAGUCAUGACUUAAGGUUGAGUAUGUAUAUUCUAUAUCAAAUAUUAGGUAGGAAUGUGGAAAAGAGCAGAGUGUAAUUAUAAGAAACAAAGAAAUAUAAGAUAUUCUUGAAAGUGGAAAAUGUAAAAUGGCUAAAAGUCAAAUUUAUGAUGCAUAAGGGGGAUCAUGUCACAUAAGAAACUCAUGGCAUACCAAAUACGUGUGGUAUGGAGUAACAAUUUUGUUAAAAUAAGUUUCUCGUUGGAGUACAUUAGGUGACAAUUUUUUAAUAUCAAAUUAAAGAGUCAAGUGCAUCAAUGAAGUCAUAUGUAGAAAAUUUGUUUGUGACAUGUACCAUAAAGAUAAGAUUGACUUGAUAUAAUUUAGUCCAGGUAGGAGUUGUUAAAGGUGUCUCAAAUUUCUAAUUGAUAUAUAUUUUUUUCUAAAAAAAUAUUAUAUAGAUAUUUCAAUAAAUGAUUAAUUCUUUGUAAAAAUACUUACAUAAUAAAAAACAUCAUUAGAAAUAUCUCUAUAAAUAUUUUAAAUCACAAAAAGAAAAAAAAAAUCACUAUGAGAUAAUUAUAAACAUGCAACAUUGUACCAAGUAAACAGAAAUGUGAUAAAAAAAUUUUGAGAAACACUAAAUAAAGGAAGGGCUUGUAUAUCAAGAUGUAAAUAUAGAGAGCAAUAUUUUUAAUCAUAUGAUAGAAUUAUUUUCUCUCAUUCAUGAUUAUAAGCAAAAUUGGGAACCAUUAUAAAAUCUUGUACACCUCGUGUAAAUUGAUGUUUGUCUUCAUAUUUUACACCAACAAAUGACAUUGAAGUUGUCAUUGAUAAAAGGGAAAAGGCAUGGCCUCCACACCAUGUGCUUGAAUCGUAUGGUUCAAGUUUAAAGAAUUUUCUCCAUAAUUUGAAGAUCUAAAACAUUUUCACCUUUAAAUUUCAUUUAAUUAUUAAUAUCUACAAAAAAUAGUUAAAUACUCUUUCUAUUUUUGAGUUGUUGAAUUUUUUGAAAGUUUUUAUAUUUGUUAUCAAGAAUUUAUAUUUUAUUAAGUGUGAAUAUUUAUAAAUAAGAUAUUAUAUAAUAUUUGGAUAAGAGAGAAUGGUGGAAUAUAAUAAAGUUUUAAUCCUUCCCAAUUUUUAUCUUUUUUUUUUUUUUUUUUUAUAAUCGCCUUUCUCUUUCAAUCCUAUUAUCAGGUACCUUAUAUUUGCUGAUGCUAUCUGGAACUAAAUUCCAAUCAGACAUUGUCCAAUUACUAAUAGGACAGAUCAUGUCUCUCUGUUUCUAAACUAACAUGUAUCGUAAUGUGGCCUCAUAAGGAAGGCUAGGAAGAUGGAGGAUUUUGUGGGAAGCGACCAGAAUCAGAUGGAAGAGAGAUAGCCCUGUUGACCUAAUGGCUGUAAUAGGAGAAGCGUGUGGAUUUAUGGGACUUAACUGAUACUAAACCUAUAUGAUGCUUGGAGUGGUGUUUCUUUCAUUUUGUUAAGAAAAUAUGGCAGCAUACAUCCUUUCAAUUGAGUGCAUCAGAGCAUCCAUAAUAGAUGGUCUGCAACCCUAGGUGCAUGCCACUUUCUGACUGAUAAUGAAACUGUCAGGUACUUGGCCUUGACUAAGCUCAACAGCAUCACAUAAAAAGAAGCUUUCAUACUUAGAUUACUGUUUAAAGCUUUUGCUUAUUUGCUUUCUUAAUGCCAUUAUGACAUUAUUGUUUCAAUUCUGCUACCGAUUUUCGAAGUUCUGGGCAUCUACUGAUUGCAUCAUUAUAUGAGAAGUUGCAUGAGUUUAUGUAUCCUGUUAUUGCUCCUUUGCGAUUUCACUGCUCACGGGACUAACCUCUCCAUUCAGUCGAAAUGAAUUGUAAUUUCUUUACUGGUAGCAGUAGUACUUUUCAUAGCAAAGAUAAUAGUAAAUAUGAAAUAUAAAUAGAAGGAAAUCUGAAUUGUAGAUGGCACUAUAAGUAACACUCAAUAUUCACUACAUAAUAAAAUAGACAGUGUUACAAAGGUAGAGAAACCUACAAUGAGUACUCAUCACCAUUCUCAAACAGAAACAUAGCAGCGACUUAUACAUAGAACCUAUAGGCUUGCAGGGAAAGAAGGGAAAGAGUAACAUGAUAAGUUCACAGCGGGUAGCAGCUCUUAUUUUACGUAUUACUCAAAAUCUCAAACUAACCAAAGUCACUCAGUUGGGAUGGGUAGGAGAUGGUGGUUUGUGGGGUGGCUUCUGGGUAGGAGCUGGUGGCUUCUUUGUUGGAGUUGAAGGAGGCGUAAUCUUCUGAGGUGGCUUGUAUGAGUCUUCGGCACUCUCUGCAGGAGGGUGCCCAGGGUUGUGACCGGAAGGAGGUGGCUUCUGUCCCUUUGGUGGUUUGCCUAAUGGGCUUGGUGGCUUGUGCUCCGGGAGUUGUUUCUCUCCCUCGAGUAGGUUUCGAGUUUUGUCAGAUGGCUUGUGUUCUGGUGGUGGCUUCUCUCCCUGGGGUGGUUUGCCGAAUGGGCUUGGUGGCUUGUGUUCGGGGAGUGGCUUCUCUCCCUGGAGAAGGUUACGAGUUUUGUCAGAUGGCUUUUGUUCUGGUGGUGGCUUCUCUCCCUGGGGUGGUUUGCCAAAUGGG
rnacentral:lncRNA from 1 species